AGCAAAUCAUUAUUUAGUCUAAAAAUAUUGUUAAGUGUUUUGCUUUCCAUUUAUAUUCUUUUGCUUUUAUCAUUGGAUUGAUUAUUGAUUUCAAUCCAAGCAUUUUAUAUGUAUAAUGAAACCUCUUCAUCAGUUGCUAUAAUUUUAAAAAUAUUGUGGUUUCUCAUACAAUAGGGCGCUUUAAGUUUGUAUCUCUUACUAUUUUGUCUCUUAGAUCACAUAGAAAAUGGUGAAGGCUGUUGCUGUUCUUAACAGUAAUGAGGGUGUCUGUGGAACUAUCUACUUCGCUGAAGAAGGAGAUGGUAAUCAAGAAAUCUACCAAGUUUCUCUGGAUAAGUAAUGAAAUUUAGAUUGCUAUAUUUGCCUAUAAAUUCAUUAUUUUUUUCUCAAUUCUUUAGGUUCGACUACAGUGACUGGGAGUCUUUCUGGCCUUAAGCCUGGACUUCAUGGCUUCCAUGUGCAUGCCCUUGGGGACACAACAAAUGGUUGCAUGUCAACUGGUAUUGUCUAAUUAUUGGUUACUUUAUUUUUUACAUCCUUUGCCAUUGGGUUAGACUUACACUCUUUAGAUUUCCUGCAUGUUUCUUUUUAGCUUAAGUAUUUAGGUUACUUAUUUAUUUAUUAUUUACAGGACCUCAUUUCAAUCCUGCUGGAAAAGAGCAUGGUGCUCCUGAAGACGAGAAUCGUCAUGCUGGUGAUUUAGGAAAUGUCAUUGUUGGUGAGGAUGGUAUGUACUAUGUACUUCAUUGUAAUUAACUAUUACUAGAAUACCAUUAGAAGCAUUAUUAUUGUUUGCCCGGCAUUGCUACUUUUUAGGCAAUCAUUUUUCUUAGAUCCUUGUAUAGAUAUCAAUCUAUGUGAUAUGAAUGGAAUAUCUGGAUUGUAUAUCUAGUUCUGUUAUGUUAUUUGAACUUUCUUAGCCAUUAAGGUGUUUUCAUUUGAUUGUGUGCUUUUCAGGUACUGUUAAUUUCAAAAUUGUUGACUUUUUUUUACCUCUUUGUCUUCUUUUUCUUUUUAUUCUUUUUACCAGCUAGGUUGAAAUUUGGUUCUUGUUAUCUAAAAAAUGUAUUUGUCUCUGUUUAAAGAUUCCUCUCACUGGAUCAAACUCCAUUGUUGGAAGGGCUGUUGUUGUCCAUGCUGAUCCUGAUGAUCUUGGAAAGGGUAAGCUGUAAAACUUCUAUCUAUGAAGCUUUUUUUUCAGGUGUUUCCAUUUUGUGCUACUGUUAUUCUAUGCCCUAUGGAUUACUAAUGGAUAAGAAUGAACAGUCCAGUCCUAGCUUAUGACAAAUGUUAAUUUAUAUUUUGCUGGAACAUUAUUAAGUUCCAUCUUACAAAGUUUGGACAAACGUAUGUAUACUUAUUCCAUCAUUUUGUGCACAGUAAUUAUUUUUAUUCUUAUGAUGGGUGCUAUGCAGGAUGACUAUUUUUAUUAAUCUGAUACAAGCUGUGCAAGAUGAAUUUUAGAGAAAAGAAAUGCUUUGAAAAUAGAAUCAGUUGUGUUUUACAAUUAUGCCUUUGUUGAGUCAAUAAGGAGGCAUUUGAAGUUACCUCAUUUUUACAAGGAAGUACUAAUAUACUACACUAAAUCGGGGGAUUCUAAGUUAAAUAUUAGAAACCCACAGGGAGAUUUUUGAAAUAUCGCUGAGAUCCAAGUCAUCCGACACCCAGCCUGCCUUAAAAAUCAAGCUGAAAAAUUCAGUUUAUCCAUUGCAUGGUUGACAUCUGUGUGAGAACUUAAAUAUCCAUCUCAUCCUCGCUUAACAUUGUUAACGAAGUUCAUGUUUGGAUUAGGGGUAAAAUGGGCCUUACUUUUAUUAGAACUGAAAGCUUCUUCACAAAAUGGAAGUAGGUUUUGUUGACAUCACAGAUUUUAUGUGAUGUGAGUGAUUGCAAAAGAGGGGUUCUAAGAGUUAUGGUUUAAAGUUAUUCUGACUCCCUUUUGGGCUUCUGCUAUGAUCUCCAGAAGCCACAUAUGCUAGCUGCUGGAGCAUUAUUAAGUUUUUCGGGCCCUGGUAUCGAGGUUGAUUUGUUCCUUGAUAUAUGCUUGCCAAUCACCAGUACCAUUUGGUUAGAAGAGAAUACUUGGCUGUUUAGUCUGUUUUUAUUGUUUGGAAAAAAAAACUCCGAAAAUGGCCCAAGUGGGAAUGGCUUGACUUUGUUAGAAUAUGGACGGAUGUGUUCCUAUUUUUCUUAUUUUUAUUCUUAUUUUACCUUUGAGCAUAUCUUGGCUUUCUGAGCAUGCAAUAACAGUUUCUUUUCUAUAUUUUUUCAGGGGGACAUGAGCUCAGCAAAAGCACGGGAAAUGCUGGUGGCAGAGUAGCCUGUGGUAAGCAUAUUUCUUUUCUUUUCUUUUCCUUUCCUUUGUAGUGAGAGGGGGGGCUUUGGUUGGUACAUGAAAAUCAAAUCAUGCAUUUGGUUUUUUUUUUUCAUGUAAUUUGAAAUGAAAUAAGAUAAAUCACUUUGUUUCUUAUGCAAUUUUUGAGAUACUAUAAUCAUUUCAAGUAUGAGUGAGUGCUUUCCAGUAUUUAGUUUUUUUUAUUCUCUUUUUUUCCUCCCCACCAUAGCAGACUGAAUUUCUUUUCCAAAUUAUUAUGGGGAUAAAACGGAAUGAUUGCACUAUUAUUUGUUCUUUAAAUGCACUUGUAAGAUAAAUUUUGUCUAUAAUGUUAUUUGGGAUCAUCAAAAGAUGCAUAUGGGUUCUCUAUUAGACUUCUACAUAUCUUAGGUUUUUAUCUUAUUCAUUUGUCCCUAAAGUUGUGUGUUCGUUUACCUCUUUGUAGGAGUUAUCGGAUUGCAAGGCUAAAAAACUAGCUCUACCGACGCUCAUGGUAAACACAUGUAGUUGAAGACAUUUGUUUUGUCAUGCAUGAGAGAUCCCUAGACAAGACUCAAAAACUUGAAAGAAUAAAGGGAAGAAGGUUGUCCUUUAUGGUGUGAUGUAUGAUGUUAUGAUCUUAAAUCUUUUGUGUUAUUUCCCAGUUAUAUCUAAAACUUCCUCUGGUUUUGGAUCUGGUAAGGAAUGGAUAAAAUAAAUUAAGAUAGACAAAGAUUCAAUAUGCAUUGACAUUAAGAAUGAAAGUUUGGAUGGUGUGUAUCAAAUAGGGAAUAAAACUAUGAAUAUGAAGGUCUAAUGUGUUCGGAGUGGGAUAGCGAACCAUAGCUAUGUGGUAGGACCUUGGUUACUAGCCCCUCUAAUCAACCUCUACAUAUUUAGACUUAAGUGGUAUCAUCUAAAUGUGUCUAGGGAUAUGUUGUUCUAUAUUAUUCCUGAGUUUAAAAAUUUGUGAUUUUGGAGUGGCUUGGAACCACUUGAGGGUGGGUGAGGUUGGGUGGGGUUUUUUUUUCCCCUUUUUUGUUUUUUUCUAGCCUUGUGUAGGGCUGUUCAGUAUACUCCCUGUAUACGUGUGGCUUUUUAGCCUUUUCUAAUAUAUUUGGUUGUUUAUCUAUCAAAAAAAAAAAAAAAUUGUGAUUUUGGAUGGCGAUAGCAUUGAGAUUGCUUGAUAGUCAUUGCUUGAUAGUCUUCUGUUCAACGUUGUUUUUUAGUUAUUUAUUAUAUAUAUAUAUAUAUAUAUAUAUAUAUAUAUAUAUGUAUGUAUAAUUUUGAUCUUCAUAGAAAUGUGAAAUUGAUAACCAUCUCUCUCUGGAAGGGAAUCCCAUGUUAUGUUGCGUUGGCAUGGACAUAGGCAUACAACAUAGGCUAGUGAAUGUGUGUCGGUUUUAGGUAUGAGGUGUGAAACAUGAGCUGAUUGUGGAUGUUGGCAUUGCAUGAACUUCAUGGUUUAGGGAUUCAUAUUCUUAAUAAAAUAUCUCAUUUUUAUAAUAUAUUUUUAUUAUAAAAUUGAGUAAAUAAAAUAAAAAAUGAUUAAAAAUAUGAUAAAAUAAAAAAUAUAAACAUGAAAUAUUUAUUUUUCAUUAUCAAUUUAUCAAGUUUUUAAAAAUAUUUCCCUAUUUCCCUCUUUUCUUUAUCCGAAUGCGACUCUUUCUAUAUCUAAUUGAUUUCUUAAGAAGAUUAAACAAGUGUGAAAUAUAGCUAGUGGUGAAAACCUUGAUCUUAAUAAAAGCUCAUUAAUAGUCAAAACAUUAAAAUUUAAAAAUAAGAUUAUUUUAGUCUCCAACUUAAAUAUAACAUUUGUUUGUAGACAUCUUUCUAAUAUCUUCACUUUUUUUCUCACAAUCUAUUAUCUUAAUUUCAAUUCUUUGGUUAACUUCUCUCUUUUAUUAUUUUUUAAUUUAAUUUUUUAAUAUUAAUGUUUUUAUUGGUUUUCUUUCAAUGUUAAUCAAUUUAAAAAGUUUUAUAUGGUAUCCCUCUAACAUAAUGGUAGUACCAAAUCAUUCCUAAAUUUGAGAACAUGAUUUAUAAUGCUAAAGCCUAAUAAUAAUUAUGGUGUCAUCUAAAGCCUAAACCAUUUGAUGAUCAAAUUGACAUCAUGUUAGUCUUAUUCAUUUAUUUAUUUUUCAAGUAGGCUUUUGAUUGCGCUUGAAAGGCUUGGAGGGUUGCCUUAAAAUUUUGUGUAAUUAGAGAUCAUAAUUGAGUAAAUUGCAAGUGAACUUGAUUUUCCUAACAAUCAAUAACCAACCAAACAAAAGUAGAUCGAUUGUUGCACAAUGAACAUACAAGUGAAAAAGUCGUGUUAUCUAAGGUUGAUUAUCCAAGAACAUUUUAACCAAUUAGACUCAUUUAAUACAUGAAGAGAUUUCUACUCUAAUGAUUAUCCUCAUAAGACAUUCUUGAAUAUAUUUGACUAAACUCAUAUGUUAAGCCAAACUCUGAACAUCCUAUCAAAUGAUAUUAUGAAUCCUUUAUUUACUAUUAGAUUUUAUUUAACGAAUUUCACGAUGUCAUAUUUUACCUUUGAAAACAAUAUUUCAUAAUUUAAGACAUGAUUAAAAAUUUACUCAAACAAUAUACAUAAAUUUAGCAAAUAACAAAACUUCCUUUAUCAUAUGUAUUUUAUAAUUUAUGAAAUGUGACUCACGCAAUACAAGAAGUCGAAUACUAAUAAAUUAAAACUUUUAUCAUUGUGCAAGACCACACACUUAACAAACAAUUUUAUUAGGGAUAUAACAAUGAACAAAACAAAAUGCAUAUGAAAAUUUAACAUGUGCUUGAAUAAAUAAAUUCUAUCAAAUGAAGGAAAUGAUUAAAGGAAACAUCAUUGACAAUUUCUCAAACAUCAUUAAUAAUUUCUCUUUCAAAGGCUGCAUUUGUACUUCAUCUCAAAUAGAGCAGAAAAUAAAGGAAAUCCAAUGUACCUAAAAAAAAUGAUAAGAACAAAAGAAAAUGAUAUCAUUUAAAUAUAAAUAACGUAAAAAUUAGCAAUAGUAUUUAUAAAAUAUAUUAUGAAGAACCAAAACAUAUUCUUAGUUAUGGUCCACCUCCAUCCUAUUAAUAUUUAAUAUUUUUUAAAAUUAAAAUUUCUUUAAUCUUGUUUUUCAAUUCCUUUAUAUUUGUUUAUUAUUCAUUUGUAUAUUAUUUGAAAACAAUUUUUUUUAUUAAUUUAAGAAAUUUAUUAUUACAUGUUAAUAGUAAACAUACAAAAUAUUAUUCUUUAUUUGAUAUUCAUCUUGAAAGGUAUACUUAUCAUAGAUUUAUAUUAUAUCAUUUGCAUACUAUACUAAUUUGAAUUAGCCAAGGUUUUUUUCAUUAUAAAAAGGUGUAUUAUUUAGUUAAAUUAGAUGAAAAUAAAGGAAGUUAAUUAUUAUGAAUGUAAAAGGAUAGAAUAUUUACAAUUUUUUUAAUCUAUUAAAAAUAAAUCCUAUAAUUUUUUUUAAUGAGGGUGAUUUGACUGUAUUUUGAAAGAAUGAUAGUUAAUCUCUUAUAUGAAAUAUAUUUAAAAUUAAAUUUUGAAUUAAUUUAAUAAUUUGUUAUUAAAAAUUGAUAUAAUCUUCAUACUUUUUUAUUUUUAUAGAAUAUUUCUAUCAAUAAUUUAAAUAAAAAAAUAGUAUAAGAAGAAAUAAAAAGUAUGGGAGAGAAAAAUAAAAAGUAUGGGAAAAAACUAACCUUCUCACAAAAGAGUAUUGCAUCUUCCGCAGGUCUUCCAUACUACAAUCAAUGAUAUGUAGUUCUUGAAGGUUUUGAAUAUUCAUGAGUGUCAUAAGAGAGGAAAUAUGUUUCAUCCUAUCAUUCCCAUCUUCAAUCCAUCUUAGCCUAGGCAAGUUCUUCAAUUUCAAGGUUUCUAACUUUGAGAGGAUCUCAACAUUUCCAUCAAUUUCUUGAAGAACAAUCACAUGCUCUAGGAGUUCACAAUCUUGCUCAUCUAUCUUUUUAAAAUUCUGGAAGUUGUGUAUCAAAAGAGCUGGGACAAGAUUGAGUAGACAUGGACAUUCCUACACCCUUAAGAUCCGUAGAUUGAAGAAAGAUUCAACUUGGGCACAUCAUAGAGUAUCAACUUCUCUAUCUUAGGGAAUGAAACCUAUAACAUGAUACAUGACAUCAUCAAUUGGAAAGUUAUAAUAAAUAUAAAUAUAUUUCUUAAAUAUAAUUCAUCAGCUUAAGAUUAUUCACAUGUUUACUUUAAUUAUAUUUAUAAAAAAAAUGAAAGGAUGAGGGAUUCUCAUGCGGAUGUCACAAAUUAUUUUUACUCAUAUAAAUAAUUUCUUAUUUUAAAUCAUAUACAUUCUUUUAUUUUUCUCUCAUUAAUAAAUUCUUGUGAAUGCCUUUUUUAAAUUUCCUUUUUCUUUUAAAAGAUUUUGAUGAUUUCACUCUUAAAUUUAUUUUGUAUAUAUUCCUAUUAACUUGACUUUUUUUUCUUAUUUAAAGUAAAAUUAUACUUAUAAUUUUUCGUUAUUUAAAUACUCAUUCCUAUUAAUAUUUAAUGUGUUUAAAAUUAAAAUUUCUUUUAACCUUAUUAGUUUUUCAACUCCUUCAUGUUUUAUAUAUUAUUUUUAUUUAUUAUUAUUAUUAAAAGUGAAAUGUUCAAAUAAUUUUAACAUGGUGGAGUUUGGAAAGUGCUUGUGGGCCUACCCUAGUUUUUCUUUUGACUUAUAUCAAUAUAAAGUGGUGCAAAAAAUAAUAAUAAUAAUAAUAAUAAUAAUAAUAAAACCAAUGAAAUUGGCUAAUAAGCUUUAACAUACCUUAUGACUGAAAAAUGAGUUUUCCGACCUUGCAUUUGUACUCAAAGAUGUGGAAGAUGUUGUUUCUAACUCGGAACUGAAGUUGAUGAGCUGUGGUAGUCCCUUGAGUAUCAAGGAUCGCAAUUUUGGGAAUAGUUGCAAGUUGGUCCCAGCAUGUCCAUCUUCUUUUAUUUCUGACUCCCUUUCAUAUGCGAUUAUUUGUUGCAUGGCUUUGCAGUAUUCUAUUGUCAUUUCUUCAAGUUGGGAAAGGCCUCUAGCCGUGGAGAGCAAAAGGAGAAAUUUCAAUUUAGGACAAAAAAGCACUUUUAGAGUUUUUAAGUUACCAAAAGACCCUAUUGGAAUUGGGCCAUGCCAUACUUCUUCCAAAUUUUUCAGAGACCUAAGAAUCAAUGACUCCAAUAGAGGAAAGGCACCAUGUUGCAGAAACCAUUGAUUCUUUGAAUCCAUGAUGUAUUGAAUCUCAGGACUAUAACCAACUUCGAGAUGCUUUAGUUCAAGGAAACUCUCCCUAUCUGAUGGGUGAAGAACAUAUUUAGUACCACUUAAUUUCAUGAACUUUAGUUCUUCACUUCUCUCCAACAACUUGCUCAUUCCAUCCCCCAAAUGUAAGCUUCUAUUGACUUUCUCGAGGUUCAAUGCUCUUUUGGUUCUCAACCUCCACCGAGUACCUAUAGAUAUCGCAUAUCUUGUCAAGUUCUCAAAUAGAAUGUCUUUUGGGAGCAACUUGGCAUCUGGUAUAUAUAUCUCUAAAGUUGUCAAAUGAGACAAAUGAUUUAGCUCGGAUAAGCAAGCAUUGCUUUCACCUUCAGUUACCCAUUGAGUAAAGCUAGAUUUCAUGUACAAACAUUCUAAUUGAGACAAACUUGAUAAGAUAUUUCGUGGAAUUACUUCAAGCUUCUCACAAUCAUUCAAAUCCAACAGCCUUAGAUUGGUCAAUCGCGACAUUUCAUUAGGCAAUUGUUGGAUUGUAGAACCCAUCAAGCUAAGAACUUCUAGUUUUGUUAGCUUUCCAAUUAGAGCAAUGUCUUCCAACUUGCACCCAUCUAGACGCAAUGUUUGGAGAUUUGUAAGGGAAUCAAGUGAUGAAGGUAGCGUUGUAAAAUGCGUUUUGGGCAAAUCUAAAACUUCGAGUUUUUUCAUCCCUUUGAAAAAUGUGUUCGGGAUAUUCAAGGAAGGAUUGUUGUUAUGCAAUUGGAAAAAUUGAAGGUCCGGACAUACCAACCCUUGAGGAAGCUCAUGCACAGCUUUGCAAUGCAAAGAGAUGAAAGCGCACCUUUUGGAUUCAUCAGUCUCUGACCAUUCUUCCAAUCCAACAUCUUCUCUGACUACAAAUGGAUGAGGAUCCUUGGAUGCAAUUGCUCUGGCAACUUCACGAACAACACUAUGCAUCCUCACAAACUUGUUAUCAGCAUCCAUGAAAAGCGAACUUGAAGCUCUUUCUUCAUCAAACUUGUUUCUAUCUUCAUGACUGUCAAGUAACAAGCCUGAGGCUUUGAGGAAAUCCACCAAUGCAAGUAGCCUAUUUCUUGCUUGCUCCAAUGAGUCGAUGCGAUCAAACAAAUCCAGACCCAUACCAUAUCGUAACAAGAGAUCCAAUGAAAUAUCACCAUAGUCCAGCAUCCCACAAAGUAAGAACAAUGACUUAACGUCAUCACCCUUCAAAUGGGUGUAGCUCCACUCCAGACAUGAGUAAACCUUCUUAUCCACUGCUCUAAUGUUUGUUGGUGCACAACUCCUAAGUUGUUCCAAGGCAUUCUUCCAUACAACCAUGGUCUCAUCUUUUAAUGCCUCGGCAAUUAUUACAAUUGCAAUUGGUAGACCCUCACAUUCUUCAACUACUUGAAUGGCUAUGCGUCGCAGUUCAAGAUUCUCCUCCAUGGAAUCACCUGCUGUCUUCUUAAACAAACUCCAAGCUUCUUCUAGUGGUAAAUAUUCCACUGGAAAACAAAUUUGUGCGCCCAAGCCUUUGCAUAAUAGGUCUCUAUCUCUCGAAGCCAACACUAUUUUGCAUUGCGUCCAAAUAUCAUCUUUAGAAGGAAUUCCGACUUGCUCCAAAUCAACUUCCGUCCAAAUAUCAUCUAAGAUAAUAAGGAUCUUCUCUUCCUUCAGUAACUGCUUCAGUUCAUCCGCAUUGCGCUUCCAAGGUGGUAGGCCCAACGCUUCUGCAAUUUUUUGUCGAAGUGUUUCCAAGCCUGAAAUGGAGGAUAAAUCCACAUAGGCUUGUCUGGUGAACAACCGUUGUUGCUUAGCUUGUUGAGCCACUUGUUUCAGCAGUGUUGUUUUGCCCACACCGGCCAUGCCCCAUACUCCAAUCAAGUUGAUAUUGUGGUCUCUUAAGGCAUCCAUAAUAUCGUUCAGAGUGGAGGCUCUUGAUUCAAGGAAUGAAGCCUGUAGCAAAAACACAAGAUAAGGCAUCAAUUGGAAAGUUGUGAUGAUAGGAGGCAUAAACAUAUUUCUUAAAUAUAAUUCAAUUCAAUUCUGAAAUAGUCUCUCGCAUGUUCACUUCUAAUACAUUAUAAAAUUUUCAUUAGUGAAAGAAAAAGUAAUUAUCAUUAUAAACAUUUUCCCAAAAAAUCAAAUAACUAUUAUAAUAUUAAUAUCCUUUAUGAAAUACAAUUCAAAUGGGUUUCUUAACAAACAGUAAAUAAAGUAUGAAUAAUGAAAAAAAUUAAUAAAAAAAAAAUACAAAAUCACAAAGCUUUCAUGAUCAAUACAAAGAAAAAACUUUUAACUUUUCUUUUUAAAAAAUGUUACUUUUAUUUUGAUAUUAACAAAAAAAUAACACAUAAUUUUCUUUUAAAAAAAAGAGUAAAAGAGAAAAACUAUUCAUAUUAAAAAGGAUGUAUAUGUAAAAAAUAAUAUUCAAGAUUGUAUUUUUAUAUUUUAAAAAAUAAAUUUUAUUAUUUUAAAAGAAUAAUAAUUACUCUCCUUAUAAGGAAUAAAGUAUGAGUUACUCUUUUUAUUUUUAAAAAUAAAAAAUUACAAAAAAAUUCUUUUUGAAGGUUUUGUAAAAUAGAUGUUAACAACAAAACAACACAUUUUUUUUUUUCCAAAGAAAAAGAGUAAAAGAGGAAAAAAAAAAGUCCAAAUUAAAAAAAUGUACAUGUAGUAUUUCCACAUACUAUAUAUAUAUAUAGCUAUUUAUUAAUUUUAUAAUAUAUUUUCCACGUCUCCAUGCUCUCCUCUACUAUUCUCUAUAUGUAUUUUGCCAUUGAAUUUUUAAUUUUUUAAGAGGGAAAAUAUAUUCUGUUACUUCAUUUUGAAGAAUUGUUUUGUCUUUAAUGGAUUAUAUCCAUCAAUUGGAAAUUUGGGAUAGAACAUUUUGGGGAACUCCGGUAAAUCAAGCAUUAAAAAUCGCCUAAACAUAGAGAAUUUAUUGGGCCCCUCAUAAUACCCUUAUGUUCUUUUAUUAUUAUUUUCCGUUAAAACUAACAGAAAAGAGGGAUGACUAAAACAAGGUCAGGCAAACAGGCCAACUACAGUGCCAGCAAAGCAGUAGAAAAUGGAAAUAGGAUAUAUAGUUUUGGGAAGAGGUGACAUCUAGACAACUACUUGCUUUUUGUUUCAUACACACAUUUCAUAUAUUAAAAUUACCCAAUAUUUCCGAGUGAAAAUCUCUAGACUUGAUUUAUAACAAAAAAAAAAAUUUCAAAAUUAUUUUGACAUAACUGGGAUUAAAUAUUUGAUUUUUUUUUUUUUUCUAAGAAGUCGAAUAAUUUAAAUGGGGUUUCAUACAAAAAAUUAAAUAAAGUAUAAAUAAUUAAAAAUUAAUCAAAACAUGCAAAAUAAAAUAUAAAAUUACAAAACUUACAUAAUUGAUACAAAGAAAAAGUUCAUAACUUUGUUUUUAAAAAAAUAUUACAUUUAUUUUGAUGUUAACAACAAAAUAACACAUAAUAUUUAAAAAAAAAACAAGAGUAAAAGGAGAAAUGAGGUUCAAAUUAAAAAGGACGUAUAUAUAUAAUUUAUAUGCAAUAAAUAAUAUCUAGGAUUGUAUUUUUAUAUUUUUUAAAUGUUAAAAUAAAGAUAAUAAAGGUAAUUUGGUUGUUAUUUUAAAAGAAUGGUAGUUUAAUAUUUUAAGAAUGUCGUGUAUAACGGAAAAAAGAAAAAGAGAGAGACAACUAACCUUUUCAUUGAAGAGCACUUCAUCAUUAGUAGAAGUAUUGACACCUCUCAUGUCUUUCAUCCCACAAUCAAUGAUACGCAACUCUUUGAUAUUGUGAAAAUUCUUGAACAUUGAAGAAGACAAAAUUAAUUGAGGUAGUUUCUCAACCUUUAGGAAUUUUAACUUUGGGAGGAUCCCAAAAUCUAUCUCCUCCAAUUUUGGAAGACUUUUUAGAACUAUCUCCUCCAAAUUAGGAGAAAGUGAAACCUACAUAAAAAACACAAUAUAAUACAUGACAUCAUCAAUUGUAAAAUUAUAAUAAAUAUAAAAAUAUUGGGUCAAUAUUGGAAAAUAUAUUAUUUUACCUCAUUUUGAAGAAUUGUUCUAUCUUUAUUGAAUUAUAUCCAUCAAUUGGAGAAUUAUGAUAGAAUAUUUUGGGGAAACUCCAGUAAAUCAAGGAUUAAAAAUCACCUUAACAUAGAAAAUUUAUUGUGCCAGCAUAAUACCCUUAUAUUUUUUUUAUUAUUUUUUUCUAUUAAAAAUAACAGAAAAGAGGGACGACCAGAACAAGGUUAGGGUGAGAGGCCAAGUGCAGUGCCAACAUGGAAAUAGGGUAUUUACUAUUUAGUUUUGGGAAGAGGUGACAUCUAAGACAACUGGUUCCUUUCUGUUUCAUCUAGCAUAUGCACAUUACAUAUAUUAAAACUACCCAAUAUUUUCGGGUGAAAAUCUCUCGACUUGAUUUAUAAAAAAAAAAAUUUUCAAAAUUAUUUUUACGUAACUAGCUUUAAAAUAUUUGAAAUUUUUUUAUUAUUUUCUUUUAUUUUUAAAUAUAAAAGGAUUAAAAUUUAGUUUAUUUAACAUAAAAGGAUUGGUGAUUAAAACUAAUAUUUCUAAUAUCUUAUUUGAUGACAAUUUUUUUAUUUUAUAAAAAUUAAAAUACUAUUUAAGCAAAAAAAUUAUUUUGUAAAAUUAAAAUAACAUAUAAAUAAAUAAAUUAUCAAUAAUUACUUAACUUAUUAAUAUUAUUGACAAAACCUUUAUCUAAUAAAUGCAUAUAAGAAGAUUGAAUUAAACAUAACAGAGCAUGAUAAAUUUAAAUAAAAAAAUGUCAAAUCAUUUUAUUUUGAAAAUUUUUAUUAUUGUAAGAAGGUAGGAGAUGUACUUAAAAUAAAACAAAAUUUAAAUUUUAGAGCACAAUAAAAAAAAACAUAUAUUUUUUUUGGUUUUUUCAUUUGUUAGAUAUAAAGUAAUUUUUAUUGUAAACAAUUUUCCAAAAAAUCAAACAACUUGAGAAGACUUUCUAGAGCCAACUCUUCCAAAUUAGGAGAGAAUGAAAUCUAUAUGAGAAACACAAAAUACAAUACAUGGCAUCAUCAAUUGUAAAAGUAUAGUAAACAUAAAAAUAUUGGGUUAAUAUAAUUCAUUAACUCUCAAAUCAUAUACAAACUUUAAUAAUUUUCUUUUAAAAUUUAUUUUUCCUAUUAAAAAUUUCAAUAAUUUCAGUUUUAAAUCCAUUGCUAUAUUUAUUUCUAUUAACACUUAACCUUUUUUUUUUAUUUAAAUUAGAAUGAAAUUUACAAUGUUUCCUUUUUGUUAUGUUUUAUAUAUUAAUAUUUAAUGUUUUUAAAAUUAAAAAUUCCCUUUUUAACUUUAUUCUUGUUUUCAACUCCUUUAUAUUUUAUUUUUUAUUCACUAAUUCUUUUUUUUUUUGAAACUAAAUAAUAAAAUUAUUAACUUUGAUGGUUAUUUUAAGUCAAGAUUAAUUAGUCUUCUUAUAUGAAAUAAAAUAUGUUUUGCUAUUUUUUAUUUUUAUCUAACAUCUUAACCCAAUUUUUCCAAAAGUUAUUAAUUUUAACUCUUCUAAAAUUUAAAUAAAAUAUUAUUAUUUGAAUUAAAUUUUUACUAGUUCUCUUUUCUAAUUCAUUGCAAUAUUUCUUUCAAUUAGUAACUAUUUUUUUUCCUUUCUAAAUUAAAAUAAUAACUACCAUUUUUCCUUAUUUUUAUAUUAUUUCUAUUAACAUUUAUCCUUUUUAAAUUAAUUUUUCACUUUAAAAUUUUGUUUUUUUUCAACUCAUUUGUAAUUUACUUAUUAUUCACAAUUUUUAUUAUUUAAAAUUAAAUUAAUAAAAUUAUUGUUCAAGAUUAAUGUAUUCUUCUCAUACUUUCUUUUUAAAAAUAUUUUUAUAAUAUAUCUCCCUAAAUAUUUCAAGUAGUAUAAGAAAAAACAAAAAAUAUGGGAAAAAACUAACCUUAGACAAAAGACAUCCAUGUAGUUCCUCUAACUUCAAGAUUUUUAACUCGGGGAGGAUCCCAACAUCCAUCUCUAUCAAAUUGGGAAGGUUUUUUAGAACCAACUCCUCUAAAUUAGGAGAGAAUGAAACCUACAUGAAAAACACAAUAUAUGAUACAUGAUAUCAUCAAUUGUAAAAAUGUGAUAAACUCAAAAAUAAUAGAUCAAUAUAAUUCAUUUACUCUCAAAUCAUAUGCAAAUUUUAAUAAUUUCCUUUUCAAAUUUAUUUUUUCUAUUAAAAAUUUCAAUAAUUUCACUUUUAAAUUUAUUGUUAUAUUUAUUUCUUCUAACAAUUUAACUUUUUUUAUUUAAAUUAAAAUGAAAUUUACUAUGUUUCCUUUUUAUUAUGUUUUUUUAUAUUAAUACUUAAUGUUUUUAAAAUUAAAAAUUCCUCUUUUAACUUUAUUCUUGUUUUCAAUUCCUUUAUUUUUUUUAUUUAUGAUCCAUUAGUUAUUCUUUUUACAAUAUAAUGGAGUAAGCGCAUUGAAUUUUUAAUUUUUUUGAAAGAGAAAAUAUAUUCUUUUAGCUCAUUUUGAAGAAUGGUUUCAUCUUUAACGAAUUAUAUCCAUCGAUAGAAUAUUUAGGGGAAACUCUAGUAAAUCAAGGAUUACAAAUCGCCUAAACAUAGAGAAGUUAUUGGGCCUGCCUAAUACCCUUAAUUUUUUUUAUAUAUAUUAUUUUCUGUUAAAACUAACAGAAAAAAGGAAUGACUAGGACAAGAUCAGGCGAGAGGCCCAAAAAAUCAAACAAUUGUUAUAAAAUUAAUAUCUUUCAAUAAAUAUAAUUUAAAUGGGGUUUAUACAAAACAUUAAAUAAAGUAUAAAUAUUUAAAAAAUUAAUCAAAACAGACAAAACAAAAUAUAAAAUUACAAAACUUACAUCAUUGAUACAAAGAAAAAGUUUAGAACUUUGUCUUUUGAAAAAUAUUACGUUUAUUUUGAUGUUAGCAACAAAAUAACACAAGUUUUUCAAAAAAAAUAAAAAGAAAAACAAGAGUAAAGGAGAAAUGACAUCCAAAUUAAAAAGGAUGUAUAUAUAUAUAAUUUCUAUGUAAUAAACAAUACCUAGGAUUGUAUUUUUAUUUUUUUUAAAUGUUAAAAUAAGGAUAAUAAAGAUAAUUUGAAUGUUAUUUUAAAAGAAUGGUAGUUUAAGAUUUAACCUUUUCAUUGGAGAACACUACAUCAUUACUAGGAGUAUUGACAUCUUCCCCGUCUUCCAUCCCACAAUCAAUGAUAUGUAGCUUUUGGAGAUUGUGAAAAUUCUUGAACAUGGAAGCAACCGUAAGUCUUAGCCUGGGUAGUUUCUCUAACUUCAGAAUUUUUAACUUUAAGAAGAUCCCAAUAUCCAUCUCCUUCAACUUGGAAAGUCUUUCUAAAACCAACUCCUCCAAAUUAGGAGAGAAUGAAACCUACAUGAGAAACACAAUAUAUAAUACAUGAUAUCAUCAAUUGUAAAAAUAUGAUAAACACAAAAAUAAUAGGUCAAUAUAAUUCAUUCACUCUAAAUCAUAUGAAAAUUUUAAUAAUUUCCUUUUCAAAUUUAUUUUUUCUAUUAAAAAUUUCAAUAAUUUCACUUUUAAAUUCAUUGUUAUAUUUAUUUCUACUAACAAUUUAACUUUUUUUUUAUAUUAUUUAAAUUAGAAUGAAAUUUACUAUGUUUUCCUUUUUAUUAUGUUUUUUUAUAUUAAUACUUAAUGUUUUUAAAAUUAAAAAUUCCUUUUUUAACUUUAUUCUUGUUUCAAGUCCUUUAUAUUUUAUUUUAGAUCCACUAGUUAUGUUUCUAUUUUUUGAAACUAAAUAAUAAAAUUAUUAACUUUGAUGGUUAUUUUAAAAUCAAGAUUAAUUAGUCUCCUUAUAUGAAAUAAAAUAUGUUUUAAUUAGUCUCCUUGUAUCAAAUAAAAUAUAUUUUACUCUUUUGAUUUUCAAAAGUAAAAAGUUAGUCAUAAAUUUGAAAAUAUUUUAAUCAUCUAACAUCUUACCCCAAUUUUCCCAAAUCUUAUUAAUUUUAACUAUUCUAAAAUUUAAAUAAAAUAUUAUUAUCUGAAUUAAAUUUUCACUAAUUCUCCUUUCUAAUUCAUUGCAAUAUUUCUUUCAAUUAGUACCUAAUUUUUAUCCUUUCUAAAUUAAAAUAAUAACUACCAUUUUUCCUUAUUUCCAUAUUAUUUCUAUUAACAUUUAUCCUUUUUAAAUUAAUUUUUCAUUUUUCAUUUUAUUUUUUUCAACUCAUUUGUAAUUUACUUUUUAUUCCCAAUUUUUAUUAUUUAAAAUUAAAUUUUAAAUUAAUUUAAUAAAAUUAUUAUUAAAGAUCAAUGUACUCUUUUUCAUAUUUUUAAAAAAAAUUAUUUUUAUCAUAUAUCUCCCUAAAUAUUUCAAGUAGUAUAAGGAAAAAUAAAAAGAAAUCAGAAAAAACUAACNNNNNNNNNNNNNNNNNNNNNNNNNNNNNNNNNNNNNNNNNNNNNNNNNNNNNNNNNNNNNNNNNNNNNNNNNNNNNNNNNNNNNNNNNNNNNNNNNNNNNNNNNNNNNNAAAAAUAAAUGAUAAAAUUAUUAUUAAUGAUUAAUGUAAAUAUAAAGUUAAUAAUAUUAUCAACUCUCACCAUUAUUUUAAAAUGAAGAUUAAUUAGUUUCCUUAUAUAAAAUAAAAUAUAUUCUACGGUUUUUUAUUUUUCAAAAGUAAAAAAUUAGUCAUAAAAUUUAAAAUAUUUUAAUCAUCUAACAUCUUACCCUAUUUUUUCCAAAUAUAAUUCAUUUUAAAUAUUCUAAUAUUUAAAUAAAAUAUUAUUAUUUGAAUAAAAUUUUCACUAAUUCUCAUUUCCAAUUCAUUGCAACUUUUAUUCCAAUUACACCUAAUUUUUUCCUUUCUAAAUUAAAAUAAUACCAACCAUUUUUUUCUUAUUCUUAUAUUAUUUAUAUUAACAUUUACUAUUAAAAUUAAAAUUUCACUUUAAAUUUUUUUUUUUUCGGCUCCUUUAUAAUUCACUUACUAUUCACCAUUUUUAUUAAAAUUAAUUUAAUGAUAAACUAAAAUUGAUUUAAUUUAAUUAUAAUUUUGUGAUAAAAAAAUAUAGAGAAUUAGUUGUUGAAGAAACCAAAUAAAAUAAAUUUCUCCCUUUUUUCAUUUCAUUAUAAUAAAUAAUUGUAAAGAAAAAAAUAUUAAAAAAUGAAGAUCCAUUUUUUAAUUUUAUUUUCAUUAUUUUCCCUCCAAAAUAUUAUUUUCAAUUUCCUUAUAAAGCUUUUAAAACAUAUAACUACCAAUUUUUUCCUAAAAGCCUCACCUUAAUUUAGGCCCUCACGGAAAUAUACACAUAAUUUAUAUCCAACAUAUGAAUGAGAAAGCAAACAUGUAAAUUGUGGAGAAAUGACUCAAACCUAUGACCUCCUACCAAACUAAGUUUUGAUACCAAGUUGAACUACUAAUUAGAUGUUUUUUGAAUAAAUUAAAAAGAAAAACCUUUUUAACAUACUAAAAUUACCCAUAAUGGAAAUAUCUUAUGGAUGAAAUUUACAAUUUAAUUAAAAAAAUUCAAAUUUAUGUUUUCAAUAAUAAAAAAAUAAAAAAAAUCUUAAAUUUUGAAAAAAAAAAUUGUAAAAUUAAUAAAAACAAACAAAUCAUCAAAGAACUAAGUAAUUUUAUCCUUGCAUAGGAGAAAAAGAUUAUUUAAAAAAGAAUUUUAAAAUAUCAUUAAAAAAUAUUAUAACCUAAAAAAAAAAAAAAAAUUGGGUAAUAGGGUUGGUCAAAGGCCUAGCCUUUCCCUCAUCUUCCUUCUUAUCUAGAUCUUCAAUUAUAAUAUACCUACAAAACACUUACCCCUUAUUUUUAAUCUAAAAGAGCUUCAGAUUUUCUCUAUAUAUUUUUUUCACUUAUAAUCUUAUUUUCAAUGACAUUCUUCAUUUUAAUAUAAACAAAAAUAAAACUUUAACAAAUUUUUUCUUACUCAUCUUUCCAAUUGAGAUAAUCAACCAAAAAUAUGUCCCAACAAUGUAUUAAAAAAAUUAUAAUGAGUAUUCAAAGUUUAUAACAUUCUCUUCAAUGGAGGUUGUCUAUUGUUAUCAUAAAUGUUAGACCUCCUUUUUCUUUUCUUCAAGAACUUAUGGGAGUUUUCAAAAUAUGAAAUUUCAUUCUUAAAAAAAUAGAAGAUAUUUUUAUUAAGAGUAAUUCUAACAUUUAAAAAAAUGGGAGAGCAUUUUUAUAUAUAUAAUUAAUUUAGAGAGAAUUUUAAUUUGAUAAGUUGUAAAAUAAUCCGUUCAUGCUCUUCUAGACAUAAUUUGCCCUUCUGUUAGAGAUAUCAUUUAUUAUUUUUAUAUUAUUUGAAAUUAAAUUUUAAUGUAAUUUAAGAAAUUUAUUAUUAAAUCUUAAUACUAAAUAUAUAAAAUAUUAUUCUUUUUUAGCAUUCAUCUUAAAAGUUAUAUUUAUUAUAAACUUAUGCUAUAUCACUUAAAAACCAUACUAAUUUGAUCAUAAAUAUCUAUAUCAUUCACAAACCACACUAAUUUAAUCAUAACAUUAAUUCGAUCAUAUAUAGUAUUAUGUAUUAUUUAUAAUUUUAUCAUUCUUUAAAGUUAUAUCCUAAAUUUUCAUAUUUUAAUUUUUUUUACCAAUAUUUUCAUUAAUAUGAAUAUUUUAAUCAAUAUUUCAAGUUUUUUUUCUUUAUAAAAAAGGUGUACUAUUUAGUUCAAUUACAUAAAAAAAAGGUUAAUUAUUAAGAGAAAGAGAUAGAAAUAAAUAAAUAAACAAAAUGGAGAUUCAUUUUUGUCUUCAUUUUGCAUCUAAAAAUAAUUAAAUUCAAUUUUCNAUAUUAUAGAUAUUCUCAUACUAAAUUACUUUUAUUUAUAUCUAAUCAUAUAUUACUCUAUAUUAAAUCAUAUACACUUCUGAGUUAUUUCUUAUAAAUAAAUUCUACUAAAUACUUUAUAAAAUUUAUUUUUUCAAUUAAAAAUUCCUCUAAUUUUCCUUUGCAAUUCCUUGCAAUAUUUAUUCCAACUAGCACCAAUUUUUUCCUUUUAAAUUAAAUAAUACUUACCAUGUUUCCUUAUUUUAUAUUAUUUCUAUUCAUAUUUAUUGCUUUUAAAAUUCACAUUUUGGUAUUAUGUUUAUUCUUUUUUCAACUCUUUUAUAAUUUAAUUAUUAUUCACCAUAUUUUAUUAUCUAAAAUUAAAUUUUAAAUUAAUUUGAUAAAUCUAUUAUUAAAGAUUAAUAUAAUGUUCUCAUAAUUUUUUAUUAUUUUAAUGGAAUAUCUUUUUCAAUAUUUCCCAAAAUAGUAUAAGGAAAAAUAAAAAAAUAUGAGAGAAAACGAACCUUUCCAUCAAAGAGCACUACAUCUUCCUUAGGAGUACUGAUAUGUUCCUCAUCUUCAACUUUGUACCCACAAUAUUUGAUGUAUAGGAAUUUAAGGUUCUGAAAAGCCGUGGAAGAAAAGAAAAGACACCUCACGCUAUCAUUUUUGUCCUCAUCCUCAUUGCAUACGACACGCCUCAACUUAGGUAGUUCAUUUAACUUUAAGGAUUCUAACCUUGGGAGAAUCCUAAUAUUUCCAUCAAGUCCUUGAAGAUCAAACACAUGUUUUAGGACUUCACAAUUAUCCACCUCUAAUUUUUUCAAAUUGUCGAAUCUCUGUAUCAAAUGAGAUGGAAUAAGAUUGAGUAGGCUUGGACAAUUGUAUACUUCUAGGAUUUGCAAAUUGUAAAAGGACUCAGGUGGAUGUUGGUGAUGCCAUAUCUCCCUCAAUUUGGGAAGAUAAUGAAGUAUCAACUUCUCCAAAUUAGGGAAUGAAACCUGAAAUAUAAUACAUGACAUCAUCAAUUAGAAAGUUGUGAUUAACAUGAAUAUGUUCCUUUCUUUAAAUAUAAUUCACCAUCUUCCAAAUAUUCACAUAUUCACUUGAGUUAUGUUUUAUGUUUUAAAAAUCUAAAACAAUCAAGGAGGACUAAAAAAAAUCAUGUGAAAAUCUUGGAAAAUUUCACAAAAAAUUAACUAGUUAUCAAUGGAGAAUAUAUUGGCUCCACUUCCCACAUAAUAUUAGUUAUUUAGUGACGUGUUUUUCGUUAUCUUUUUGUUAAAAGAACAUAGGGAUGACUACAAUGGUGGCGAAGGUGUACUAUUUAUAAAAAGGGUAUUUAUGAUAUACUAGUUGAUGAAAUAUGAAUAUUUUCAUCAAUUUUUCAAUUUUUUUUUCUUUAUAAAAAAGGUGUACUAUUUAGUUCAAUUACAUAAAAAAAAAUGUUAAUUAUUAAGAGAAAGAGAUAGAAAUAAAAUAAAUAAAUAAACAAAGUGGAGAUUCAUUUUUGUCUUCAUUUUGCAUCUAGAAAUAAUUAAAUCCAAUUUUCCCUUGAUUAAUUUUUUCUUAUCAAGCCUUUUCAAUUUAUUUAUAAAACUUAUAAAAUACUAACAAUUAAUAAUAUUUCAAGGUUUUUAUUUUACUAAAUUCUCCUUCUCAUCUUUAUGUUAUCUCCAUUUAACAAAAUUUUUAUAAAAAGUAUUUUCAGAAAAUCGGAAUCAAAAUAUUUGAAAAACAUGAUUACUUUUUUAUUUAUUAAAUUUAAAAAUAUUAAAAUCUUUUUUAUUUAAUGCAAAAAGACUUUUAUUAAAACUUAUAUUUACGGUGUUUUAUUUCAUAGUAAUUUUUUAUUUUAUAAAAAGUAAAAUACAUUUAUAUAAAUAUAUAAAUUAUCAAUUAUUAGUUGGCCUAUACAUAUAUGUAUAUAUAUAUAUACUCAUUAGUUAAAUAAAAAAUCAUUUUCUUUCUAAACAAUUUCCCUAAAAAUCAAGCAACUAGUACAUCAUAAAUACCUUUUAAGAAAUAUAAUUUAACUAAGGUUUUAGAAGUAAAUAAAUAAAAUACAAAAAAUUCAAAGUAAAUAUAAAAUUACAAAAUGUAUACCAUGAGUAAAAAGUUCUUGGAUUUGCUUUUUAAAAUUAGAGAAAUUACAUUAAUUUUAACCUAAAACUAAAAUAACACAUAAAUUAAAGAAAAGUAAAGGAGAAAGGACAUCUAAAUAAAUAAAAAAUAUAGGUACAUGCCUAUAUAACAAUAUUCACAAUUGUUUUAUUUUUAUUUUUUAAAAUUUUAUGAAAGAAGGGUAAUUAGUUUCCUUAUAUGAAGUAAAUUAUGUUCCACUAUUUUUAUUUUUCAACCAUAAAAAUUAAUAAUAAUUUUUCAAAUAUAUUAACCAUCUUACACAUUACCCAAGUUUUUUGAAAUAUUAUUUAUUUUAAAUAUUCUUAAAUUUAGAUAAAAUAUUAGGAGUCUAUAUUAUAGAUAUUCUCAUACUAAAUUACUUUUAUUUAUAUCUAAUUAUUUAUUACUCUAUAUUAAAUCAUACACACUUCUUAAUUAUUUCUUAUAAAUAAAUUCUACUAAAUACUUUAUAAAAUUUAUUUUUUUAAUUAAAAAUUCCUCUAAUUUUCAUUUGCAAUUCCUUGCAAUAUUUAUUCCAACUAGCCCCAAUUUUUUUCUUUUAAAUUAAAUAAUACUUACCAUGUUUCCUUAUUUUAUAUUAUUUCUAGUCAUAUUUAUUGCUUUUAAAAUUCACAUUUUGGUAUUAUGUUUAUUCUUUUUUCAACUCCUUUAUAAUUUAAUUAUUAUUCACCAUAUUUUAUUAUCUAAAAUUAAAUUUUAAAUUAAUUUGAUAAAUCUAUUAUUAAAGAUUAAUAUAAUGUUCUCAUAAUUUUUUAUUAUUUUAAUGGAAUAUCUUUUUCAAUAUUUCCCAAAAUAGUAUAAGGAAAAAUAAAAAAAUAUGGGAGAAAAUUAACCUUUCCAUCGAAGAGCACUACAUCUUCCAUAGGAGUAUUGAUAUGUCCCUCAUCUUCAACUUGGUUCCCACAAUUUGUGAUGGAUAGGAAUUUAAGGUUGUGAAAAGCCGUGGAAGAAGAGAAACGACACCUCACGCUAUCAUUCUUGUCAUCAUCCUCAUUGCAUACAACACGCCUCAACUUAGGUAGUGCCUCUAACCGUAAUGAUUCUAACCUUGGGAGAAUCCUAAUAUUUCCAUCAAGUCCUUGAAAAUCAAACACAUGUUUUAGGACUUCACAGUUAUCCACGACCAUCUCUUUCAAAUUGUCCAAACUCUGUAUCAAAUGAGAUGGAAUAAGAUUGAGUAGGCCUGGACAAUUGUAUACUUUUAGGAUUUGCAAAUUGUGGAAGGACACGAGUGGAAGUUGGUGAUGCCAUAUCUCCCUCAAUUUGGGAAGAUCAUGAAGUAUCAACUUCUCCAAAUUAGGGAAUGAAACCUGAAAUAUAAUACAUGACAUCAUCAAUUAGAAAGUUGUGAUUAACAUGAAUAUGUUACUUUCUUUAAAUAUAAUUCAUCAUCUUACAAAUAUUCACAUAUUCACUUUAGUUAUGUUUUAUGUUUUAAAAAUCUAAAACAAUCAAGGAGGACUAAAAAAAAUCAUGUGAAAAUCUUGGAAAAUUUCACAAAAAAUUGAUAAGUUAUCAAUGGAGAAUAUAUUGGCUCCACUUCCCACAUAAUAUUAGCUACUUAAUGGUGUGUUUUUCGUUAUCUUUUUGUUAAAAGAACAUAGGGAUGACUACAAUGGUGGCGAAAGUGCAACCAUGGAUUACAUAGAUUCUUAUACAACAAAUUAUUUUUAUUCAUAGCCAUCAUUUAUUAUUUUAAAUCAUAUGAACUCUUUAAUUUUUUUUUCCUAUUAAUAAAUUCUAAUGAUUUCAUUUUUUAAAUUUGGCCUUUUCUUUUAAAAAAUUGUAUUUCACUCUUAAAUUUAUUCCGGUAUGUUUUCCUAUUAACCUCAAGUUUUCCUUAUUAAUUUUUUUUCCUUAGUUUUAUAUUCAUUCCUAUUAGUAUUUAAUUAAUGUCUUUUAAAAUUAAAAUUCCUUUAACCUUAUUCAUUUUUCUACUCCUUUAUAUUUUUUUAUUAUUCAUUAUUUUUAUAUUAUUUGAAAUUAAAGUUUCAAAUCAUUUAAUAAAUUUAUUAUUAAAGACUAAUACUAAGUAUACAAAAUAUUAUUCCUUUUUUAGUAUUCAUCUUGAAAAUUAUACUUAUCAUAAACUUCUGUUAUAUCACUCACAAAUUAUGUUAAUUUAAUCAUACAUAUCUAUAUUAUUCUCAAAUUACACUAAUUCAAUUAUAAUAUUAAUGCAAUCAUAUGAUAUUUAUAUAUUAUUUAAAAUUUUAUAAUUUUCAAAGUUUUAUUCAUGUUUAACAAUAUUUCCAUAUUAAGAUUUUCAUCAAUAUUUGAUAAAAUGGAAUCACCAAAGCUUUUUGGUUAGAUAAAAAUAAAGUUAAUUAUUAAUGGAUUUUAUUACGUUAUAUUAAUUAUUAAAAAUAAGGGAACUAUUUAACAAAUUUCAAACCAAUGAGAAUUAGAUGUAUUUAGCCAAUAAUUUAGAAGAUGCAAGUGAAAUUAACCCUAAAUUUUAUAAAAAUAAAACAAUUAUUUUUUUCUCUUUUUCUUUCCUUUUUUUUAAUUUAUAUGUUAUUUUAUUGUUACCAUCAAAAUUAAAUUUGAGAACUUUUUAUUGAUAGUUUUUUCUUUGCAUUCAUGAUUUAUUUAUUUCAUAUUUCUUAAAAAGUAUUUAUUUUAUAAUGGUUGUUUGAAUUUUGGGAAAUUAUUUAGAAAUUAUUAUUAUCGUCGUCAUCAUCAUCAUCAUCAUCAUCAUUCACUUUAUUAUUUAUAAUAUUAAUAUUAAUAUUAAAAUAUUGAUAUAAAUAUUUUUUGUUUUCAAUAAUAAUAAUAAAAAUAUAAUACAAUAAUUAUAUUAUUAAAGGUGAUAAUUAAUAUUAAUACAAUUAUUGAUAACAUUUUACUAAUAAUAAUAAUAAUAAAUAAAUAAAAUAAAAUAUGUUAUUAAAAAUAAAUAAUAAUAGUAAUAUUAAAAAUAUAGAAAAUGAGGAAAGGAAAAAAUAAAGAAAAAGACAAACUAAUGGUAUUUUUGCCUUUUUACUCUUUAUGGAAUUUUUAACAAUUUACAAUUAUUUUCAUCUUCCUUCUCAAUUAUAUCACUUUCUCCGUCUUAAAGCUUAAUUAUCCUAAAUCAAUUUUUUAGAAGGAAAGUGAAGAUAAAAAUGAAUCACCAUUUUAUUUAUUUAUUUAUUUAAGUUUUCUUAAAUAGACAUACAUUUUCAUUUAUAAUCUUAUUUCAAUGACAUUUUUCAUUUUUAUACAAACAAAAAUUAAACUUUUAUAACCAAAUAUUUCUCCCAACAAUGUAUUAAAAAUUAUAAAAGAACUUAUGGAAGUCUUCAAAAUAUAAAAUUUUCAUUCUUAAAAAAAUAGAAAUAUUUUUAAGGCUAAUUUUGACAUUAAAAAAAAAAAGGAGAAAGUCUCUUUAUAUAUAUAUAUAUAUAUAUAUAUAUAUAUAUAUAUAUAUAUAUAUAUAUAUAUAUUAAUUUAGAGAGAAUUUUAUUUUGGUAAGUUUAUAAAAUUAAUUUAAAAAUAAAAAACACAAAUAGUAAUCCUUCCAUGCUUUUCUAAACAUAAUUUCCUCGGGAAUAUCAUUCAUUAUUUUUAUAUUAUUUCAAAUUAAAUUUUAAAAUAAUUUAAUAAAUCUGUUAUUAAAUAUUAAUACCAAAUAUACAAAAUAUUAUUCUUUUUAUAGUAUUCUUCUUGAAAGCCAUGCUUAUCAUUACUUAUGCUAUAUCAUUUACAAACCAUACUAAUUUGAUUUGAUCAUAUAUAUCUAUAUUAUUGACAAACCACACUAAUUUAAUCAUAACAUUAAUUCAAUCAUAAGUAUCCUUAUAUAUUAUUUAUUAUUUUAUCUGUUUUAUCUAAAAUUCUCAUAUUUUUGUGUAUUUUUACCAAUAAUUUCAUAAAUAUGGAUAUUUUCAUCAAUAUUUUAAUAAAAGAGAAUCACUAAGCUUUUUAUCUUUGUAAAAAAAUUGUACUAUUUAGUUCAAUUAGAUUUAAAAAAAAUAAAGUUAAUUAUUAAGGAAAAGAGAUAGAAUAUUUCUUAUUAUGUUAUAAUAAAUAAUUGUAAAAAACAAAAUCAAAUAAAUAAACAAAAUGAAGAUUCAUUUUUGUCUUUAUUUUCCUAUCUUUCCUUAUUAAUCCUUUCAAUUUAUUUAUAAAACUUAUAAAAUAUUACUACAAUUUUAAGAUUUUUUUAAUUCAAACUAGACUUUUUCCAAAUUUCAAGUGCAUCUUCAAAUAAAAUAAUUUACUAAAUUCUCUUCUCAUCCUUAUGUUAUCUCCAUUUAACAAACUUAUAAGGUGCAAUUAGAAAGUGCAUGUGGACCUUACCCAAUUUUUCUUUUGAUAUAUUUAUUAAAAAAAAGUAAUAUGAAAAAAAAAAAAACUAUGGAAAUUAGCUAUUAAUUAAACUUAAACAUACCUGAUAACUGAAAAAUGGCAUGUGGAUAUCAGGAUUGCCUUGGGAACACAUUCCUUGCGAUGCCGUUUCCAAAUUAGAGCCGAAGUAGUCAAAAUUCAUGAGCUCUGGUAGAUCCCUAAGUUUCAAAAAUUGUAAUUUAGGGAGCAGUUGCAAGUCGGUCCCAACAUGAUCAACUUCUUUUAUUUCGAACUCCCCUUCCCAUGUGAUUAUUUGUUGCAUGGCAUUGCAAUGUUUUAUUGUCAUUUCUUCCAGUUGGGAAAGGCCUCUGGAAAGUAAGAAGAGAAAUUUCAAUCCAUGACAUUCCUCCACAUGUAAAGUUUUUAAGUUAUCCAAAGACCUUGGGGGAAUUGGGCCACGACAUACUUCUUCCAAAUUACUCAACUCUAGGUCUUCAGUUUUCUUCAACAACUUUCCAAUUCCAUCCCUUAAAAGUAAAUCAACCUGUCUCAGCUUUAAUUGUUUUGAUGUUUUAUACUUUCUUUCCCAUGAAUAAAAACUGCCAUCAAAUAUUGCAUAUCUUGUCAAGUUCUCAAAGAACAUGUCUUCUUUUGGUAGCAACUCGACAGCUGGCACUUGUAUCUCUAUAGUUGUCAAAUGGCGCAAAUGAUUCAGCUCCGAUAAACAAGCAUUGCUUUCUCCAUCACUAACUCCUUCAGCUGCCCAUUGAGUAAAGCUCCGUUUCAUGCACAAACAUUCUAAUCGAGACAGGCUUGAUAAGAUAUUUCGUGGAAUUACAUCAAGCUCCCAACAAUCGUUCAAAUCCAACAACCUUAGAUUCGUCAACUGCCCCAUUUCACUAGGCAAUUGUUGAAUAUCGGAACCCACCAUGCUAAGAACUUGUAGUUUCUUUAGCUCUCCAAUUAGAGCUAUGUCUCCCAACUUGCACCUGUCUAGACGUAAUGUUCGAAGAUUUGGAAGGGAAUGAAGCGUUGAAGGUAGUGUUGUGAAAUGCAUUUCAGACAAGUCUAAAACUUUGAGUAGGUUCAUCCCUUCAAAAAAUGUGUGUGGGAUAUUCAAGGUAGGACUGAUGUUCUGCAAUAGUAAAAAUUGAAGUUCUGGACAUACCAACCUGUGAGGAAGCUCAUGCACAUCUUCGCAAUUUAAAGAGAUGUAUUUGGAUCCAUCAGUCUUUGACCAUUCUUCAUCAUGUUCUCUAACUACAAAUCGAUGAGGAUCCUUGGAUGCAAUAUUUCUGGCAACGUCACGAACAACAUCAUGCAUCCUGACAGACUUGUUAUCAGCAUCCAUGAAAAGCAACCUUGAGGCUCCUCCAAUACCGUUUCUAUGAUCUUCACCGUCGAGUAACAAGCUUGAGGCUUUGAGGGUUCUCACCAAUGUAACUAGUUUAUUUCUUGCUUUCUCCAAUGAGUUGAUGUGGUCAAACAAAUCCAAACCCAUCGCAUACUGUAACAAUUGAUGCAUUGAAAUAUCGCCAUAGCUCAACCAACCACAAAGUAAGAACAAUGACUUGACUUCAUCACCUUUCAAAUGGUCGUAGCUCCACUUCAGACAUCCGUAUACCUUGUCAUCCACUCCGCUGAUGUUUGUCGGUGCAGCACUCCUCAGUUCGUCCAAAGCAUUCUCCCAUAUGGCCACACAUUCACCUUUUAAUGCAUUUGCAAUUGUUACAAUUGCAAUUGGUAGACCCCCACAUUCGUUAACCACCUCAAUUGCUAUGUGUUGCAGUUUAUCCCCCUCCACAGAAUCACCUGCUGUCUUCUUAAAUAAAUUCCAAGCUUCUUUUUCUGGUAAAUGUUGAAGUGGAAAACAUUCUUUUGCGCCCAUGUCUUUGCGUAAUAGGUCUUCAUUUCUAGAAGCCAUCACUAUUUUGCAUCCUUUCUGGUCAUCUUUAGAAGGAAUUCCAACUUCCUCCAAACUAACUUCCUUCCAAAUGUCAUCUAAGAUGAUAAGGAUCUUCUCUUUCUGCAGUCUCUGCUUCAGUUCAGCUGCUCUUGUGGAUUCAUCCUUCCCCUUAAAUUCCAAGCCUAACAUGUCUGCAAUUUUUUGUUGAAUUUUAGCAAUUCCAUCUUGAAGUUUUUCCGAAUCUCGAGUCCAGGAUACAUCUACGUAGACUCGUGUGAUGAACAGCUUCUCAUCUUCAGCUAGUUGAGACACUUGUUUGACCAGCGUGGUUUUGCCCACACCGCCCAUGCCCCAUACCCCAAUCUUGUUGAUCUCAUCAGCUCUUAAUGCAUCCAUAACUUUGUUCACAGUCGAGGCUCUUGAUUCAAAAGGUUCAUAAUUUUUAAAGGUUACAUUCCGUAGAGGGACACAAUAUGCUACACCAUCGGGGAAUUUGCGGUCUUCUUGAACUUUAUCAAUAACCUGCGCCUUCUCGUAUGCUUCCCUGCUUAGCAGGUACCGUGACUUGAGAUUAGGACACCACCCAUUGAAACAGCUCUUGGUUCUUUUCUUUUCAUCUUCCAUGAAUUUCUUUGCCUCCCCUGUAUUCUUGUCUGCCCGAGUCAGCCAGUCUUGAACAAUAGGUCUGAUUUCAUCCCCUCUUCUAAUAGCUUCAUCAACAGUAAUCUGAAGGUCAUCCUUUGCAAGCCCCAACUCCUGAACCUUCUUGUUGAGAUCAUCCAUNNNNNNNNNNNNNNNNNNNNNNNNNNNNNNNNNNNNNNNNNNNNNNNNNNNNNNNNNNNNNNNNNNNNNNNNNNNNNNNNNNNNNNNNNNNNNNNNNNNNNNNNNNNNNNNNNNNNNNNNNNNNNNNNNNNNNNNNNNNNNNNNNNNNNNNNNNNNNNNNNNNNNNNNNNNNNNNNNNNNNNNNNNNNNNNNNNNNNNNNNNNNNNNNNNNNNNNNNNNNNNNNNNUUUUUUUUUGGUGUGUGUGUGGUUUUGUUAGGGAAAACAGAAGGGAAAUGAUGAAAAAAAACAGAAACAAAUGAAAGCAGGAGCAAAAGGAAACUAAAAUAAGAGAGUGGAAGAAAUGGAAGGAGCAGAGUAUUUGUUCCAAGCAGAGAGACGCUCACCAACAGAAUGAAAAGCAGAAUCAGUAGCGAAUAUGAGUGAAGGUAGAAAAAAUGUGUGACAAAACGAGAACAAAGGAAGUUGGUGUUUUGCAAGCAGAUCCUGAUGUGAGACCGAAUGUGAAGAGUAGAUUACCAAGCUAUGAAGACAGAUGGUGGUUUUUUUUUUUUUUGGGAAUUUGGUUAUGUUGGAAAACAGAUGGGAAGUGAGAAAAUAAGAGGAAAUUAAGAAGAGGCCCGAGGAAAUGAAAGGAGCAGAGUUUGGGUUCCAAACAGAGAGACGCUGAAGGAAUCAGAGGUGAAUGAGAGCUAAGUUAGGAAUGGAUGAUAAAAUGGAAAGAGGUAGUGAGUCGAAGAGAUGGGGAAAGACAAAAGGAUUAAGCAACAGCAACAAUGAAGAGAGUGGUAUUGCAAUUAGGUGUGGAAAGGAGCAGACUACUUUUUAAUUAAAGCAAAAUGGAAAUUGAAUGAGAUCGAGUGCAUUUUCAAACCAAGACAAAAAUAUGCAGCCCAAGGGCUUCACACGGAUCCCCUGUUGUUGUUAUUAUUAUUAUUAUUAUUAUUAUUAUGGGACCCAUGUAUAUGCAGUACAGAUUAACGUGAAUCAGUGAAAACAGCUGUAGCAAUGAAUGUGAGCUGUGAAUGACUGCAAAACUUAUUUGUAUGAUAUGGGACGCCUUUGGUUGGAUUUUUUACGAGGGUAGGAUAGUUUUAAAAAAUAUCUUUUGGUAGAAAAAUUAAUUUUAAAUUUAUAAAUAAGUAGAAAAAAAUUACGAUUAGUGACUUUAAAUUCCAGCGUGUGUCAUUCACCGGUUGCAUGUGACUAUAUUAUAACUCAUUCAAGUUUCAGUCUCCUUGGGUUGUUAAAUUAUUUCCAUUUUAAUAUCUUCUCUAACUAUAAAAAAUAAUUACAAUUUAUUUAUCAUACAUGUUUUAAGAUAUAAUAUAUGCGAAUCGUCCCACUUAGUUACUUAAAUUCAUUUUUGCCUUCAAGGUUUGGGCAUAUGAUCUAAUUUUAAUAUAAUAUUAUAAAAUGGAUAAAUCCCCAUACAAGCUUCAUUUAGAAAACAAACCUACAAAAACAAUUAUUAUUAUUUUAUAUUGUUUCAUCAAGUUUAUUAGUAUUUUAUAAAUAUUUUAAGAUAUUAAUAAUAAUAACCUAAAAUAUUACAUCAUAUAACUUAUAUCAAAUUGGAUAUGUAAUAAGUAUGUUAAAAAAAUAAAAAUUAGAUUGAACAACAUCUCAUAUUAAUUUUAAUUUUUCUUUUAAAAUAAGAAUAAGUGAUAUUAAAACUCUAUGAAAACUCUUUUAAUUUUUUUCUCUUUUUUAAAAGUUUUGAUGUCAAAAAGCUUAAAAUUAUUUCAUAAUUACUUUUUAAAUUUGAUAACAAAAAGUUAAGAAUGAAGGUAUAAAAUUUGUUUGAUAUCUAAUUUAAUAAAAAGGAAAUGCAUAAUCAUCGCUCAACUCACCCGUAUCCUGUUCUUAUCAAACCAACAAUGUGGGUGACAUCAAAUAUUUCAUAAAAAAUAAUUAAAAAUUUAUCAUUUUUUUUAUUUAUGAAAAUAACAAAACAAAUUAUAACCAUCAAAUAUAUUUAAUAUUUAUAAAAAUUAAAAGAAUAAAUAAAAUUAUUUAUUUAUAUUUUAAAUAUUAUAGAAAUAUUCCUUAUCCAUUAAUUCUAUUUAAUCAUAUUGCUUUAUAUCAACAUCUUUAAAAUUCAAUUAAUUAAUUAUGUAUUACUUUAAUAUAAUAUUUAUUUGAAAAUUUAUAUUUAUAUAAGUCUCAAUCAUUUAGAAGUGGAUCAGUUUUACCAAUAUUGUGUUAACCGAAAAUGCAUUUAAAUUUAUAGAGGCAAUAAUUUUUUUUUUAAAGUAAAUUAAGCAAAAUGUGAGAUUGACAAUAUAAAUUAAAGGUGUAAUAUUAAAUAAUAUAUAAUAUUAUUUAAUAUUUUAAAUAAUAAUAUAUAACAUCCCAAUGCCUGAAUUUUAAAAAAUAUAUAUUAUAUUAUUUAAACAUUUCUUCAAAAUUAAUUUCUCAUUUUUUAUUUUUUAAAUCAAAAUUUCAAAACUAAUUUCGUAAAUCAUAUUUGGUAAUGUAUUUUACUUUUUACUUUUAAAUUUGAUAAGAAAAAAUUGAAAAUAAAGGUAUAAAAUUUGUUUGAUAUCUAACAGGCCCUUAAUUUAUACAAAUACUUUUGUAAAUAAUUUAUUAUUAUUAUUAUUAUUAUUAUAAAUGGUUUUAAAGAGAAGCAUUCUAAUGAUUACAUGUUUGGCUUAAAAAUGAAUAUUUAAAUUAAAGCAAAAUAGAAAUUAAAUGAGAUUGAGUGUGAAAUGUAAACUGAGUCACAAGACCCAGUCAUAUCAUGCUUGCAUUUUCAAACAAUGACAAAAAUCUUCAGCCUUUGAUUCCUGUACACGAAUUCCCUUUUGCAAUACUGAAGAGGGCUUCCAUUAUUAACGUGAAUCAGUGAAAACAGCUGUAGCUGUAGCAAUGAAGAAAAUAGAAAAAAAUGAAACAUGAUGUGACCUCUGAAUGGAGACAUAAUUUGAGGGAUGUGGCUGUCAUUCCAUGUUCAAAACACCUCCAUGUGAUGUGACUCCCACAACCCAAUUCAUUAGUCAAAUGUUGAGAUAUAAAAAAAAAAUUAUAUCUUAAUUUUAAAGAUAUAAAUUAAAUCUAUUUAAAUAUAUAUAUAUAUAGAAUUUAUUAAUAUAUUCUAUUUAAAAAAAGAAAGAAAGAAAGAAAGAAAGAAAGCAACGUAUCAAGCUAUAAAAUUUGUUUCACUUCUAUUUUUUGUUUUUUUUAACUUUUAAAAUGGGAAAUUAUCACCUAAUUUACCUAUUUAUUUAUUUAUUUACUAAACCAAUAAUAAGGGUGUCUCAAUCUCAGCUAUAAUCAUAAAAAAAUUCAGAAAAAAUAGCAAAAUUUUAUUUGAUUUCCUUUUGAUGAAAAUGAAAAACAAAACUAUAACCACCAAUAAAUGAAUACAAAUACGUGGCAUGUAACUCACAUGAAAGUGGGCUGUCAGUUUUCAAUAACAAGGGCAAAUAUCUUUCCUUUACAUGAACCAUUCUUAUAUCUACAGAAAAGGGGCUCCCAUCCAUUAUUACUCUCAAUAAGGCACAUAUGAAAUCACAAGCAGCGAGAUUCUAAAUUCCAUGUCUGCAUUUGACUCCCACAACACAUUCAAGUUUUGGUCUCCUUUGGCUGCUAAAUUAUUUCCAUUGAUCAUUGAUCAUUGAUCAAGUCUUAAAGACUCUCAAAGUAUAAAAAAUUGUGAGGUUCAAAUAUAUGGGGACUUGGAUUCCUUAGGAGAUAUUAUCUAUUAUGGACCCGAUGAGCUCAAGUUGGUACUAACUUUAAUUGGUGAAAGCAACUACACAAAUAAAGAAAACAAAGAAUAAGAUAAAAGGUAUUAAAUCCAUGUCAAUAACUCGGGGUUUGAAAAUUCAAAGGUUUUGAACCUUUCGGCUUACUAAAAUUAUUACUUUUUAACAUCUUAGGUGAGUACAAAAGUGAUCAUUCAAAAAAUGUAUAUGAAUUAAUUGAUAGAAGCUAGUUAAUUAAAUUUAUUUUUAUAUACAAAAUAUGUUAUAUGAUGUAAUUUCAUUAUAACAUUAUAAAAUUAGUAAAGAUUCGGCUAAGCACAAUCUACACCAGGAAGAAUAAUAAAGUAAACAAAAAGUUCGUCCCAAAGAAAACCAAGAAUAGUGGAGAUUUUGCAUAUCCUAUCAUUAUAACCAAAAUAAAAUUACCAGUAUUUUUAAGUAUUAACACUAUCAUACAUUUCAUGACUCUACACAUUAAUAGAGAAUAAUAAUUGUGACUUAUUAUUUAAUCAAACUUAUUUGUAGUAUUAUGCAUAUAAAAAAUAUAUUAAUUUAGGAUUUUUUUUUUUGUAUUUUUAUAUUUUUUAAUAUUAAAAGAUUUUAAAUAAUUUCAAAAUUCAUGUGACUAAUAUAAAAAUAUUUUUCCAAGAAACAAUUUUGUUAAAACUAUUGUAAUACUUUUACGACUAUCAUUUUUAAAAAAAUUUUCCCAAUUUCCUAUAGUAGUUAAAAACCCAAGUUGUCCUUUCUAGAAUCAAAUCUCAAUAAGCCAUCAUCUCAGUACAUUCUCGUUGAUGCUUUGCCGAUGACACACCACUAAACUAAACAACAAUAUUUGAUUGAAUACUUACAUUUUAUCUCUAAUAUCCAGUAUCAAUUUGGAUAUGUAACAUAUUUUAUAUUGUGCUAAUAUUUAAUUUGUUAAAAGAUUAAAAAUUAAAGUGAAAAAGAUAUAGUUUAUCACAAUUUUAAUAUUUUUAAGGAAAAAUAUAUUACAUAAAAAGAUAUCAAGUCUCUUUUAUUUUUAAUAUUAUUUAGACAUCUCUUUACAGUUUACUUUUUUUAAAUGUAAUUUUAAAAAUAAUUUUAUAAUUCACGUUCUGAUAACCUAAUUUUUACUUUUUAAUUUUUAAAAUCUAAUAAAAAAUAAAAAUUAAAGAUAUAGAAUUUGUUUGAUUUCUAUUUUUUUUAUAAAAAAAAUUUAAAUCCCUCCUAUAAGAAUAAAAAAUUUCAUCCAUAAAUAAAAAAAAAUGAUUAUAUUAUUUUUCUUUUUUUAUUAGAUUAACAAACAUAUUUUACUUUUUAUUUUUUAAAAAUAAAAACAAAUUAUAAGCACCAAAUAUAUUUAAUAUUUACAAAAACAAAAAAUAUAAUUGACAGAUCGUGAAUAUUUUGUGUUUGAAAAAUUGUAGAAAUAAAAGUGUAUCCAAAUGAUAUCCUAUCUAUUAAUUCUAUUUAAUUUUAUUAAUUUGCAUUAAAUUUAUGAAAAUUCAAGCAAUUAAUUUUAUAUGACUUUAAUAAAAUAAUUCAAAAUUUUCUGCAAAAAAAAAAAGUAAUACUGUUCAAUUUAGAAGUGGAUACAUGUAAGAUCAUUAGUACUGCCCGUACUUAAAAAGUAGAGCAAAAUAUCAGACUUGGUGGUAUUCAAUGAGAUUGAGUACGAAAUGUAAACAGAGUAACAAGACCCUCUCAUGCUUGCAUUUUCAAACAAAGACAAAAAUCUUCAGCCUUGGAUUCGCUCUACACGAAUGCCCUUUUAUUAUUAUUAUUUAUUGUGUGGGACCCAUGUAUAUGCAGUGCAGACAAGGCCUUCCCGUUAUUAACCACACAAUCAGUGGAAACAGCUGUAGCAAUGAAGACGGAUAGAAAAAGAUGGAGACAUUUAUGAGAUAUGAUGUGACCUGUUAACGGAAACCUUGCGUUUAUCUCAGCGAUUCUAAAUUCCAUAGCCUGCCAUUUCCACCUGCGUUUGAGUCCCACAACACUUUAAUAUAAUAAUUAAAAAAUUUUCAAAAAAUUAGUACUUAAAAUGGAUUACCAUUCUUGAUUUAGCCCUUUGAUUUUCAUAUGUUUAUAUCUAUCAACGCUUUCUGCUAAGAAUGAAAGUGGACAAACAUUUUUGGAUACCAUUGAUCAUGUGUUUAGAUUCUCAAAAUCUAAAAAGUUGCAAGGUUUUAAUUUGGGUGUUAUUAUUUUGAUUUUUAUGCGUUUACAUCCAUCAACACUUUCAACUAAGAUCAUUGAUCAUCUAUUAAGACUCACGAACUCUAAAAAAUUGUAAGGUUUUGAUUUUGGGUGUUCUUACUAAGAUGGUAGUGCUUUUAAUUCCAAUGAAAACAAAUAUCUUGAAACGUGGAUUCCUCACAUGAGCUAUUAUUAUCCAAUGUGGAGCCCGCCCAUGUCCGUAAAGGAUGAGAUCCCAUUUGUAUCAAUUUAAUUGGUGAAAGCAAUUAGACCAAUGAAAAAAACAAAGAAAAUGAUAAAAGGUAUUAAAUAUGAUGUGAGUUGUGAAAUAGUGACGAUAUAUAUGUUUAUAUUAAAGGAAUACUUUUUCACAAAACGUUAAAUGUGGGGGGUGGGUAGAAGAUGAAGGAUGGCGAAAGGACAUGAGAGCUUACAACUAUACUUCAGUCAUUGAUAGAUGAUGCCCCUUCAAACAUGAGGGAGGAACAAUGUGAAGCUUGUCUCAAAUAUGUUGAAAGCAAGUGAUUGAGAGAGGUGAAGAAUUUCUCCAACUUCAAAUAUGUUAGAUCCAAUUAUAAGAAUAAAAAUUUUUAUCUAUAAAAUUAAAAAAAAAAAUCAUUAUAGUAUUUUUCCUUUUUUUAUUUAAUUAACAAACAUAUUUUACUUUUUAUUUUUUAAAAAUAAAAACAAAUUAUAAGCAUCAAACAUAUUUAAUAUUUACAAAAACCAAAAAUAUAAUUGAUAAAUCGUUUAUAUUUUUUGUUUUGAAAAAAUUGUGGAAAUAAAAGUGUAUCCAAAUGAUACCCAAUCUAUUAAUUCUAUUUGAUUUUAUUAAUUUGUAUUAAAUUAUGAAAAGUCAAUCAAUUAAUUUAUAUGACUUUAAUAUAAUAAUUUCAAAUUUUUGAGGAAUAAAAAAAGAAAGAAAAAAAAAGACAAAAGUAAUGCUUGUACAAGUUUGAAGUGGUAGAUGAGUGAUAUUUUUUUAUUUAAGAUUUAAAUUGAAAUUGUGUUAACCCCUACCUCAGAGUCUGAGAGGCUAAAACGUAAGGAAAAAAAAUGGGGAUAUCAUACCCCAGAGUCUCACCGAUAUUUUCAUGUAGUUUCAAUUUUCAAACACAGAAAAAAGUCUUCAGCGUGGGGUUCCUUUCCACGAAAGAGCAAUAAGUGAAAACGGGUGUAGUAAUGAAGAAAGUAGAAGAAAAAGGAGACAGAUAUGAAACAUGAUGUGACCUCUGAAUGGAAAGUAGAAACGGAUGGAGACAUAUAAUUGGAGGGAUGCGGUUGUCUUUUCCAAAUUCAAAUGCCCUGCAUGUGACUCCCACAACCCAUUCAAUAUUCAGACGCCUUUAGCUACUGAACUUAUUUCCCUUUUAUCUUCUUUAAUCACUACAAAUUUACUUAAUCAUAAUUCAUUAUACAUGUUUUAAAAAUAUAUACCAAUUCAAAUUACAUAUAAUUUUAAAAAAAAAUUAAAACAAUAUCAUCUUUUAUAUAAUAUAUUAGAACUUUUUAUAUGUUUAUAUUGAAAAGAUAAAGGUUUUAGAGUUGAGAUGUCAAAAAAAAUUUUAUAUCUUAAAUUUUUAAAGAUAUAAAAUAAAUCUAAUUUUUUAUAAAAUAUUGAUUUUGUGUAUAAAAUUUAUUAAUAUAUUCUAUUCUAACCAAAAAAAAAAAAAGAAACGUAUGGAAGUAUAAAAUUUGUUUCACUUCUUUUUUUUGUGGAAAAUUAUCACCCAAUUCACCCACGUUUUUAUUUACUAAGGCUAUGUUUGGUUCUCAGAAAAUUUGAGGGAAAAUGCAAGGGAAAGAAAAUACAAAGGAAAAAUAUAAAGAAAGAAAAAAUGAAGGAAAAUAAAAAAUGGAUUAAAAAUUGAUAAGUUAUUUUUAUUUUUUGCUUCAAACUUAUUUUAUUUAUUUUAACUCAUUAAUAUAAAGAUUAAAUAAUUUUAAAAUACAUAAAUUUUUAAUUAAUUUUAAUUAUAUUUAUUUAUUUUUAUUUUUUUCAUAGGACAAUCAAAUAUGAAAAAAUCAUUUUUCUUUGUAUUUUUUUUUUUUUACAUAGUAUUUUCCUUGGAACCAAACAUAACCUAAACCAAUAACAGGGUAUCUCACUCUCGCCUAUAAUCAUAAAAAAUAAUAAAUUAUUUCAUUUACAUGAACCAGUACGAAAAAGGCGCUCCCAUUAUUAGGCUCAAACAGUGAAAGAUACUUACUGUAGCAAUAAAUAAAAUAAAGAAAAAGACAGACACAUUCAAUGACUCUAAAUUCCUUUGUGCCAUUCACGACCUGCAUGUGACUCCCACAAGUCACUCAAGUUUCAGUCUCCUUUGGCUGCUUUAAUCUCUUCUUCUUUGACUAUAAAAAAUAAUCAUAAUUUAUUUAUCAUACAUGUUUUAAGAUAUAAUAUAUGUGAUAUGAUCUAACUUUUGCUAAAUUAUUUCCAUUUAAUCUCUUCUCCAACUAUAAAAAAUAAUCAUAAUUUAGUUAUCAUACAUGUUUUUAAAUUAUCAAAUAGGUGGGUGGGCAUUCACAAUGACGAUCACUUACUUAUCUCAUUAAAACAUGCUUUAAACAAAAAUCGUAAGAUCACUUACAUCAAAUUCUUAAAGUUCUUUAUGUUGUUCUUUAAUAAUCAUAAUUUAGACUUUUUUUUUGUCAACUUAAAAAUAAUGCUUAUACAAAUUAGAAGUCGAUUUAUUUCCAAACUUAUAACAUCAUUAGUAUUAGUAUUAUUAUUAUUAUUAUUAUUAUUUGAAAAAAAAACCAAAAUAGAUAGGUAGUUUUCCACAUCAUGACUGGCAAGUGUACAAAUAUUAAUUAUGGGAAUCACCCACUUAGUUACUAAUUCAUUUUUGCCUCGAGACAUCCCAUCUUAAUUUUAAUUUUUUUAAAUAAAAAUAUAUAACAUCUCAAUGCCUGAUUUAAAAAAAAAAUAUAAUAUUAUUUAAACAUUUCUCAUUGUUUAUUUUUUAAAUAAAAAAAUUAAAACUAAUUUCGUAAAACAUGUUUGGUAAUGUAUUUUACUUUUUACUUUUAAAUUUGAUAACAAAAAAUUGAAAAUAAAGAUAUAAAAUUUGUUUGAUAUCUAACAAGCUCUUAAUUUAUACAAAUAUUUUUGUAAAUUUUUUAUUAUUAUUAUUAUUAUUAUAAAUGGUUUUAAAGAGAAUCAGUUUAAUGAUUACAUUUUUGGCUUAAAAAUGAAUAUGUAAAUUAAAUGAGAUUGAGUGUGAAAUCACUGAAAUGUAAACAGAGUCACGAGACUGAAGACCCUGCCAUAUCAUGCUUGCAUUUUCAAACAAAGACAAAAAUCUUCAGCCUUGAAUUCCUUACACGAAUUCCUUACAAUUAUUCUUGUUGUUGUGGAGGCCAUGUACCUGCAAUAUUGAAAAGGGCUUCCAUUAUUACCAUCAAUUAGUGAAAACAGCUGUAGCAAUGAAGAAAGUAGAAAAAUGAUGGAGACAUUUCUGAAAGAUGAUGUGACCUCUGAAUGGAGCCAUAUCAUUCCAUGUUCAAAUCACCUGCAUGUGACUCCCACAACACAUUCAAUACUCAGGCGCCUUUGCCUAUUGAACUUAUUUCCCUCCUAUCGUCUAUAAUGACUACAAAAGUACUUAAUCAUAAUUCAUUAUACAUAUUUUAAGAUAUAUAUGCGAAUUUAAAUGUAUACCUUUCCUAUUUUUUUUUUUAAGAACAAAAUAUUAAAAUAAUAUUAUCUUUAUAUAACGUAAUUCAGAAAAUACUUUAUAAAAUCACUUUCGUACUUUUAUUUUUAUUUAUCAAACCAACCAUAUAUAUUGUUCCACCGAUAAGAAUAAAAAAUUUGUUAAUAAAAAAAAAAAAUUAUAUCAUUUUUCCUUUUUUAUUUAAUUAAUAAAUAUAUUUUACUUUUUCUUUUUUAAAAUAAAAAAAAAUUAUAAGCACCAAAUAUAUUUAAUAUUUACCAAAAACGAAAAAUAUAAUUAACAAAUCGUGGAUAUUUUUUGUUUUGAAAAAUUGUAGAAAUAGAAGUGUAUCCCAAUAAUGCCCUAUCUAUUAAUUCUAUUUAAUUUUAUUAAUUUGUAUUAAAUUUAUAAAAAUUCAAGCAAUUAAUUUUAUAUGACUUUAAUAUAAUAAUUCAAAAUUUUCCUGUUCAUUUCCAAACCUAAAAGAUCAUUAGUAAUAUCUGUAGUUAAAAGUAAAACAAAAUAUGUCAUUUACGGUGUGAAGAUAUAAUGGUUGAUGAGUGGUAUUUUUGGAUAUAAGAUUUAAAUGGAAAUUAUGUUUAUCCCUAUCUCAAAUUCUUAGAAGCUAAAUAGUAGGGGGAAAAAUGGGUUAAAUUAUGUAAAAUUUAUAUCACUUUCCAUUUCUUAAAUUUUUUGGUAAAAUCUACAAAAAAAAUUUCAUUACUAAUCAUUUAAAAACUUUUGAUACAACUUAAAAUGAGAUGGUUGCAAUCUUUAAUUUUUUGUUAAAUAAUAUAUAAGUGUUGUACCUCUGUAUUCUUAAAUUUGCUUGUAUGUAAGUUCAUGGUUUAAAUUUUUCAUUAAUAAUUCUCCUAUCCUUAAUUUACAAUUAUGUCUACAAAGAAGAUGAAAUCUCAACCACAAUUCAUUUGAGAAUGAUUUUAACUACGUCUAAAAAGUGGACAAUGUUGAAAUUAUAAUCCAACUUGAAAUAAAAAAUCUCAAUCAUAAUUCAUUUGAGAAUGAUUUUAGUUAAAAAUACAUUUAGAGUGCAUUUAUGAAACAUUUGAUGGGCUUACAAUUUGAGGGAUGUGGCUGCCUUUUCCAUAUUCAAAUCACCUGCAUGCGGCUCCCACAACCCAUUCAAUAUUCAGACCCCUUUGCCCACUCUAAUCAUUUCCCUUUUCUCGUCUUUAAUGACCAAUCAUAAUUCAUUAUACAUGUUUUAAAAAAUAUAUAUGAAUUUAAAUGUACACCCUUCCUAUUUUUAUUUUUAAUAUAAAAAAUUAAAAUGGUAUUGUCUUUUGUAUGAUAUAUUAGAACUUUUUAGAUGUUUAUAUUAAAAAGAUAAAAAAAUUUACAAAAUUGAAAUAUAUAUAUAAAAAAAGAUAAUUUUUAAGAUAUAAAGUAAAUAUAAAUUCCAUUAUUACCCUCAAUAAGUGAAGCAACUGUAGCACUGAAGAAAAUAGAGAAGAAGACAUAGACAUAUGGAGUCACACUCAGCGAUUCUAAAUUUCUUGGUCUGCCAUAUUCCACACCUGCAUUUGACUCCCACAACACAUUAAGUUUCAGUCUCCUUUGGCUGCUAAAUUAUUUCCAUUCAUCAUUGAUCAUGUGUUCAUAGUCUCAAAGUCUAAAUAAUUAUGGGGUUCAAAUAUUUUGAGACUUGGAUUCCUUACCUGACAUAUUAUCCAUUGUGGAACCCAUGUCCACUAAGGAUGAGCUUCCAUUGGUGCUAACUUUAAUUGAUGAAAGUUGCUACACAAAUAAAGAAAAUAAAGAAUAAAAUAAAAGGUAUUAAUCAUGAUGUGAGUUGUGAGACCCAUGUCAAUGAGUCGGGGUUUGAAAAUUGAGAGGUUUUAGACCUUUUGGCUUACUAAAAUUAUUAUCUUUUAACAUCUUACGUGAGUACAAAAGUAAUCAUAUAUGGUUUAUUAUGCAUAUUCCAAAAAAUAUAUGUGAUUUAAUUGAUACAAGCUAGUUGAUUAAAUUUAUUUUUAUGUACAAAAUAUGUUAUAUGAUGUAAUUUUAUCAUAAUAUUAUAAAAUUGGUAAAGGCUCUACUAAGCACAAUCUACACCAUAAAGAAUAAUAAAGUAAACAAAAAAAAAAAAAAUCUAAAAGAAAACCAUAACUUACUUUCAAUUUAUUUAUAUUAAACCAACAAGGUUUCAUACUUAUAGACUGAUGAAAAAAUUCUUCAAAAAUCAUAAGAAAUAAUCAUAACAUAUUUUCUUUAUUUUUAUUUCAUAAUAAUAAAAAAAUAUUUUUAUUCUACAACUAGAAACCAAAUUGCUACUAUAAUGGCUAAUAGUCAUAAAAAUUAGAAAUACAAUUGAAAAAUAAUUUAUUUUUCAAUUUUUAAAAAUAGUAAAAACAAAAUUAUACACUGUUGACACAUUAAUUAAUCAUUUUAUUUUAAUAAGAUAUAACUAAUUAUUAAUUUAUAAUUUUAAUAGAAUAGUUAAAAAUUAUAAAUAUUAAUUCUUUUCUCAAUCACCACCAAAUAGAAGUAUUACCAAUUUUGUGUUAUUUCGUGCAUUUUCUACUGGACUUCACAUUUUUGUGCACAUAUUCCAUCAUUUUGUGUACAGUAAUUAUUUUUAUACUACAACAAAUGUAGGGUUUUGCCAAAAAUUAAUUUGUGAUUUAAAAAUAGUAUUUGUGGUAAAAAAAUUUAUUUGUGACAAGUUUGUUGCUAUAAAUCUGUGUGCUAUUAUUUUUAAGCAUAAAAGUUUAUUUUAUAACAAGAUAAAUAAUUUUUCCAAAAAAAUAGAAGAAAAGUGACAAAUUACCAUUUUCAACACAAUAAAAGCAUUGAUAAGUUUAACAACUGAUUUUCCAAUUCUCAAAUUGUGGAUAGUUGAAACUAGAUUUCAAUUCUUCAUGAAUCUCAAUUUUUAAUAAUUUGUACCAUUUAUUUUUUGUGAUGCAUAUUGGUUGUUAAUUAAUUUGUCUUUAUAAUUGGAAUAAACUGAACAUUAUAAAACAAUAUCAGAUGUAUUUUGAUUUCAUAAAAUAAAUGAAACAAAUUUUCUUAAUCAAUUAAACAAAUAAAAUAUGUAAAAUGCAACACCUAAAAAAGAUAAAAUAAAAUAAAUUUAAAACACAUACCAACCCGUUUGACAAAAAUUAGAACUCACAAAUAGUAGUAAAACAUAUAUUAUUAUUAGAUCCUUGACAUGAUCUAUUACACUUUCAAGGAGAGCUGCCUUGUCCAUCAACAGUAAGGAAAUAUUGAUCCUUUUCAAAUUCUAACAAAGAAUGUGUAGUAGGUUGUUUAACAUUUUUCAGGACUAACCAACCAAACUGUUUUUGACCACUGAUCCUCGAGAUAUUACCUGAAAAGAUGCAUAGACACAAAAAUUCCAGACAUCAGCUGAAUCAAGUAAUCCAGAAAAAAAGGGAUGAUUGAAAGUUUCAAAAAAUGCCAUCCCUUUUCACACUUGAUCUACUUUCAUGUGGUUGAGCAAGUGACAAUGGUGUUGGGCAUGGAUAUUGAAGACUUUGGGCUUUGUAGGUUUUAGCAAAAGUUUAAAUAUAGUAUGCAAAGUUACGAAGGAGAUAGAAAAAAGACUUGUGUACAUGACAUGGUAUUGAUUUUCAAUCUCAUCUCAGAAUAGAAUGAGAGUCCUCUCUUACCAGGGAAAAUACUCUGAAAAAUUCCACUUUUGCUGCCUGUAUUAGCCAAAAUAAAAUCAAGCUGAUGAGAGUUGAAUGGAAACAUGGAUUCAAACAACACAAGUAAUGAUUACCUGAUAUGCAUCUCCAUGCUCAUGGUCAUUAUUUGGCUUUUUCCGUACCUAGAGUGAUUAAAGUGAAUCAAUUGUCAGUUUAAGAUGAACUUGAAGCACCAUAACAUUUUGGUCACAUGCAAAGUUGUAGUCAUUUUCUCUUCAAUUACAAGAAACAAGUCAGAAAAAAAAAAAAAAAGAAUAAGUUAAUCCCCAAGUCUGAAUUCUCACCCUUCUCUAGAAAAACAAAGGAUAUGAAGACAAUGAGAAUUGAGACUCAUAGUUUGGUUGAUUCUGGUGGUACCGGGAGGUGUAAUGGCACCAGUUAAGGCCACCACACUGCCGCCUUCUUUCACUAUCUUCACUGCCUAAUUGAUGUAGAAAGGAAAAAGUUUUGUGUUCAUCCACCAUCAAUUCACUCUAUCAAGCAAGACCCAAACAGAUAUGGAGCAGGGGAAUUAAAUUUCAAUAAGUUAAAGUGGGAUAAGGGGCAUUUCAAAUAAAGGAUAAUAGUACAAUAAGUGACUCCUCAAAAUGAGCAAUAAAUACAAGAAUUUACCAACUGCAUCAUAAACUACAUCGAAUUUCUCUGCCAAAUCAGCUCCCAAGCUCUUCAUUAGCUCCAGUUUUCCUGUGCUUGAAGUAGCAGCGCGACUAUUGAGGUACCAAACACUUGUCUUGCAAUAAAAAAGGAGGAAAAAUGGAAUUAUUGUUUCUAUAUCAUACUCAUUUGCCUUAUCCAAAUUAUUUAGGGGGCAAUGGUAGCACAAGUUUUGUUUUGUUCACUCUACUGAGAGCCCCUAUCUCGAUUUUUAACAACUAAUAAAUGGAGGACCCCCAUCUAAUUGCGAAAGGAGGUUUAUAUUUUAGGUACAAAAGAUUUUUCUCCACUACAGGCCAUGAAUAGAUAACAUUUAAAAUGGAAAAUAUAUAAUUAGGAACUGAAAUUCAAAUGCCUAGAUGACAAGGCUUCCAACUCCACCAACACCGCCCAAAACAAGAAUAGAUUUACCAGCAGAAAAUCCAGUCCUUCUAAACCAUCAUAGGCUCUCUCAAUUGUAAGAGGAAGUCCAACAGCUUGAACAAAAUCCAGAUUCUUUGGCUUUAGAGCCAACAGUUUCUCUUCAAUAGUAGUGCAUUUUGCAAAUGAGCUAAACUGCUUAGGCUUGUCCAAUGUUUUCUCAUUUAUGUUUCCAUAUAACUCCGAAUAGAGUAAAUAGAAAGGAAUCAUGUAAAAUCCCUCAAGUAAAUGCAUAUUUCUUUCUUUAAAUUGAAUUUCAGAAUUCUUUAGAUUGGUUACCAAUAGUCCAUGCAAGAACACACCUUCUUCAAAGUGAUGAAAACGUUUCUGAUCUCUGAUGGCAAUGUUCCUUUUAGAAACCUUUGAAACAAGCUUAAUUGUAUAGUAUUUCAUGGGUGAUGUCUUAUUUGGUAUGAAGACUUUGUCAUGCUAAAAGAAAAUGGACAUGGAGGGUAACAAUUUUGAAGGGAUGAAGAGGUCAAAGAUUUGCAUAAUGUUUUUUAUUUCCUCUGAAAUUUCUUGUUCUCUUGUUCAGGAUUCUUUAUAGGGGUAGGGUAGUUUGUCUUUUCCAUAUUUCAUUAAUUGAGGUCAAGGGUGAUGAUUAAGCUUCUUUUGCUAAGCCUUUUUUGUUUUUUUUUUUUUCUUUUUGGGGGUAAAAUUUUCUCAAUUUCUUCUGCGUUUUCAAAUAUGUUUUAGAAGUAAAUUUUAUGGAUAAUAUUUUAUUUUAAUCAUUCUUUAUUAUAUAAUUAUUUUUUAAAAUAAUUCUCAUAAAAUAACAAAAAACAAAAAAUAAAAUAAAAUAUGUUAAAAACAAACAAGGACCUUCUGACCAUGGAUUCCUUGUUUGCUUCACUCCAUGCCUAACAAUUUCCUCUUUCUUAGUAUUUAUUCUUCAGUUUUACUGGUAUAAAUAAAUAGUUAGUUCCUUCAUCUAUAAAGGGUAGCUAGAGAACUGUUAUUACCAAUGAAUAAUGACACCAUAAUCACCUUCAUUUUGAACAUUUACAUACACCUUAUCGUCUCUAUGAAUCCGAAUGACCAGCCCUGGAAAGCUCUCAUUCACAGUCAGCAGCAUGCUCUUUGUGCUGCACAGCCUUGUGAAAUUGGACUUCUUCAGCUACAGGAGAUAAAAAAGAGAGGCAAUAUACAAUGUGACUAACAAAAAAGACCUCGGAUUCUGACAAAAGCAGGCAAGUGUGAAGGUAACACUACAACAAAGUCAUAGUAGUGGGCAUCUCCUUGGACCCAAGUGUUAAGGUAAUUUACUAGUAGCCUAAGAUAAUCAAAUAGCUAAAUUGAAAACCCAAAAUUAGUAUAUUAGAACAUUGUAGAUUGUGUUACAUAUCCAGGAAGAUUGAGCAAAUCGCUUUGGUAAAAAUCUAGUAUUCUAACAAGAAUGUGAAGCUAAAGACAUCUUAUUUAGUUGAAAAGAGGCCUUCCAAAGCAUAUUCAAUAGACAUGUAGUCACUUUCAUUAUUAGAACAAUUCAAUUAGUAGUUGUGUCAUUAAAAAUAUAUAUAUAUAUAUAUAUAGACACACACAUACACAAAAAAGGCCAUGUUAUGUGAGAAUCCACAUAUUGUGAGGAACAAAAGCUCACCAAAUUACUAAAGGAGAAAGCAUUGACAGAAGAAAAAUGGAUACAGGAGAGCUACUCACCAUAACUGUGAAUAAUGAAAUAUUCACUAGAAGUGCAGAUGGGGGUGUUUUAUUUUAUUUUAUUUUCCAUCAUACGGAUGGAUAACAUCAUAUGCAGGAAACAGGUCUAAAGAGAGCAUUGGGCAGCUCAGCAGAAACCACACUUGAUAAACUCAUUUGGAUAAAGUAUUAAUGAUAAAAAUCAUUUAAAUAAAGAGAAAUUUUGCCUUACUAAUUCCUUCAACAAUUUCUUUUCAUUUAAAUGCAUUGUCAUCAUAAUUUAUAAGAUGAAUGCAUUACUCCCAAAUUAACCCAUCUAAUUCUCAAUUCAUCAUAACUGAGGAAUGUUGCUUGAGCACCAGUUUUAUAAUUUAUCAUCCCAUAAAGCAACCAAAGGUUCAUGUUUGACUUCAGACCCAUCAAAGAGGAAAUAAAAAUUUCCAAUACCUAACAAGUCAAAAUAUGUGCAUAAAUACAUACAUUUUAAGCAUGUGAUGAAAUAGAUAAAACUAUUCCCCAAGAUUAACAUAAGAACGAUAUAAUAACAGAUGCAAAUAUAUUUAGAUCAAUUCAUGAUACGAAUAAAUAAGAGGCCUUAAUACAUACUUCUUAAGCCAUUGACAUUGGAUUUGUUAAGUUUUGCAGUGAUAAUCUCCUUGACAAACAACCGAAACAUAACCAAUCUAAACUCCACCUGCCAAGAUACCGUGAUUUUCAAUUCUCAUAUGAGCAGAAACAUUGGAAGAGUUGGACAUUCCAUAAAAAUUGAUCCAGCCUAUCAUCUUUUUCGACAGCAGAAUAUGUAGGCAUGCCACAAGUCGAGAUGGAUAAAGUAUGAAAACCAAAUUUUAGAUUUAACCAUACCGUAUAGGUUGAAGUACUAUUCCCAAGGAAGACAAAACCACAAGCUGUAGACCUGAUAUCAUUAACAAAGAUACACAACCCCAAAUUCGCAAUAACCUUCAUCAACACAUUCUUCUCGAUCCCUUAAAUGCUUUGAAAUCACAAUAACAAAAAACGCAAAGAUAAUGCUCAAUCUCCCGACCUUGUCUAAGAAGAGACUUUCAAGCUCUCCUUUGAUGGCUUCACUGAGAGGAAGGUCCAGAAGAUGAGGCGACAAUUGGAGUGUGUGCUCAAUCAAGCUAAGGAAGAACAUCUAAACCUAGAAAACGUAGAUUUCAAACCGAUAAUCAAUGGCAAAGGCUGAUUAUUAAAAGAAAUUGAACAAAUUAACAUACAAAAAGUAACAAAUUGUCUUCUCUAACUUGUUUUUGCAUCUGUAGGGCUCUUCAGUGAGCUUCUGGUUGAUCUAAGGCUUUAAUCUCCGACUGGUCACCGUUUUCAGCAAUAGGAAUAUUUCAAUUCCUGCCACGCCGGUGAGGUUUGCGAUUCGUCAACGAUGAGAGGAGAGACCGAAACCAAAGUUGGGGGGACCGUGGGAGAGCGAGAAGAGCUGAGUCUAAAACAGAAAAAUUAUUUCAAUAAUGUGAAAAAAAAAAUCAAAAUUGACAUAAUGAUUUUAGAAUUAAAAAUUAUUUUAUUUUUAUUGUUCCUAAACAAAAUUUGAUAUCAAAUUUCAUAUCAAUAUUUGGAAUUGUUGACUAUAAUUUGGGAAAAAAAAUAUUCAAUUCAUUUUUUUCAAAAAAAAAAAAAAAUUGUCAUCGCAUGCUCAAGACUUUAUAUAUAUAUUGUGUAAAAUUAAUAUUGAAUUAAUUAGGCUUAACUUGUAAUAUGGUAUAAUUAAAGACAAAAUCCAUGUCAAAGUCUUAUUAACAAUCAUUCGCCACCAAUAUAUGAUGUGAUUAAAUAUACUAUUUUGUGAUGAAUAGAAAUUUCAACUCUAACAAAAAUCCUUUUUGACAUUAAAAUAAAAUUUAUUAUAAAAAUCUACUUUUUUUUCCAUAAAAUUAUUUGUGCCUAAAAUUAUGGUAGCAAAAUAUGAAAUUUGUUGUAGUGUUAUUCUUGAUGGGUGCUAUGCAGGAUGACUAUUUUUAUUAAUAUGAUACAAGUUGUGCAAGAUGACUUUUAGAGGAAAAAAAAUUUGGGUGGACUCAGUUCAUGAAUGCAAAUCAUUUUUUUUAGUAUGUAUUAGAAAUCUUAGGUAUCAACCAAAAUUAUCUCCUAUAGAACGUGAAUCUUUCCUUGUAAUUACCAUUUACCUUACUUAACUUAAUCAUUUACCUUAUUUAGCUUAGCUAAUUUUGUACCUAUACAGAGGUAAUGUUUCUUACCAAGAUGAUAGAAUAAUAUACUCAUUUCACUAAAUUUAAUGGAUAACUGUUUGAUGGUGAAAUGCUUUGAAAAUUAGAAUCAGUUGUGUUUUACAAAUGCCUUUGUUUAGUCGAUAGGGAGUUAUUUGAAGUUACCUCAUUUUUUACAAGGAUGUGAAAAUUUUUGGAAUAUGGCUGAGAUCCGACACCCAGCCUGCCUUAAAAAUCAAACUGAAAAUUUUUAUUUUCUCCAUUGCAUGGUUGACAUCUAUGUGAGAAAUUUUUUUUAAUUUGUUUGUAAUAUAAAAAAAAAUCUAAAUAGAGAAAAAAUGUUGAAGAAAAAGAUAAACAAAAUAUACUAAUUAAUAGAGUGGUGAAUUUUUAUAUUUUAUUUUAUAUUUUCAUGUGGGAAUUUAAUAUUUUGUUUUUAAGUUAUUAAUUUUAAUUUUUUAUUUAACAAUAACUAAUAUAAUUUUUAUUUAAUUUUAGAAUGGAAAGAGAUAGGAAGUAUUUUCGUAAGAAACAUUAGAUGGUUAAAGUAUUUAAGUAUCAAAUUAUUGUGUUAUUCAAAUUUUUCAUUCUUUUUGGUUGAACGACUUUACUUUCAUAAUAAUGUUGUUUAGAACUUGAGUUUUAAAAUAGCAAACAUGAAAGUAGGUUCAUGAAUUUUUCACUUAAUGCAUGCAAAUUCGGGGUUACAAUUAGCACAACAUAUGGUAUCCCUCUAACAUAAUGGUAGUACCAAAUCAUUCCUAAAUUCGAGAACAUGAUUUACAAUGCUAAAGCCUGAUAGUAAUUAUGGUGUCAUCUAAAGCCUAAACCAUUUGAUGAUCAAAUUGACAUGUUGUUAGUUCUAUUUAUUUAUUUAUUUUUCAAGUAGGCUUUUGAUUACCCUUGAAAGGCUUGGAGGUUGCUUUAAAAUGUUGUCACUCUAGUUGCGUAAUUAGAGAUCAUACUUGAGUAAAUUGCAAGUGAACUUGAUUUUCCUAACAAUCAAUAACCAACCAAACAUAAGUAGAUCGAUUGUUGCACAAUGAACAUACAAGUGAAAAAGCCAUGUUAUCUAAGGUUGAUUAUCCAAGAACAUUCUAACCAAUUAGACUCAUUUAAUACAUGAAGAGAUUUCUACUCAAUGAUUAUCCUCAUAAGACAUUCUUAAAUAUAUUUGACUAAACUCAUAUGUCAAGCCAAACUCUGAACAUCCUAUCAAAGGAUAUUAUGAAUCCUUUAUUUACUAUUAGAUUUUAUUUAACGAAUUUUCAUGGUGUCAUAUUCCACAUUUGAAAGCAAUAUUUCAUAAUUUAAGACAUGAUUAAAAAUUUACUCAAACAAUAACAAAAAUUCCUUUAUCAUAUGUAUUUUAUAAUUUAUGAAAUGUCAACUCAUGCAAUACAAGAAGUCGAAUAUUAAUAAAUUAAAACUUUCAUCAUUAUGCAAGACCACACACCUAACAAACCAAUUUAUUAGGGAUAUAACAAUGAACAGAACAAAAUGCAUAUGAAAAUCUAGCAUGUGUUUGAAUAAAUAAACUCCUAUCAAAUGAAGGAAAUGAUUGAAGGAAACAUCAUUGACAAUUUCUCAAACAUCAUCAAUAAUUUCUCUUUCAAAGGCUGCAUCUGUACUUCAUCUCAAAUAGGGCAGAACAUGAAGUACAUCCAAUGUACCUAAAAAAAAAAUGAUAAGAACAAAAGAAAAUGAUACCAUUUAAAUAUAAAUAACGUAAAACUUAGCAAUAAUAUUUAUAGAAUAUAUUAUGAAGAAACAAAACAUAUUCUUCCUUUGGGAUAAAAAAAAAAAUGGAUGCCACCUCCAUCCUAUUAAUAUUUAAUAUUUUUUAAAAUUAAAUUUUUUUUUAAUCAUGUUUUUCAAUUCCUUUAUAUUUGAUUUAUUAUUCAUUUGUAUAUUAUUGAAAACAAUUUUUUUUUAUUAAUUUAAGAAAUUUAUUAUUACAUGUUAAUAGUAAACAUACAAAAUAUUAUUCUUUGUUUGAUAUUCAUCUUGAAAGUUAUACUUAUCAUAAAUUUAUAUUAUAUCAUUUGCAUACUAUACUAAUUUGAAUUAGCAAAGGUUUUUUUGCAUUAUAAAAAGGUGUUUUAUUUAGUUAAAUUAGAUCAAAAUAAAGGAAGUUAAUUAUUAUGAAUGUAAAAGGAUAGAAUAUUUACAAUUUUUUUUAAUCUAUUAGAAAUAAAUCCAAUAAUUUUUUUUAAUGAGGGUGAUUUGACUGUAUUUUGAAAGAAUGAUAGUUAUUCUCUUAUAUGAAACAUAUUUAAAAUUAAAUUUUAAAUUAAUUUAAUGUUUUGUUAUUAAAAAUUAAUAUAAUCUUCAUACUUUUUUAUUUUUAUAGAAUAUUUAUGUCAAUAAUUCCAAAAAAAAAAAAAAGUAUAAGAAGAAAUAAAAAGUAUGGGAGAGAAAAAAAAAGUAUAGAAAAAAACUAACCUUCUCACAAAAGAGUACUACAUCUUCCGCAGGUCUUCCAUACUACAAUUAGUUAUAUGUAGUUCUUGAAGGUUUUGAAUAUUCAUGAGUGUCAGAAGAGAGGAAAUAUGUUUCAUCCUGUCAUUCCCGUCUUCCAUCCAUCUCAACAUAGGCAAGUUUUGCAAUUUCAAGGUUUCUAACUUUGAGAGGAUCUCAACAUUUCCAUCAAUUUCUUGAAGAAUAAUCACAUGCUUUAAGAGUUAACAAUCUUGCACAUAUAUCUUGUUUAAAUUCUGGAAGCUGUGUAUCAAAUGAGCUGGGACAAGAUUGAGUAGACAUGGACAUUCCUACACCCUUAAGAUCUGUAGAUUGGAGAAUGAUUCAAAUGGAAGUUGAUGAUGCCAUAUAUCCUUCAACUUGGGCACAUGAUAGAGUGUCAACUUCUCUAACUUAGGGAAUGAAACCUAUAACAUGAUACAUGACAUCAUUAAUUGGAAAGUUAUAAUAAAUAUAAAUAUAUUUCUUAAAUAUAAUUCAUCAGCUUAGGAUUAUUCACAUGUUUACUUUAAUUAUAUUUAUAAAAAAAAUGAAAGGAUAAGGGAUUCUCAUGCGGAUGCCACAAAUUAUUUUUACUCAUAUAAAUAAUUUCUUAUUUUAAAUCAUAUACAUUCUUUUAUUUUUCUCUUAUUAAUAAAUUCUUGUGAAUGCCUUUUUUAAAUUUCCUUUUUCUUUUAAAAGAUUUUGAUGAUUUCACUCUUAAAUUUAUUUUGUAUUUAUUCCUAUUAACUUGACCUUUUUUUUCUUAUUUAAAGUAAAAUUAUACUUAUAGUUUUUCGUUAUUUAAAUACUCAUUCCUAUUAAUAUUUAAUGUGUUUAAAAUUAAAAUUUCUUUUAACCUUAUUAGUUUUUCAACUCCUUCAUGUUUUAUAUAUUAUUUGUUUUUUUUUUAUUAUUUAAAGUGAAAUGUUCAAAUAAUUUUAACAUGGUGGAGUUUGGAAAGUGCAUGUGGGCCUACCCUAGUUUUUCUUUUGACUUAUAUCGAUAUAAAGUGGUGCAAAAAAAAAAAAUAUAAUAAUAAUAAUAAUAAAACCAAUGAAAUUGGCUAAUAAGCUUUAACAUACCUUAUGACUGAAAAAUGAGUCUUCCGACCUUGCAUUUGUACUCAAAGAUGUGGAAGAUGUUGUUUCUAACUCGGAACUGAAGUUGAUGAGCUGUGGUAGUCCCUCGAGUUUCAAGGAUCGCAAUUUUGUGAAUAGUUGCAAGUUGGUCCCAGCAUGUCCAUCUUCUUUUAUUUUUGACUCCCUUUCAUAUGCGAUUAUUUGUUGCAUGGCAUCGCAAUAUGAUAUAAUCAUUUCUUCAAGUUGAGAAAGGCCUCUAGCCGUGGAAAGCAAGAGGAGAAAUUUCAAUUUAGGACAUAAAUUCACUUCUAGAGUUUUUAAGUUACCAAAAGACCCUAUUGGAAUUGGGCCAUGCCAUACUUCUUCGAAGUUUUUCAAAGUCUGAAGAAUCAAUGACUCCAAUAGAGGAAAGGCACCAUGUUGCAACAACUGUUGAUUCUUUGAAUCCAUGAUGUAUUGAAUCUCAGGACUAUAACCAACUUUGAGAUGCUUUAGUUCAAGGAAACUCUCCCUAUCUGAUGGGUGAAGAACAUAUUUAGUACCACUUAAUUGACUGAACUCUAGUUCUUCACUUCUCUCCAACAACUUGCUCAUUCCAUCCCCCAAAUGUAAGCUUCUAUUGACUUUCCAAAGCUUCAAUGCUCUUUUGGUUCUCAACCACCCCUGAGUACCUAUAAAUAUCCCAUAUCUUGUCAAGUUCUCAAAUAGAAUGUCUUUUGGUAGCAACUUGGCAUCUCGUAUAUAUGUCUCUAAAGUUGUCAAAUGAGACAAAUGAUUUAGCUCGGAUAAGCAAGCAUUGCUUUCACCUUCAGUUGCCCAUUGAGUAAAGCUAGAUUUCAUGUACAAACAUUCUAAUUGAGACAAACUUGAUAAGAUAUUUCGUGGAAUUACUUCAAGCUUCUCACAAUCAUUCAAAUCCAACAGCCUUAGAUUGGUCAAUCGCGACAUUUCAUUAGGCAAUUGUUGGAUUGUAGAACCCAUCAAGCUAAGAACUUCUAGUUUCGUUAGCUUUCCAAUUAGAGCAAUGUCUCCCAACUUGCACCCAUCCAGACGCAAUGUUCGGAGAUUUGCAAGGGAAUCAAGUGAUGAUGGUAGUGUUGUAAAAUGCAUACGGGACAAAUCCAAAACUUUGAGUUUUUUCAUCCCUUCGAAAAAUGUGUUCGGGAUAUUCAAGAGAGGAUUAUUGUUCUGCAAUAGAAAAAAUUGAAGUUCCGGCCAUACCAACUCUUGAGGAAGGUCAUGCACAGCUUUGCAAUGCAAAGAGAUGAAAGCGCACCUUUUGGAUUCAUCAGUCUCUGACCAUUCUUCCAAUCCAACAUCUUCUCUUACUACAAAUGGAUGAGGAUCCUUGGAUGCAAUUGCUCUGGCAACUUCACGAACAACACUCUGCAUCCUCACAAACUUGUUAUCAACAUCCAUGAAACUCGAACUUGAAGCUCUUUCUUCAUCAAACUUGUUUCUAUCUUCAUGACUGUCAAGUAACAAGCCUGAGGCUUUGAGGAUUUCCACCAAUGCAAGUAGUCUAUUUCUUGCUCGCUCCAAUGAGUCGAUGCGGUCAAACAAAUCCAGACCCAUACCAUAUCGUAACAAGAGAUCCAAUGAAAUAUCACCAUAGCUCAGCAUCCCACAAAGUAAGAACAAUGACUUAACGUCAUCACCCUUCAAAUGGGUGUAGCUCCACUCCAGACAUGAGUAAACCUUCUUAUCCACUGCUCUAAUGUUUGUUGGUGCACAACUCCUGAGUUGUUCCAAGGCAUUCUUCCAUACAGCCACGGUCUCAUCUUUUAAUGCCUUGGCAAUUGUUACAAUUGCAAUUGGUAGACCCUCACAUUCUUCAACUACUUGAAUGGCUAUGGGUCGCAGUUCAAGAUUCUCCUCCAUGGAAUCUCCUGCUGUCUUCUUAAACAAACUCCGAGCUUCUUCUAGUGGUAAAUAUUCCACUGGAAAACAAAUUUGUGCGCCCAUGCCUUUGCAUAAUAGGUCUCUAUCUCUCGAAGCCAACACUAUUUUGCAUUGCAUCCAAAUAUCAUCUUUAGAAGGAAUUCCGACUUGCUCCAAAUCAACUUCCGUCCAAAUAUCAUCUAAGAUAAUAAGGAUCUUCUCUUCCUUCAGUGCCUGCUUCAGUUUAUCCGCAUUGAGCUUCCAAAGUGGUAAGCCCAACGUUUUUGCAAUUCUUUGUCGAAGUUUAGCAAUUCCUUCUUGACGUUUAUCCGAGUCUCGAGUCCAGGAUACAUUCAUAUAAGCUUGUCUGGUGAACAACCGCUGUUGCUUAGCUUGUUGAGCCACUUGUUUCAGCAGUGUUGUUUUGCCCACACCGGCCAUGCCCCAUACUCCAAUCAAGUUGAUAUUGUCGGCUCUUAAGGCAUCCAUAAUUUUGUUCAAAGUGGAGGCUCUUGAUUCAAGGAAUGAAGCCUGUAGCAAAAACACAAUAUAAGGCAUCAAUUGGAAAGUUGUGAUGAUAGGCAUAAACAUAUUUCUUAAAUAUAAUUCAAUUCAAUUCAAUUCUGAAAUACUCUCUCGCAUGUUCACUUCUAAUACAUUAUAAAAUUUUCAUUAGUGAAAGAAAAAGUAAUUAUCAUUAUAAACAUUUUCCCAAAAAAUCAAAUAACUAUUAUAAUAUUAAUAUCCUUUAUGAAAUACAAUUCAAAUGGGUUUCCGAACAAACAGUAAAUAAAGUAUGAAUAAUAAAAAAAAUUAAUAAAAAAAAAUACAAAAUCACAAAGCUUUCAUGAUCAAUACAAAGAAAAAGCUUUUAACUUUUCUUUUAAAAAAAUGUUACGUUUAUUUUGAUAUUAACAAAAAAAUAACACAUAAUUUUCUUUUAAGAAAAAGAGUAAAAGAGAAAAACUAUUCAUAUUAAAAAGGAUGUAUAUGUAUAUGUAUAAUUUCCAUGUAAAAAAUAAUAUUCAAGAUUGUAUUUUUAUAUUUUAAAAAAUAAAUUUUAUUAUUUUAAAAGAAUAAUAAUUACUCUCCUUAUAAGGAAUAAAGUAUGACUUACUUUUUUUAUUUUUAAAAAUAAAAAAUUACAAAAAAAUUCUUUUUGAAGGUUUUGUAAAAUAGAUGUUAACAACAAAACUAACACAUUUUUUUUUUCCAAAGAAAAAGCGUAAAAGAGAAAAAAAAGGUCCAAAUUAAAAAAAAAAAUGUACAUGUAGUAUUUCCACAUACUAUAUAUAUAGCUAUUUAUUAAUUUUAUAAUAUAUUUUCCACGUCUCCAUGCUCUCCUGUACUAUUCUCUAUAUGUAUUUUGCCAUUGAAUUUUUAAUUUUUUAAGAGGGAAAAUAUAUUCUGUUACUUCAUUUUGAAGAAUUGUUUUGUCUUUAACGGAUUAUAUCCAUCAAUUGGAAAAUUGGGAUAGAACAUUUUGAGAAUUUAUUGGGCCUCAUAAUACCCUUAUGUUCUUUUAUUAUUAUUUUCCGUUAAAACUAACAGAAAAGAGGAAUGACUAAAACAAGGUCCGGCAAACAGGCCAACUACAGUGCCAGCAAAGCAGUAGAAAAUGGAAAUAGGGUAUGUAGUUUUGGGAAGAGGUGGCAUCUAGACAACUGCUUGCUUUUUGUUUCAUACACACAUUUCAUAUAUUAAAAUUACCCAAUAUUUCCGGGUGAAAAUCUAUAGACUUGAUUUAUAACAAAAAAAAUUUCAAAAUUAUUUUGACAUAACUGAAUUAAAUAUUUGAAAUUUUUUUAUUAUUUUCUUUUCUUUUUCAAUAGAAAAGGAUUAAAAUUUAUUUUAUUUAACAUAAAAAGACUCAUUAUUAAAACUAAUAUUUAUGAUCUCUUAUUUGAUGACAAUUUUUUUAUUUUAUAAAAAUUAAAAUACCAUUUAAGAAAAAAAAUUAUUUUGUAAAAUUAAAGUACCAUAUAAAUAAACAAAUUAUUAAUAAUUGAUUAACUUAUUGAUAUGAUUUAUAAAACCUUUAUAUACCAAAUGCAUAUAAGGAAAUUGAAUUAAACAUAGUAGAGCAUGAUAAAUUUAAAUAAAAAAUAAAAUCAUUUCAUUCUAAAAAAUUCUUAUUACCGUGUAGGAGAUGUACUUAAAAUAAAACAAAACUUAAAUUUUAGAGCACAUUAAAAAAAUAAAUAAAACAUAUAUUUUUUUUAGUUUUUUCAUUUGUUAAAUAAAAAGUACUUUUCAUUCUAAACAAUUUCCCAAAAAAUCAAACAACUAUUAUAAAAUUAAUAUCUUUCAAAAAAUAUAAUUUAAAUGGGGAUUCAUACAAAAAAUUAAAUAAAGUAUAAAUAAUUAAAAAUUAAUCAAAACAUACAAAAUAAAAUAUAAAAUUACAAAACUUACAUAAUUGAUACAAAGAAAAAGUUCAUAACUUUGUUUUUAAAAAAAUAUUACAUUUAUUUUGAUGUUAACAACAAAAUAACACAUAAUAUUUAAAAAAAAAACAAGAGUAAAAGGAGAAAUGAGGUUCAAAUUAAAAAGGAUGUAUAUAUAUAAUUUAUAUGCAAUAAAUAAUAUCUAGGAUUGUAUUUUUAUAUUUUUUAAAUGUUAAAAUAAAGAUAAUAAAGGUAAUUUGGUUGUUAUUUUAAAAGAAUGGUAGUUUAAUAUUUCAAGAAUGUCGUAGAACAGAAAAAAAGAAAAAGAGAGAGACAACUAACCUUUUCAUUGAAGAGCACUUCAUCAUUAGUAGAAGUAUUGACAUCUCUCAUGUCUUCCAUCCCACAAUCAAUGAUAUGUAACUCUUUGGGAUUGUGAAAAUUCUUGAACAUUGAAGAAGACAAAAUUAAUUGAGGUAGUUUCUCAAUCUUUAGGAUUUUUAACUUUGGGAGGAUCCCAAAAUCUAUCUCCUUCAAUUUUGGAAGACUUUUUAGAACUAUCUCCUCCAAAUUAGGAGAAAGUGAAACCUACAUAAGAAACACAAUAUAAUACAUGACAUCAUCAAUUGUAAAAUUGUAAUAAAUAUAAAAAUAUUGGGUCAAUAUUGGAAAAUAUAUUAUUUUACCUCAUUUUGAAGAAUUGUUCUAUCUUUAUUGAAUUAUAUCCAUCAAUUGGAGAAUUAUGAUAGAAUAUUUUGGGGAAACUCCAGUAAAUCAAGGAUUAAAAAUCGCCUUAACAUAGAGAAUUUAUUGUGCCAACAAAUACCCUUAUAUUUUUUUAUUAUUUUUUUUGUUAAAAAUAACAAAAAAGAGGGACGACCAGAACAAGGUUAGGGUGAGAGGCCAAGUGUAGUGCCAACAAAGCAGUAGAAAAUGGAAAUAGGGUAUUUACUAUUUAGUUUUGGGAAGAGGUGACAUCUAAGACAACUGUUUCCUUUUUGUUUCAUCUAGCAUAUGCACAUUACAUAUAUUAAAACUACCCAAUAUUUUCGGGUGAAAAUCUCUCGACUUGAUUUAUAAAAAUAAAAAAAAAAUUUCAAAAUUAUUUUUACGUAACUAGCUUUAAAAUAUUUGAAAAUUUUUUAUUAUUUUCUUUUAUUUUUAAAUAUAAAAUGAUCAAAAUUUAGUUUAUUUAACAUAAAAGGACUGGUGAUUAAAACUAAUAUUUCUAAUAUCUUAUUUGAUGACAAUUUUUUUAUUUUAUAAAAAUUAAAAUACUAUUUAAGCAAAAAAAUUAGUUUGUAAAAUUAAAAUAACAUAUAAAUAAAUAAAUUGUCAAUAAUUACUUAACUUAUUAAUAUUAUUGACAAAACCUUUAUCUAAUAAAUGCAUAUAAGAAGAUUGAAUUAAACAUCACAAAGCAUGAUAAAUUUAAAUAAAAAAAUAUCAAAUUAUUUUAUUUUGAAAAUUUUUAUUAUUGUAAGAAGGUAGGAGAUGUACUUAAAAUAAAAACAAAAUUUAAAUUUUAGAGCACAAUAAAAAAAUAUAUAUAUAUAUUUUGGUUUUUUCAUUUGUUAAAUAAAAAGUAAUUUUUAUUCUAAACAAUUUCCCAAAAAAUCAAACAACUUGAUAAGACUUUCUAGAGCUAACUCUUCCAAAUUAGGAGAGAAUGAAAUCUAUAUUGUAAAAGUAUAGUAAACAUAAAAAUAUUGGGUUAAUAUAAUUCAUUAACUCUCAAAUCAUAUACAAACUUUAAUAAUUUUCUUUUAAAAUUUAUUUUUUCUAUUAAAAAUUUCAAUAAUUUCACUUUUAAAUUCAUUGCUAUAUUUAUUUCUAUUAACACUUAACCUUUUUUUUAAAUUAGAAUGAAAUUUACAAUGUUUCCUUUUUGUUAUGUUUUAUAUAUUAAUAUUUAAUGUUUUUAAAAUUAAAAAUUCCCUUUUUAACUUUAUUCUUGUUUUCAACUCCUUUAUAUUUUAUUUUUUAUUCACUAAUUCUUUUUUUUUUUUAAACUAAAUAAUAAAAUUAUUAACUUUGAUGGUUAUUUUAAGUCAAGAUUAAUUAGUCUUCUUAUAUGAAAUAAAAUAUGUUUUGCUAUUUUUUAUUUUUAUCUAACAUCUUAACCCAAAUUUUCCAAAAGUUAUUAAUUUUAACUCUUCUAAAAUUUAAAUAAAAUAUUAUUAUUUGAAUUAAAUUUUUACUAGUUCUCUUUUCUAAUUCAUUGCAAUAUGUCUUUCAAUUAGUACCUAUUUUUUUUCGUUUCUAAAUUAAAAUAAUAACUACCAUUUUUCCUUAUUUUUAUAUUAUUUCUAUUAACAUUUAUCCUUUUUAAAUUAAUUUUUCACUUAAAAAUUUUAUUUUUUUCAACUCAUUUGUAAUUUACUUAUUAUUCACAAUUUUUAUUAUUUAAAAUUAAAUUAAUAAAAUUAUUAUUCAAGAUUAAUGUAUUCUUCUCAUACUUUCUUUUUAAAAAUAUUUUUAUUAUAUAUCUCCCUAAAUAUUUCAAGUAGUGUAAGAAAAAACAAAAAAUAUGGGAAAAAACUAACCUUAGACAAAAGACAUCCAUGUAGUUUCUUUAACUUCAGGAUUUUUAACUUUGGGAGGAUCCCAACAUCCAUCUCUAUCAAAUUGGGAACGUUUUUUAGAAUCAAUUCCUCCAAAUUAGGAGGGAAUGAAACCUACAUGAAAAACACAAUAUAUAAUACAUGAUAUCAUCAAUUAUAAAAGUGUGAUAAACACAAAAAUAAAUAGAGCAAUAUAAUUCAUUCACUCUCAAAUCAUAUGCAAAUUUUAAUAAUUUCCUUUUCAAAUUUAUUUUUUCUAUUAAAAAUUUCAAUAAUUUCACUUUUAAAUUUAUUGUUAUAUUUAUUUCUUCUAACAAUUUAACUUUUUUUUAUUUAAAUUAAAAUGAAAUUUACUAUGUUUCCUUUUUAUUAUGUUUUUUUAUAUUAAUACUUAAUGUUUUUAAAAUUAAAAAUUCCUCUUUUAACUUUAUUCUUGUUUUCAAUUCCUUUAUUUUUUUUAUUUAUGAUCCAUUAGUUAUUCUUUUUACAAUAUAAUGGAGUAAGCGCAUUGAAUUUUUAAUUUUUUUGAAAGAGAAUAUAUUCUUUUAGCUCAUUUUGAAGAAUGGUUUCAUCUUUAAUGAAUUAUAAGGGGAAACUCUAGUAAAUCAAGGAUUACAAAUCGCCUAAAACAUAGAGAAGUUUUGGGCCCCGCGUAAUACCCUUAAUUUUUUUUUUUAAAUUUUCUAUUAAAACUAACAUAAAAAAGGAAUGACUAGGACAAGAUCAGGCCGAGAGGCCCAAAAAAUCAAACAAUUGUUAUAAAAUUAAUAUCUUUCAAUAAAUAUAAUUUAAAUGGGGUUUAUACAAAACAUUAAAUAAAGUAUAAAAAAUUAAAAAAUUAAUCAAAACAUACAAAACAAAAUAUAAAAUUACAAAACUUACAUAAUUGAUACAAAGAAAAAGUUUAGAACUUUGUCUUUUGAAAAAUAUUACGUUUAUUUUGAUGUUAACAACAAAAUAACACAAGUUUUUCAAAAAAAAAGAAAAAGAAAAACAAGAGUAAAGGAGAAAUGACGUCCAAAUUAAAAAGGAUGUAUAUAUAUAAUUUCUAUGUAAUAAACAAUACCUAGGAUUGUAUUUUUAUUUUUUUAAAAUGUUAAAAUAAGGAAAAUAAAGAUAAUUUGAUUGUUAUUUUAAAAGAAUGGUAGUUUAAGAUUUCAAGAAAGUAGAAUAAAAAAAUUAGGAGAAAACUAAUCUUUUCAUUGGAGAACACUACAUCAUUACUAGGAGUAUUGACAUCUUCCCCGUCUUCCAUCCCACAAUCAAUGAUAUGUAACUUUUGGAGAUUGUGAAAAAUCUUGAACAUGGAAGCUACGGUAAGUCUUAGCCUAGGUAGUUUCUCUAACUUCAAGAUUUUUAACUUUAGGAGGAUCCCAAUAUCCAUCUCCUCCAAAUUAGGAGGGAAUGAAACCUACAUGAGUAACACAAUAUAUAAUACAUGAUAUCAUCAAUUGUAAAAAUAUGAUAAACACAAAAAUAAUAGGUCAAUAUAAUUCAUUCACUCUAAAUCAUAUGAAAAUUUUAAUAAUUUCCUUUUCAAAUUUAUUUUUCCUAUUAAAAACUUCAAUAAUUUCACUUUUAAAUUCAUUGUUAUAUUUAUUUCUACUAACAAUUUAACUUUUUUUUUUUUAUUUAAAUUAGAAUGAAAUUUACUAUGUUUUCCUUUUUAUUAUGUUUUUUUAUAUUAAUACUUAAUGUUUUUAAAAUUAAAAAUUCCUUUUUUAACUUUAUUCUUGUUUUCAACUCCUUUAUAUUUUAUUUUAGAUCCACUAGUUAUGUUUUUAUUUUUUGAAACUAAAUAAUAAAAUUAUUAACUUUGAUGGUUAUUUUAAAAUCAAGAUUAAUUAGUCUCCUUGUAUCAAAUAAAAUAUGUUUUACUCUUUUGAUUUUCAAAAGUAAAAAGUUAGUCAUAAAUUUGAAAAUAUCUUAAUCAUCUAACAUCUUAACCCAAUUUUCCCAAAUCUUAUUAAUUUUAACUAUUCUAAAAUUUAAAUAAAAUAUUAUUAUUUGAAUUAAAUUUUCACUAAUUCUCCUUUCUAAUUCAUUGCAAUAUUUAUUCCAACUAGCCCCAUUUUUUUCCUUUUAAAUUAAAUAAUACUUACCAUGUUUCCUUAUUGUAUAUUAUUUCUAGUCAUAUUUAUUGCUUUUAAAAUUCACAUUUUGGUAUUAUGUUUAUUCCUUUUUCAACUCCUUUAUAAUUUAAUUAUUAUUCACCAUAUUUUAUUAUCUAAAAUUAAAUUUUAAAUUAAUUUGAUAAAUCUAUUAUUAAAGAUUAAUAUAAUGUUCUCAUAAUUUUUUAUUAUUUUAAUGGAAUAUCUUUUUCAAUAUUUCCCAAAAUAGUAUAAGGAAAAAUAAAAAAAUAUGGGAUAAAACUAACCUUUCCAUCGGAGAGCACUACAUCUUCUGUAGGAGUAUUGAUAUGUUCCUCAUCUUCAACUUCGUUCCCACAAUCUUGAAUGUAUAGGAAUUUAAGGUUGUGAAAAGGAAUGGAAGAAGAGAAAAGACACCUCACGCUAUCAUUCUUGUCCUCAUCCUCAUUGCACACAACACGCCUCAACUUAGGUAGUGCUUUUAACUGUAAGGAUUUUAACCUUGGGAGAAUCCUAAUAUUUCCAUCAAGUCCUUGAAGAUCAAACACAUGUUUUAGGACUUCACAGUGAGCCACCUCUAAUUUUUUCAAAUUGUCGAAACUUUGUAUCAAAUGAGAUGGAAUAAGAUUGAGUAGGCUUGGACAAUGGUUUACUUGUAGGAUUUGCAAAUUGUAGAAGGACCCAAGUGGAAGUUGGUGAUGCCAUAUCUCCUUCAAUUCGAGAAGAUUAUAAAGCAUCAACUUCUCCAAAUUAGGGAAUGAAACCUGAAAUAUAAUACAUGACAUCAUCAAUUGGAAAGUUGUGAUUAAAAUGAAUAUGUUUCUUUCUUUAAAUAUAAUUCAUCUUCCAAAUAUUCACAUAUUUACUUUAGUUAUGUUUUAUGUUUUAAAAAUCUAAAACAAUCAAGGUGGACUAAAAAGAAUCAUGUGAAAAUCUUGGAAAUUUUCACAAAAAAAAUUGACAAGUUAUCAACGAAGAAUAUAUUGGCUCCACUUCUCACAUAAUAUUAGCUAUUUAAUGACAUGUUUUUCGUUAUCUUUUUGUUAAAAGAACAUAGGGAUGACUACAAUGGUGGCGAAUGUGCAACCAUGGAUUACAUAGAUUCUUAUGCCACAAAUUAUUUUUAUUCAUAACCAUCAUUUAUUAUUUUAAAUCAUAUGAACUAUUUAAUUUUUUUUCCUAUUAAUAAAUUCUAAUGAUUUUAUUUUUAAAAUUUGGCUUUUUCUUUUAAAAGAUUGUAUUUCACUCUUAAAUUUAUUCCAGUAUGUUUUCCUAUUAACCUCAACUUUUCCUUAUUAAAUUUUUUUCCUUAGUUUUAUAUUCAUUCGUAUUAGUAUUUAAUUAAUGUUUUUUAAAAUUAAAAUUCCUUUAACCUUAUUCAUUCUUCUACUCCUUUAUAUUUUUUGUAUUAUUCAUUAUUUUUAUAUUAUUUGAAAUUAAAGUUUCAAAUCAUUUUAUAAAUUUAUUAUUAAAGACUAAUACUAAGUAUACAAAAUAUUAUUAUUUUUUAGUAUUCAUCUUGAAAAUUAUACUUAUCAUAAACUUAUGUUAUAUCACUCACAAAUCAUAUUAAUUUAAUCAUACAUAUCUAUAUUAUUCUCAAAUUACACUAAUUCAAUUAUAAUAUUAAUGCAAUCAUAUGAUAUUUAUAUAUUAUUUAAAAUUUUAUAAUUUUCAAAGUUUUAUUCAUGUUUAGCAAUAUUUCCAUAUUAAGAUUUUCAUCAAUAUUUGAUACAAUGGAAUCACCAAAGCUUUUUUGUUAGGCAAAAAUAAAGAAAGUUAAUUAUUAAUGGAUCAUAUUACAGUUAUAUUAAUAAUUGAAAAUAAAAAUAGUAAAGCAUAAAAAAAAAUUACCAUUCUUUUAAAGUAACAACUGAAAUAUUCAUAUUUAACACUUUUAUAAAAAUUAAUUUUAGGGUUAAUUUAUUGAUUUCUCUAAGGUUUUACCUAAAUACACUUAACCUUUAUUAGUUUAAAAUUUCAUCAAAUACCUUCAUUUCCCUUCUUAUUUGUCAUUUUACUCACCUCUCCUCUAACUUAAAAUAAGGAAAAUAUUUAACAAAUUUCAAACCAAUGGGGACUAGGUGUAUUUAGCCAAUAAUUUAGGAGAGGUACGUGAAAUUAACCCUUAAUUUUAUAAAAUUUAAAAAUAAAAAAUAAAAAAUUAUUUUUUUCUCCUUUUCUUUCCUUUUUUUUUUUUUUUAAUUUAUAUGUUAUUUUAUUGUUACCAUCAAAAUUAAAUUUGAGAACUUUUUACCGAUUUUUUUCUUUGUAUUUAUGAUUUAUACUCCGUAAUUUUAUAUUUAUUUUGAAUCUUUUAAUUUUAUGCAUUUUAUUUAAUAAUUUUUUAAAAACUUAGAUAAAUCAUAUUUCUUAAAAUGUAUUUAUUUUAUAAUGGUUAUUUGAUUUUUGGGGAAAUUAUUUAGAAAUUAUUAUUAUUAUUAUGAUUAUUAUGAUAUUAUAAUAUUACUAUUAAAAUAUUGAUAUAAAUAUUUUUUGUUUUCAAUAAUAAUAAUAAAAAUAUAAUACAAUAAUUAUAUUAUUAAAGGUGAUAAUUAAUAUUAAUACAAUUAUUGAUAACAUUUUACUAAUAAUAAUAAAUAAAUAAAUAAAUGAAAUAUGUUAUUAAAAAUAAAUAAUAAUAGUAAUAAUAAAAAUAACAAAAAUGAGGAAAGGAAAAAAUAAAGAAAAAGGUAAACUAAUGGUAUUUUUGCCUUUUUACUCUUUAUGGAAUUUUUAGCAAUUUACAAUUAUUUUCAUCUUCUUUCUCAAUUAUAUCACUUUUUACAUCUUAAAGCAUAGUUAUCCUAAAUCAAUUUUUUAGAAGGAAAGUGAAGACAAAAAUGAAUCACCAUUUUUGUCUUCAUUUUCCCAUCUUUCCUUAUUAAUCCUUUUCAAUUUAUUUAUAAAACUUAUAAAACAUUACUAAUAUUUAAAAAAAAUUAUUCAAACUAGACUUUUUCCAAAUAUUGAAUGAAUCCUCAAAUAAAAUAAUUUAUUAAAUUCUCUUCUCAUCCUUAUGUUAUCUCCUUUUAACAAACUUAUAAGGUGCAAUUAGAAAGUGCAUGUGGACUUUACCUAGUUUUUCUUUUGAUUUAUUUAUUAAAAAAUAUAUGAAAAAAAUAAAAAAUAAAAAAAACUAUGGAAAUUAGCCCUUAAUUAAACUUAAACAUACCUGAUAACUGAAAAAUGGCAUGUGGAUAUUAGGAUUGCCUUGGGAACAUGUUUCUUGCGAUGUCGUCUCCAAAUUAGAGCCGAAGUAGUCGAAAUUCAUGAGCUCUGGUAGAUCCCUAAGUUUCAAAAGUCGUAAUUUAGGGAGCAGUUGCAAGUCGGUCCCAACAUGAUCAACUUCUUUUAUUUCAAACUCCCCUUCACAUGCGAUUAUUUGUUGCAUGGCAUUGCAAUCAUUUAUUGUCAUUUCUUCUACUUGGGAAAGGCCUCUAGCUGUGGAAAGUAAGAAGAGAAAUUUCAAUCCAUGACAUUUCUCCACAUCUAAAAUUUUCAAGUUAUCCAACGACCUUAGGGGAAUUGGGCCACGACAUACUUUUUCCAAUUUACUCAACUUUAGUUCUUCAGUUUUCUUCAACAACUUUCUAAUUCCAUCCCUCAAAAGUAAGCUCCUAUCAACCUGUUCCAGCUUUAAUGUUUUUGAUGUUUUAUAAUUUCUUUCCCAUGAAUAAACUCUGCCUGCAAAUAUUGCAUAUCUUGUCAAGUUCUCAAAGAACAUGUCUUCUUUUGGUAGCAACUUGACAGCUGGCACUUCUAUCUCUAUAGUUGUCAAAUGGUGCAAAUGAUUCAGCUCCGAUAAACAAGCAUUGCUUUCUCCAUCACUAACUCCUUCAGCUGCCCAUCGAGUAAAGCUAGAUUUCAUGCGCAAACAUUCUAAUCGAGACAGGCUUGAUAAGAUAUUUCGUGGAAUUACAUCAAGCUGCCGACAAUCGUUCAAAUCCAACAACAUUAGAUUCGUCAACUGCCCCAUUUCACUAGGCAAUCGUCGGAUAUCGGAACCCACCAUGCUAAGAACUUGUAGUUUCUUUAGCUCUCCAAUUAGAGCUAUGUCUCCCAACUCGCACCCGUCUAGACGUAAUGUUCGAAGAUUUGGAAGGGAAUGAAGCGUUGAAGGUAGUGUUGUGAAAUGCAUUUCAGACAAGUCUAAAACUUUGAGUAGGUUCAUCGCUUCAAAAAAUGUGUGUGGGAUAUUCAAGGUAGGACUGAUGUUCUGCAAUAGUAAAAAUUGAAGUUUUGGACAUACCAACCUGUGAGGAAGCUCAUGCACAUCUUUGCAAUUUAAAGAGAUGUAUUUGAAUUCAUCAGUCUUUGACCAUUCUUCAUCAUCUUCUCUAACUACAAAUCGAUGAAAAUCCUUGGAUGCAAUAUUUCUGGCAACAUCACGAACAACAUCAUGCAUCCUGACAGACUUGUUAUCAGCAUCCAUGAAAAGCAACCUCGAGGCUCCUCGUCUAAAAGGGUUUAUAUGAUCUUCACCGUCAAGUAACAAGCUUGAGGCUUUGAGGGUUCUCACCAAUGUAACUAGUUUAUUUCUUGCUUGCUCCAAUGACUUGAGGUGGUCAAACAAAUCCAAACCCAUAGCAUACUGUAACAAUUCAUGCAUUGAAAUAUCGCCAUAGCUCAACCAACCACAAAGUAAGAACAAUGACUUCACUUCAUGACCUUUCAAAUGGUCGUAGCUCAACUUCAGACAUCCGUAUACCUUGUCAUCCACUCCACCGAUGUUUAUUGGCGCAGCACUCCUCAGUUCGGCCAAAGCAUUCUCCCAUAUUUCCACUAUUUCACCUUUUAAUGCCUUCGCAAUUGUUACAAUUGCAAUUGGUAGACCCUGACAUUCGUUAACCACCUCAAUUGCUAUGGGUCGCAGUUGGUCCCCCUCCACGGAAUCACCUGCUGUCUUCUUAAAUAAAUGCCAAGCUUCUUCUUUUGGUAAAUGUUGAAGUGGAAAACAUUCUUUUGCGCCCAUGUGUUUGCGUAAUAGGUCUUCAUUUCUAGAAGCCAACACUAUUUUGCAUCCUUUCUGGUCAUCUUCAGAAGGAAUUCCAACUUCCUCCAAACUAACUUCCUUCCAAAUGUCAUCUAGGAUGAUUAGGAUCUUCUCUCUCUGAAGUCUCCGCAUCAGUUCAACUGCUCUUGUGGAUUCAUUCACCCCCUUAAAUUGCAAGCCUAACAUGUCUGCAAUUUGUUGUUGAAUUUUAGCAAUUACUUCUUGAAGUUUUUCCGAAUCUCGCGUCCUGGAUACAUCUAUGUAGACUCGUGUGGUGAACAGCUUCUCAUCUUCAGCUAGUUGGGACACUUGUUUGACCAGCGUGGUUUUGCCCACACCGCCCAUGCCCCACACCCCAAUCUUGUUGAUCUCAUCAUCUCUUAAUGCAUCCAUAACUUUGUUCACAGUCGAGGCUCUUGACUCAAAAGGUUCAUAAUUUUUAAAGGUUACAUUCCGUGGAGGGACACGAUAUGAUACGCCAUCGGGGAAAUUGCGGUCUUCUUGGACUUUAACAAUAACCUGCGCCUUCUUGUCUGCUACCCUGCUUAGCAGGUACCGUGACUUGAGAUUAGGACACCACCCAUUGAAACAGCUCUUGUUUUCAUCUUUCUUCAAUUCCUCUGCCUCCCCUGUAACCUUAUCUACCCGAUUCAGCCACUCCUGAACAAUAGGUCUGAUUUCAUCCCCCCUUCUCCUAGCUUCAUCAACAGUUAUCAGCACGUCAACCCUCGCCUUCCCCAGCUUCUGAACUUUGUUGUGGAGUUCAUCGGUAUAGCUCCGAUAGCAAAACAGAUAACUAAGCUGGCGUCCAAUUGGAGCAACCAAGUACUCUGAAACUUUUGCAGCAACGGCAUUAAUGAUCUCUGUCAUUUCGUCUCAGUUGGAUUUGUUUUUUCUUUUUUGUGUGUGUGGUUUUGUUGGGAAAACAGAAGGGAAAUGAUGAAAAAACAGAAACAAAUGAAAGCAGGAACAAGAGGAAACUAAAAUAAGAGAGUGGAAGAAAUGGAAGGAGCAGAGUAUUUGUUCCAAGCAGAGAGACGGUCACCAACAAAAUGAAAAGCAGAAUCAGUAGCGAAUAUGAGUGAAGGUAGAAAAAAUGACAAAGAAGUAGGGAGUGAAGAGAUGGAGAAAGCUCAAGGAAUGCAUGCAAUUUGAUUCAGUGUGACAAAACGAGAACAAAGGAAGUUGGUGUUUUGCAAGCAGAUCUCGAUGUGAGGCCGAAUGUAAAGAGUAGAUUACCAAGCUAUGAAGACAGAUGGUGGUUUUUUUUUUUUUUUUUUUUUUUGGGAAAUUUGGUUAUGUUGGAAAACAGAUGGGAACUGAGAAAAUAAGAGGAAAUUAAGAAGAGGGUGGAGCAAAUGAAAAUAAACAAGGAAAUGAAAGGAGCAGAGUUUGGGUUCCAAACAGAGAGACGAUGAAGGAAUCAGAGGUGAAUGAGAGCCAGGUUAGGAAUGGAUGAUAAAAUGGGAAAGAGGUAGUGAGUCGAAGAGAUGGGGAAAGGCAAAAGGAUUAAGCAACAGCAACAAAGCAGAGAGUGGUAUUGCAAUUAGGUACGGGAAGGAGCAGACUACUUUUUAACUUGGGGUGUUAUAAUUGAGAAAGCACUAACCAAGUAGAAUUUUCCAUCUUCACCCUUGGAUUAUUCCUCACAUGGAUUACUUUUAUCAUUGUGGAAAUUGGAAAACAGGCUUUAAUGGCUUAUAAUAUGAGGCUGCUGUGGCUGCCACUUCCUUUUCCAUCCUCUGCCACUAUUCUUAAUCAUAAAUUAAAGUUAAAUAAUUUUAAUUAUUCUUAAUCUUUAAUUUUUCUUUAAAUUAAUUCAAUUAAUUACAACUAAUAAAAUUAUUUUAGUUUGAUAUUGUUUUUUAUUUAUAAGAUAAAUAAUAUUUAUCUAUUCUUUUUUAUUUAAUAAAAUUUUUAUAAUUCCAAUAUUAUUUUUGAAAAAUUAUGAUUUUAGUUUGAGUUUCAACUUCCUAGUAAAACAAAAAACAAGAAAAUAUCUCAAACAAGAUGCAAGUGGCUGAGGAAUAUGUAAAUGACUUAGGUGGUGUUUGUUUUUUUAGCUUUUUGCUGAAAACUAUUUAGUUUUAGAAUUUAGGUUGUUUGUUUUUUUACUUUUUCAUGACUUAUUAUAAACUUUUUACUAAAUAGAAAAAGCCAAAAUAUGUGGCUUUUUCUAAAUAGAAAAAAUAACACAAUGAUUUUUUUUACUUUUUAAUACUUAAUAGAAAUAAAAUACUACAAAAACAAACAAUCUAAUAUUUAAUACUAUUAAGUAUUAAGGUUCUAUUUAGAAUUAAGUAAAAAAACAAACACCACCUUAGACUUGAAGAUUGGGUUAAUGGGCUCACGUUGACAUUCAUAAUCAUAGAUGAUUAGUGAUGUAUGGUUCUGACUCCCACGAUUGAUUCAAACUUUAUCCAAAUGACAAGUGAUUAUAGUCAUGAGUUUAGAAAUUGAUACACAAAUGCUUUCAUUUUCCUUGAGCACCUACUCUACCAACUUUAUUAUUAUUAUUCUCCCUCCUGCCCCUUCAUUCACUCUGGUUUUAUUUCAUCCAUACCCUUCUCCUACUACUUUCAGAGCAGAGCAGUGCAGUUAUUACUCUCCGAAGCAAGAAAAAAAUUUCAUCAAAGUCUUGGCAAGGUUCUCUAUAUUAUAUUAUAUUAUUAUAAAUAUUUUUGUCUUUUAUUUUGUACUAUAAGAAAAAUUAAUACUAUCAUGUUUAAUAUCUAUAAAAAUUUAAAAUAUUAUUUAAAAUUUAUUUAUGUUAUCCAUUUAAAAAAAUAAUAAUAAAAUCAAAAUUGUAUCCAAAUGAUAUUAUAAUUAUUUAUUAUAUUUUAAUUUUUAAUUUAUAUUAAAUUCAUUAAAAUUAUAUUAAUUAUUUAUAAUUUUAAUAGCAUAAUAGAAAAUAAAAAAAUCAAUUGCUAUAUGAGCCACUAUCAAACAGAAGUGGAUCAAUUAUUGAUAUUGUGUUAAUAUUAUGAUUUUAAUGUUAUUUAGAGUGUGAAAUGAAAUAAGAGCUUACAGCUGGACUGCACCCAUUUAUUAGUGGUGUAUUGUCAAAAUCUUUCGGUAUCCAUGUGUCGUCUCAUAAAAAAACUGAGCAAAUUUAAAGCCUUUGAGUUUGGAAAUUGUAACACGCAUGCUUUCAUUUUCCUUGAGCAAUCAGUUAUUUCUCACCAACCGCUCUGACUACUUCAUUAUUUUUAUUAUUUAUUGGUUUUUGGGGCAUGACUUGCAACCCUUGAUCUAUUAGAUGCAUACGUUUCUCUCAAAGUAACCACUGCAUCUCAUUUAGUACUUUCAAAAGUGAAAAAUAAAAAAUAAAAAUCAUAAAAAAAAAACUUCUUUCUUUAUAUUACAUAAUUAUGCAAUAUCUUUUUUUUUUUUUUAUUUACAAGAGAAAAAAUUAAUAUUUAUAUGUUUGAUAUUUAUAAAAAAUAAAAUAUUAUGUAAAAAAUUAUUUAUGUUUUCUAUUUUUAAAAAUACUAAAACAAAAUUUGUAUCCAAAUGAUAUCUCAAUUAUUUAUUUUGUUUAAUUUUUUAACCUAUACUAAAUUCAUUAAAAUUUGAUUAAUUAUUUAUGUAUAAUUUUAAUAUAAUUAUUUAAUUAUACUUUUCACAAGUCCAUGUUCAGAGUCAGCAAGAAUGGAAGAUCAAUUGUGACAGUUUAUGCAAAAGUGGGUUGAAAAGAAUCCCCCGAACUGCAUUUCGUGCAUGUUUUUAAGCCCAUUUUCAAAAAAAAAAAAAAAAAAAGAAACAAAUUUUAGUCUACAAGGGUAAUUUCAUAAAACAUUAAAUGUGGAGGGUGGGAGGUAGGUAAGGAAGGCGAAUUGGCACGUGAUUGAAGAGUGAGAUCAGACAGCUGGACUAUAGUCAUUCAUUCGUGCAUGGUUUUACUACUUCCGCAUGUUUCUCUUGAGUCCCCACUUCUAUGCAUCUCUCAUUUAUUAAUUUCAGAAGUUAGAAGACAAUUAUUAAAGUCAUAAAAAUAAUAAUAAAAAAUAUAUAAUUAUGAAACAUUUUUAUUUUUUAUUUUUACUAGAAGGAAAUUGAUACUAUAAUGUUUAAUAUUUUUAAAAUUUUAAAAAAUAAUUUAAAAAUUAUUUAUAUUUUCUAUUUUUAAAAAUUAUAAAAAAUGCUUUAUAAAACAAGAAAUGGUUUCAUAAAAUUUCUCCAUAAGUUUUAGAAAUUAAAAAAGAACCAUAUACGAAUUUUUCACCUUUUAACAAAGUCGUUCAAAAAUAAAUCACAUCAAACUCUUAAUUGACUUUUAAAAUAAAAAAUAAAUACUUUUAUUAUCUAUUUUUAGAUUGUGAUUAAGGCAAAAAAAAAAAAAAAAGAGGAAAAGUAUUUAUUUUUGUAAAAAAUAUAUUUUUUUACAAGCUCAUAAUUUAGACUUUUUUUUUUGUCAACUUAAGAAUAAUGCUUAUACAAGCUAGAAGUCGGCCUAUUUCCAAACUUAUAACAUCAUUAGUAUUAUUAUUAUUAUUAUUUUAAAAAAACGAAAACAGAUAGAUGAAGUAUUAUGGGAACUUAGUUACUAAUUCAUUUUUGCUUCGAGAACUUGGCAAUAUGAUGCGAUUUUAAUGUAACAUUAUAAAUUCACUGUGAAAGACAUCUCAUCUUAAUUUUAAUUUUUUUAAAUAAAAAUAUAUAACAUCUCAAUGUCUGAUUUUAAAAAAAUAUAUAAUAUUAUUUAAACAUUUCUUUAAAAUUUAUUUCUCAUUGUUUAUUUUUUAAAUAAAAAAUUAAAACUGAUUUCGUACAACAUGUUUGGUAAUGUAUUUUACUUUUUACUUUUAAAUUUGAUAACAAAAAAUUGAAAAUAAAGAUAUAAAAUUUGUUUGAUAUCUAACAAGCUCUUAAUUUAUACAAAUAAUUCUGUAAAUUUUUAUUAUUAUAAAUGGUUUUAAAGAGAAUCAGUCUAAUGAUUACAUUUUUGGCUUAAAAAUGAAUAUGUAAAUUACAGCAAAAUGGAAAUUAAAUGAGAUUGAGUGUGAAAUCACGAGACUGAAGACCCUGCCAUAUCAUGCUUGCAUUUUAAAAAAAAGACAAAAAUCUUCAGCCUUGGAUUCCUGUACACGAAUUCCCUAUAAAAUUUGUUUCACUUUUUUUUUUUUUACUUUUAAAAUAGAAAAUUACCACCCAAUUCACCCAUAAUUUUUUAUUUUUUUAUUUUUUAUUUUUACUAAACCAAUAAUAUGGGUGUCUCAAUCUCAGCUAUGAUCAUAAAAAAUAGCAAAAAGUUUAUUUGAUUUCCUUUUGAUGAAAAUGAAAAACAAAACUAUAACCACCAAUAAAGGAAUACAAAUACUGGCAUGUAACUCACAUGAAAGUGGGCUAUCAGUUUUCAAUAACAAAGACAAAUACGUUGAGCCCUGGAUUCCUUUAUAUGAACCAUUCUUAUAUCUACUGAAAAGGGGCUCCCAUCCAUUAUUGCCCUCAAUGAAUGAAACAGCUGCAGCAAUCAAGAAAAUAGAGAAGAAGACAAAUCACAAGCAACGAUUCUAAAUUCCGUGAUCUGCCAUUUCCCACCUGCAUUUGACUCCCACAACACAUUCAAGUUUUGGUCUCCUUUGACUGCUAAAUUAUUUCCAUUGAUCAUUGAUCAAGCCUUAAGACUCUCAAAGUAUAAAAAAUUGUAAGGUUCAAAUAUGUGAGGACUUGGAUUCCUUAUAGGAGAUAUUAUCUAUUAAGGAUGAGCACAAGUUGGUACUAACUUUAAUUGGUGAAAGCAACUACACAAAUAAAGAAAACAAAGAAUAGGAAUAAAAUCCAUGUCAAUGACUCGGGGUUCGAAAAUUCAGAGGUUUUGGACCUUUGGGCUUACUACAAUUAUUACCUUUGAACAUCUUGGGUGAGUACAAAAGUGAUCAUUCAAAAAAUAUAUAUGAAUUAAUUGAUAUAAGCUAGUUAAUUAAAUUUAUUUUUAUAUACAAAAUAUGUUGUAUGAUGUAAUUUCAUUAUAACAUUAUAAAAUUGGUGAAGACUCAGCUAAGCACAAUCUGCACUAGAAAAAAUAAUAAAGUAGACAAAAAAGUUUACCCUGGAGAAAACCAAGAAUAAUGGAGAUUUUGCAUAUGCUAUCAUUAUAACCAAAAUAAAAUUGAGAGUAUUUUUAAGUAUUAACACUAUUAUACAUUCCAUGACUCUACACAUUAAUAGAAAAUAAUAAUUUUGAUUUAUUAUUUAAUCAAACUUAUUUAUAGUAUUAUGUGUAUAAAAAAAUAUUAAUUUAAGAUUUUUUUUUGUUAUAUUUUUUUUAAUAUUAAAAAAUUUUAAAUAAUUUCAAGGUUCAUGUGACCGAUAUAAAAAUUAUGAAAAAUAUCUUUUCAAAAAAUAAUUUUCAACGUUAUUAAAACUGUUGUAAAUUCCUCAAUGCUUUUACAACUAUCAUUUUAAAAAAAAAAAUUCCCAGAAAUUAAAAACCCGGGCUGCCCUUUCUAGAGUCAAAUCUCAAUAAGCCAUCAUCUCAGUACAUUCUUGUUGAUGCUUUGCCGAGGACACACCACUAAAACCAAAUAACGAUUUUUGAUUGAAUACUUACAUAUUAUAUACAACAUCAAUUUGGAUAUAUAACAUAUUUUAUAUUGUGCUAAUAUUUAGUUUGGUCAAAGACUAAAAAUUGAAGUGAAAAAGAUAUAGUUUAUCACAAUUUUAAUCCUUUUAAGGAAAAAUGUAUUACAUCUAAAGAUCUGGUAUUAAAAAGAUAUUAAAUAUUAUUUAGACAUCUCUUUUAUUUUUUAUUUUUUUAUUUUUUGUUAAUGUAAUUUUAAAAAUAAAUUUAUAAUUCAUGUUUUGAUAACCUAUUUUUUAACUCUUAUUUUUAAAAUCUAAUAACAAAAAAUAAAAAUUAAAGAUAUAGCAUUUGUUUGAUUUCUAAUUUAUUUUUUUUUAAAAAAAUUAAAAUGCAAAAACCCAACUCACCCUCCAUCAGCAAUAUAUGAGUCCCUCCUAUAAGAAUAAAAAAUUUCAUCUAUAAAAUAAAAAAAAUGAUUAUAUUAUUUUUCCUUUUUUAUUAGAUUAACAAACACAUUUUAUUUUUUAUUUUUUAAAAUAAAAACAAAUUAUAAGCACCAAAUAUAUUUAAUAUUUACAAAACCCAAAAAUAUAAUUGACAUAUCGUGAAUAUUUUUUGUGUUUGAAAAAUUGUAGAAAUAAAAGUGUAUCCAAAUGAUACCUUAUCUAUUAAUUCUAUUUAAUUUUAUUAAUUUGUAUUAAAUUUAUGAAAAUUUAAGCAAUUAAUUUUAUAUGACUUUAAUAUAAUAAUUCAAAAUUUUCAGCAAAAAAAAGUAAUGCUGUUCAAUUUAAAAGUGGAUCCAUUUAUAAACUUGUAAGAUCAUUAGUACAGCCCGUACUUAAAAAGUAAAGCAAAAUAUGAGACUUAGAGGUAUUCAUUAUUCAAUGAGAUUGAGUUCGAAAUGCAAACAGAGCAACAAGAGCCAGCCAUGCUUGCAUUUUCAAACAAAGACAAAAAUCUUCAGCGUUGGAUUAAUCCCCUUUUAUUAUUAUUAUUAUUAUUAUUUAUUGUGUGGGACCCAUGUAUAUGCAGUGUAGAAAGGGGCUUCCGUUAGACCAAUAAAGAAAAUGAUAAAAGGUAUUAAAUAUGAUGUGAGUUGUGAAAUAGACGUUAGCGGUUUAUAUCUGAGAAAAAACUUGUAAGAGAAGGAAAAUGGGAAUACUUCUUCACAAAACGCUAAAUGUGGGGGGUGGGCAGUAGGUAAAGGAUGGCGAAAGGACACAUGAGAGCUUAUCCAAUGUUAUACUACAGUCAUUGAUUGAUGGUGCAUCAUCAAAGUCUAUCAAAUUUAAAGUCUUUGGAAAUUGGGACACCCAUGCUCUCAUUUUCACUUAGCAAUCAAUUAUCGCCUACUAUUCCAACUUUGUUAUUAUUGUUAUUUAUUAAUUUUUGGGUCUGACUCCUUCCCAUUGGCUAACUCUGGUUUUACUACAUCCAUAUGUUUCUCUUCUUGCUUUCAUACUAUCCAGUAUCCACAGCCAUGCAUCUCAUUUAUUAAUUUCAAAAGUUAGAAAAAAAAUCGUUAAGUUCGUAAAAAUGAUAAACAAAUACCUUCUUUCUUUAUAUUAUAUAAUUAUGAAAUAUCAUUAUUUUUUAAUUUUACUAGAAGCAAAUUGAUACCAUCAUGUUUCAAAUUUAUAAAAAUUAAAAAAUAAUUUAAAAGUUAUUUAUGUUUUCUAUUUUUUUAAAAUAGUAGAAAAAAAUGUAUCCAAAUGAUAUGCUAAUUAUUUAUUCUAUUUAAUUUUUUAUAUGUAUUAAAUUGAUUAAAAUUGGAUUAAUUAUUUAUGUAUGAUUUUCAUAUAAUAAUAAAUAAAAUCAAUUCUUAUAUGAGUCACUAUAUCUUAUGUUUUUUUUUUAAUUUCCAUUUUUCAAAAAAAAGGGAGGGAUUAUUUGCGGACGGGAUUGCUAAGGGCAGUGAGACUUUACUUAUUGUUAUAUACUGCAGUUGAUUUAAGACAAGUUGGUCAAGUUCAAUUGUCUUCCCAUAUUUUCAACUAUAUAAACUUAUUAUAAUUAUUAUUAUUAAAAUUAAAAUUAAAAUUAUUAUUAUUAUGAUUAUAAAACAUUGCCAGUUUGUUUCACUUUUCUUAUAUAAUUAUCAAACUUUGUUUUUUUUGUUUUAAGAAAAAACAAAAUUAGAACUGUCAAAUAGAUUUAUAUUAUGUUUGGUUUCCAAAAAGUACAAAGAAAAGAAAAAAAAAAUAUUAAGGAAAGUUGUCCUAUAAAAUAUUUCAAAGAAAAUUAAAUAUAAUUAAAAUUAGUUAGAAAUUUAUACAUUUUAAAAUUAUUUAAUCUUUAUAUUGAUAAGUUAAAAUAAAUAAAAUGAGUUUGAAGUAGCAAAUAAAAAUAAUUUAUUAUCUUUAACUUUAUUUUUUAUUUUCCUUCACUUUUUCUUUCCUUUUACUUUUCCUCUCUAUUUUAUUUCCUUUGUAUUUUCCCUCAAAUUUUCUGAGAACUAAACAUAGCCUUAAUAUUUACAAAACUAAAAACAUAAUUAUGAACACAUUUAUGCUUCAUGUUUUUAAAAAUAUUAAAAAUAAAAGUGUAUGCAAAUGAUACUUUUACUAUUAAUCCUAUUCGACUCUAUUUGUUUUUUUCAUUGAAUUUAAUGAAAUUCAAUUAAUUAUUUAUGUCUGAAUUUAAUAUAAUAAUUAAAAAUAUUUCAAAAUUUUUAAUACUUAUCAUCACUUACUAAUCUUGAUUUAAACCUUUGGUUUUCAUAUGUUUAGAUGUAUCAACACUUUUAGGUAAAGAUGAAAAUGAACCAACAUUUUCGAAUACCAUUGAUCAUGUGAUAAGAUCUCAAAAUCUAAAAAAAUUGUAUGGUUUUGAUUUGGAUGUUAUUAUUUUGAUUUUCAUGUUUUUAGAUCCAUUAACACUUUUGGCUAAGAUGACAAUGGACGAAGAUUUUCGGGUACCAUUGAUCGUGUGUUAAGACUCUCAAAGUUUAAAAAAUUAUAAGGUUUUGAUUUGGUUAUUAUUAUUAAGAAAGUACAAGAGAUUGUCAUGCUUUUAUUUUCAACGAAAACAGAUAUCUUGAGACUUGGAUUCCUUUCAAGAGCUAUUAUCCAAUGUGGAGCCCAUGUCUACAAAGGAUGAGGCUCCAUUAGUAUUAACUUUAAUUGGUGAAAGCAACUAGACCAAUGAAGAAAACAAAGAAAAUGAUAAAAAGUUUUAAAUAUGAUGUGAGUUGUAAAACAUACGUCAGUGGCUUAUAUUUGAAGAUAAGGUCAUGGGAAUCACAGAAGAUGAUACCAUUCAUGUAUGGUUUCUCCAACCUAUUCAAAAUUUAGAGGCUUUGGAUACUAAAAUUUUUACCUUUUAACGUUUCAAGUGAGUACAAAAGUAAUCAUGUAUGGUUUAUUAUGUAUAUUUUUAAAAAUAUAUGUUUAUUAAUUUACAUAAGAUGACUAAUUAAAUUUAUUUUUAUCUACAAAAUAUGUUGCAUGAUGUAAUUUUAAUAUAAUAUUAUAAAAUUGAUAAAAACUCAGCUAAGUUGAAUCUAUGUUAAAAAGUACAAAAAGUUUUUUCAUUUCUAAUUAUUUUUAAUUUUAAAAUAAAAAAUUUAUUACCCAUAACUUACUUGCAAUUUUUUUUUUCUAAUAAACCAACAAGGUUUCAGAGGCAAAAAAUUCAUCAAAAUCAUAAGAAACCAAAAAAAUUGUACUUAUAAACAAUAUUGUGUUAACCCUUUGGUUUUUAGGUUGUUUAAGUAUAUCAACACUAAUAGUUUUAAAAAGUGGUAAAAAGUGAGCAAUAUACAUGAUGGUCAAUUUUGCUUAUUAAUGGGCAUGUUAAGGUGGCAUUAAAAUUGAUUAAGGCUAUGUUUGGUUCCAAAAAAAUUUAAGGGAAAAUGCAAAAUAAGCAAAAUAGAGAGGAAAAGUAGAGAGAAAGAAAAAGUGAAAGGAAAAUAAAAAGUAGAUUUAAAGCCAAUAAAUUAUUUUUAUUUACUACUUCAAAUUUAUUUCACCAAUUUUAAUUCAUUGAUGUAAAAAUUAAAUAAUUUGAGAAAACAUCAAUUUAUAACUAAUUUUAAUUAUAUUUUAUUUUCUUUAACAUUUUCAAUUGGACAAUCAAAUAUGAAAAAUCAUUUUCCUUAGUAUAUAUUUUUUUUCUUUCAUCUUUAGGAACCAAACAUAACCUUAUUAAUGAGUUUAUCCGGAAUUAGUGAGUUAGAAAGAGAGAAACAAAAGGAAAAAAUAAAUAUAAAUUUAUGCUACUUUAAAAAGAGAGUGUACUUUUAUCCUCCGACCUUUGCUUAACUUAAAUAAAUAAAUAAAAUAAAAUCCUCAUAGGGACCCAACAAUAUUCAUUUUUUAAAAAAAUAUGUAAAACUACCUUAAAGAUUCUCUCGCCAAUUUUUCCCUUCCACCUUCAUUCAUCUUCAAUUUCUUGACCAAAAAAUAAAUAAUUAAAAAGAAAAAAAUGGAAGCAAUGAGGGAUUUAUUUGAUAAUGUUUUAAAAACCAAUUCUCAAAAAAAAAAAAUGUAUUUAAAAGAAAAUUUUAAAAUGGUUAUCAAUUAUUUUUUAAAAUAAAAUUUUGUUUGAGAAUUUAAAUAUAAAAAUUAGUUUUUUCGAUUUAUUCUCCACAAAGGUACUGUGUAUUUAUGUAUAAUAAAAAAAUUCUAAAAUAUUUUUAUUUUAAUUGUUAUUCAAAAAAUUAAUAAAAAACAACUAAAAACACACCUCAAAAUUAUUCUAAGAAAUAUGCUUUUAGAAUAAAUUUUGAAAAAAAUAAUAAUUUUCUAUUAAAAAUUUAUCAAAUGUAUUUUUUUAUAUUUGAAAAUGAUUUUUUAUUGUAAAAAAUAAAAUUACCAAAUAAGCCUUAAUGUUUUUAUCACAAUUGCCUAUCAUGCUUUUGUUUUCAAACAAAACAACAUCCUAAGUUGUAUUCUUUAGACAAGUUAUCAUCUAUUGUGGAACCCAUACUUACUAGACAUAGGCCGAUAAGUACCAACAAAGAAAAUGAAGAAAAAAAUAAAAGUUAUUCAAUAUGAUGUGAGUUGUGAGUUGUGAGUUGUGAGUUGUGAGUUGUGAGUUGUGAGGUAGAUGUUUGUGGUUAACAUGCCUCAACCCUAAAAUAGAUUCCACUUAUCCGUUUUAGGGUUGUCUCUUUUAUAUUAGAAUAAAAAAGAUUAUUCCAUUCAUAUGUAGGACCUACAACUUAUUUGAAAUUAAAGGGACUUUAUAAAAGCAAUUAUAUAUGGUUUAUGUCAGGAUUCUAACAAUACCAACCUAAGGUAAACCCUUGGGUGUUGGGAAUUUUUUUUUUAAAAUAUAAAAUAUGAUGAAUAUAGGAGAUAAAUAAGCAACAAUAUAAUAAAAGCAAUAAAAAAUCAUUGCAUAUAAAUAAAGAGGGUAAGUAAGAUGGAAAUUCAAACUCAAGAUUUAUAAUGAUUAGCACAAAUCUCGGCCUACAUCCACUUUCCUUGAAUUCUAAUCCCAAGUUUGAGGUUUUACUAUAUUAAGACUUUCAAACCAAAUUUUAGAACUUUAUACUUGGAUUAAUUGACUCCAAUAGACACUUACAAUUUUUAUUAAGAGAUGUCUCACUCUUAAACUCCCCAAAUGAUAUCCCAUACUUGGCAAACCCUAAGUGAUACCUUAUAUUUAUAUUUUUCUCUCAAGUGAUACCUACACUUGAUCUUAUCUCAUAAGAUUUACAAAAAAUGAUUUUUUAAUAAAAAUUCCUAGUUUACAUUUUUUUUUUUAUAAAAACUAAAAAUAUAAUUAUUAAAACAUUUAUGUUUUAUGUUUUUUAAAAUAUUAAGAAUAAAAGUGUAUGCAAAUGACACCUUUAAUUAUUAUUUCUAUUCAACUCCAUUUAUUUUUAUUGAAUUUAAUGAAAUUCAAUUAAUUGUUUAUGUAUGAAUUUAAUAUAAUAAUUAAAAAUUUUCCAAAAAAAUUUAAUAUUUAUAAUCGAUUACCAAUCUUGAUUUAACCUUUUGAUUUUUAUAUAUAUGUUUAGAUCUAUUAACACUUCUAGCUAAGGAUGAAAAAUGGAUGAGCAUUUUCAAAUACCAUUGAUCAUGUGCAAAACAAAUCUAAAAAAUUGUAAGGUUUUGAUUCAGAUGUUAUUAUUUUGAUUUUCUUGUGUGUAGAUCUAUUAAUACUUCCAACUAAUGAUAACAAUAGAUGAGGAUUUUUAGGUACCAUUGAUCAUGUGUUAGGAGUCUCAAAGUCUAAAAAAUUAUAAGAUUUCGAUUUGGUUAUUAAUUAAUUAUUAUUGAGAAAGCACAAGCAAGAGACUAUCUGCUUUUAUUUUCAAUGAAAACAAAUAUCUUGAGACUUGGAUUCCUUACAUGAGAUAUUAUCCAUUAUUAUUAUUAAAUUAAAAUUAAAAUUAUUAUUAUUAUGAUUAUAAAACAUUACCAGUUUGUUUCACUUUUCUUAUAUAAUUAUCAAACUUUGUUUUUUUGUUUUAAGAAAAAACAAAAUUAGAACUGUCAAAUACAUUUAGGCUAUGUUUGGUUCUCGGAAAGUACAAAGAAAAGAAAAAAAUAUUAAGGAAAAUGAUUUUCUCAUGUUUGGUUGUCCUAUAAAAUAUUUUAAAGAAAAUUAAAUAUAAUUAAAAUUAGUUAGAAACUUAUGCAUUUUAAAAUUAUUUAAUCUUUAUAUUGAUGAGUUAAAAUAAAUAAAAUGAGUUUGAAGUAGCAAAUAAAAAUAAUUUAUCAUCUUUAACUUUAUUUUUUAUUUUCCUUCACUUUUUCUUUCCUUUUACUUUUCAUCUCUAUUUUAUUUCCUUUGUAUUUUCCCUCAAAUUUUCUGAGAACCAAACAUAGCCUUAAUAUUUACAAAACUAAAAACAUAAUUAUGAACACAUUUAUGCUUCAUGUUUUUAAAAAUAUUAAAAAUAAAAGUGUAUGCAAAUGAUACUUUUAACUAUUAAUUCUAUUCGACUCUACUUAUUUUUUUCAUUGAAUUUAAUGAAAUUCAAUUAAUUAUUUAUGUCUGAAUUUAAUAUAAUAAUUAAAAAAAUUUCAAAAUUUUUUAAUACUUAUCAUCACUUACCAAUCUUGAUUUAAACCUUUGGUUUCUUAUGUUUAGAUGUAUCAACACCUUUCAGGUAAUGAUGAAAAUGAACCAACUUUUCAAAUACCAUUGAUCCUGUGAUNNNNNNNNNNNNNNNNNNNNNNNNNNNNNNNNNNNNNNNNNNNNNNNNNNNNNNNNNNNNNNNNNNNNNNNNNNNNNNNNNNNNNNNNNNNNNNNNNNNNUUUAGAUGUAUCAACACUUUCAGGUAAUGAUGAAAAUGAACCAACAUUUUCGAAUACCAUUGAUCAUGUGAUUCGAUCUCAAAAUCUAAAAAAAUUGUACGGUUUUGAUUUGGAUGUUAUUAUUUUGAUUUUCAUGUUUUUAGAUCCAUUAACACUUUUGGCUAAGAUGACAAUGGACGAAGAUUUUCGGGUACCAUUGAUCAUGUGUUAAGACUCUCAAAGUUUAAAAAAUUAUAAGGUUUUGAUUUGGUUAUUAUUAUUAAGAAAGUAAAAAGAGAUUGUCGUAUUUUUAUUUUCAACGAAAACAAAUAUCUUGAGACUUGGAUUCCUUUCAAGAGCUAUUAUCCAAUGUGGAGCCCAUGUCUACAAAGGAUGAGGCCCCAUUAGUAUUAACUUUAAUUGGUGAAAGCAACUAGAUGAUGUGAGUUGUGAAACAUAUGUCAGUGGCUUAUAUUUGACGAUAAGGUCAUGGGAUUAUUUACUUCACAUUCAUAAUCAGAAUCACAGAAGAUGAUAUCAUUCAUGUAUGGUUCCCACAACUGAAUUAUUCAAAAUUUAGAGGCUUUGGAUACUAAAAUUAUUAUCAUUUACCGCUUAAGUGAAUAUAAAAUUAAUCAUAUACAAGUUGGUUAAUUAAAUUUAUUUUUAUUUACAAAAUUUGUUGUAUGAUGUAAUUUUAAUAUAAUAUUAUAAAAUUGAUAAAAACCUCAGCUAAGUUGAAUCUAUGUUAAAAAGAAUAAUAAAGUAAACAAGAAGCUUAUUCAAAAAGAAAACAAAGAAUAGUGGAGAUUUUGUAUAAUAUUCUAUAAUAUAAUUGGAACCAAAAUAAGAUUGGGAAUAUUUUCAAGUAUUAACACUAUUAUACAUUCCAUGAAUCUACUCAUUGGUAGAAAAUAAUAAUUUUGACUUAUUAUUUAAUCAAGUUUAUUUGUAGUAUUAUGUGUAUAAAAAAUAUAUUAGUUAAUUUAAGAUAUAUAUAUAUAUAUAUAUUAUAUUAAAUAUUAAAAAAUUUAAAUAAUUUCAAAACUCAUGUUUGAUAAUUUAAUUUAUCUUUACAUUUUGAUAACAAAAUUUAAAAAAUAAAAGUAUAAAAAGUUUUUUCAUUUCUAAUUUAAUUUUUUUUUUUAAAUUAUCACCCAUAACUGAUUUGCAAUUUAUUUAUUUUUAUUUAUUAAACCAACAAGGUUUCAUAUUCAAAGGCAAAAAAUUCAUCAAUGUCAUAAGAAACCAAAAAAUUCGUACUUUAAAAAGUGGUAAAAAGUGAGCAAUAUACAUGAAUGGUCAAUUUAGCUUAUUAAUGGACAUAUUAAGGUGGCAUUAAAAUUGAUUAAGGCUAUGUUUGGUUCCAAAAAAAUUUAAGAAAAAAUGCAAAAGAAGCAAAAUAAAGAGGAAAAAUAGAGAGAAAAAAAAAGUGAAGGAAAAUAAAAAGUAGAUUUAAAGUUAAUAAAUUAUUUUUAUUUACUACUUCAAAUUUAUUUAACUAAUUUUAGUUUAUUGAUAUAAAAAUUAAAUAAUUUGAGAAAGCAAAAGUUUAUAACUAGUUUUAAUUAUAUUUUAUUUUCUUUAACAUUUUUCAUUGGACAACCAAAUAUGAAAAUCAUUUUUCUUAGUAUUUUUUUUUUCAUUUUUAGGAACCAUAUAUAACCUUAUUCAUGAGUUUAUCCGGAAUUGGUGAGUUAGAAAGAGGGAAACAAAAGGAAAAAAUAAAUAUAAAUUUAUACUACUUUAAAAAGAGAAUGUACUUUUAUCCUCUUACCUUUGCUAAACGUAAAUAAAUAAAUAAAAUAAAAUCCUCAUAGGGACCCAACAAUAUUCAUUUUUAAAAAAAUAUGUAAAACUACCUUUAAAGAUCCUCUUGCCAAUUUUUCCCUUCCACCUUCAUUCAUCUUCAAUUUCUUGACCCAAAAAUAAAUAAUUAAAAAGAAAAAAUGAAAGCAAUGAGGGAUUUAUUUGAUAAUGUUUUUAAAACCAAUUCUCCAAAAAAAUAGUUUUUAAAAACAAUUUUUAGAAUGGUUAUCAAUUAUUUUUGAAAACAAAAUUUUGUUUGAGAAUUUAAAUAUAAAAAAUAGUUUUUUCAAUUUAUUCUCCACAAAGGUACUGUGUAUUUAUGUAAAAUAAAAAAAAAUCUAAAUAUUUUUAUAUUAAUUGUUAUUCAAAAAAUUAAUAAAAAUAACUAAAAACACACCUCAAAAUUAUUCUAAGAAAUAUGCUUUUAGAAUAAAUUUUGAAAAAAAUAAUUUUUUAUUAAAAGUUUAUCAAAUGUAGUUUUUUUUUUAUGUUUGAAAGUAAUUUUUUAUUAUAAAAAAUAAAAUUACCAAAUAAGCCUUAAUGUUUUUAUCACAAUUGCCUAUCAUGCUUUUGUUUUUAAACAAAACAACAUCCCAAGUUGUAUUCUUUAGACAAGUUAUGAUCCAUUGUGGAACCAUACUUACUAGACAUAGGCCAAUAGUACCAACACAGAACAUGAAGAAAAAGAUAAAAGUUAUUCAAUAUGAUGUGAGUUGCAAGUUGUGACUUGUGAGGUAGAUGUUUGUGGUUAACAUGCCUCAACCCUAAAAUUGAUUCCACUUAUCCGUUUUAGGGUUGUCUCGUUUAUAUUAGAAUAAAAAAGAUUAUUCAAUUCAUAUGUAGGACUUACAACUUAUUUGAAAUUAAAAGGUGUGGACUCCGCAUUUCGGCUCAUGCGUUUCCCACUCGAAGGCGAGCUCGAUUUUGAUUUUGAAAAAUGAUUUUAUUGAUUAAGAAAAAUUGACUUGGAGUAGCUACUUAUUUUUGUUUUAUUUUUAAAGGGUAACAAAAUAAGAAAGAAAACCCUAAGUGCGACUCCUUAUUUUGGAAAAGGUGAUCUACGAAAAAUUGGAUCGGGCUCGGGGAUCAGGUUGCUUAUUGGGAAGGUAUGGUAAAGACCAUAGCACCCCUCUAAGUCCCUAAAGUCGGGUCUCUACUAAUAAAAUGAAGUUGACAUGACAAUCAAUAGGAAAAUCAAUGGAUACUCAAAUCGAUUAGGCGCAUAUGGGAAUCGAAACAUGCAAUAGAGAAUGACCAGAAUAGGAGUGGAUGCGUACCUGGGCCACGAACGAACAAUGCGCUAUCAUAGAAAUGGAGUCAGUGCACAAUAUAGAGCACGAAACAUAUCACAUGCAUCACUAAGCAGGGAUUAAAAUUGUUCGAAGGAAAACUGGAUUUCUGAAAUUCAUUUGAGAAUCGAAAUCUUAGCGAUUAUUUGAAAAUUGGAGUUUUGGAGAUUAUUUGAAAAUUGGAUUCUUAGGAAUUAAAUGUAAGAAUGAGAAUUUUAGAAAUUAAAUUUGAAAGAAAAUUGGGAUUUUGAGGAAUUAUUUAAAAGUUCGGGAUUUUUAAGAAAAAUUGAGUUACGAAAAUUGGGACUUUGGGAGUUGAAUUUUGAAAGGGAUCAGAGUUGUAAGUUAUUUGAGAAGUAGAAAUUAUGAAAGUUGAUUUAUAAAAAUUGGAAAUCUUGAAAAUCAUUUGAAGGCGGACCUUUUAGAAACGAAUGAAUAAAAUGAUAACAAUAAUAGUGAUAACAAUAAAUGAGUAACCGGAUAAAUGUGAUAAUUGGAAUAUUGAGAAGUGAAAAUUAAGUUCGGAGAUAGGACAAUUGGAAUUUCAGAUAACUAAAUUUAGAAAUUGGAAUUUUGAAGAAUUAGACUUUAAUGGUUGAGAUCUUUAAGAGAAAUAAAUAUGUAAGUAUGGAAUAAUGUUACUAAUUAAUCAAAAACGAUAUUUGGACGGAUGAAAGUGAAUAGUGUGAUUUAUGAGAUUAAAAAUUAAAUUUGAAAAUCGGAUUUUGACAAAAAUGAUGUUUGAACGGAUGAAAGUGAAUAGUGGGAUUUUGAAAAUUAAGUUUGAAAGUCAGAUUUUUGCAUAAUUGAACUUUAAUUAUUGGAAUUUUUAGAAGAAAGAAAUAAGUAAACGUGGAAAUAGCGAUUAACAAAAAUGAUAUUUAAAUGAAUAAAAAAAUGUGUAGUGGGAUUUUUGAGGCUGAAAAUUAAAUUGGGACGUUGGAUUUUUGAAGGAUUGGACUUUAAAUAACUAGAUAAAUAUGGGAUAAUGAUUUUAUUUAAUGAAAAUAAGGUUUAAACAAAUUAUUGAAAGAUUAAAUUGGGACAUGGGAUUUUUGAAGGAUUGGACUUUAAGUAACUAGAUAAAUAUGGGAUAAUGAUUCUAUUUAAUGAAAAUAAGGUUUAAACGAAUUAUUGAAAGAUUAAAUUAAGACAUGUGAUUUUUGAAAAAUUAGACUUUGAAUAACUAGAUGAAUAUGGGAUGAUGAUUCUAUUUAAUGAAAAUAAGAUUUAAACGAAUAUUUGUAGAAUUAAAUUAAAACAUGGGAUUUUUGAAGGAUUAGACUUUGAAUAACUAAAUAAAUAUGGGAUAAUGAUUCUAAUUGAUGAAAAUAAGAUUUAAACGAAUAUUUGAAGAAUUAAAUUAAGACAUAAGAUUUUGAAGGAUUAGAUUAGAUGAAUAGGAGAUAAUGAUUCUAUUUAAUGAAAAUAAGGUUUAAACGAAUUAUUGAAAGAUUAAAUUGAGACAUGAGAUUUUUGAAGGAUUGAACUUUAAGUAACUAGAUAAAUAUGGGAUAAUGAUUCUAUUUAGUGAAAAUAAGGUUUAAACGAAUUAUUGAAAGAUUAAAUUAAGACAUGAGAUUUUUGAAAGAUUAGAUUUUAAAUAACCAGAUGAAUAUGGGAUAAUGAUUCUAUUUAAUGAAAAUAAGAUUUAAACGAAUAUUUGUAGAAUUAAAUUAAAACAUGGGAUUUUUGAAGGAUUAGACUUUGAAUAACUAAAUAAAUAUGGGAUAAUGAUUCUAAUUGAUGAAAAUAAGAUUUAAAUGAAUAUUUGAAGAAUUAAAUUAAGACAUAGGAUUUUGAAAGAUUAGACUAGAUGAAUAUGGGAUAAUGAUUCUAUUUAAUGAAAAUAAGGUUUAAACGAAUUAUUGAAAGAUUAAAUUGAGACAUGAGAUUUUUGAAGGAUUGGACUUUAAGUAACUAGAUAAAUAUGAGAUAAUGAUUCUUUUUAAUGAAAAUAAGGUUUAAACUAAUUAUAGAAAGAUUAAAUUAAAACAUGGGAUUUUUGAAAUAUUUAGACUUUAAAUAACUAGAUGAAUAUGAGAUAAUGAUUCUAUUUAAUGAAAAUAAGAUUUAAAUGAAUAUUUGUAGAAUUAAAUUAAAACAUGAGAUUUUUGAAGGAUUAGACUAGAUAGAUAGAUGAAUAUGGGAUAAUAAUUCUAAUUGAUGAAAAUAAGAUUUGAAUGAAUUCUAGAAUUUUUAGGAUUGAAAAAUUAAAUUAAGAUAUAAGAUUUUUGAAGGAUUGCUUAAGGACCUAGGUUUUGAAAAUGAGAUUUUAAGGUUUAGAAUAUAGUAAAUUCAUCGGGACCAACAUAAGUUAAUUAUAGACAUUUUUUUGUCUUUAAUACUAGAAUAUGUUUUUUUUUUUAGGCCAUUAGUCAAACAAGUAAAGGAUUGUAGUUAAAUAAGAGCUUUAAACUUCCUACAAGUCAAUAUAAGUAUGAUGGAGAUAAGAAUGAAAUGUAAGUAUGUCUUUUAAGAUACAAAUUAUUUUAAGUUUUGAAAAAGAAAUUCAACCUUGAUGAUUUGUCUUUUAAUUGUCUUUAAGUUGAGCUAACUAAAUUGGUGAAGAUAAAAUAAGAUAAAAAAUAAAAAAUAAAAAUGCAUGAAUAAGUUAAUUUACUAAGAUUAGAGAUUUAAAACUUGUUUAGACAUGAAGUAGACAAAUGGGCUAACUCCACAUGGACUUGGGCCAUGAGAGUGGCUAGCAUAGGGAGCAAUGGGGCCUCUCAUCAGCAACUUCGGGCCUGGGCUCCAACUUAAGCCCAUACCCGCCACCAUGGGUGAGCCCAAGGCAUCCAUCCUCAGCACCAACUUGGGCCUGGGCUCAAACCUCCACCCAUGGCCAUCAUGGGCAAGCCUAAAACCCAUUCCCCAUCACAGACCUGGGCUUGGGCUCAAACCUCCACCUAUGGGCAAGCCUAAAACCCAUUUUUAUCACAAACCUGGGCUUGGGCUCAAACCUCCACCUAUGGGCAAGCCUAAAACCCAUUCCCCAUCACAGCCCAAGGCAUCCAUCUCCAUCUGGGCAUCACCCUCAGGCGAGGCCUCCACCAUCAGCGACCCAGAGGAGAGGGAAGGGGUGGCGGCUUCGAGGGCAGCGCCGAAGCGGUGGAGAUGCAUGGCUUUCGAGGCCACGACACCAGAAGAUGGGCGUCUUCGUCGAUGGCGCCGUCGACCAUGCCACGGAAGCAGUCGGAGAGGACGGCGCGCGGGCCGCCGUCAACGGCUUAGGGAGAGGCGCCCUGAACUGAGGCAGCAGCGCCGAACCCCAAAGGCGGCUCCGGUGAGGUUUGAGAGGAAUGAAAGGCUGCUUGGCUGCUGCCCGUUCUCUAGCCACUGAAAAAGGCUCACGCGUAGAGAGGUCUGAGUGAUGGUGGGGGCGAGGAUAUAGAGAGAGAAAGUGGUGAUGGAGAGAGGAAGGGUGGCGACAUGCAUGCACAGUCCCCAUGCACGUGGAAGGGUGGUCUUUGAGACUUUAGUAAUGGCUUUGGAGGGGGCUUGGGUAGCCAUGCACGUGUGGAAAAUGGGUAUGAAUAAAAUGGAUGAGAAUGGUGAUGGGUAUGAUAGGUGGUGGGUUUGGCAAAUGGUUUCAUGGGUCAAGCUGGAUAUGAUGAGCAUAGAUGACGUUGAAAGUGACGGGUAUGAGGAUGAAAAGAAAUGGAGGGUGGUGAGUGUGGUGACAUGCAUGGGACUUUGUUUGCAUGAGAAUGGACGGAUGACAAGUUGAUGGGAGGAAAAGGAAAAUCCACAAAAUAUUUUUAUUCGGUCAUCUAAUCCAAAAGAUAUAUGCAGUCAUUUACAGAAGAAAAGAAUGUGAGCAUCAAAAGAAACUAGAACAGGGCAUCCCAGAAUGACAAAACAUGUUCCAUUAAAACUCAUACCCGUGGCCCUUAAUGUCCACAGCAAGCAAUAAAACCGUAUCCAUAGAUCAGCAGAAAAUGAAGCAAGGCAUUAGCAAACGGACACAUACCAGGUUCAAGAUAAAUUUACCCGAGAGUUCGGAACGUGACCUCCCUCUGCUCUUCCUUCUUUACUGGCAAGCUUUCUCUCCCAAAAAAAAAGCUUCACUCUCAGAUCCUCUUCUCUGUAUCUAACCGGAGAAUUCCCUUAUCUCCUUUUCGAAAAAUCCCUCUCCUCUGCCAACUCAAUCCCCUUUUCUCCCCUUCUCUUUCCUUUCUAUCUCUUCCUGUUUCUAUCUUCCUUGGCAAGCCACCUCUCCCUUUCCUGUUCAUCCCAUCAGCAAGUAUGGGCUCCCCCAACCACCACCAUGGCUGCUAUUCCCUCUCGCCAUGUGUCCUGUGUUGUUCCUCCCUGCCUAAGGAGGCCCCCUCCCCCGGGCCAUGUAAUGCCCUAUUGUUUUUAAAUCAUCAAGAAAAAAAUCCAAGCUGAAGAGAGAGGGUCUACAAAAAGACUUUGUGAAAGCAAUUAUAUAUGAUUUAUGUCAGGAUUCUAACAAUAUCAACCUAAGGUAAACCCCUAAGAGGGGAUUGGGUCUUGGGAUUUUUCUUUUUUUUUUUGUAAAUUAUAAAUUAUGAUGAAUGUAGGAGAUAAAUAAGCAACAAUGUAAUAAAAACAAUAAAAAAUCAUUGCAUAUAAAUAAAGAGAGUAAGAAAGAGGGAAAUUCAAACUCAAGAUGUAUAAUGAUUAGCAUAAAUCUCGGCCUACAUCCACUCUCCUCGAAUUCCAAUCCCAAGUUCUAAGUUCCACUAUAUUAAGACUUUCAAACCAAGCUUUAGAACUUUAUAUUUGGAUUAAUCGACUCCAAUAGACACUUACAAUUUUCAUUAAGAGAUGUCUCACUAUUGAACUCCCCAAAUGAUAUCCCAUACUUGGCAAACCCUAAGUGAUACCUUAUAUUUAUAUUUUUCUCUCAAUUGAUACCCUAGGCUUGAUCUCAUCUCAUAAGAUUUACACAAAAAUGAAUUUUUAAUAAAAAUGCAUAGUUUACAUUUUUUUUUUAUUUUAUAAAAACUAAAAAUAUAAUUAUUAAAACAUUUACGUUUUAUGUUUUUGAAAAUAUUAAGAAUAAAAGUGUAUGCAAAUGACACCUUUAAUUAUUAUUUCUAUUCAACUCUAUUUAUUUUUAUUGAAUUUAAUGAAAUUCAAUUAAUUGUUUAUGUAUGAAUUUAAUAUAAUAAUUAAAAAUUUUCCAAAAAUUUUAAUACUUAUAAUCAAUUAUUAAUCUUGAUUUUAACCUUUUGAUUUUUAUAUAUAUGUUUAGAUCUAUUAACACUUCUAGCUAAGGAUGAAAAAUGGAUGAGCAAUUUCAAAUACCAUUGAUCAUGUGCUCUCCAAAUCUAAAAAAUUGUAAGGUUUUGAUUUGGAUGUUAUUAUUUUGAUUUUCUUGUGUUUAGAUCUAUUAAUACUUCCAAUUAAUGAUGACAAUGGAUGAGGAUUUUUAGGUACCAGUCUCAAAGUCUUAAAAAAAUUGUAAGAUUUCGAUUUGGUUAUUAAUUAUUAUUGAGAAAGCACAAGCAAGAAACUAUUUGCUUUUAUUUUCAAUGAAAACAAAUAUCUUGAGACUUGGAUUCCUUACAUGAGAUAUUAUCCAUUAUGGAACCCAUGUCUACUAAGGAUGAGCUCCCGUUAGUACUAACUUUAAUUGGUGAAAGCAACUAACAAAUCAAUAUCAAAGCUUGGGUUGAAGAUUUUUGAAAGUGUAAAAGAUCAUAGAGCAACAAAAUGAAAGCAAAAGGAAUUUUCGAUGAAGGUGGAGUCGAUUGCUAUCUCGUAGUGAUAUGAUACAAAAAAAGUUCGUGUCAUGGAGAGUUUGAAGAUUGAUUUCAUAGAAUUUGGUCCAAGAUCGAGAUUGUUAGGAAGUGUCUCAAAUUCUUAAUUAGUAUAAUUUUUUUUUUUUGUAAAGAAUAUUAUAUAGAAUAUUUCUAGGUUGAUAUAUUAUUGUAAUAUUAGACACCUUAUAGAAUAAGGAAGGUUAUUAGAAAUAUCUCAAUAUAAUAUUCUAGGUCAUGAGGGGAAAAAGUUAUGAGAUGAAGAUGAGUUUGUAAAAACUAUACGAGGUGAAUAGAGAUGUGAAGAAGAACGAGAGGUACUCGAUGGAGCUAGAGGGCUCAUGGUAGGGUAUGAAUACGAAGAGUGAGGAAACAUGAGAUGUUUCGGGAACCCAAUAGUUGUAUCUAGUUUUGUCCUCGGUAAUGUUUUGGUUUUGUCUUCUAUAAUUUUCUCUAUUGUACAGUAAAAUGAUUCUCUUUCAUUCGUGAAUGUAGGCAUAGUUGCCGAACCACGUUAAAACAUCGUGUACCAUUUGUGUUGAUUUUAUUUAUUUAUUUUUUAUUUUUAUCUUUGUGUUAUUGAUUAACGAUGUUUGCAUCUAAGCUUCCGUCGAUACAAUAAUAAAGAAAACAAAGAAUAAGAUAAAAGUAUUAAAUAUGAUAUGAGUUGUGAAAUAGAUGUCAAUGACUCAUAUUUGAAGAUGGGAUCAUGGGAUUAUCUCCUUCACAUUCACAAUUACAAUCAUUGAAGAUGACACCAUUCAUGUAUGGCUCCCAUAACUUGUUGAAAAUUCAAAGGUUUUAGGCGUUUUGACUACUAAAAUUAUGACUUGCUAACAUCUUAAGUGAGUACAAAAGUAACCACUUAUGGUUUAUUAUGCAUAUUUCAAAAAAGAGACGUGAAUUAAUUGACACAAGCUAACUAAUCAAAUUUAUUUUUAGGUACAAAAUAUGUUGCAUGAUGUAAUUUUAUUAUAAUAUUAUAAAAUUGGUAAAGACUCUGCUAAGCACAAUGUACACUAAAAAAAAUAAUAAAAUAAAAAAAAGUUUAUCCAAAAGAAAACCAAGAAUAAUAGGAGAUUUUGUAUAUCCUAUCAUUGGUACCAAAAUAAAAUUGGGAGUAUUUUUAAGUAUUAACACUAUCAUACAUUCCAUGAGUCUACACAUUAAUAGAAAAUAAUAAUUUUGACUUAUUAUUUAAUCAAGCUUGAUUGUAGUAUUAUGCCUAUCAAAAAUAUUUUAAUUUAAGAUUUUUUUUUUGUAUUUUUAUAUUUUAUAAUAUUUAAAAGUUUGAUAACCUACUAAAACUAAUUAUCUUUAAAUCUGAUAAUAAGAAUUAAAAAUAAAAGUAUAAAUUUUUUUUUUCAUUUCUAAAUUUUUUAAAAUAAAAAAUUAUCAUCCAUAACUUACUUGCAAUUUAUUCCUUUUUUUUAUUAAACCAACAAGGUUUCAUACUUAUAGACAGAUAAAAUUCUUCAAAAAUCUUAAGAAACAUUGAAAACAUAUUGUGGACCCGCAUUUUUCACGUGCGCCCCCACUCGAUCGGCAAGACUCGCUUUUUAUUUAGUGAAGAUGUUGUUUUUGGAAAAGUCGGAGUCGCCACUUAUUUUAUUUUAUUUUAAAGGGAAAAUAAAACAAGAAAUAAAACCCUAAAAAAAAUGAUUCCAUAUUUUUUUGGAAAAGCAUGUCUUUGAAAAACCCAAGUCUAGGUCCGGGGAUCUGGUUACUUAUUGGGAAGGUACCUCUAGGAGAUAGCACCCCUCUAAGCCCUACAAAGGUCUCCACUGACUAAAUUGGGGGCAAUGUGACAAUUAAUUGAUUAAUUGAGGAUACCUAGAUAGACUAAGGUGAUUUAAAAAAUAAUAUGCCAAACAAGAUCAAAUUACAAUAAAGGAGAGUUAAAGUGCAUACCUGGACUGCUUCUUAAGCGCCAUCAAAAGACAUUAAUGAUUAGUUUGGAAAAUAAAACACACAACAUAUAUUUUAUCCUAAUCUCUUUGUCAAACAUGGCAAGCUAAACAAACAAUAAUAAAAAAAAAAAAUAUGCUGAACAAGUUGAGAAUCGCAUACGAAGCAAUACAUAACGAUCAUAUAUAAAGCAAUACAUAAUUUAUGGAAUUAAGAUACGAAGGUAAGAAGCAUACCUGAAUAGCAUGGGUAACUUGUAAUGUGCUUCCACAAGACAUGAGGGGUUAGAUAAUAAAUAAUAAGAUAAAUCCUAGCAUGCUUGUUAUCUAAUUAGCAUAGCAAAAAUUAUUGGAGUAUACUAAUUCAACAAUUAUUACAUAAGUCUUGUAUAUAAUUCCUAAAAAAAAAUAGAUAUGAUUGUAACAACCAAUAAAGGUGGUAGCAAAAAUAAGUUUUGAAAAGAUUUUGUUUAUGUAAGGGUUUCACCAAUUCCCCAAUUGAUAUACACAAAUCUAACCUGGAAUUAUCCCAUUUAUGUGGGACCACAAGCUCGGGUUCGUGUUUGAUUUAAAACCAAAAUUUUCAUAAAAAAAAAACGAGAAAGAUGUGAACCGAUCAAAACAUGGUUGCACAUUAUUUAAAAAAAAUGAGGUUUUGAUUCUAAGAACUCUAAACGAAUUUUUGAAAUGGAUUUCUAAAGGGAAUGAGAUUUUGAUUCUAAGAACUCUAAAUGAAUUUUUGAAAUGGAUUUUUAAAGGGAUCUUUUAAGAAAAGUGUUGGAUUUCAAAAUAAAAGAAAUUAAUUUGAAAACGACAAGACAUAAGGAACAAAAUACCAAGCAAAACAAAAGUGAUUAAAAUCGCAAAGUAGAGUUUUUGACAACUGAGAAAAUUGAAGUGGUGGGAAUGGAGGUCAAUCUUCACUAUUUUCUGAUGGCCUCCGAAAAGUAAAUUUUACCAUAGACUACCAAAGCAAUAAACUAUUCGAACUUAGAUCAUAUAAGCUAAGGAUAUACCCACCAAGAAUUAAUGACUAUUUUCGAGAAACACAUCAAUUAAAAAUAACAAUCAAGAAUUAGCACAUGAUCAAUUAAAUACACAAACGCAUCUAGACCGGUUAAAAUGAACGAAAUUAAGUCAAGGCAAAUGUGAAUUUUCAGUCAUAAAAUUAAUUUUAUUAAUAAGCUAAUAUUAUAGAAAAUACCUAAACUAAAUAGAUGAGUGAAGCCAAAUCAGAGUAAACUAAAAGCAUGAACUUUCAAAUAUAAAAUCAAUUUUAUUAAUGAAUUAAAACUAUAAAAGUACCUAAACUAAUCAAAAUAAACCAAAUAAAAUUGAAGCAAGCUAAAAAAAAGUGAGCUUUCGAACAUAGGAUUAAUUUUAUUAAUAAACUAAAAUUAUAAAAUUACCUAAACUAAUUAAAAUGAACAAAAUUAAAUAAAAGAAAACUAAAAGUAUGAACUUUCAAACAUGGAAUUAAUUUUUUCAAUGAUCUAAAACUACAAAAUUAUUUAAACUAAAUAGAUAAGUUAAAUUUAACCAAAGUAGACUAAAAGAAGCAUGAUUUUUUUUCACAUCGAAUUGAUUAAACCAAAAAGUUAGAAACUCACAAACACAUCUAAACUAAAAGAAAAAUCAGCACUAAAGUAAAUUGAAAUGAAAAAAUAAGAACUUUAUCAUGUAGAAUUAAUUAAACUAAUUAUAAAAAAAAAAUCUAAACUAACGAAAUAAAUUAAAAUUAAACUAAAAUAAAAUUUAAAAAAAGAAAAAGAAACUUACCUUCAAGAAUGCAUAUUGUUGAAUCUGUUGUAGGAAGACCGCUCUUGGAUGCGUGCCGUUCUUUGCGUGUUUCAGAAAAUCAUCUCUUAAUGCGUGGCUUAUGUGGCGGCCAUCUUCCUCUUUCCAUAAGAUACAAUUCCAUAAGUACCCGAACCAAGUUCUUUUAUGUAUUCCAGGUUAGAAUUCUAUUUUAUUUUUUAUAAUCUGUAGCACUCUAGUGGCUAGAAGAGAAUAAAAUAUGGCCUGGUUGUGUAGUUGACAAUGACGGGAAUUGGAGGAUUCAUCGUUUUCAAAGAUGCAUGGAUGGAUGGGCUGCUGUCCAGAUGGUUCCGUCAGUGAGUUCAAACAGCCGCCGCUUUGCUCUCAAAUCUCCUUGCACUGAUCCCUUCGAAACAGCCCCUCUCACACUCUCUAAACUCUCUCUUUUAUAUCCCUUGAAAUAGCCUCUCGCGUGCUCUCUAAACUCUCUCUUCGGAUCAUCUCAAACAGCAACUCCUCACGCUCUGAAAAUGCGGACUGAUCUUUGUGCGAACAGCAGCCUAUGAUCCCUUCAAAAUGCCUACUAAUCUCCUCCCAAACGGCAUCCUCAAAGGCUCUAAAAAUCCCUCAUCCGAUCACUUCAAAUAGCAGCCUCUCAUGCUUCAAAACGUAGGCUGAUCCUUUCCAAACAGCAGCCUCUCACGCUUCAAAAUGCAGGCUCAUCCCUUCCAAACCGAAUCUGCUCUCCCUUCUAGUCCCGAAUCACCUUCCCCCUCUUUCCUUUUUAUUUUUAACAAUAUAAAUCUCCUUUUCCCCCUCCUCCAUUCAGCCGUGAUCUCCUCUUUCUAUAUGCAGCCCGGAUUCCUAUUUGAAGCCAUGAUCUCACUUCCCUUAAUGAGGACUCUUCCCAAAACGUUCACGCCUACCUUUCAAUGUAUCCAUCCCACCAUGCAUCCAAGGAAAUCCUCCAAUUAUUCAAUCCCAAUGUGAUUGUGCACACCUUCCAUACUUUUCCUACAAAAUUUCAAAGUUAAUAGAUUAAAUAAAAAAAAUCAUAAUAAUAAUGAUAAAAAUGAGUAAAAGUAAUAAUAAUAAUAGUAGUUAUAAAAUAAAAAUAAAACAUAUAAAUAAAUUUUUUAAAUUAAAAUAGAUAAGUAAGGGCAAUUAUUACGGAAAAAGUGACAAAAUAAUAAGGAAAUAAAAUAGAUGAAGAAAUAGACAAGAUAAUGAAUAUAAUAAAUAAAAAUAAAAUAAUAAAAGUUCAAGUCAUGCCACUUUAAAAUAAACGAGCCAUGCAAGUCAUGCAAGCCAUACAAAAAAAUGCAAUCAUGCAAACAUGCAAAAAAAAUACUUAAAAGGUGACCUAAGUGGGCCUAAGUGAGCCUAAGUGGGCCAAGUGUAUCUAAAUAGGCUUAGGGUGUCUAAUGGGCCUAGGGUGCCUAAGUGGGCCUAAGUAGGCUACCCUAAAAGCUAUUCUAAAAAAAAAAAAGAAAACCCUAAGUCUAAAUCAGGCCUGCUAAGGGUCACAAUAAGGGAUCAAGUAAUUCCUCAACCAAAGUCUCCAAGGUGACAGAAAAGGUAAGUAGUAUGAGUAGCAAUGGGCUACCAAGGAACUACUGUGGAACACUGAAAAUGAAUUUAAAGACAUGUGCUAAAGGGACAAAAUUGAGGGUCUACACAUAUUUUCUUUAUUUUUAUUACACAAUAAUAAAAAUAAUAUUUUCAUUCUACAACUAGAAACAAAUUUGGUGCUAUAAUGGUUAAUAUUCAUAAAAUUAGAAAUACAAUUGAAAAGUCAUUUAUUUUUCUAUUUUUAAAAAUAGCAAAUUGGAAAUUGUACACUGGAACACAUUAAUUAAUUACUUUAUUUUAUUAAUUUAUAUUAUAUUUAUUAAGAUAUAAUUAAUUAAUUAUGUAUAAUUUUAAUAGAAAAUUAAAAAUUAGAAACAUUAAUUCAUUUCCCAUUCAGUACCAAAUAGAGCUGUUACCAAUUUUGUGUUAACUCUUUGGUUUUCAUAUUGUUUAAAUUCAUCAGCACUUACCAAUUUUGUGUUAACCCUUUGGUUUUUAUGUUGUUUAAAUCUAUCAACACUAAGAGUUCUAAAAAGUGGUAAAAAGUGAGAGCAAUAUAUAUGAGUGGUCGAUUUAGCUUAUUAAUGGGCAUAUUGAGGUCAUAUAAAAAUUGAUUAAUUUAUCGAUUUAUCUAGAAUUGGUGUGUUAGAAAGAGAGAAACAAAAGAAAAAGAAAAAUAUAAAUUUAUGCCAUUUUAAAAAGGGAGAGUGUACUUUUAUCCUCCCACCUUUGCUUAAACAAAAAAAAAAUAUAAAAAAUAAAAAAUCCUAAUAAGGACCCAAAAAUAUUCAUUUUUAAAUAAAUAUGUAAACUACCAUUAAAGAAUCACUUGUCAUUUUUUCCUUUCCACCUUCUUCAUCUUCAAUUUUGAGACCAAAAAAUAAAUAGUUAAAAAGAAAAAGAAAAGAAUGGGAGCAAUUAGGGAUUUAUUUGAUAAUUUUAUUUUUAAAACCAAUUCUCCAAAAAAAAAAAAAAAGGAAACAAGAAAGUUUUUAAAAACAAUUUCUAAAAUAGUUGCUAAUUAUUUUUGAAAACUAUUUUUUUUUUUUUUGGGAAGUCAAAUAUAAUAAAUAGUUUUUUUUAAACUUAUUCUCCAUAAAGGUGUUAUGCAUUUAUGUAUAAUAUAAAAGUUUUUAAAUUAUUUUUUUUAUUUUUUUAAUUGUUAUUAAAAAAAACUAAAAACACACCUCAAAAUUAUUCUAAAAAAUAUGCUUUUAGAAUAAAUUUUGAAAAAAUGAUUUUUUAUUAAAAAUAUAUUAAAUACAUUUUUGUUUUUGAAAAUAAUUUUUUAUUAUAAAAAAUAAAAUUACCAAAUAAACCUUAAUAUUUUUAUUGAAUAAACACAAUAACAUGUCAUGCUCACAUUUUCAAACAAAACAAUAUCUUAAGUUGUAUUCUUUAGACAAGUUAUCAUCCAUUGUGGAACCCAUGCUUACUAAAUAGUGGGUUGAUAGUACCAAUGAAGAAGAUGAAAAAAAAAAAAAAAGAAAAGACAAUAGGUAUUAAAUAUGAUGUGAGUUGUGAGAUAGAUGUUUGUGGCUAACAAGCCUCACUGGUUUAUGUUUAGGGAUGGCGUUAUACAGUUGCCUAUUUUAUAUUCGAAUAAAUAAGAUGAUUCCAUUCAUCUUUGAUGACCACAACUAAUUUGAAAUUCAGAGGACUUUACAAAAGCGAUCAUAUAUGGUUUAAGUUAGGAUUCUAAUAAUAUCAACCUAAGGUAAAUACUCAAGAGGAGGAUAAAUUCGACAUUGGUCUUUUUGCAAAUUAUAACAAAUAUUAACUGUGAUGAAUGUAAGAAAUAAAUAAGCAACAAUAUAGUAAAAACAAUAUAGAAUAAUAAAAUAUAAAUAAAGUAGAAAAAAGAGAAAUUCAAACUCAAGAUUUAAAGUAAUUUGGCCCAAUAUCAAUCUACAUCUACUAUUGUUUAACUUUAAUCUCAAGUUUGAGGUUUCACUAUACCAAGACUUUCAAACCAACCCUUAGAGUUUUAUACUAGAUUAAUGAACUCUAAUAGACAUUUGUAAUUUUCCUCAGAUUCUCACUUUUAAAUUUCCCAAGGAAUACUUCACACUUGUCAAACCUUAAAUUGAUACCUAAUACUUAAAAUUUUCCUUUAAGUGAUACCCCAUACUUGAGCUCACCUCAUAAGAUUUAUAAAAAAUGAUUUUUUCAAUACAAAUUCCUAGUUUACAAUUUUUUUUUUUCACUUUUGAACUCCCCAAGUGAUACUCGAGGAGUUUUUAAAAUCAUUUUGGCUAUGUUUGGUUCCUAGAAAAUUUGAGGGAAAAUGAAAAAGGAAAAAAAUAAAUAAGAAAAUUAGAAAAAAAAAGAAGGAAAAUAAAAAGUAAAUUUAAAAUCAAUAAAUUAUUUUUAUUUAGUAUUUCAAACUUAUUUUAUUUAUUAAAAUAAAGAUUAAAUAAAUUAAAAAUUCAUAAGUUUUAACUAGUUUUAAUUAUAUUUGAUUUUCUUUGGUAUUUUCCACAAGACAACUAAACAUGAAAAAAUCAUUUUGCUUACCAUUUCUUUUUAUUUCCUUAGUAUUUUUUAGGAACAAAAAAAAAAAACCUUUUAAAACAUUUUUUACUCUAGACAGUGACUAAGCACUCAAGAGUUUUUAAAAUCAUUUUAAAACUUUUUUGGUUAAUUAAAACCUUUUGUCUACUUGAUGUCUUAAUUAAAUCCAAUUAACCUUCCUCAAACCUUUUUAUACUUAUGUCAUCGUGGAGUAAUCUAUAGAUACUCCAUUUCUCAUGUUAGUCUUAGGGAUAUUUAUAUAAUUACAAAAUACUUGUUAAACUAAUUAUAGUUUGAAUUUAAUAAGUAGGAGCUAUACUUGAAUUUUUCUUUUAAGUUCUUCUCUUUAUUUUUUCUCUUUUACAGUAAGAGUUAUUGUAGAAUUAUGUCAUUUGACAUAAAUACAUUUGAAUAAUGCUUUUAUUCACUCUUUUGUUUGUAUGAAAAUUCUAGUUUCUACCAAAGUAGGGAACAAAAAUUAUAUGAGUGAAGUUAUUAAUGUGUGCAAUAAAAAAAAAAAAAAAACCUUUAUAAUGCUAGAGAACAUUAUACAUUUGUUCCCAUUAAUAUUAGUUUUGAUUGAUGAAAGAAACUAUACCAAUGAAGAAAUGAAGAAAAUGAUAACCAAUGCUAGAGAACAUUAAAAGUUGUGUUAGAGAAGUGCAAUCUAAAAAAAAAAAAAAACAUUCACUAUUUAAAAGGGUCUCAUUGUUUUUAACCUACAAAAAAAUCUUAUUGCUUUAUAUUUAGUUUUUUUUUUAAUAUCUAUAUUAUUAUUAUUUUAAAAAAAAAUUACUUUGUCAUAUUUGAGAAAAUAAAGGUUAUGCUUAAAUUAGGAAAAACACCCAAGAGGGGGGUGAAUUGGGUUUUUCAAAAACUUUUUCAACACAACAAAUUCAAACACAAUAUAAUAAAAAUAUAAAGAGAUAGAGUUAGAGAAUUCAAACUCGGAUUUUAUAAUGGUUCGGCACUUCCUUGCCUACGUCCACUCUCCUCAAUCUUCUAACCGAGUGAGGGUUCCACUAACUUGAAGCUUCAACCAAGGUUCCAAUCUUUUUACACUUGGAUUCCGACUCCAAUAGGCUCUUACACAAUCUUUUCAAGAUUCAAACCUCUUGAAGGCUUUAACACUCAAUUUUUAUAAGAAUGAAUCCCUCAACCUAGCUCAAUAAUAGCUCAACUACAAAACAAAGUUAGGAUGACUUAUAAGGGUGCACUAAAAGAUAUGCAAGUGAGGAUUUAAUGCACUAAGAAAGAAAUGAGAGCUUUAAAGGCAAAAACAAUGGGUAGACAAUUGAUUGCAAGUGUUCUCUAUAUCAUAAACAAAGUGGAGCUCUCAAUUUAUAGGUUUCUAAACCCGGGAGCCAAGAAAAGCAAAAAGCAGCCUCAACCGGUCGAGUUGUGACCGGUUCACUAGCCGUUGGAGCAUUUAAUGCUUUGGUAGGUUACUGUUGCCUCGAUCGAACCUCGAUCAGACCUCAACCGGAGGUCGAUCGGGAGGGAGGGAGCCUCAACCAAGAAGAGAAGGCUACUAGAAGAGAGAGUGUUUUUGACACUUCUUGACCGGACCUCAACCAGUCAAGGGCAAUCGGUCCCAAUCGGUUGAGCCGGUUGGCCAGAGUCUCGAUCGGUUCAGCCUUUUGACCUUGAAAACCUAUCUUUUUCACUUCUUUUCUUUUCUAACACUUAGGCAAGGGCUUUAGCUAAAUUGAUAUGCCAAUUUUGAAACAUUUUUCCUAAGGUACAUUUGAUAAAACUCGGGUUUUAAUGAAAAUGUAAUUUUAUAAAAUAAACAGAGUUUUCAAAGAUGCAUGGAAAGAUAUGAAAAACCUAAGUGCACCUAUGCAUUCAUCUUACAUUCGUUUCCUAUGAUCAAAAGUCUUUCAAAAGUCUUGAUCUUGUAUAUAUUUGGUCAUUUGAUGAAUUUCCGAAUUUAUACCUAAGAUUAUUUACCAUUCAAACCAAUUAGUCACUUAACCAUGGUUUGUUAUCAUUAAAACCUGAUUAGGAGAACCCUUGGGCUAACAAUCUCCCCAUUUUUUAUGAUGACAAACGUUGGUUAUCUAGGAGAGAAGAAGAAAAAAAAUCUCCCCCUCAAACCAAUCAUGGAUCAAACAAUCAAAAUUUAUGAAUUUAAAACGAAGAUAAUCAAGACAUGCGAAAAUAGCAUACCAUAUAUAUAUAUAUAUAGAGUAAAGUCAAAUGUACACGAAACAUAAACAUAUAAGCUAAUCCAAACAAAUGAUAUUACAAUGAUAUGCAUGUAGGUCUCCUAGAUCCUAAAUAUCUCUCCCCCUUUGGCAACAUAAAAAAGAAAUGAAGGGGUUCUUUGUCAAAUCAAGGCUGAGGAGGCAGAGGUGGAAACACAAAGCAAAGGUAAGCCAUUGUUUCCUCAUGUUGACUCUCCUGACGACUCUCAACACGCUCAAUCAUUUGUUGGAGAUUAUCAAAUGCAGCCUGCUAUUGAUCCAUGCGAUCCUCCAUACACUCAAAUCUCUACUGUACAUACUCAAACUGAGAAGUGAAGCCAGUUUGAUACUGAUCCAUGUGAUCCUCCAUGGAGUGGAAUCGAGUAUCACUGACUACCGCAAGCUCCUCCAUGCGAGUGGCAAGUGAGCUGAUCUGAGCAGAUAAAUCCAUUUAAGGCGCAUGAUUAGGAGUAUGAGGUGCCUGAUGAGGUGAUGUCUUGGUGUGAAGAAGCUCGGUGAAUGAUGGUUGAGAAGAUGGUCCCGCUAUGUAUGUCAGCUCGGAUAUCAUCGACUCUAAAAAUGUGGCCUCAAACUGAAUACUCUCUGACUAGAGUAAAGGGAUGUUAAGCUCAGGCUCUCUCUGCUCAAAGCCUCUUUGAGGGUUUAACCCACCCUCCAUCUCUUGGAUCUUGGGCUCUUUCUCUACUUCAGGAUGCACCUGUCCCUGUCCUCGGGCUUGUGUUGGUGGUUGCUCUACUCUUCGAACCUAAGAGCCAUCGGGGGCCUUCUCAAACUUCAUAUGUCCCAAAGACUGCUCAUCAUAAGUAUCAUAAAUACUGGGGGCCUCGAAAUCUCUCUCUCUGCUCAAAUCGACCCUAGCAUUCUUGAAUACUUUGGUGAGGAAGCGGGCAUAGGGGAGUACGCGGGUUGAGCUCUCGUAGCAUGAAAUCAUGUGCAUCAUCAUCAAAUACCCCAAGUGAAUUCGUCUCCCUAUAAGAAUUGAGUCCACGAGGAAUGCCUUAAGAUAGUAGACCUCGUCUCGGUGUCCACCUCAUGGUAGCAAGAUGAAGUAGAUCAUGUGGUGUAGUACUUUGCUAGACACGGUCAGGCUAUGAGCCGAUGGUUUGCCCAUCCCCUAGGCAUUUGCCAGUCCGAAAAUCCUCUUAAUGGCUUCUCCAGGCUCGAAACCCGACAAAGUAGGCCAAUUCUUGGACUCGUACACCUUGAGUCCAACUGGAGGAAUGUUAAAAAUACAAUAGAUACUUUCUAGGUCCAGCUGAAUCUCAACUCCUCUAACGGUGGAAAUAAACGGGCCAUCAAGUCCAUAAAUAGCCCUUGAAUAGAAUGCAUGCACUAGAGUCGGGAAAAUCGCCUCAGAAAACGUCACUACUAGUAGCCAACCCAUCCUACUGAAGAGGCCUCAAACCCGAAAUGCUGCAGUUGGGAGAAAUUGAUAUUUCUCCAUGGAACCACUUUUCUCUGAGCGAAUUUCUAUUUGUACCUCUGAUAAUUCUCCACGGUGCUGAAGAGGGUCAUGUAAAACCUCACCUUUCGGUGAGCCUUUGUCUAAGUAGGCUGAGAUGGCUCAACUGGGCGCUUGUCCUAUGCCUUAGAGGUAACCAUCUCUCUCCUAGGAGCCAUCAGAAAAGUAGAAAUGAGGGAGGCGAAACUGGUGGAAAGAGAAACACACACACCCGAAAGCCCUAAGUGCGCGGGAAUGUCCUGAAGUUGGUUGUGACGCAUGAACAAAGGAGAAGCCGUCCCAAAUCGGAAGCCCUAGGUCCCAAAUUUGAAGCCCUAGCCUCAAAAAAUUAGUCUAAAACCCUCAAUAUGUUGCAAUGGACUCAAAAAUCCUUUCUUGGCAGUUGAAUUGACAAAACACUUGAAAAACUAGAGGAAACAAGAGAAAAAAUGAAGCGAGGGGAGGUAUUUAAAUCGUCAGCCCCGACAAAUCGGUUGACUGAUCCUGAUCCAGUCAAUCGCCUAAUCAACGGUCACCGUGUUUGAAUUUUUUCUUUUGUGUUUUUUCUCAUUUUUUUAUCCUCCUUCUGCUUUUUUCAGUUGAAAUCCCCAAUUUUUUAUGCCCAAUGCCAAGGGAAUUUUGAUUUUUGGUCAAAAUUUGACCAUUUAUCUAAGUAUAUGUCUAUAUGAUGCAUAUGACAUGAAAUUCAUACAAUCAGAGGGUAUAUUCAUCAAGAAUUCAUUAGAUCAUAAAGAAAUCACCCCUAGUUGUCUUCUAAUAUCAACAAAUUGUUCUUCACUUAGAGGUUUUGUAAAAAUAUCGGCAAGUUGAUAUUUUGUGCUUAUAAAUUCAAGUGUAAUGUCACUCUUUUGUGCAUGGUCUCUAAGAAAAUGAUGUCUAAUCUCUAUAUGCUUAGUCCUAGAGUGUUACACAGGAUUUUUUGAAAUAUUUAUGGGACUAGUGUUAUUACAUUUAAUAGGAACAUGCUCAAAAGACAAAUUAAAAUCAUUACGUGUUUGUUUCAUCCAAAGAAUUUGUGCACAACAUAAAUUGGCUACUAUGUAUGCGGCUUUCACCAUUGACAAAGCUACCGAAUUUUGCUUCUUACUAUGCGAUGAAACAAGUGAGUGUCCUAGGAAAUGACAAGUACCACUAGUGCUUUUUCUUUCAACCCUACAACCGGCAAAAUCGACAUUUGAGAAUUCAAUUAAUUCAAAGUUAUCACUCUUAGGAUACCAUAAGCCUAUGUCCAUUGUCUUUUUCAAGUAUCUAAGAAUUCGUUUUAUGGCACUUAAGUGAGAUUCUUUAGGACAAGAUUGAAAUCUAGCACACAAGUAUAUACUACACAUGAUGUCGGGUCUACUAGUGGUCAAAUAUAGCAAAGAACCUAUCAUGGCUCUAUACAUAGUUGAGUUAAUGGAUUUACCUUUCUUAUCCUUAUCAAGCUUGAUGGAUAAGCUCAUUGGAGUCUUCAUUGUUUUGGCUUCUUCCAUGUUGAACCUUUUGAGAAGGUCUCUUAUAUAUUUUACUUGAUGGAUGAAGGUUCCUUUCUUUAGUUGCUUGAUUUGAAGUCCAAGGAAGAAGUUGAGUUCUCCCAUCAUGCUCAUUUCAAACUCACUAUGCAUGCACUUAGAAAAUUCUUCACAAAAAGAGACAUUAGUAGCUCCAAAAAUAAUAUCAUCAACAUAUAUUUGAACUAAGAGCAUGUCAUUUUCUUUGGUCUUUAUGAAAAGAGUUGUCAAUUUUUCUCAUUUUAAAACCUUUUUUCAAAAGAAAUUUACUUAAUCUUUCAUACCAUGCUCUAGGUGCUUGUUUCAAACCAUAAAGUGUCUUUUUAAGAUUAAAAACAUGGUUAGGAAAGUAAAAACUUUGAAAACCGGGUGGUUGUUCAACAUAUACUUUUUCAUUUAUAAAGCCAUUUAAGAAAGAACUUUUCACAUCUAUUUGAUAUAAAAUAAAGUCUUUAAAACAUGCAAAGGCAAGUAGCAUCCUAAUGGCCUCCAAUCUAACUACGGGGACAAAGGUUUCUUCAUAAUCUAUUCCUUCUUCUUGAUUAUAACCAUGGGCUACCAAUCUUUCUUUAUUUCUAACAAUUAUGCCAUUUUCAUUCAUUUUAUUUCUAAAGACCCAUCUAGUUCCAAUAACACUUUGGUUUGAAGGUCUUGACAUUAAUUCCCAUACUUCACUUCUUUUAAAUUGAUUUAACUCUUCUUGCAUAGAAAUAAUCCAAUUUUCAUCAACUAAAGCAUCAUUUAUAUUUUUAGGUUCAAUUUGAGAGAUAAAAGCAAGAUUAUUGCAAAUAUUUCUAAGAAAUGAUCUAGUUCUUACCCCACUAGAUGGAUUACCUAUAAUUUGAUCUUGUGGGUGGUUGAUGACAAACUUCCAAUCUUUAGGAAGGUCUUGGCUUGGUUCACCUUGCACUUGUUGAGGAGGGGGUAGUGCCAAUGGUGAUUCUUUUUUCUUUGGAUCCUCUCCAAUUUCUUCUUGUUGCUUUCUAUCUUCAAUUUACAAUUUUCCCAUGGAGGUCUCCAAGCCUAAAUCAUCAUCAAAACUCUCUCUUUCUUGAAGAGAAUUGUUAGAUUCAUAAAAAAAUGUCAUGGAUGGACUCCUCUAUAACCAUGGUUCUUUUGUUGAAAACUUUAAAGGCUUUACUUGAAGUUGAGUAACCAAGGAAAAUUCCAACAUCUAAUUUUGCAUCAAAUUUUCCAAGAUUGUCUUUGGUGUUUAAUAUAAAACAUUUGCACCCAAAGACUUUGAAAUAGCUAAUGUUGUGUUUCUUAUUUUUUCAAAGCUCAUAGGGAGUUUUCUUAAGAAUAAGCCUCAAUAAUAUUUUAUUUAAAACAUAACAAGAGGUGUUAACCGUUUCAGCCCAAAAAUAUUUUGGUAAAUUAUUUUCAUUUAGCAUGGUUCUAGCCAUUUCUUGAAGAGUUCUAUUUUUUCCUUUCAACUACCCCAUUUUAUUGAGGAGUUUUAAGAGCCAAAAAAUUAUGGUUAAUACCAUGCUCAUUGCAAUAUUCUUCAAAAUCAAUAUUUUCAAAUUCUCUCCCAUGAUCACUUCUUAUACAAGUAAUUAUAAAACCUUUUUCAUUUUGAAUCUUAUUGCAAAACUUUAAAAACUCAUAAAAGGCUUCAUUCUUUUGACUUAAAAACAAGACCCAUGUGUAUCUAAAAAAGUCAUCCAUAGUAACAUAUGCAUAAGAUUUUCCUCCAAGAUUUGGUGUCCUAGAGAGACCAAAUAAAUCCAUAUGCAACAACUCAAGAGGCCUAGAUAUUGAAAUGAAAUUUUUUUUUUGAAAGAGUUUUUGAUUUGCUUUCCUAUUUGACAAGCUUCACAAACUUUGUCUUCUUGAAAAUUUAUUUUGGGAAAGCUUGUAACAAGUUCAUAUUUGUUGAGUUAGGAAAUGAGGUCCAUGUUAGCAUGUCCCAACCUCCUAUGCCACAACCAACUUUGAUCAUGCAUGCUUGAAAGACAUUUAUCAUAGCCAUCAUAUUUUGAAAUAUUUAUAGCGUAAAAAUUAUCACAUCUAUGACCCAUGAAGAUGGUUUUAUCAUUUUGAAUAUCCUUGAUGAUGCAAUGAGAUGCUUCAAAAAUCACUUUAAAACCUUUGUCACAAAGUUGACAAAUGCUUAAAAGAUUAUGUUUUAAACCAUCCACUAAUAAAACACUUUCAAUAAGAGAGGAUGUGCCAUUACCAAUGUUGCCUUGACCAAUGAUUCUUCUUCGGAGUACAUGUUUGCCACUUCUUUCUCCUUUUCUUCUUCGGAGGAUUCUUCACUUUCACUCCAAGUGGCCAUCAUUACCUUCUUCAUUUUUAUCUUGGCUUCACUUUUGUAAAGAGGAUAAUCAUAUUUAAUGUGUCCCGGUUUUUUGCAUUUGAAACACACAAAAUCUUUUUUCUCUUCCCAUUUCUCUUGUCACCAUGAGAUGAAGAUUUCUUUUUAGAAAGGUCUCUUCUAGAGGUAAACUUUCUUCCUUUAAACCUUUCACCCUUCAUGUAUUUGUUGAGCUUUCUUGUGAUGAGGGCUAAAUCAUCAUCUUCUUCACUCGACUUUUCUUCUUCAACAUCUUCUUCUUCCUUAGUUGUAGCUUUGAGAGCCAUGCUCUUCUUCUUUUUGUCUUCACCCUCUUGUAGCUUCUUUGCCAAAUUGAUCUCAUAUGUCAUUAAUGACCUUAUGAGCUCUUCCAUAGGUAGCUUGGUCAAGUAUUUUAUUUCUUGAAUUGUGGUGACCUUUGUAAGCCACUUUGAUGGGAGUGACCUCAAUAUCUUCAUCACCUUUUCGGAUUCCUUAUAGGUCUUUCCCAAUGCUUCAAGACCAUUGACAAUGUUGGUGAACCUAGUGAUCAUCUCAACAAUAGUCUCAUUUUCUUUCAUAAAAAACAAUUCAUAACUAUGUACAAGUAAAUUAAUUUUUGACUCUUUCACUUGAUUUGUUCUUUCAUGAGUUAUUUCAAGCAAUCUCCAAAUUUCUUUUGCUGAUUUGCAUUGACAUAUUCUAUUAUAUUCAUUUCUAUCCAUAGCACAUUGUAAAGUAAAAACAACCUUACCAUUUAAUUGAAAAUUUCUUCUAUCAAGCUAAUUCCAUUCUUACUUAGGUUUUGGAACCAUGACUCCAUCAACUAGUUUUGUAGGAAAAGUUGGGCCAUCUUUAAUGACAUCCCAUACGUCUAAAUUGGUUGAUUGUAAAUACCAAGUCAUUUUAGUUUUCAAUAGGGAUAGUCGAUUCCUGUAAAAAAUGGAGCUCUAUGUUUUACAAAAUUUCAUUGUGAGAUGAGCUUGAUGGAAUAACCAUUUCCUCUUAGACUAUUAGGUCUCAAACAAGAGGUCUAGCUCUGAUACCAAUUGAGAAAAUAAAGGUUAUGCUUAAAUAAGGAAAAAUACUCAAGAGAUGGAUGAAUUGGGUUUUUCAAAAACUUUUUCAACACAACAAAUUCAAGCACAAUAUAAUAAAAAAUAAAGAGAUAGAGUUAGAGAAUUCAAACUCGGAUUUUAUAGUGGUUCGACACUUCUUUAACUACAUCUACUCUUCUCAAUCUCCUAACCGAGUGAGGAUUCCACUAGCUUGAAGCUUCAACCAAGGUUCCAAUCUUCUUACACUUGGAUUCCGGCUCCAAUGGGCUCUUACACAAUCUCUUCAAGAUUUAAACCUCUUGAAGGCUUUAACACUCAGUUUUUACAAGAAUGAAUCCCUCAACCUAGCUCAAUGAUAGCUCAAAUACAAAACAAAGCUAGGAUGACUCACAAGGAUGCACUAAAAGAUAUGCAAGUGAGGAUUUAAUUCACUAAGAAAGAAAUGAGAGCUUUAAAGGCAAACACAAGUGGGUAGACAAUUGAUUGCAAGUGUUUUCCAUAUCAUAAACAAAGUGGAGCUUUCAAUUUAUAGGUUUCUAAGCUCAGAAGCCAAGAAAAGUAAAAAGUAGCCUCAACUGGUUAAGCUGGGGGUUGACCGGUUCAUUAGCUAUUGGAGCAUUUAAUGCUUUGGUAGGUUACCAUUGCCUCGACUGGACCUCAACCGAAGGUCGAUCGGGAAGGAGAUAACCUCAACCGGGAAAGGAAGGCUACUGGAAGAGAGAGAGUGUUUUUGACAUUCUUCGAUUGGACCUUGACCGGUCAAGGGCAACCGAUCGAUUGGUUCCCCAACCGGUUGAGCUAGUUGGCCAGAGCCUCGACCGAUUUGGCCUUUUGGCCCUGAAAACCUAUAUUUUUCACUUCUUUUCUUUUCUAACACUUAGGCAAGGACUUUAGGUAAAUUAAUAUACCAAUUUUGAAAAGUUUUGCCUAAGGUACAUUUGAUAAAACUCGAAUUUUAAUGAAAACAUAAUUUUACAGAAUAAACCAAGUUUUCAAAUAUGCAUGGAAAUAUAUGAAAAACAUAAGUGCACCCAUGCAUUCAUCUUAUAUUUGUUUCCUAUGAUCAAAAGUCUUCCAAAAGUCUUGAUCUUGUAUACAUUUGAUCCUUUGAUGAAUUUCUGAAUUUAUACCUGAGAUUUUUUACUAUUCAAACCAAUUAGUCACUUAACCAUGAUUUGUUAUCAUCAAAACUUGAUUAGGAGAACCCUUGGGCUAACAAUAUUUCUUUCUACCAUAUACUUACUUCCUAAUUAUAUAGAUUAAGUAUACACGAAAGUAACCUAAAUUAAAAAUUUAGUAUAGUACAUAUUCAUAAGUCAAUUUUUUGCAAGGAUAAAAGGUAUAAAACAUGAAGUUGAUUUGCUAAGGAGAUUCUAACCUUAAUUGAAUUGAUUUCUAAGAAGUCAACUCUUUAUAAAGCUCAAUAAGAGUUUUUAUGUUUGUUUAAAAAAAUUAUACCUUAAGAAGGAACUUAAUACAAAUAUGAGAAAAAUAUUACUUCUUAUAAAAGUUCUAUUUUGACUUACGUAAAAAGUUUUUUUCUUUUUUUAUUUAAUAACAUUUUAUAAUUCCAAUAUUUUUCUUGAAAAAUUAUAAUUUUAGUUUUUCAAUUUCCAAGUAAAGGAAAAAAAAAAAUAUCUCAAACAAGACGUAAGUCUUUGAGGAAUAGAUAAAUGACUUGCACUCGAAGAUGGGGUUAUGGGGCUCAUGUUGACAUUCACAAUCAUAGAUGAUUAUUUAUGUGUGGUCAUGGUUCUCAUGAUUGAUUCAAAAUUGGGAGGCCUUUAUCCAAAUGACAAGUGAUUAAAGUCCUAAGUUGAUAUAUUGGUACAAAAAUGCUCUCAUUUUCUUUGAGUAAUAAGUUAUUACUCACCUAUUCUACCAACUUUAUUAUUAUUAUUCUAACUACUAUCCCUUCAUUUAUAGUGUAUUUGAUAGUGAUUCUAAAAAACACUUCUAACUCUUUUAGAAUACUUAGAGUAGUGCUAUGAUGCAUCUCAUUUAUUAAUUUCCAAAGUUAGAACAAAUUUCAUCCAUAGUCAUAACAAGAAUAAAAAAUUAUCUUCUUUCUUUAUAUUAUAUUAUUAUGGAACUUCUAUGGCUUUUAUUUUUACUAUAAGCAGCAUUUGUACUAUCAUGUUUAGUAUCUAUAAAAAUUUAAAAUAUAAUUCAAAAGUUAUUUAUGUUAUUUGUUUUAAAAAAAUAAUAAAAUUAGAAUUGUAUCCAAAUGAUAUCUUAAUUAUUUAUUCUAUUUAAUUUUUAAUUUACAUAAAAUUCAUUAAAAUUUUAUUAAUUAUUUAUAAUUUUAAUAUAAUAAUAGAAAAUAAAAAAAUCAAUUGUUAUAUGAAUCAAACUCUAUGCAAAUUUAAAGACUUUGAGUUUGAAAAUUGUUACACACAUGCUUUCAUUUUCCUUGACCAAUUAGUUAUUACUCAACACAUACUAUGUCAACUUCAUUAUUUUUAUUACUUAUUAGUUGCUGGGUCUUGUACCCCUUGGUUCAUUAUAGUUUUAUUAUGUCCAUACGCUUCUCCUACUACUUUCAAAGUAACCACCUCAAUGCAUCUCAUUUAAUACUUUCAAAAGUAGGGGAAAAAAAUCAUCAAAGUAAAAAAAAUAAUUAAAAAAAUAUCUUCUUUCUUUAUAUUACAUAAUUAUGGAAUAUCUUUGUUUUUUUUUCAAUAGAAAAAAUUAAUAUUUAUAUAUUUGAUAUUGUAAAAAAUUAAAAUAUUAUGUAAAAAUUUAUUUAUGUUUUCUAUUUGGUUCACUCUAAUUUUAUUAGAUCCAUACGUUUUUCUUACUAGUUCCAAAGUAACCACCUCAAUGCAUCUCGGAAAAAAAAUUGUCAAAGUAAAAUAUAUAUAUAUAUAUAUAUAUAUAUAUAUAUAUAUAUAUAUAUAUAUAUAUAUAUCUUCUUCUUUAUAUUACAUAAUUAUGGAAUAUCUUUGUUUUUUUAAUUUUCAAUAGAAAAUUUUAAUAUUUAUACAUUUAAUAUUUAUAAAAAAUUAAAAUAUUAUGUAAAAAUUUAUUUAUGUUUUUUAUUUUUAAAAAUACUAAAACCAAAAUUGUAUCAAAAUGAUGUCUCAAUUAUUUAUUUUAUUUAAUUUUUUUAACAUAUACUAAAUUCAUUAAAAUUUGAUUAAUUAUUUAUGUAUAAUUUUAAUAUAAUUAUUUAAUUAUACUUUUCACAAGUCCAUGUACAAAGUCAUCAGGAUGGAAGAUCAAUUGUGAGAGCUUGUGCAGAAAUGGGUUCUUGAAUCGAUAUUAGAUAAUCAAGUAGAUCAAUUGAACUUUCUCCAACACUUCAACGAGUAGAUCUUCCAAUCUCCAUAUUCCAACAUUGUAUCUAAAUUUUUUUAAUACAGUCAAUGGUAAUGUUUUUAUGAAUAGAUAUAUCUGAUUAUCACAUGAUUGGAUCUAUUGAAUAUCAAUUUUACUAUCUAAAGUCAUGAGUAUAGAAGAAUUUAUGAGAAAUAUGCUUACUUUUGUCAUCUUUUAUAAACCUUCUUUUAAUUUGUGCAAAACAUUAUCUUCAUAUAACUUGGUAGUUUUAUCUUCGAUGGAAGGUAAUCCACAUGAUUCCCAAAUAUGUUGGAUCAUUAACCUUAGUCAUACAUAUGGACAACUUGUUGGGAACCCUGGAUUACUCUGUUCCCAUGCCUUGGAUCUUGUAGAAUGCAUGUAAAUCUAUUCUAAACUCUCUAAAUUUAUUGCAAUGGAAUACCAGGUAUUCAAAAACAAUAUUAAUACCACAUAAAUUAUAGAUCUAGAGAAUGAAGCUACAUACAUUUGAUUUAGAUGUUCCCAAUCAAUUCCAAUCAAUGUAAAUAACUUCAAAGUCAUAAUGAACCUCAUAAAAACCAUGAUCUUCCACCCAAUAACUCUUCCUUAUGUCUAGGCACUAAGAUGCUAAAGAUCUCAAGAGUGGAGGUCAUGGUUCUCUCUUUGAAUUGUAGGGAAAGAAUGACAAGACUUAAGAAAUCCUAACCCCCUAAAUUAGUAUUUAUAGCCUUCCUACUUGGCUUAAGUGACUUGAGUCCAUCAUAGGCUUAAACCACUUAAUCUAGUCCAAAAAGAUUGCUAAUUGAUUAAUUAACCCAAUAGAACUCCAAUUAAGCAAUUAUCUCAGUACAGAAAUGGUGCUUACUUAUCCUUGUGUAACCUUGUGUAAUUAUCAGAAUAUCUUUAUGCAUAAAAGUGAACUAAAAGCCCAUCCAAGCCUCAUAAAUCAUGUCAUCGAGGAAUAUAAGCUUAGAGUGGGGACCAGUGGGACCCAUAGGAAUUAGCUCCCUUAGUAUCUAAUUCUAAAGUUGAUUCAAUAUCCAACUAUAGAGAAUCAACUAAACUCUAGUAUUCUAUAUAUAUUAUAGCAAGACACCAAGUGCUUAGGUCUGUGACCUACUAUCCAUUGUAUACAGUCUUCCCAUGAAUUGGUCAUCCAUUGUCUAACAAAGUGAUUGCUAUCAGACUUUCAAUACUACUUUUACAAUUUUUGAGUUACAGAUCUUCCUAUUAUGUAAUCAAAUGACAUACUCUAAUUCACUAAGAGCAUAUGUCAAAUUUCACUAAAGGAAUUAUUGCAGAUCUAGAGAUUUCAUGAUCAUACCUUUGUAGGAUCACCCAAGAGGACACACUGUUGCAAAGUCCAUGAGAUAUCAUGGCGCUUUUAUUGAGAAUGCCUAUUGCUAUAGGUUUCUAUCAAUAGUGACCCAAUCCGUAAGGAAUAUAUUAUCAACUAACAAUCUCACCUAUAGUCAAAGACACUACUAACUUUUGCACAAGUUCAAUAUUCUCUCAAGGUUGAGAGACUAUAUAGUAAAAUAACUUGGUGAAGUUAUGACUAUCCAAUAGCCUUAUAUCAUGACUCACUAUAGAUCCUAUCCUAUGUGUAAUCAUACACACUAGUGUGCUUACCAUGGGAACCUCAUUCUGAUAGCCAAGACUAGUCAUCCCUCUAAUUAGGAAAUGGUGUGCUAUAGCCUCAAAUGGACUGUCCAAGUCCAUGAACCGAUUAUGAACAAAUCAUCUAUGUACAAUGCGAGAUAUGUUAGGCCAAAAUAUUCAUAGAGAUAAUGUAUGGAAUAAGAAUAGAUAAAAGAGAACCUGAAAUAUCAUUAAAUGAAUAAUGUAUUCCAAAUAUGUUACAUCAUAGCAUGCUUUUAAGGACUCUAUCUUAACACAAUUUGCUUCAUGAAUUACAAGUAUAUCUUAAUGAUUUAGAGAGGUGACUACCAUUGUUUGAUUCACUAAUCUCUAUGAUAUUGUCAUAUUGCCAUAGGUAAAUACAUACCUUGUUUGAAAUCAAGCUUUGCAAACUCAGUUAUACUUUCUUCAACAUUUCAAUAGGUAGAUCUCUCAAUAUUUGCAUUCCAAUUUUGUAUCUUAACUUUUUCAAUGUAGUUGAUCGUAAUACUUUUAUGAAUAGAUCUAUUAGAUUAUCUUAGGAUUGAAUUCGUUGAACAUCCAUUUCACCAUUUUCUUGAAGCUCAUAAGUGUAGAAGAAUUUGAAGGAGAUAUGCUUAUUUUUGUCACGUUUUAUAAAUCCUUCCUUAAUUUAUGCAAUGCAAGCAACAUUAUCUUUGAUGGAGGGUAGUCCACAUGAUUCCUAAAUAUGUUGUCUCAGUGACCUUAGUCAUAUAUACUCAUGACUUGCUUUAUAAAUUGCAAGUAUCUCUCAAUGAUUUAGAUAAGCGGUUACCAUUGUAUGCUUCACUAAUCUCCAUGAUAUUGUUGUAUUACCAUAGAUAAAUACAUACCCUAUUUGGGAUCGAGCUUUUGUAGGGAUUUGAAAGAUAACCAACAAUCAUAUAUCUAAGUAAUUGAGAUUCUACUCUUUUAGAAUAAAAUAAACAUAUGGCAUUUGUUCCAUGAUGAUAUUGCAGUAUACAUUUGACUUUAUUCUUGCAAGAAAGAAAGUUGACAAAAAAUGUAAUAGUUGAUAAUGUAAAAUUGUAAGAUACAGUAGUGUACCAAUAGCAAGGUAUUUUUGGACGAAGUAGUUCUCCAUGAUUAUAUUUAGGAUGAAGGAGGUCCUUUUUCACUUUAAGUGAACAAAACUACAUUAAAGAACUUAAUGGGUGUGAUUUAUCCUUAUAUAAGUUCUUCAAUUUUAUUUUAUAUAAGUUCUUCAAUUUUAUUUUAUUUUUUUGUAUGUUAAUUGAUGGACUCAACAUUCCAUUUGGAAAAUGCUUUAUUUCCAAGUUGAAACAAUUUUUUUUUCCCAAAAUCUUUUGUUUGAAAUUAUUUCAUUGUACAUUUAAUCGUUCUUAUAUACUCUUCAAGAGUCAAUAAGAUUGCAACAAUGACAAAACUCCACUUUAAUCCACAUAAGGACAUAAUUUGAUCAAGUGUAUUAUCAUCAUGACCUGAUUAAGAACGUGAUAUGAGAUUUUCAAUCAUUUUAAUCCUUAAGAGAAUUAUUUGUUUCAAGCAUGUUAAUUCUUCAGGGAGUUAUUUGCUUCAUGCAUUUUAAAUCCUUCAAGGACUUGGUUACUUUAUGCAUUUUGGAUCCUUUAGGGAUUUUAACAUAUCUAUGAAUCCAUAUACAUUACAAAGUAUAUAUCUAGUCCUUGAGAAACUAUCAAUAAUGUGAUCAAAUCAUUACAAGGAUGAUACUAGGUCAUCACAUUAAAACCUUAUGUUAUAAAUUUUGCUUUAUAACAUAACAAGCUAUUGAUAUCUGACAAUUUUUAUGUCUUUAGGCAUUAUAAUCCAAGUCCAUUUAUAUUCAAUAGGCACAACAUAUUCUAGCAUUGGACUACAUGCCCAAAUACUCCUCAUUUUGCCAAUAAGUCUAACCUUGUAUGUAUUGUAUCUUUUUAUUUUGGCCAAUUAUAAAUACGUUGACAUUCUUGCGUAAUUCAUUAUUUGGAAUUUUCAUCACUCCAUAUGAUGUCAAAGGUCAUCUAAGAAAAAUAUGAAUUAUCAAUGACAAUAUUAUUUUAAUCUCAUUUUCAUCUUGUCAUGUUCAUAACUAGUAGAGGUCGCUUUUAUUUUUAGGUAUGGAGGUAUCUAUGCCUUUUAAGAGCCAUUUCAUACAAUUUUUGCAUCUUCAGGGGCUAUUAAUUUAAUUUGCACCUCUUCAGGGAUUAUUUGUUCAAAUUGUACUUCUUUAAAGACUAUUUGUUUAAUAUGCACUACUACAAAAAUAGUUUAUGGUGUCACUAUUUACGGUGUCACUUUUAAAAUAAUGACACCAUAGGGUUUAUAAUUAAUAAAGGUGACACAUCAUAUAAAAAAUCUUCAAUUGAGGUAGUUAGAUGAUAUUAAUUUUAUAUUUAUAGUGUCAUUUUUUGGGAAGUGACAUCAUAUAAAAUAAAUUUUUUUAAGUAUUAUAACUUAAUGAGCCCAUUUUUAGAAUUAAUAAUGAUGGAUACUAUAUAAAAAUCCCAUUGUUUCCAUAUCUCACCCACAAUCCAAAAAAUCUCAAUAUAUAAAUCCUAUAUAUAAAAUCAUGAUCUUCUUCAACCUUUUCUCUCACCCAUCCAUAGUCAACACGCUCAAAACCGACAUUCUUCACUUUGUGGACUCCCAGGUAACCCAAAAUCUCUUGGAUCUAUCAUUUUUUUUUCUUUUAUUAAUGCCAUUAUAUUAAUUGUUUCAACAUCUUUGUAUUAUGGUUUUUGUGAAUUGUGUUUUCUUGAGUUGUAGGGAAGAAAAAUUUAGGUUUAAUCUUCUAGCAUGGAAGAAAAAACUAUAGAUUAAUUGGUUUUUUUAAUCUAAACCAAACACAUGAUCAAGUCCUUAAAAAAAAAGUGAAAAAUAGGAAAAAAUGAAUGAUUUUUAAUAUGUAUUUGUGUGAGAAUGACAGGUACAGAAUUUUUUUAAGAUAUACUAUCACAUAAUCUUCAUCCUUUCUAAAAAACGAGAGAGGAAAAAAAAAAGAAUGAUUUUUCUGUUUGUAUCUAAGUGGGAAUGAGAUAUAGAAUUUCGUUGAAAGUAUCCAACCCCAAAAGGACCAAUCCGGGAAGGCAUGUGUGGUAUUGACGGGAGAUGAUAAGAUGGAAAUCAUAACCAUAGCCAUGUUCUCUUUGUGUCUUUCUAUCAUCUUCAAUUAAUUCAUGGGCAUAGAUAUUUUAUUUAGUUUUUAUAUUUAGUUUAUUUAUAGUUUAUUUAGUUUCUAAAAUCCAAUUAGCUAGAUAUUUUAUUUGAUUUUAUUUUUAUAUUUAAGUAGUUGAGUUUUGGAAAGUUUUUAUAUUUUGUUAAUAGAAAUAGAAAUUUUAUAUUUUUUAUUAUUAGGAAUUUCUAUUUUGUUAAAUUGUAAGUAUCUAUCUCAAUAAGAGAUUAUUAAUAUUCAAAUGAAAGUGAUGAAAGAGAGUAAAUAUUUUAAUGCUCAAUUAUAUUUUAAUGUUAUUUUUUUUUACAUAAGGGUUUAUUUAUGUUUUCAAUUUUGAAGUUCCCUUUCCAAGUCCAGCAACAAAAGUAGUGUCCAACCUUAAAAUGGGCAUGUGUGGUACUGACAGGAAAUGAUAAGAUGGAAAUCAUAACCAUAACCAUGUUCUCUCUGUGUCUUUCUAUCCUCUUCAAUUAAUUCAUGGGCAUAGAUAUUUUAUUUAGUUUUUAUAUUUAGUUUAUUUAUAGUUUAUUUAGUUUCUAAAAUCCAAUUAGCUAGAUAUUUUAUUUGAUUUUGUUUUUAUAUUUAAAGUAGUUGAGUUUUGGAAAGUUUUUAUAUUUUGUUAAUAGAAAUAGAUAUGAGGACUUAAAGGGUUUAUAUUUAGGUAGUGCUUAAGCCAAGGAAAAUGAUAGUCCACUAUCUUGACCCUAUGCAUCACAAACCAUGUGAGGACUUAAAGGAUAUCGUAAACAUGUAAGUUCUUCCUAUUAUUUUUCAUAGUAUUAUUUUUAAAUAAAAAAAAUACAUUCACCUCAAACACAUUUUUUUUUAUUUAUAUAUAUUAAAACAUAUAACAUUUACCUAUUUUAAAAAUGUACCCAUUGAACUUAUUUACAUAGGGCUUUUCGAAUAUCUACAAAGAAAACAUCUAAGAGGGAGCCAUCUUAGCAACUAGUGCAGGUGACAUCCAAAAAUUUUUCUUUACACAUUAGCUUAUGCAUUUGCACCAUUUAUAUAUGUGAGUACUAAUGUUAUUUUAUAAUUGAUUGAUUAGUGUCCAAGACAAGAAGGAGGGUUCGAAUGUGGCUACUUUGUUAUGAGAUUCAUUAAAGAUAUAAUUUUUUAUCCUACAAUUAUUGCUUCAAAGGUAUUACUUAUUUAAUGAAUUGUACAUAGUUUUAGGCUUCCAAAUGUUAUGCAUUUUAAUGUUAUUUUCUUAUUUGAUUUCAGUUUGGUAAUAAAAAAAAACAUAUUCUCAAGUAGAAUUCGAUGAAAUUAGAGGAGAAUGGGCUACUUUUGUGCUACAACUAAUCAUGAAUCAUGUUGAUGCAUCAUGAUCACCAUGCAUGGUGAGUCCCUUAGCUACUACAUGAAUUUUUCCAUAGGUAUUGUAUAGUAAUGCUUAUUCUUUGAAUAAUGUUUCUAUUUGAAAAAAAAAAAUUAAUUCUUAGAUUUUUUCAUUUAUGAUAACAUAGAUCCAUGUUUAUUUUCUUCAAUAAAAAUCUCUAAAACUCAUUAAAUUUUGAAAUGCAGGUAUACACUCUUGGGAGGGUGAAAUGGAGAAUAAAAAGAAAGAAGAAGGCAACAAGAUUUUAGGUUUUUAAAUGCAACUCUUAUGUCAUACAUUGUAGGACAUAAAUGUUACUUUAAUUGCAACUGAGAAAUUUAGAUUUUUAGAUGGGACUUCUAUGUCAUUUUAUGGUUAGCCGGUUUUAUGCUUAUGAAAUGGAGGUAUACAUGAAUCUUGGGAUCUUUAACAUUUCUAAAUCAUGUUUUGGUAUGUAUUCACUCUUGUUUUUUAGUUUUGAUGGGUUUGAUAUAUUGGACAUACUAUCCUUUUGUGACCAUUUGAUAUACAAAUAUUAUUAGAUGAUCAAUGUAUUAUGAGUUAUUCCAGAAACAUUAUAGAAAAAUGAGUUAAAUAUAAUAUGAUUGUUAUAUUUAUGGACAAAAUAUAAACAGGUUAAUCUUAUUAAUUCAUAAGCAUUAAAAAAAUCAACAACUAAGACCAAUCAUAUAUUCCACAAUAAUUUACAAUGAUGUGAUACCAUAACUCAAAGGUGAUGCAUUUAAUGUGACAUCAUAACUCAAAGAUGAUGUAUUUAAUGUGACACCCUAUCAUCACUANNNNNNNNNNNNNNNNNNNNNNNNNNNNNNNNNNNNNNNNNNNNNNNNNNNNNNNNNNNNNNNNNNNNNNNNNNNNNNNNNNNNNNNNNNNNNNNNNNNNUAAUGUUAUUUUCUUAUUUGAUUUCAGUUUGGUAAUAAAAAAAAACAUAUUCUCAAGUAGAAUUCGAUGAAAUUAGAGGAGAAUGGGCUACUUUUGUGCUACAACUAAUCAUGAAUCAUGUUGAUGCAUCAUGAUCACCAUGCAUGGUGAGUCCCUUAGCUACUACAUGAAUUUUUCCAUAGGUAUUGUAUAGUAAUGCUUAUUCUUUGAAUAAUGUUUCUAUUUGAAAAAAAAAAUUAAUUCUUAGAUUUGUUCAUUUAUGAUAACAUAGAUCCAUGUUUAUUUUCUUCAAUAAAAAUCUCUAAAACUCAUUAAAUUUUGAAAUGCAGGUAUACACUCUUGGGAGGGUGAAAUGGAGAAUAAAAAGAAAGAAGAAGGCAACAAGAUUUUGGGUUUUUAAAUGCAACUCUUAUGUCAUACGUUGUAGGACAUAAAUGUUACUUUAAUUGCAACUGAGAAAUUUAGAUUUUUAGAUGAGACUUCUAUGUCAUUUUAUGGUUAGCCGGUUUUAUGCUUAUGAAAUGGAGGUAUACAUGAAUCUUGGGAUCUUUAACAUUUCUAAAUCAUGUUUUGGUAUGUAUUCGUUCUUCUUUUUUAGUUUUGAUGGGUUUGAUAUGUUGGACGUACUAUCAUUUUGUGAACAUUUGAUAUACAAAUAUUAUUAGAUGAUCAAUGUAUUAUGAGUUAUUCCAGGAACAUUACAGAAAAAAGAGUUAAAUAUAAUAUGAUUGUUAUAUUUAUGGACAAAAUAUAAACAGGUUAAUCUUAUUAAUUCAUAAGCAUUACAAAAAUCAACAACUAAAACCAAUCAUAUAUUCCACAAUAAUUUACAAUGAUGUGAUACCAUAACUCAAAGGUGAUGCAUUUAAUGUGACAUCAUAACUCAAAGAUGAUGUAUUUAAUGUGACACCCUAUCAUCACUAGAAAUAUAUGGUGUCACUUUUGAAUGGGUCACCAUUUAUCUACUUUGGUGUCACUUCCAAAUACGUCACCAAUUGGUACCCUCUAUGGUGUCAGUGGAGAAGGUGACGCUAUGUUGUAGUGACACCUUAUGUUUAUGGUGACUCAUUAUAAAUGUCACCAUAUACCUUUUUCCUUGUAGUGAUGUGUCUCUUCAAAGGUAUUUGUUUUAGUUGUGUCUCUUUAAGGGUUAUAAGCUUCUCAAUUUUGGUCUGAUCAAUCAUUUUAAGGCCUCUUUAAGAGUAUCAAGUUUUUCAUGUGUUUUUCCCCAUGCUUUCUUCUUUCAAGGAAUUACAUCCUUUGAUUCAACAAGUCUCUUAUGCUUUAAGUGUACCUUGGAUUCAUUUGUUUUUAUAAUAGUUAGUUGUCCCACCAAAACAUUAUUUUUUCAUCAAUUAUUUUACUAUACUUCAAGCAUGUAUCUACAAUUUUGUUAGUUAAUUGUCCUCUAGGGACAUCAAUUUAUAAUAUUACUUUCAUAAAAAAAAUCUAAGAAAUUUCAUGUCAUUCUUCUAGAUCUAUAAUCAACUUCCUCCCUCUAACAAUGAAAAAAAUUAUUUUAUCAAAAUAAUAAUUUGUACAACAUGUCAUACUAUUUUUUUUAGGAAUAUAGAUAAAUUAGUCACUAGAUAAAAACUUCUGAUUUUAUAAUAUAUAUCUAUAUGACGUGUAACCUUAGGGACCAUGUUGGUCAUAUCAAAUUCUUUUAGAUAUGAUCGACUAUAACGUGUCAUUCACAUGAAAUUGUAUCCCAUUAGUGACAUAAUUUUAUCUCUUUUAGAGUCUACAAUCAAGUUUACUAGAUAUAUAUUAACAUCAAUUAUUAUAUACAUCGUACAAUUGAUGAGGUAAAUAUCUUGGAAUAAAUCUAUCAAACACUUAAUAUUAUAUGUACACAACUAAUAUAUAUGACAUGCAUGUAUUAAAAGAGUAAUUUAUUUAUUUAUUUUUCCAUAAGAUGGAAUGUACCAUUUCAAAGAUUUCCAUCUACUUAGCUAGCAAAAAGAAUACAACAGCUACAAUCAAAUCAAAUUUGAAUCAUAGCAAAUUAAGAAUAUAUAAGAUAUAAUAACUUCAAAUUAUGAACAUUUAUCAUAUUUAUAUAUAUAGUUUCUCAUAAUUGUAAGGUAAGUGAAUUUCUCAUCUUGAUAUGAUUCCAUAUAUAUAGUUUAAUAAGAACUAUAUAUAGAAAAAAACCAAGGAUAAAAAUUACACUAAAUUUCUAUUAAAUAAUAAAAAUAAUUACGUAACUUGUAGCUAUGAUAAAUAACCUUAGCAUAGCUUUUGGUUAGAGUAUUUAUUUUCUUGUUUUCAUAAAUUCUGGUUAUGAAAUAGAUUCUAAAUAUAUUCAAUAUUAUUUUUUGUACUUAUAUGACUUUGGGCUAUAAUUUUUCUAUAAAAACCAUUUUGUAUAUAGCCUCAAAUCAUAGGAGGUUAUAAAAUGGACAUUUAUUCUUGUUAGAGUUUGGUGACCCAAAUCCUAUUUGGUCCGUUGAUGAAAAAUAUGGACAUUGGCAGUCCCGAAUCUUUGAUGCCUCAUGAAAGGUCCAACAGCGAGGUUUCUUUCUCGCCACUGGUGGGAUAUUCAUUAUGACUGGGGAUGUUCUUCCAUGUUUUGACGCUUCUACUAUGUUCUCCAGAGGACACAUCUUGCAUCAUCACUGUUCCUUUCACUCUUGAUACUGCUUCUAACCAUGGUGUAAUUGUGGCAUCUAAAAUUGGGAUUCUGAACAAAGCUUCUUAUGUUAGUUUAGUCAAGAAUCUUCUACAGAAACCUACCAUGGAGGAGCUUGUUAAGAACCAGGCAAUUCUGGAUGUUGUAAGAACAUUGCUUGGCACGGGAAUGACAGCAGUUAGAGGUAAAGCAUGGGCGAAGGCUUCAGAUGGCACUCAAAUUCCCCUAUCAAUUGUUUACUGAAAGGAUCUUGGGAAACUUGAUGGACCUGAUCCAUUACUUCUUUAUGGCUAUGGUUCACAUGAGAUUCGCAUAAAUCCAAGUUUUAAAGCUUCAAGGCUGUCUCAUUAGAUCGGGGUUUUAUAUUGGCAAUAGCACACAUUCAUGGUAGUGGUGAAAUUGGGAAGCAGUGGUAUGAGAAUGGGAAGUAGUUGAGAAAGAGAAAUACAUUAGCUGAGUAUCUAAGAGACAUUAAGUUUUGUUCAAAAGAAAAAUUGUGCGUCCAUGGAGGAAAUGCAGAAGAUUCCAGUUUGUGGGCCAGUUGGAGCAGGGAAAUCAUCACUCUUAUAUGCUGUACUUGGAGAGAUACCAAAAAUCUCAGGAACUGCUGAUGUAUUGGGUUCCAUUGCUUACGUUUCUCAAACUUCUUGGAUCCAACGUGGUGCAUCACCUAUAAGCCAAGAUUCUCCUGGUCCGUCCACAAAUACAGGUUCUAUGCAAUUAUUGUUGAUUAGAACCAUGACAGUAUCCUGCUGAAUACAUGUCUUGCCUUCCCGUUCGCUUCAAUACUUCACACUCCACUUGGUGAACCAUCCGCACCAGCAGAGCAAUCACUUCAGUACCUCCAGUUAUUGGCACCCCAUAUUUGACAACCAGUGCAAAUGAUUCCAUGCAUGGCUACCUUUGAUGUGCCAUUUUUUUAAAGCCUCUAUGUCUCAUCCCUUAAUGCUUCAUGCAUGCAUUUUAAAAAAAUUGCUUUUAAAACAUUGAUUUUUGAAAAUCCGGUUUUCAAAUGAUUUUAAAUCCUUUUUUAUUCAUCCUUUAGAAUUUUUAGGCAUUAAAAUUUCAUUUUCCAAAUUGGUUUGCUGCCAAUAUUUCCUUCAAGCAUGCAUUUCUUUUAUUUUCUUUGGUUUUCAAUAAAUUUCCGAAUUUCUCAUUGUAGACCCUCUAUUUUGUCUUCUAGGCACAUUCCAUCUAGGAUUGCCUUCCUACAUCCUCUAUUGCCCUAUUGUGCACUUAUGGUCCUUUUUUGAGUUGUUUUUGAGCUUUCAUCGGUGGUCCAUUGUAACUAUUUUGAUCACUAGUUUUGGAUUCUUUUGGAGAUAUAUAUCUUGGAGGGAUUAGGUGGAUCUCGAUCAUGAUUUUAGUGACCCUAGGUUUAGUUGAGAAAUAGUUUAGAAAUGUUCUUUGAGUUUAGUUUAGUUUGAGUUUAAUUUAGUUUAGAAGUAAUUUAGAAGAACUUUUUGAGUUUAGUUUAGUUUAGUUUAGUUUAAAAGUAGUUUAAAUUAGUUCUUUGAGUUUGGUUUAGUUUAGAAAGUAAGUAAGAAUAGUUUAGUGAGGUUGGCUUAGCCUAAUGAGUCUUAGAAUAAGUUAGGGAGCUUUGGUUAAGAACUUAGAUGAGUCUAGUGGGUUUGGUUUAGAAUGAGAUUAGGUGUUAGUUUAAUUAGAGAGUUUUAGUUAGAAUUAGGUUAGUUGGUUGAGUGAAGGUUAGGGAGAGUUGCCUCUAGGUUAAUAGGAUGGUAUAGGAUAGGGAGAUGUUGGAGGGUAAGUUAGGAAUUCUCUAGAAGGUGGGUGAAGUAGUGAAGGAUAGGAGGAGGUUGAAGAGUAAGUUAGGAAUUCUCUAGAAGGUGGGUGAAGUAGUGUAGGAUAGGGAAAGGUUGGAGAGUAAGUUAGGAAUUCUCUAAAAGGUGGAUGAAGUGGUGUAGGUUAGUGGUGGCUUGGCAAGCAAGAGAGGGGGAAGAUAGGAAAAAAGGAAGAAAAGAAGUGGUUCUCUAGAGAAAGAGAAUUUGGGGAGAACUUUGAGAGAACUUGGAGAGAAACAAGGACAGCCAUGGAAAACUUGAGAGACCAUUAUCAACUUGAAAAACGUCAAGAUAAAACUUGGAUUUGGAAACACCUUGAGGUAAGAUUAUUUAAUUUCCUAACUUGAUUUUAUUUUCUAUAUCUUCUUCUCAUACUUCUCAUUUUCAUGAUUUUGGAUGUAUUAGACUAAAUUUGGUGUGGAUGUAUAGGCCACACGAAGUAUUGGAUUUUUUUAUGAUCCCUUGAUGUUGAAUCUUGAGAAUUUGGUGAAAGUAAUUUGAGGUUGAAUGCUUGAAAUUCAUUUAUGUUUACAUGUUGAUGAAGUUUGAGGAAUUUUUGGAGUGUUGAUGACUAUUAACUUAUUGAUCUUUUGAUAUAUGCAUUUUUUUAGUUUUAGAGAAUCAUUAAUGAUCAUAUAUUAAAGUUUGAUUGAAAUUUUUUGAUGAUUAGUGUGUGAAUGAUUGGUGUUAAAUAUUGUUUGAUACAUGAUUAAAAUUAUCUUUAGGAUCAAUUUAGAGAAUCCCUACAUAUGAAAUUUUCUAAAAGUUGUUUCUUUAUUACCACUGUUGAUAGUUCACUUCAGCUUUGAACUUGUAAAUUGGAAUCCGACCAUUCAAAAACUCUUUAAAUUUUUUCUAAUUAUUCUAUGAUAUUUUAGGCUUCUUGAAUUUGAUUUUAGAAUUUUGUUUGAGUGAUUUUUUUUUUUCAAUUUGAAGAUAGAAAUCAAUCUUUUAGAAGGUUUAGUUUUCACUCUGUUUUUGACACUCAAUCUCGUUUCUUAAAAUAAAAUUAUUAAAUGACCUCUUUAAUUUCUUUCGACAUCUUUCACUUAAUCUAGACUCCUUAAAUUCAAUUUUUGACAUAUAAAAUGUUAAGAAAUAAUUAUUGAAAUGAGAGAUAUGAUUUUUUCUUCUUCUUGCACUUACUGCACAGGUACUCUUCUAGAGCUACGAGAUGUUAAUUUAAUUUCAAAUAUGUUAUGGAAAUAAUUCUUACAUAAUAUUGAUGAGUUGCAUGAAUUUUUGUAGGAUUUUAGGACAUCUAAGUUAAUUAAAAAAAUAAUUCUCACAUGCUAUGGAAAAUUACUCUGUUCUGGACCUAUUAUGCUUCUUAUGAAAUCUGGCACUAAAUGGGAUUUAAUUAAUUAAUUUGACCACUUGGAUGAUAAACUAGACAUAUAGGAGAUAUUCUCUGAAAAAUUUCAUGAUAAAAUUCGACUUUUGGAUAUUUUUUUCAAAUUCAUUUUGUAGAGUCUUCUACUAUCACUUGCUGAUUUUCUUGUGAAGUAACCCACUUGUGAAUAAGUUUGGUAAUAAUUGUGAACUUUUUGUUGUCAUUGAUUCCUUGGUGAUUUAGUAACAUGCUUAGGUCUUUAAAUUGAUCUUUGAUGCAUGUUUAGGUUACUAACAAAGGUAGGUAUAGCUGCAUGUUGAUCUUCACAUUUCACACACACUAAUGCACAUAUUUAGCUUGAACAGGUGUUCUUUAUUUAUUUUGAUUCCCUUUUUUGGUCGUGUGUUUGUAAAAAUUGUUUUCAAGAAUUUCAAAAAUGAUCAUUCUCAUUUCUAAUAUCCUCUUACUUCCAUAGGUUCAAAAUGAGUUUUCAAAAACAUCAAUGCUACCUUUUUUUUUGAAUUGGUGUGCAUUUCAAAUUUGUUUUCAAAAUGAAUUUGUGACCUUUCAUGGGAAUGAAAUUUGAACAUGGCUUCUUAUGGAGUUCUUUAAUCAUGGAAGAUUUCAUUCAAGUUAAAUUGGGAAGUGGUAACUCCCUACAUGUUCAUUUUCGAGUUUUGAAAUCUUAGUUUUCAAGUAAUAGCUUAUUUUAGUGCCUUAUUCCGUACUUUCGAGAUUGAUCUAUGAAUUUAAAUUAGAAGAUGACAUGUUUAAUUCAUGAUUAUAUUUUUUUUCCUAAUAUUAAACUCUCUGAAUUUAAUUUUAGACACUUGCAUUACUUAAUUUGGAUUUUCCUAAUAGAAGAUAUAAUUUUGUCUUUAGGUACUUUGUACACAAGCUCUGUUUUGGGCAUUCUGAAUGGUAAAUUGAUUUUAAAAACGUUAGAUUCGUGAUUAUGCAUUUUUCCUUUGAAAUAGACAUUAUCAAUAUUGUGUAUGAAUUUUGGGAAACCUAGGUGGGUUAAAAAAAUUCAUUUUUGCAUGCCCUGUGCACUGACCCUGUUUUGAACCAAUUUGAUUGUUUUGAGUGCUGGUACUAUUUGACAUAUGAUUUGUGAAUUUGUCCAAUUGGGCUAGAAACUAUACUCCUUGGAGUUAUUGCUCAAAUUUUUAUUUUUAUUUUUUAUGUAAAAAUUCUACUUCUAGAUUUUAGCUGAAUUCAUUGUGUAUUGAUUGAUGGGAAUAAUUGAUUUGGCCUUUCGGACAUUGAUGUAGACUUAUUAAAGGCCAUACCUAAUUUUUAUCAUGAUGAAAUGAGCAUGUUUAGUAUUUGUUUUAGAUUUAUUUAGAAGACUUUUAUAUGCUAUCCUGUUUUGCUGUUUGCUGAAUGUAUAUCAUAAUUUAGUCAUAAUCUUUUAUGCAUGCCUCAUCACUUAGAAUUUGUAUCUUUUCUUCUAAUUCAUUCUUUGUUUACCAUGAUGCCUUGUAUAUAUGAUAUAACUCUUAGAUUUAUUACCUUGUUAAACUAACAAUUUCUUUUGAGGGAGUGCUUGCUUAUAUACUAAUAAGGUAUGUACUUUCAUCCUUUGUUUCUUUCGUAUAUAUUUUAUAUUCUUUGGAUUGAUUUGAUUUCUGUUGUUUGGUGUAUGUAUAUGUGCAUGUAUUUGAAUUUAUGUUUGAUUUUGUAUAUAUGCCUGUGACAUUUCAUAGAGAAAUAAACUAGUCCCUGUCAUUCUCAUGCAAAUGCAAGCAGUUGCUUGUCACCUAAAUGCAUAACGUCUCCAAAUGGUGAUAAAUAUCACUUGAGUUUUGUGAUUUUCGUUCUUUUGUAGAAUGAUGCAAGUAUUGCACACCUCGGAUAUAUUAUUAAAUCUUGUCGUUUACAUUAACCUCGGAUCAAAACCUCUAUAAAUCUACUAAUAAAAGAAAUAUGCCACUUCCAAGUCAAAACAAGAAGUAUUUAUCAAUCUACCAGCAGUUACAAACUUCUUUAUAUAUUGCAUCUAAAGUAGAGUGGUUCAAUUUCAACCCCCUCCAACUGAUCUCUUGAAGACAAUAAAAUCACAAACAACUAAACUAUUGGAGACCAAGGACUGAUUAACAACAAAAUUCAAAUUUUAACAAUUCAUUUUCCUUUCCAAAUGCAGUUAAGGGCUAAUACAAAUAGGUAAUGUCUAAUAAAAAGGACCCCUUUAUGGUGAAUUUUUAGAAACUUUGGUUAGUAAAAUUUGUGUCACAGGUUUAUUAUUGGCUGAAGAGGCUUAAUAAUAAAAGGUAAAAUUGUAAAUGAAUUUCCUAUUCUAUAAGAAAAUCUAUUUUGUGAAUAAAAAGAAAAAAGAAAAAACAAUUGUCAUUGUUCAGAGGUAUUUUUGAAUUUUUUUUAUACUUCUCUCAAUUUUGAAACUUUAUGGAUUUUCCUUACAAAAUAUCAACUGGACUGAUGCAAUUCUCAAACAUUUUGUAGUGAGAAAACUUCCAAAGUGUACUCAAGACUGCUUAAGAAAUAUUUACAAAACAAAUUUCCCAGUAGAUUUAAAUAGAAAUAUUAAAACCAAAAUUUCAAAAGAAGAAAUUUAUUCUGUAAAUAUUAAUUACCAAAAAUUCAGUUAGAAAGAGUUCUUAACUCCAUAUUAAUUGAUAAAUCAUUAAAAAAUUUACUAUCAGCAUGAAGUAGUGCCUUAUCACUUACGUUAUAAAUUCAUAUCUAUCAUAUAUUUAAUUAUUAUGUAAAAAAUAAAUAAAAUUAACUUAUUUGUAAUUAAUAAUAUUAUAUAUACAAUUAAAUGUGCAAAUCUAACAAAAAAAAAGGCCUUUCUUUUAGUGGAAUCUCAUCCCAUGCUUGAGCGCUAAGGUUUGACCUAUAGCCUUGUGGGUGAGCUUCAAUGAAUUUUUUAUGGGCUUAAGAGGAGCAGUCCUACAUCAAAAUUUUAAGAAAAAAGUAUGGUGCAUUUAAUAGACAAUGCCCCAAGCCAUCAUCACAAGCAAACCAUGGGUUGGGUAUGGACGGCAUAGACUCCAGGGGCCUUAAAAUUUUGAAGAACAUAAAUGCUGACGUGGCAGUGAAAUAGCCACAAUAAAUCGGGCAAAUAGUGAUGAAAUACCUUGAAAAUUAGAGCAAUGAGAUUUCCAUACCACAUUUUGACACCUUACCCUUGUACCUUGGUCCAACUUGUUUGUACCUUGGUUCAAUGACCUAGAUUUCAUUAUAAAUAUUCAAUUAUCCAAAUUUGGACUUAGCAUUUUCCUAGUUAUUUGGUUAUUUUGCAAAAGUGUUAAAAAUAGUAGGGUGGAAUGUAGGAAACCUUUCUUAUACACAUAAAGCCUGUAUAGGCAAAGUUACAAAUGACUCUUAGCUAGAAAUAAGGAAACAACCUGCUACUCAUUAGAAAAUAACACCCCACUACCACUACCACUACUUACGUGGAGAGACUAAGGACUAGCACCUCAUUAACCAUUUCUUAGAGGAUAGGGCAAAUGAAACAUACCACUAAGGUAAAAUAAAAUAAAUAAAUUUAAAACACAUACCAACCCGUUUCACAAAAAUUAGAACUCGCAAACAGUUGUUAAACAUAUAUUAGAUCCUUGACAUGAUUGAUAUGCUUCCGAGGAGAGCUGCCUUGUCCAUUAGCAACAAAGAAAUAUUGAUCCUUUUUCAAAUUCUAACAAAGAAUGUAUGUAGGCUGUAUAACAUUUUUAAGGACUAGGCAUAACCAACCAAACUUUUUUCGCUACUGAUUCUCAAGAUAUUACCUAAAAACAUGCAAAGACAAAAAAAUUCCAGACAUGAGCUAAAUCAAUUAAUCAAGAAAAAAUGGAUGAUUGAAAGAGAAAAUGAUGCAGUCCCUUUUCAGACUUGAUCAGUAACCUUCAUGUGGUUGAGCAAGUGACAAUGGUGUUGGCAUGGAUAUUGAAGACUUUGGGCUUUGUAACUUUUAGCAAAAGUAUAAAUAUAGUUAUGAAGGAGAUAAAAAAAACUUAUGUAAAUGACAUGGUAUUGAUCUUCAAUCUUAUCUCAAAAUAGAAUGAGAUAGAUUCAAAUAUAGGACCCGUUCUUUGCGGAGUCAGGAAGCAUAAUAUAAUGAAUGAUAGGAGUUCCAGAUUUUGACAUUCGUCACUAAGCCAACACCAUUCAUAAGCAGGUUUGUUUUAUUAUUGAAAAGAAACAUGAGAGGCAGAGCGUAGGCACCAGUACAAAAAAGACUUAUGAGCAUAAUACUUGGUAGAUGCUAUAAAAAAUGUGAUGGUGGCAGCAAUUAGCUUCCCAGCUUCAGGCUUUGUCGGGAAAAGUUGAGAUGCUAUCAACUUCAUAUGUUCAAAAAUUCGACAAAUAAUUAUAAAAAUAAUUCCUCUCUCACCAAGGAAAAUACUCUGAAAAAUUCCACUUUUGCUGCCUGUAUCAGCCAAAAAUAAAAUCAAGCUGACGAGAGUUAAAUAGAAACAUGGAUUCAAACAACACAAGUAAUAAUUACCUGAUAUGCAUCUCCAUGCUCAUGGUCAUCAUUUGGCUUUUUCCACACCUAGAGUGAUUAAAGUGAAUCAAUUGUUAGUUUAAGAUAAACUUGAAGCACCAUAACAUUUUGGUCACAUGCAAAGUCGUAUUCAUUUUCUCUUCAAUUACAAGAAGCAAGUCAACGAAAAAAAAAAAAAAAACAGAAAGAGUUAAUCCCCAAGUCUGAAUUCUCACCCUUCUCUAGAAAAACAGAGGAUAUGAAGACAAUGAGAAUUGAGACUCAUAGUUUUGCUGAUUCAAGUGGUACCAGAAGGUGUGACAGCACCAAUUAAGGCCACCACACUGCCUCCUUUCACUGCCUUCACUGCUUUAUCACACUGCCUUAUUAAUGUAGGAAUGAAAAAGUUGUGUUCAUCCACCAUCAAUUCACUCUAUCAAACAAGACCCAAACAGAUAUGGAGUAGAGGAAUUAAAUUUCAAUGAGCUAAAGUGGGAUAAAGGGCAUUUCAAAUAAAGGACAAUAGCGCAAUAAGUGACUCUUCAAAAUGAGCAAUAAAUACAAGAAUUUAUCAAAUGCAUAGUAAACUACAUUGAAUUUCUCUGCUAAAUCUUCAAACUUCUCCUUAGUGUAGUCAAUCGCCAAAUCAGUUCCCAAGCUCUUCAUUAGCUCCAGUUUUCCUGUGCUUGAAGUAGCAGCACGACUCUUGAGGCACCAAACUUGUUUUGCAUGCUGGCUCAAGCCAUAAAAAAAUGAGGAAAAAUGGAAUUAUUGUUUCUAUAUCGUAUUCAUUUGCCUUAUCCUAAUUAUUUAGGGGGCAACAGUAGCACAAAUUUUGUUCUGUUCGAUCUACUGAGAGCCCCUAUCUCGAUUUUUAACAACUAAUAAAUGGAGGAACCCCAACCAACUGCAACAGGAGGUUCAUAUUUUAGGUACAAAAGAUUUUUUUUCCACUGUAGGCCAUGAAUAGAUAACAUUUAAAAUGGAAAAUAAAUAAUUAGGAACUGAAAUUCAAAUGCCUAGAUGACAAGGCUUCCAACUCCACCAACACCACCCAAAACAAGAAUUGAUUUACCAACAGAAAAUCCAGUCCUUCCGAGACCAUCAUAGGUUGUCUCAAUUGUACGAGGAAGUCCAGCAGCUUGAACAAAAUCCAGAUUCUUUGGCUUUAGAGCCAACAGUUUCUCUUCAAUAGUAGUGCAUUUUGCAAAUGAGCUAAACUGCUUAGGCCCGUCCAAUGUUUUCUCAUUUAUGUUUCCAUAUAACUCUGAAUAGAGUAAAUAGAAAGGGAUCAUGCAGAAACCCCCAAGUAAUUGCGUAUUUCUUCUUUAAAAUGAAUUUCAGAAUUCUAUAGAUUGGUUACCAAUAGUCCAUGCAAGAACACACCUUCUCCAAAGUGAUGAAAACGUUUCCAAUCUCUGAUGGCAAUCUUCCUUUUAAAAACCUUUGAAACAAGCUUAAUUGCAUAGUAUUUCAUGGGGGAUGUCAUAUUUGGUAUCAAGACUUUGUCAUGCUAAAAGAAAAUGGACGUGGAGGGUAACAAUUUGGAAGGGAUGAAGAGGUCAAAGUUCAGCAUUUUUUUUUCCUCCAAAAUUUCUUGUUCUCGUGUAGGAUUCUUUAAGGGUAGGGCAGUUUGUCUUUUCCAUAUUUCAUUACUUGAGGUCAAGGGUGAUGGUUAAGCUUCUCUUGUUGAGCCCUUUUGUUUUUUUUUUUUUCCUUCUUUUUGGGGGUGGAAUUUUCUCAAUUUCUUUUGUGUUUUCAAAUAUGUUUUAGAAGUAAAUUUUAUGGAUAAUAUUUUAUUUUAAUCAUUCUUUAUCGUAUAAUUAUUUUUUAAAACAAUUCUCAUCAAAUAACAAAAAAAGUAAAAAUAAUUAAAAUAUAUUAAAAACAAACAAGGACCUUCUGAUCAUGGAUUCCUUGUUUGCUUCACUCCAUGCCUAAUAGUUUCCUCUUUCUUAGUAUUUAUUCUUCAACUUUACUUGUAUAAAUAAAUGGUUAGUUCCUUCAUCAAUGAAGGGUAGCUAGAGAACUAUCAAUACCAAUGAAUAGUGACACCAUAAUCACCCUUCAUUCUGCACAUUCACAUACACCUUAUCACCUCUAUGAAUCCGAAUGACCGGCCCUAGAAAGCUUUCAUUCACAGUUAGCAUGCUCUUUGUGCUGCACAACCUUGUCAAAUUGGACUUCUUUAGCUACAGGAGAUAAAAAGGAGAGGCAAUAUACAAUGUGACUAACAAAAAAGACCCUGGAUUCAGACAAAAACAGGCAAGUGUUAAGGUAAUACUCACAACAAAGUCAUAAAAAGAGACUUCCAAAGCAUAUUCAUGGGACAUGUAGCUACUUUCAUUAUUAGAACAAUUCAAUUAGUAGUUGUUUCAUUACAAGUAUGUAUAUACACACAUGCAAAAAAAAAAAAAAAAAAGGCCAUGUUAUGUGAGAAUCCACAUAUUUUUAGGAACAAAAGCUCACCAAAUGACCAAAUUACUAAAGGAGAAAGCAUCAACAGAAGAAAAAUGGAUACAAGAGAGCUACUCACCAUAACUGUGAAUAAUGAAAUAUUCACUAGAAGUGCAGAAGGGGUUGUUUUAUUUUAUUUUAUUUUUCCAUCAUAUGGACAGAUAACAUCAUAUGCAGGAACAGGUCUAAAGAGAGCAUUGGGCAACUCAGCAGAAACCACACUUGAUAAACUCACUUGGAUCAAGUAUUAAUGAUUAAAAUCAUUUAAAUACUGAUCUUUACAUUAUCCUAUAACGUUUUCUUUUCAUUUAAAUGCAUUGUCAUCAUAAUUUAUAAGAUGAAUGCAUUACUCCCAAAUCAACCCAUUUAAUUCUCAAUUCAUCAUAACCGAGGAGCUGUCUCAUUGAAGUCAUGUGUUGCUUAAGCACCAGUUUUAAUAAUUUAUCAUCCCAUAAAGCAACCAUAAGUUCAUGUUUAACUUCAAACCCACCAAAGAGGAAAUAAGAAUUUCCAAUACCUAACAAGUCAAAUUAUGAGCAUAAAUACAUACAUUUUAAGCAUGUGUGAUGAAAUAGAUAAUUCUAUUCCCCAAAAUUAACAUAAGAACAAUAUAAUAACAGAUGCAAAUAUAUUUUGAUUCAUUCAUAAUACAAAUAAGAGGCCUCUUAAUACAUACUUCUUAGGCCAUUGGCGUCAGAUUCUUUAAGUCUUGCAGUGAUAAUCUCCCUGGCAAACAACCAAAACAUAACCGAUCUAAAUUCCACCUGCCAAGAUACCAUGAUUUUCAAUUAUUAUAUGAGCAGAAACAUUGAAAGAGUUGGACAAUCCAUCAAAAUUGAUUCAGCCUAUCAUCUUUUUCGACAGCAGAAUAUGUAGGCAUGCCACAAUCCGAGAUAGAUAAAGUAUGAAAACCAAAUUUUAGAUUUAAGUAUACCGUAUAGGUUGAAGCACUAUUCCUAGGGAAGACAAAACCACCAACUAUAGACCUGAUAUCAUUAACAAAGAUACACAGCCCCAAAUUCGCAAUAUCCUUCAUUACAACACAUUCUUCUCAGUCCCUUAAAUGCUUUGAAAUCACAAUAACAAAUAAAAAGCGCAAAGAUAAUGCUCAAUCUCUAGACCUUGUCUAAGAAGAGACUCUCAAGCUCUCAUUUGAUGGCUCCACUGAGAGGAAGGUCCAGAAGAUGAGGUGGCAAUCCAUGCUUAAGACCUUUUAUAUAUAAUUAUUUUGUGUAAAAUUAAUAUUGAAUUAAUUAGGCUUAACUUGUAAUAUGAUAUAAUUCAAAUCAUGCAUUUGGGUUUUGUUUCAUGUAAUUUGAAAUGAAAUAAGAUAAAUCACUUUGUUUCUUAUGCAAUUUUUGUUUGCAUUUAAAAAUUUUGAGAUACUAUAAUUAUUUCAAGUAUGAGUGCUUUCCAAUAUUUAGUUUUUUUAUUCUCUUUUUUUCCUCCCCACAGUAGUAGACCGAGAAUUUCUUUUCCAAAUUAUUAUGGAGAUAAAACGGAAUGAUUGCACUAUUAUUUGUUCUUUAAAUGCACUUGUAAGAUAAAUUUUGUCUAUAAUGUUCUUUGGGAUCAUCAAAAGAUGCAUAUGGGUUCUCUAUUAGACUUCUACAUAUCUUGGGUUUUUAUCUUAUUCAUUUGUCUCUAAAGUUGUGUGUUUGUUUAUCUCUGUGUAGGGGUUAUCGGGCUACAAGGCUUAAAAACUAGCUCUCCCGACACUCAUGGUAAACAUAUGUAGUUGAAAACAUUUGUUUUGUCAUGCAUGAGAGAACCUUAGACGAGACUCAAAAACUUGAAAGAAUAAAGGGAAGAUGUUGUCCUUUAUGAUGGGAUGUAUGGCGUUAUGAUCUUAAAUCUUUUGUGUUAUUUCCUGGUUAUAUCUAAAACUUCCUCUGGUUUUGCAUGUCUCAUAUUAUUUUUGGUAGUUCUCUUAGCUUGGAUCUGGUAAGGAAUGAAUAAAAUAAAUUAAAGUAGAGAAAGAUUCAAUAUGCAUUGACAUUGAGAAUGAAAGUUUGGACGGUGUGUAUCAAAUAGGGAACAAAACUAUGAAUAUGAGGGUCCAAUGUGUUCAGAGUAUGUAGGAUAGCGAACCAUAGCUAUGUGGUAGCACCUUGGUUACUAGCCUUUCUAAUCAACCUCAGCCGAUUUAGACUUAUUUAAGUGGUAUCAUUAGUUGAAAAUGUGUCAUGGGGUAUGACACUAUAUUAUUCUGAGCUUAAAUUUUUGUGAUUUUGGAUGGGGAUAGCAUUGAGAUUGCUUAAUAAUACCCUAUUCAACUUCUUUUUUUUUUCUUUUUUUUUUCUAAUUUUGAUCUUCAUAGAAAUGUGAAAUUGAUAACCAUCUCUCUUUGUAAGGAAUCCCACUUUACGUUGCAUUGGCAUGGGCAUAGGCAUACAACAUAGGCUAGUGAAUGUGUGUCAAUUUUAGGUAUGAGGUGUGAAACAUGAGCUGAUUGUGGAUAUCUGCAUUGCAUGAACUUUAUGGUUUCGGGAUUCAUAUUCUUUUAUUUCUAAUAACCCAAACUUGUGAGAUGGGUUUGGGACAUGAGAGUUGGCCCACCCACCCUUUGGUUAAACACUUUUCCCUCCUCUUAUAAUCAGGAAAAAUAAGGGAUAUAAGUGAAAAAGAUUGCAUUUAGGGAUUGAACAAAAGAGAGACUAAAGAUGGAGGUAAAGAAAAUAUAGGGCUAAGUGUAACAAGAUCAUUAACAAAUGCAAUUUGAAUGAAUGAAAAUAUCUUGAGUGUGGGUAUCACAUGUAUGCUUUGGAUGGUUCUUGGGUCCCACUCUUACCAUAAAAAAUCCUUGGAUUACUUGGUGUUGGCUAUCCUUAUAUAUGUUAAGGCUUGUUUUUUUAGUCUAUUUUGAGCAAUUUUUACGCCUAAAAAUGAUUUUCCAAAUUGAUUUUUGACAUUUAGGAUUUUACUAAUUUCUUAACAAAAUAUCUCAUUUUUAUAAUAUAUUUUUAUUAUAAAAUUGAGUAAAUAAAAUAAAAAAUGAUUUAAAAUAUGAAAAAAUUAAAAAUAUAAAAAUAAAAUAUUUAUUUUUCAUUAUCAAUUUAUCAAUUUUUUAAAAACAUUUCCCUCUUUUCUUUAUUCGAAAGCAUCUCUUUCUAUAUCUAAUUGAUUGCUUAAGAAAAUUAAAAAAAUAUACAAAUGUGAAAUAUAGCUAGUGGUAAAAACUUUGUUCUUAAUACAAGCUCAUUGACAUUCAAAACAUUAAAAUUAAAAAAAUAAGAUUAUUUUAUAGUUUCUAGCUUAAAUAUAACAUUUGUUUGUACACAUCUUCUUUAUAAUAUCUUCAUUUUUUUCUCAUAAUCUAUUAUUUUAAUUUCUUUUCUUCACUUAGCUUCUCUCUUUUAUUAUGUUUUAAUUUAAUUUUUUUAGUACUAAUGUUUUUAUUAGUUUUCUUUCAAUGUUAAUUAGUUUUAAAAGUUUUACUUUAUGAAAUAGUGAUAAUGAGUUAUAUAAAUUAUUUGAGUUAAAGAUUUAAAUUAAAAUCCUGCUAAAUUUUAAUUUGUUUGUAAUUUUAAAAAAAUCUAAAUAGAGAAAAAGAUGUUGAAGAAGGAAAAGAUAAACAAAAGAUAUGAAUUAAUAGAGUGGUGAAUUUUUAUAUUUUAUUUUAUAUUUUCAUGUGGGAAUUUAAUAUUUUGUUUUUGUUAUUAGUUUUAAUCUUAUUUUUAAUCUUUCUUUAACAAUAACUAAUAAAAUUUGUAUUUAAUUUUAUAAUGGAAAGAGAUAAAAAGAUGUAUUUUUGUAAGAAACAUUAGAUGAUUAAAGUAUUUAAGUAUCAAAUUAUCGUGUUAUUCCAGGAUUAGGGAUGUCAAGUUUUCAUUCUUUUUUGUUGAAUGACUUAAGUUUCAUAAUAACGUUGUUUAGAACUUGAGUUUUAAAAUAGCAAACAUGAAAGAAGAUUCAUGAAUUUUUCACUUAAUGCAUGCAAAUUCUAGGUUACACUUAGGACAUCAUAUGGUGUCCCUCUAACAUAAUGGUAGUACUAAAUCAUUCCUCAAUUUGAGAACAUGAUUUACAAUGCUAAAGCUUGAUAAUAAUUAUGGUGUCAUCUAAAGCCUAAAUUGUUGGAUGAUCAAAUUGACAGGUUGUUAGUCCUAUUUAUUUAUUUAUUUUUCAAGUAAACUUUUCAUAACUCUUGAAGGGCUUGGAGGUUGCUUUAAAAUGCUAUCACUUUGGUUGCGUAAUUAGAGAUCAUAAUUGAGUAAGUUGCAAGUGAACUUGAUUUUCCUAACAAUUAAUAACCAACCAAACAUAAGUAGAUCAAUUGUUGCACAAUGAGCAGACAAGUGAAAGAGUCAUUUGGAUCAUGUUAUCUAAGGUCGAUUAUCUAAGAAGAACAUUCCAUCCAAUUAGACUCAUUUCAUAAAUCAACAAAUCUCAACUUGAAUGAUUGUAUUCAUGAGGCAUUCUCGAAUAUAUUUAACUAAAAUCAUGUCAAAGAUUCCUUUAUCAUAUGUAUUUCAUAAUUUAUGAAAUGUCAACACACGCAAUACAAGAAGUUGAAUACUCAUAAAUUAAAACUUUCAUCAUUGUGCAAGACCGCAUACUUAACAAAAACAUUUUGUUAGGGAUAUAACAAUGAACAUAACAAAAUGCAUAUGAAAAUCUAGCAUAUGUUUGAAGAAAUAAACUCUCUCGAAUGAAGGAAAUGAUUGAAGGAAACAUCAUUAACAAUUUCUCUUUCAAAUACUGCAUCUGCACUUCAUCUUAAAUAAGGCAAAACAUAAAGUAAAUCUAGUGUACCUAAAAAAAUGAAAAUAAUAAGAACAAAUAGGAAUGAUGCCAUUUCAAUAUAAAUAAAAGAAAAUCUAGUAAACCCAAAAAAAUGAAAAUGAUACCAUUUCAAUAUAAAUAAGGUAAAACUUCGCAAUAGUGUUUGUAAAAUAUAUUACAAAGAAAGAAAAAAAAAAAAAAACAAACCAUAUUCUUGCUUCUAGAUAAAAAGAUGGUUUCUAGCUCCAUCCUAUUAAUAUUUAAUGUUUUUUAAAAUUAAAAUUUCUUUAAUCUUGUUUUUCAUUUCCUUUAUAUUUUAUUUAUUAUUCACUUUUUAUAUUAUUUGAAAAUAAUUUUUUAAUUAAUGAAGUUUAUUAUUACAUGUUAAUAGUAAUCAUACAAAAUAUUAUUCUUUUUUUAGUAUUCAUCUUGAAAGUUAUAUUUAUCAUAAAUUUAUAUUCUAUCAUUCGCAUGCUAUACUAAUUUAAAUUACCAAAGGUUUUUUCAUUGUAAAAAAAGUGUAUUAUUUAGUUAAAUUAGAUUAAAAUAAAGGAAGUUAAUUAUUAUGAAAGUAAAGAGAUAGAAUAUUCACAAUUUUUUUAAUCUAUUACAUAUAAAUUCUAUAAUUUUUUUUUCAAAUAAGGGUGAUUUGAUUGUAUUUUGGAAGAAUGAUAAUUAAUCUCUUAUAUGAAAUAUAUUUAAAAUUAAAUUAAUUUUUUAAUUUAAUAAUUUGUUAUUAAACAUUAAUAUAAUCUUCAUACUUUUUUAUUUUAUUUUUAUAGAAUAUUUUUGUCAAUAAUUCCAAAAAAAAGUAUAGGGAGAAAUAAAAAGUAUGAGAGAGAAAAAUAAAAAGUACGGGAGAAAACUAACCUUUUCACGAAAGAGUACUACAUCUUUCGCAGGUCUUCCAUUCUACAAUUAGUGAUAUGCAACUCUUUGAGGUAUUGAAUAUUCAUGAGUGUCACAAGAGAGGAAAAAUAUUUCAUGCUAUCAUUCCCAUCUUUGAUCUAGGUAGAUUCUCCAUCAUCAAGGUUUCUAACUUUGGGAGGAUCUCGACAUUUCCAUCAAUUUCUUGAAGAACAAUCACAUGUUCUAGGAGUUCACAAUAUUGCACAUAUAUCUUUUUUAAAUUUUGGAAGGUGUGUAUCAAAUGAGUUGGGACAAGAUUGAGUAGACAUGGACAUUUGCACACCCUUAAGAUCUGUAGAUUGGAGAAGGAUUCAAACGGAAGUUGAUGAUGCCAUAUAUCCUUCAACUUGGGUAGAUUUUUGAGUGUUAACUCCUCUAACUUAGGGAAUGAAACCUAUAACAUGAUACAUGAAAUCAUCAAUUAGAAAGUUAUAAUAAAUAUAAAUAUAUUCCUUAAAUAUAAUUCAUCAACUUGGGAUUAUUCACAUGUAUACUUUAAUUAUGUUUAAAAAAAUGAAACAAGAAGGAUUCUCAUGCCACAAAUGAUUUUUAUUCAUAUCAAUAAUUUAUUAUUUUAAAUCAUAUACACUCUUUUAUUUUCUCCCAUUAAUAAAUUCUUGUGAAUGUCUUCUUUAAAUUUCAUUUUUCUUUUAAAAGAUUUUGAUGAUUUCACUCUUCAUUUUUUAUUUUUUAUUUUUUUGUAUUUAUUCCUAUAAACCUGACUUUUUUCUUAUUUAAAGUAAAAUACUAAUUUAAAUUACCAAAGGUUUUUUCAUUGUAAAAAAAGUGUAUUAUUUAGUUAAAUUAGAUUAAAAUAAAGGAAGUUAAUUAUUAUGAAAGUAAAGAGAUAGAAUAUUCACAAUUUUUUUAAUCUAUUACAUAUAAAUUCUAUAAUUUUUUUUUCAAAUAAGGGUGAUUUGAUUGUAUUUUGGAAGAAUGAUAAUUAAUCUCUUAUAUGAAAUAUAUUUAAAAUUAAAUUAAUUUUUUAAUUUAAUAAUUUGUUAUUAAACAUUAAUAUAAUCUUCAUACUUUUUUAUUUUAUUUUUAUAGAAUAUUUUUGUCAAUAAUUCCAAAAAAAAGUAUAGGGAGAAAUAAAAAGUAUGAGAGAGAAAAAUAAAAAGUACGGGAGAAAACUAACCUUUUCACGAAAGAGUACUACAUCUUUCGCAGGUCUUCCAUUCUACAAUUAGUGAUAUGCAACUCUUUGAGGUAUUGAAUAUUCAUGAGUGUCACAAGAGAGGAAAAAUAUUUCAUGCUAUCAUUCCCAUCUUUGAUCUAGGUAGAUUCUCCAUCAUCAAGGUUUCUAACUUUGGGAGGAUCUCGACAUUUCCAUCAAUUUCUUGAAGAACAAUCACAUGUUCUAGGAGUUCACAAUAUUGCACAUAUAUCUUUUUUAAAUUUUGGAAGGUGUGUAUCAAAUGAGUUGGGACAAGAUUGAGUAGACAUGGACAUUUGCACACCCUUAAGAUCUGUAGAUUGGAGAAGGAUUCAAACGGAAGUUGAUGAUGCCAUAUAUCCUUCAACUUGGGUAGAUUUUUGAGUGUUAACUCCUCUAACUUAGGGAAUGAAACCUAUAACAUGAUACAUGAAAUCAUCAAUUAGAAAGUUAUAAUAAAUAUAAAUAUAUUCCUUAAAUAUAAUUCAUCAACUUGGGAUUAUUCACAUGUAUACUUUAAUUAUGUUUAAAAAAAUGAAACAAGAAGGAUUCUCAUGCCACAAAUGAUUUUUAUUCAUAUCAAUAAUUUAUUAUUUUAAAUCAUAUACACUCUUUUAUUUUCUCCCAUUAAUAAAUUCUUGUGAAUGUCUUCUUUAAAUUUCAUUUUUCUUUUAAAAGAUUUUGAUGAUUUCACUCUUCAUUUUUUAUUUUUUAUUUUUUUGUAUUUAUUCCUAUAAACCUGACUUUUUUCUUAUUUAAAGUAAAAUAUUAUUGACAGUUUUUCCUUAUUUUUAUACUCAUUCCUAUUAAUAUUUAAUGUGUUUAAAAUUAAAAUUUCUUUUAACCUUAUUAGUUUUUCAACUCCUUCAUAUUUUAUAUAUUAUUCAUUAUUUUUAUAUUAUUUAAAAUGAAAUGUUUAAAUAAUUGUAACAUGGUGGAGUUUGGAAAGUGCAUGUGGGCCCACUCUAGUUUUUCUUUUGACUUAUAUUGACAUAAAGUGGUGCAAAAUAAAUAAAUAAAUAAAAUAAAACCAAUGAAAUUGGCUAAUAAGCUUUAACAUACCUUAUGACUGAAAAAUGAGCCUUCCGACCUUGCAUUUGUACUCAGAGAUGUGGAAGAUGUUGUUUCUAACUUAGAACUGAAGUUGAUGAGUUGCGGUAGAUUCUCGAGUUUCAAAGAUCGCAAUUUUGGGAAUAGUUGCAAGUUGGUCCCAACAUGUCCAUCUUUUGUUAUUUCUGACUCCCUUUCAUAUGUGAUUAUUUGUUGCAUUGCAUUGCAAUCUUUUAUUGUCAUUUCUUCAAGUUGGGAAAGGCCUCUAGCUGUGGAAAGCAAAAGGAGAAAUUUCAAUUUAGGACAUGAAUCCACAUUUAGAGUUUUUAAGUUACCAACAGACCCUAUUGGAAUUGGGCCAUGCCAUACUUCUUCCAAAUUUUUCAAAGUCUGAAGAAUCAAUGACUCCAAUAGAGGAAAGGCACCAUGUUGCAGAAACCAUUGAUCCUUUGAAUCAAUGAUAUAUUGAAUCUUGGGACUGUCACCAACUCGAAGAUGCUUCAGUUCACGAAAACUCUCCCUAUCUGAUGGGUAAAGAACAUAUUUAGUACNNNNNNNNNNNNNNNNNNNNNNNNNNNNNNNNNNNNNNNNNNNNNNNNNNNNNNNNNNNNNNNNNNNNNNNNNNNNNNNNNNNNNNNNNNNNNNNNNNNNGAAAACUCUCCCUAUACUGAUGGAUAAAGAACAUAUUUAGUACCACUUAAUUCCCAGAACUCUAGUUCUUCACUUCUCUCCAACAACUUGCUAAUUCCAUCCCCCAAGUAUAAGCUUCUAUUGACUUUCUUGAGCUUCAAUGCUCUUUUGGUUCUCAACCCCCAACAAUUACCCAUAGAUAUCACAUACCUUGUCAAGUUCUCAAAUAGAAUGUCUUUUGGUAGCAACUUAGCAUCUGGUAUUUUUAUAGAUAAAGUUGUCAAAUAAGACAAAUGAUUUAGCUCAGAUAAACAAGCAUUGCUUUCACCUUGAACCGCCCAUUUAGUAAAGCUAGAUAUCAUACUCAAACAUUCCAAUCGAGACAAACUUGAUAAGAUAUUUCGUGGAAUGACUUCAAGUUGUUUGCAAUCAUUCAAGUCCAACAACCUUAGAUUGGUCAAUUGCACCAUUUCAUUAGGCAAUUGUUGGAUUGUAGAACCCACCAAGCUAAGAACUUCUAGUUUCGUUAGUUUUCCAAUUAGAGCAAUGUCUCCCAACUCGCACCCAUCUAGACACAAUGUUCGGAGAUUUGCAAGGAAAUCAAGUGAUGAAGGUAAUGUUGUAAAAUGCAUAUGGGACAAAUCCAAAACUUUGAGUUUUUUCAUCCCUUCGAAAAAUGUGUUCGGGAUAUUCAAUGAAGGAUUUUUGCUAUGCAAUAGAAAAGAUUGAAGGUCCGGACAUACCAACCCUUGAGGAAGCUCACGCACAACUUUGCAAUUCAAAGAGAUGAAAGUGCACAUUUUGGAGUCAUCAGUCUCUGACCAUUCUUCAAAUCCAACAUCUUCUCUAACUACAAAUGGAUGAGGAUCCUUGGAUGCAAUUGCCCUGGCAACUUCACGAACAACACUAUGCAUCCUCACAAACUUGUUAUUAGCGUCCAUGAAAAGCAAACUUGAAGCUCUUUCUACAUUACAAUUGUGUCUAUCUUCAUGACAGUCAAGUAACAAGCCUGAGGCUCUAAGGAUUUCCACCAAUGCAAGUAGUUUAUUUCUUGCUUGCUCCAAUGAGUCGAUGUGGCCAAACAAAUCCAGACCCAUACCAUAUCGUAACAAGAGAUCCAAUGAAAUAUCACUAUGGUCCAGCAUCCCACAAAGUAAGAACAAUGACUUAACGUCAAUACCCUUCAAAUGGGUGUAGCUCCACUCCAGACAUGAGUAAACCUUAUCCACUGCUCUAAUGUUUGUUAGUGCACAACUCCUGAGUUGUUCCAAGGCAUUCUUCCAUACAGCCACAGUCUCAUCUUUUAAUGCCUUUGCAAUUGUUACAAUUGCAAUUGGCAGACCCUCACAUUCUUCAACUACUUGAAUGGCUAUGGGUUGCAGUUCAAGAUUCUCCUCCACGGAAUCACCUGUUGUCUUCUUAAAAAGACUCCAAGCUUCUUCUAGUGGUAAAUGUUCCACCUGAAAACAAAUUUGUGCGCCCAUGUAUUUGCAUAAUAGGUCUCCAUCUCUCGAAGCCAACACUAUUUUGCAUUGUGUCUCAUCGCCUUUAGAAGGAAUUCCUACUUCCUCCAAAUCAACUUCCGUCCAAAUAUCAUCUAAGAUAAUAAGGAUCUUCCCUUCCUUCAGUCUCUGCUUCAGUUUCUGCUUCAAUUCAUCCGCUCUUCUGGAUUCAUCCUUCCUCCUAAGUGUGAAGCCCAACGCUUUUGCAAUUCUUUGUCGAAGAUUUUCCGAGUCUGGAAUGGAAGAUAAAUCAAUAUAGGCUUGUCUAUUGAACAAAUGGUGUUGCUUAGCUUGUUGAGCCACUUGUUUCAACAGUGUUGUUUUGCCCACACCGCCCAUGCCCCAUACUCCAAUCAAGUUGAUAUUCUCGUCUCUUAAGGCAUCAAUAAUUUUGUUCAAAGUGGAGGCUCUUGAUUCAAGGAAUGAAGCCUGUAGCAAAAACACAACAUAAGGCAUCAAUUGGAAAGUUGUGAUGAUAGGCAUAAACAUAUUUCUUAAAUAUAAUUCAAUUCAAUUCUGAAAUAGUCUCUCGCAUGUUCACUUCUGUUACAUUAUAAAAUUUUCAUUAGUGAAAGAAAAAGUAAUUACCAUUCUAAACAAUUUCCCAAAAAAUCAAAUAACUAUUAUAAUAUUAAUAUCCUUCAAGAAAAACAAUUCAAAUGGGUUUAUGAACAAACUAUAAAUAAAGUAUGAAUAAUGAAAAAAAUUAAUCAAAAAAAUACAAAAUCACAAAACUUGCAUCAUUGAUACAAAGAAAAAACUUUUAACUUUUCUUUUUAAAAAAUGUUCCGUUUAUUUUGAUAUUAACAAAAAAAUAAUGCAUAAUUUUCUUUUAAGAAAAAGAGUAAAAGAGAAAAACUAUUCAUAUUAAAAAUGAUGUAUAUGUAUAUGUAUAAUUUCCAUGUAAAAAAUAAUAUUCAAGAUUGUAUUUUUAUAUUUUAAAAAAUAAAGUUUAUUAUUUUAAAAGAAUAAUAAUUACUCUCCUUAUAAGAAAUAAAGUAUGUCUUACUCUUUUUAUUUUUAAAAAUAAAAAAUUAUAAAAAAGAAUUCUUUAUGAAAGUUUUGUAAAANNNNNNNNNNNNNNNNNNNNNNNNNNNNNNNNNNNNNNNNNNNNNNNNNNNNNNNNNNNNNNNNNNNNNNNNNNNNNNNNNNNNNNNNNNNNNNNNNNNNNNNNNNNNNNNNNNNNNNNNNNNNNNNNNNNNNNNNNNNNNNNNNNNNNNNNNNNNNNNNNNNNNNNNNNNNNNNNNNNNNNNNNNNNNNNNNNNNNNNNNUAAAGUAUGUCUUACUCUUUUUAUUUUUAAAAAUAAAAAAUUAUAAAAAGAAUUCUUUAUGAAAGUUUUGUAAAAGCACAUAAUUUUUUUUUUCCAAAGAAAAAGAGUAAAGGAGAAAAAAAAAAGUCCAAAAUUUAAAAAAAAAAAAUGUACAUGUAGUAUUUCCACAUACUAUAUAUAUAUAUAUAUUGUCAUUUAUUAAUGUUAUAAUAUAUUUUCCAUGUCUCCAUGCUCUCCUCUACUAUUCUAUAUAUAUAUUUUGUCAUUGAAUUUUUAAUUUUUUAAGAGGGAAAAUAUAUUCUGUUACUUCAUUUUGAAGAAUUGUUUUAUCUUUAACGUAUUAUAUCCAUCAAUUGGAAAAUUGUGAUGGAAUAUUUUGGGGAAAUUCCGGUAAAUCAAGGAUUAAAAAUCGCCUAAACAUAGAGAAUUUAUUGGGCCCUCAUAAUACCCUUCUGUUCUUUUAUUAUUAUUUUCCGUUAAAACUAACAAAAAAGAGGGAUGACUAAAACAAGGUCAGACAAACAGGCCAACUGCAGUGCCAGCAAAGCAGUGAAAAAUGGAAAUAGGGUAUAUAGUUUUGGGAAGAGUUGGCAUUUAGACAACUGCUUACUUUUUGUUUCAUACACACAUUUCAUAUAUUAAAAUUACCCAAUAUUUCCGGGUGAAAAUCUCUCGAUUUGAUUUAUAACAAAAAAAAAUUCAAAAUUAUUUUAACAUAACUGGGAUUAAAAUAUUUGAAAUUUUUUUAUUAUUUUCUUUUAUUUUUCAAUAGAAAAUGAUUAAAAUUUAUUUUAUUUAAAAUAAAAAGAUUCAUUAUUAAAACUAAUAUUUAUGAUCUCCUAUUUGAUGACAAUUUUUUUAUUUUAUAAAAAUUAAAAUACCAUUUAAGAAAAAAAUUGUUUUUGUAAAAUUAAAGCACCAUAUAAAUAAAUAAAUUAUUAAUAAUUAAUUAACUUAUUGAUAUUAUUUAUAAAACCUUUAUAUAACAAAUGCAUAAAAUAAAAUUGAAUUAAACAUACUAGAGCAUGAUAAAUUUAAAUAAAAAUAAAAUCAUUUUAUACUAAAAAAUUCUUAUUAUCUUGAUGGUAGGAGAUGUACUUAAAAUAAAACAAAAUUUAAAUUUAAUUUAGAGCACAAUAAAAAAAUAGAACAUAUAUAUAUAUAUAUAUAUAUAUAUAUAUAUAUUUAGUUUUUCCAUUUGUUAAAUAAAAAGUAAUUUUCCCUCCACACAAUUUCCUAAAAAACCAAACAACUAUUAUAAAAUCACUAUCUGUCACGAAAUAUAAUUUAAAUACGGCUUCAGGAAAAACAUUAAAUAAAGUAUGAAUAAUUAUAAUUAAUCAAAACAUAUAAAAUAAAAUAUAAAAUUACAAACUUACAUAAUUGAUACAAAGAAAAAGUUCAUAACUUUGUUUUUUGAAAAAUAUUACAUUUAUUUUUAUGUUAACAACAAAAUAACACAUAAUAUUUUUUAAAUAAAAAAAAAUGAGAGUAAAGGAGAAAUGAGAUCCAAAUUAAAAAGGAUGUAUAUAUAUAAUUUAUAUGCAAUAAAUAAUAUCUAGGAUUGUAUUUUUAAUUUUUUUUAAAUGUUAAAAUAAAGAUAAUAAAGGCAAUUUAAUUGUUAUUUUAAAAGAAUGGAGUUUAAUAUUUCAAGAAAGCAGUAUAACGAAAAAUAAAAAAUAGUAGAGACAACUAACCUUUUCAUUGGAGAGCACUUCAUCAUUAGUAGAAGUAUUGACACUUCUGGUGUCUUCCAUCCCACAAUCAAUGAUAUGUAACUUUAUGAGAUUGUGAAAAUUCUUGAACAUUGAAGGAGACAAAACACAUCUCUUGCUGAUAUUCUUACCCUUGCAUAUAAUAUAUCUUAGUUGAGGUAGUUUCUCUAACCUUAGGAUUUUUAACUUUGGGAGGAUCCCAAAAUCUAUCUCCUUCAACUUUGGAAGACUUUCUAGAUACAACUCCUCCAAAUUAGGAGAGAAUGAAACCUAUAUGAGAAACACAAAAUACAAUAUGUGACAUCAUCAAUUAUAAAAGUGUAAUAAAUAUAAAAAUAUUGGGUUAAUAUAAUUCAUUAACUCUCAAAUCAUAUACAAACUUUAAUAAUUUUCUUUUUAAAUUUAUUUUUCCUAUUAAUAAUUUCAAUAAUUUCACUUUUAAAUUUAUUGCUAUAUUUAUUUCUAUUAACACUUAACCUUUUUUUAUUUAAAUUAGAAUGAAAUUUACAAUGUUUCUUUUUUGUUAUGUUUUUUAUAUUGAUAUUUAAUGUUUUUAAAAUUAAAAAUUCCAUUUUUAACUUUAUUCUUGUUUUCAACUCCUUUAUAUUUUAUUUUUUAUUCACUAGUUCUUUUUAUUUGUUUUUUUAUUUUUUUGAAACUAAAUAAUAAAAUUAUUAACUUUGAUGGUUAUUUUAAAUCAAGAUUAAUUAUUCUCCUUAUAUGUAAUAAAAUUUGUUUUAAUUAGUUUCCUUGUAUCAAAUAAAAUAUGUUUUGCUCUUUUUUAUUUUCAUCUAACAUCUUAACCCAAUUUUCCCAAAAGUUAUUAAUUUUAACUAUUCUAAAAUUUAAAUAAAAUAUUAUUAUUUCAAUUAAAUUUUCACUAGUUCUCAUUUCUAAUUCUUUGCAAUAUUUCUUUCAAUUAGUACCUAUUUUUUUUCCUUUCUAAAUUAAAGUAAUAACUACCAUUUUUCCUUAUUUUUAUAUUAUUUCUAUUAACAUUUAUCCUUUUUAAAUUAAUUUUUCACUUUAAAAUUUUAUUUUUUUCAACUCAUUUGUAAUUUACUUAUUAUUCACAAUUUUUCUUAUUUUAAAUUAAAUUUUAAAUUAAUUUAAUAAAAUUAUUAUUAAAGAUCAAUGUACUCUUUUUCAUAUUUUUUUUAAAAAAUUAUUUUUAUCGUAUAUCUCCCUAAAUAUUUCAAGUAGUAUAAGAAAAAAUAAAAACAAAUUGGAAAAAACUAACCUUUUCAUCCAAGAGCAUCCCACAAUUAAUGAUACUUAAGUCUUUGAGGUGAUGAAAAUCCUUGAACUUGGAAAAAGAUAAAAGGCGUGGACAAUUACACACACUUAGGAUCUCUAAUCUACGGAAGGAUUCAAGUGAAAGUUGAUGAUGCCAUAUCAUCGUCAACUUGGGAAGACCAUCGAGUGUUAACUCCUCCAAAUUAGGGAAUGAAACCUACAGAGAUACAAUGUAAUACAUAACAUCAUCAAUUAUAAAGUUACGAUAAAUAUAAAAAUAUUCUUUAAACAUAAUUCAUUAACUCUUAAAUAUUCACAUGUUCACUUCUAUUAUAUUUAAAAAAUAUAUAAUUUUACAAGAAACUUUGAUAAAUCAAAUUAAAACGAAUCAUGUUUCAUAAAUGGUGAUCAAGAGCUUUGCUUGGCAAACAAUCAUUCAUUUUCUUUCAUCUAUCAUAGAUAAGUUCUAUAUGCAACCAUUUAUUAUUUCAUUUUAAAUCAUAUACACAUUUUAACAAUUUUAUUUUUAAAUUUAUUUUUCUAAUUUAUGUUUUCAAAUUUAUUUUAUUAUUGAGUCUAUAUUAUAGAUAUUCUCAUACUAAAUUACUUUUAUUUAUCUCUAAUCAUUUAUUUCUCUAUAUUAAAUCAUAUACACUAUUGGAUUAUUUCUUAUAAAUAAAUUCUACUAAAUACUUUAUAAAAUUUAUUUUUUCAAUUAAAAAUUCCUCUAAUUUCCCUUUGCAAUUCCUUGCAAUAUUUAUUCCAACUUGCACCAAUUUUUUCCUUUUAAAUUAAAUAAUACUUACCAUGAUUCCUUAUUUUAUAUUAUUUCUAGUCAUAUUUAUUGCUUUUAAAACUAAAAUUUUGGUAUUAAGUUUUUUUUUUUUCAACUCCUUUAUAAUUUAAUUAUUAUUCACCAUAUUUUAUUAUCUAAAAUUAAAUUUUAAAUUAAUUUGAUAAAUCUAUUAUUAAAUAUUAAUAUAAUGUUCUCAUAAUUUUUUUAUUAUUUUAAUGGAAUAUCUUUUUUCAAUAUUUCCCAAAAUAGUAUAAGGAAAAAAAAUGGAAAAAAACUAACCUUUCCAUCGAAGAGCACUACAUCUUCCCUAGGAGUAUUGAUAUGUUCCUCAUCUUCAACUUUGUUCCCAUAAUCUUGGAUGGAUAGGAAUUUAAGGUUGUGAAAAGCCGUGGAAGAAGAGAAAAGACACCUCACGCUAUCAUUCUUGUCCUCAUCCUCAUUGCACACAACACGCCUCAACUUAGGUAGUGUCCAUAACCAUAAGGAUUCUAACCUUGGGAGAAUCCUAAUAUUUUCAUCAAGUCCUUGAAGAUCAAACACAUGUUUUAGGGCUUCACAGUUAUCUACGUCCAUCUCUUUCAAAUUGUCGAAUCUCUGUAUCAAAUGAGACGGAAUAAGAUUGAGUAGGCAUGGACAAGAGUAAACUUUUAGGAUUUGCAAAUUGUAGAAGGACCCAAGUGGAAGUUGGUGAUGCCAUAUCUCCCUCAAUUUGGGAAGAUUAUGAAGUAUCAACUUCUCCAAAUUAGGGAAUGAAACCUGAAAUAUAAUACAUGACAUCAUCAAUUGGAAAGUUGUGAUUAACAUGAAUAUGUUCCUUUCUUUAAAUAUAAUUCAUCAUCUUCCAAAUAUUAUUCACUUUAAUUAUGUUUUAUGUUUUAAAAAUCUAAAACAAUCAAGGAGGACUAAAAAGAAUCAUGUGAAAAUCUUGGAAAAUUUCACCAAAAAAAUUGACAAGUUAUCAAUGGAGAAUAUAUUGGCUCCACUUCUCACAUAAUAUUAGCUAUUUAAUGGUGUGUUUUUUGUUAUCUUUUUGUUAAAAGAACAUAGGGAUGACUACAAUGUGGCGAAUGUGCAACCAUGGAUUACAUAGAUUCUCGUGCCACAAAUUAUUUUUAUUCAUAGCCAUCAUUUAUUAUUUUAAAUCAUAUGAACUCUUUAAUUUUUUUUUCCUAUUAAUAAAUUCUAAUAAUUUUAUUUUUUCCUUAUUAAUCAUUUUCAAUUUAUUUAUAAAACUUAUAAAACAUUACUAAUAUUUUAAAUUUUUUUUAUUCAAAUUAGACUUUUUCCAGAUAUUGAGUGAAUCCUCAAAUAAAAUAAUUUAUUAAAUUCUCUUCUCAUCCUUAUGUUAUCUCCUUUUAACAAACUUAUAAGGUGCAAUUAGAAAGUGCAUGUGGACUUUACCUAGUUUUUCUUUUGAUUUAUUUAUUAAAAAAAAGGUGAUAUGAAAAAAUAAAAAAUAAAAAAAACUAUGGAAAUUAGCCCUUAAUUAAACUUAAACAUACCUGAUAACUGAAAAAUGGCAUGUGGAUAUCAGGAUUGCCUUGGGAACAUGUUUCUUGCGAUGUCGUUUCCAAAUUAGAGCCGAAGUAGUCGAAAUUCAUGAGCUCUAGUAGAUCCCUAAGUUCCAAAAGUCGUAAUUUAGGGAGCAGUUGCAAGUCGGUCCCAACAUGAUCAACUUCUUUUAUUUCAAACUCCCCUUCACAUUCGAUUAUUUGUUGCAUGGCAUUGCAAUCAUUUAUUGUCAUUUCUUCUAGUUGGGAAAGGCCUCUAGCUGUGGAAAGUAAGAAGGGAAAUUUCAAUCCAUGACAUUUCUCCACAUCUAAAAUUUUCAAGUUAUCCAACGACCUUAGGGGAAUUGGGCCACGACAUACUUCUUCCAAAUUACUCAACUUUAGUUCUUCAGUUUUCUUCAACAACUUUCCAAUUCCAUCCCUCAAAAGUAAGCUUCUAUCAACCUGUUCCAGCUUUAAUGUUUUUGAUGUUCUAUAAUUUCUUUCCCAUGAAUAAACUCUGCCAGCAAAUAUUGCAUAUCUUGUCAAGUUCUCAAAGAACAUGUCUUCUUUUGGUAGCAACUCGACAGCUGGCACUUCUAUCUCUAUAGUUGUCAAAUUGCGCAAAUGAUUCAGCUCCGAUAAACAAGCAUUGCUUUCUCCAUCACUAAUUCCUUCAGCUGCCCAUUGAGUAAAGCUAGAUUUCAUGCACAAACAUUCUAAUCGAGACAAGCUUAAUAAGAUAUUUCGUGGAAUUACUUCAAGCUGCUUACAAUCAUUCAAAUCCAACAACCUUAGAUUCGUCAACUGCCCCAUUUCACUAGGCAGUUGUUGGAUAUCGGAACCCACCAUGCUAAGAACUUGUAGUUUCUUUAGCUCUCCAAUUAGAGCUAUGUCUCCCAACUCACACCGGUCUAGACGUAAUGUUCGAAGAUUUGGAAGGGAAUGAAGCGUUGAAGGUAGUGUUGUGAAAUGCAUUUCAGACAAGUCUAAAACUUUGAGUAGGUUCAUCCCUUCAAAAAAUGUGUGUGGGAUUUUCAAGGAAGGACCGUUCUGCAAUAGUAAAAAUUGAAGUUUCGGACAUACCAACCUGUGAGGAAGCUCAUACACAUCUUUGCAAUUUAAAGAGAUGUAUUUGGAUCCAUCAGUCUCUGACCAUUCUUCACCGUCUUCUCUAACUACAAAUCGAUGAGGAUCCUUGGAUGCAAUAUUUCUGGCAACAUCACGAACAACAUCAUGCAUCCUGACAGACUUGUUAUCAGCAUCCAUGAAAAGCAACCUCGAGGCUCCUCCUCCAAAAGGGUUUAUAUGAUCUUCACCGUCAAGUAACAAGCUUGAGGCUUUGAGGGUUCUCACCAAUGUAACUAGUUUAUUUCUUGCUUGCUCCAAUGACUUGAUGUGGUCAAACAAAUCCAAACCCAUAGCAUACCUUAACAAGCGAUCCAUUGAAAUAUCACCAUAGCUCAACCAACCACAAAGUAAGAACAAUGACUUGACUUCAUCACCUUUCAAAUGCUUGUAGCUCCACUUCAGACAUCCGUAGACCUUGUCAUCCACUCCGCCGAUGUUUGUUGGCGCAGCACUCCUCAGUUCGUCCAAAGCAUUCUCCCAUACAGCCACACUUUCAUCUUUUAAUGCAUUUGCAAUUGUUACAAUUGCAAUUGGUAGACCCUCACAUUCGUUAACUACCUCAAUUGCUAUGGGUCGCAGUUUAUCCCCCUCCACAGAAUCACCUGCUGUCUUCUUAAAUAAAUGCCAAGCUUCCUCUUUUGGUAGAUGUUGAAGUGGAAAACACUCUUUUGCGCCCAUGUCUUUGCGUAAUAGGUCUUCAUUUCUAGAAGCCAACACUAUUUUGCAUCCUUUCUGGUCAUCUUUAGAAGGAAUUCCAACUUCCUCCAAACUAACUUCCUUCCAAAUGUCAUCUAAGAUGAUAAGGAUCUUUUCUUUCUGCAGUCUCUGCUUCAGUUCAACUGCUCUUGUGGAUUCGUCCUUCCCCUUAAAUUCCAAGCCUAACAUGUCUGCAAUUUUUUGUUGAAUUUUAGCAAUUCCAUCUUGAAGUUUUUCCGAAUCUCGAGUCCAGGAUACAUCUAUGUAGACUCGUGUGGUGAACAGCUUCUCAUCUUCAGCUAGUUGGGACGCUUGUUUGACCAGCGUGGUUUUGCCCACACCGCCCAUGCCCCAUACCCCAAUCUUGUUGAUCUCAUCAUCUCUUAAUGCAUCCAUAACUUUGUUCACAGUCGAGGCUCUUGACUCAAAAGGUUCAUAAUUUUUAAAGGUUACAUUCCGUAGAGGGACACGAUAUGAUACGCCAUCGGGGAAAUUGCGGUCUUCUUGGACUUCAACAAUAACCUGCGCCUUCUUGUCUGCUUCCCUGCUUAGCAGGUACCGUGACUUGAGAUUAGGACACCACCCAUGGAAACAACUCUUGUUUUCAUCUUUCUUCAAUUCCUCUGCCUCCCCUGUAACCUCAUCUACCCGAUUCAGCCACUCCUGAACAAUAGGUCUGAUUUCAUCCCCUCUUCUCCUAGCUUCAUCAACAGUUAUCAGCACGUCAUCCCUCGCCUUCCCCAGCUUCUGAGCUUUGUUGUGGAGUUCAUCGGUAUAGCUCCGAUAGCAAAACAGAUAACCAAGAUGGCGUCCAAUUGGAGCAACCAAGUACUCUGAAACUUUUGCAGCAACGGCAUUAAUGAUCUCUGUCAUUUCGUCUCAGUUGGAUUUGUAUUUUUUUUUUUUUUUUUUUGGUGUGUGUGUGGUUUUGUUGGGAAAACAGAAUGGAAAUAAUGAAAAAAACAGAAACAAAUCAAAGCAGGAGCAAGAGGAAACUAAAAUAAGAGAGCGGAAGAAAUGGAAGGAACAGUGUAUUUGUUACAAGCAGAGAGACGGUCACCAACAAAAUGAAAAGCAGAAUCAGUAGCGAAUAUGAGUGAAGGUAGAAAAAAUGACAAAGAAGUAGGGAGUGAAGAGAUGGAGAAAGCUCAAGGAGUGCAUGCAAUUUGAUUCAGUGUGACAAAACGAGAGCAAAGGAAGUUGGUAUUUUGCAAGCAGAUCCUGAUGUAAGGCCGAAUGUGAAGAGUAGAUUACCAAGCUAUGAAGACAGAGGGUGGUUUUUUGUUUUUUUUUUGGAAUUUGGUUUUGUUGGAAAACAGAUGGGAACUGAGAAAAUAAGAGGAAAUUAAGAAGGAAAUGAAAAUAAACAAGGAAAUGAAAGGAGCAGAGUUUGGGUUCCAAACAGAGAGACGGUGAAGGAAACAGAGGUGAACGAGAGCCAAGUUAGGAAUGGAUGAUAAAACGGGAAAGAGGUAGUGAGUCGAAGAGAUGGGGAAAGACAAGGAUUAAGCAACAGCAACAAAGAAGAGAGUGGUAUUGCAAUUAGGUAUGGAAAGGAGCACACUACUUUUUAACUUGGGGUGUUAUUAAUUUAAUUUUCCUUAGAAGAUUUCACUCCACAAAUCAUAAGUGUAAUUUUCUUUACAAAUAUUUCAUUACUAAUCAUUUAAAAACCUUUUUACAACUUUAGAAGAGAUGGUUGCAAUUUUUAAUUUUCCAUUAAAGAAUAUGUAAGCAUUGUAGCUUUAUGUUCUCAAAUCUGCUUGCAUGAAAAAAAAAUCAAAUUUUCCAUAUACUAAAUUUAUAACUAUAUCUACACAGUGAUGUAAAUAUUUGAGGACAUAGUGGAUUUAAAAAAAAAAACGUUUUUAAUUGUAACAUUAAAUAAUAAAUAUUUUUAAGUAUUACAAAACUAACGUUUUUGUAAAUUUUUUUUUACUAUUAACGCUUUUAAAGAGAAUCAGCCUAAUGAAAUGUAAAUUAAAGCAAAAUGGAAAUUGAAUGAGCCUGUCAUGUCAUGCUUGCAUUUUCAAACCAAGACAAAAAUCUGCAGCCGCCCACGGCCUUCAAUUAUUAUUAUUAUUACGAUGGGACCAUGUACAGAUGUACAGAAAAAGGCUUCCAUUAUUGACGUGAAUCGGUGAAAACAGCUGUAGCAAUGAACAAAGUAGAAAAAGAUGCAGACAUAUGAAUCAUGAUGUGACUUGUGAGCUGUGAAUGACUACAAUACUUAUUUGAAUGAUAUGGGACCCACAGCCAAUUCAAUAUUCUGGGACGGCUUUGGUUGGAUUUUUUACGAGGGCACCAUCAUUUUAAAAAAUAUUUUUUAGUAGAAAAAUUAAUUUUAAAUUUAUAAAUAAGUAGAAAAGAAAAAAUUAAAAAUGGUUAUUUUUUUUAAAUCUUUUUUGCAAAGGAUGAUUUUUUUAAAAAAAAUUAUAACAAAAAAAUAGUCUGGAAAUGAGUUUUUUAAUUUCUUUUAAAAAGAAUUAUAAACUAAUAUAGUCUAUGGAGAGAUGAUUUUGGAAAAAAAGAAAUUUAAGGGACACAAAUAUCAAAGACAAAUACCUUGACUCUUGAUUCAUUUAGAGACAAUUGUGUUUUGGAUAUAGUUGAGUUCAAAAAUUAAUUUUUAAUUCAUAUAAGUUUUAGAGAAAGUGUAAAAAUUAAGAAGAAUAAUAUGAAUGUUUUAUCUUUCCAAAAAAUGAUCUUUAUUGACUAUAAAAAAAAAAAGUAGAAAAACAUUAAUUUAAAUUUUAUUUUUUUUUGUAAACCUCAAUAAAAUUUAAUUUAAUUUAGUGAUUUGAAAAAAAAUACACACUUUUUCCAAAAAAAUAAAAAUAAAUUAUUAUUAUUAUUAUUUACAAAUAAAACAUCUUGGAAAAUAUAUAUAUUUUUAAAAUUGUAUAUGUAAAAAAUAACUAAAAAUAUGUCAAAAUUAUUUUGUUAAAUGAUAUAUUUAAAAAAAAUUAAUUUUCUAAAAUUAAUAAAUUUUUAGAAUAAUUAUUAAAAAAAUUUAAGAUCAAAUUUUUUUCAAAUAUUAUGGUAAAAAAUACUCAAAAUAGUUUUAAAGGGUAUAUUGAUAUCUUUACAUUUUAUAUCAUUUUCAUUAAUUAUGUGAUUUUUAUGGACUAAAUUUUAAUUUUUGGAUUACCUAGUUCCAAAACGCAAUUUUCCCAUUCCUUUUACAUGAACUAUUAUUGUGUGUAAAGGGCUCCCAUCACUAGACUCAAUCAAUGAAAGCCACCGUAGCAAUGGAUAAAAUAUAGAAAAAGACAAACACAUAUGAAAUCACGAUCAGUGACUUUAAAUUCCAUCGUGUGCCAUUCAUCGGCUGCAUGUGAAUAUAUUGUAACUCAUUCAAGUUUCAGUGACUUUUACAAAAACAAUUAUUAUUAUUAUUAUUGUUGUAAAUGAAGAGUGGUGAAUGACCACAUUGAUGGUCAUUAUGAACUCCAUUUACUCAUCUUUAAGAUAAGUAAUGGGAGUUCAUAUUAUGAAGCCUAUAAAAGGCUUCUUACACCCCAUGUAAGAGCAUCCCGAGAAAAAGAAAGAAAAGUUCUUUCUCUCAUUCUCUCUCUCUCUCUCUUUCCUUUAUUUUCUCAACUCUCUUCUUUGAUUUCUUCUUCCCUAUUAUACAUCAAAGUAAGAUAUACUUCAUCUCUAUUACUUUAAUUUGCAUUGUAUUUAUCCUUAUUUUAUAACACAUUAUCAGCACGAAUUGCUCUGAAAGUAAUUCUCAUAUCUUAAACUUGAAGUUAUUUAUAUAGAAUAAAAUUUUACAUAUUUAUAUUAUUGAUGAUUUGUUUUGUUACAUAUUGUUAAAAGUUAUAAACAGAUUAUUUGAUUUUGUUUAUAAUCAAAGUUAUACUAAUGUUAUCAAGUUAUUAUAAUUGAUUCUAAUAAUAUUGUUUUGUCAUAUAUAUGAAGUCAUUUGACAAUGUCAAAUCUCACAAAAUUCGAAUUUGUGGCACUUGACAUUUCGAAAAAGAACUAUCUAUCUUGGAUCCUUGAUGCUAAAAUACAUUUUGAUGCAGUGAAUCUUGGAGUUAUGAUCAAAGAAGGAAAUCAAGCAUCCCUGCAGGAUUGCGCAAAAACAAUAAUUUUCCUUUGUCAUCAUCUCCAUGAAGAUUUAACAAAAAAUGAGUUUUUGAUGAGAAAUCACCAAUCUCGUCCAACUAGAUUUGAAUCAUUCCCUGAAAUGAAUGCAAUAUCGUUCCAAAAUCAUGGACGUAGACGAGGACGAGGACAUGGUUGUGGUCAUGGAAGAAAUCCCCGAUACCAUGGUUCUUAUAAUAAUAAUUCUCAUAAAAUGAAAGUUUCAUUGCACCACUAGAAGUGGAACAAUAUUGAUGCAAAACAAGAAAAUGAUAAUUGUUUACAAGAUAAACCUCCUAAGAACCAUGAAAAUAAUUGUUAUAGAUGUGGUAUGAAGGGGUAUUGGUCGCGUACCUGUCGUACGCCCAAACAUUUGGUCGACCUUUACCAAGCAUCAAUAAAAGCAAAAGGAAAAGAGAUAGAGAUGAACUUUACCGAUGGUGAUGGAUUGAACCUAACCUACUAUGACAUUGAUUUCUUUGGAAGUCCCAAUGAAAAAAAUAAACCAUUUGAUAAAUGAUGAGAAAAUUAACAUUGAUUGAUGUUACUUUGUAUAUGAAAUAAUAUAUUAUUAUGUCUUAUAUUUACAUUUGAUUUUCUUUUGUUAUUUACAUUAUGCCUUGUUUAUAUGAAAUCCAUGUGUUGUUUAGUCUCAAGAUGAAUGAGGAUGAUGUAUGUCUCACAGACUGUGUGACCACGCACAUAAUUCUUCGAGAUAAAAGAUAUUUUCUCGAAUUGACAUUAAUAAAAGCUAAUGUAAGUACCAUAUCCAGUACUACAAACUUAGUUGAAGGCUUUGGAAGAGCAAACAUAAUGUUGCCAAAUGGAACUAGAUUCCAUAUAAAUGACGCUUUAUAUUCUAGCAAAUCCAGAAGAAAUUUGCUUAGUUUUAAAGAUAUCUGCAGAAAUGGAUAUCAUAUUGAAACUAUGAAUGAAGAUAAUGUAGAAUAUCUUUACAUUACUUCCAUUAUAUAUGGCCAGAAGCUUAUAAUGGAAAAACUCCCGGCUUUCUCUUCUGGAUUGUAUCAUACAACUAUAAAGCCUAUUAAAUCAUGUGUUAUCGUGAACCAGAAGUUCAAUGACCCAAAAGUUUUUGUCCUUUGGCAUGACAGGCUUGGUCACCUAGGGUCUUCAAUGAUGCGUCGAAUAAUUGAACACUCACAUGGGCAUCCACUAAACAACCAGAAGAUUCUUUCGCCUAAUGAAUACUCAUGUGCUGCCUGCUCACAAGCCGAUGUUUUUAUAGCCCGCUUUGCGGAUUGUCAUUUUAAUGAGAGUGUUUUCCCGCCAUUAGGGGGAGAAAAAUAGAUUCCUGAAGAACGACGAGAAAUUAGUUGGAAGACAUCUACUCUGACUUAUCUUGAUCCUCGUACAAAUCAAUAUGAACUAGAAGUUUAAAGGAUCAUUCAUUUGCAAAAUCUUGCAAAUCAAUUACCAGAUGCAUUCAUUGAUACAAAGAAAGUAACAAAGUCGCAUAUCUCGGCUGCAAAUACUCCAGUACGGAUUGAUGUCCCUAUAGGAUAGUUAACAAAUGAAUCUAAGAUACGCUUGAAGCAUGGUAGAUUUGUCAGCUCAAAGGAUGUAACUCCUCGGAAGAGGAGAACCCAAGAAAAAAUUGGCACUCUAUAAGAGGCUAUCAAAAUGACUGAUCAGAUUAAAAUUGAUAAAUCUAUAGCCCCAAAAGAGGCACAAAUAAUGUAGAAAGCUCCUGAAGAGGCACAUAUUGAAUGAGAAGCCCCUGAAGAGGCAUAGGUACCUGAAAAUUGUGAGAUCUCAGUAAGUUAUAUAUACACGGGAGAAAAAUGAGAUCGAAAUAAUAUUGUUAUUAACAAUUUUUUUGCUUUCCAAGUGGCCUCUAAUAUCAUAAGAAAUGAUGAAGAUCCUGAACCACGAAAUAUGGAAGAAUGUAGACAUAGAAAUGAUUGGCCAAAAUGGAAAAAAGCUAUACAAGCAGAGUUAAACUCUAACAAAACGGGAAGUUUUUGGACCUGUUGUCCAAACACCUGAAGAUGUAAAGCUUGUUGGGUACAAAUGGGUAUUUGUACGAAAGUGCAAUGAGAAAAAUGAGAUCAUAAGAUAUAAAGUGCAAUUAGUAGCACAAGGUUUCUCACAGAGACCUGGUAUUGACUACGAAGAAACAUAUUCUCCCGUCAUGGACGCAAUCACAUUUCAUUUCUUAAUUAGUUUGACAGUCUCAGAAUGACUGGAUAUGCGUCUCAUGGAUGUUAUUACAACAUAUUUAUACGGAUCCAUGGAUAAUGAUAUAUACAUGAAAAUCCUUGAAGGAUUUAAAUUGCCUGGAGAAAAUAGUAUAAAGCCUUAUAGAAUGUACUCAAUCAAGUUACAACGAUCCUUGUAUGGAUUAAAGCAAUCUGGACGCAUGUGGUACAAUCACCUUAGCGAAUACUUGCUAAAAGAAGGGUAUGUGAAUAACCCUAUAUGCCUAUGCAUCUUCAUUAAGAAAUCAGAAACCAGAUUUGCAAUUAUUGCAGUGUAUGUUGAUGACUUAAAUCUUGUUGGAACUCCUAAAGAGCUCACAAAAACAAAAAAUUACUUGAAAAAGGAAUUUGAGAUGAAAGAUCUUGGAAAAACAAAAUUUUGUCUCGGCCCGCAGAUCGAGCAUUUUCCAAAUGGAGUUUUAGUACAUCAAUCAACAUAUAUUAAGAAAGUUUUGAAGCGUUUUUAUAUGGAUAAAGCGCAUCCUUUAAGUUCUCCAAUGGUUGUCCGAUCACUUGAUGUGAAAAAGGACCCAUUUCGUCAUUGCGAAAAAAAUGAAGAGUUACUUGGUUCUGAAGUACCAUAUCUUGGUGCUAUUGGUGCACUUAUGUAUCUUGCCAAUUGUGCACGCCCCGACAUUGCUUUUUCUGUCAAUUUAUUAGCAAGAUAUAGUUCCGCUCCAACUCGAAGACAUUGAAAUGGUAUCAAACAUAUAUUGGGUUAUCUUUGCGGGACUACUGAUAUGAGUUUAUUUUACUCAAGGGAAUCAAAACAACAAUUGCUUGGAUAUGCAGAUAUAGGAUAUCUUUCAGAUCCACAUAAAGGUAGGUCACAAACAGGGUAUGUGUUUAAUUGCAAUGGUACUGCUAUUUCAUGGAGAUCUGUCAAACAAACAAUGAUGGUCACAUCAUCAAAUCAUUCAGAAAUACUGGCAAUUCAUGAAGCAAGUCAUGAAUGUAUAUGGCUAAGGUCUAUGAUUCAGCAUAUUCGGGAAUCAUAUGGACUCUCUUCUAUCAAAGAUGACCCGACAAUAUUAUUUGAAGAUAAUGCUGCAUGCAUUGCACAAAUAACAGGGGGUUAUAUUAAAAGAGAUAGAACUAAACACAUUUCACCAAAAUUCUUUUAUACACAUGAACUCCAAAAGAGUGGUGAAAUUGAUGUGCAACAAAUACACUCAAGUGAUAAUCUAGCAGAUUUAUUCACAAAAUCAUUGCCAACCUCAACAUUCAAGAAGUUAAUACACAAGAUUGGAAUGCGUCAACUCAAGGAUAUUGACAUGAGGGGGAGUAAGCUUGUAAAAGGGUGUUAGUGUACUGUACUCUUUUUUCCUUCGUCCAGGUUUUGUCCUACUGGGUUUUAUUGGCAAGAUUUUUAGCGAGGCAAUCCUAAUAUACCAAGAAAAGAAUAUUGUACUCUUUUUCCUUCGCUAGGUUUUUCCUAUAUGGUUUUUUACUAGCAAGGUUUUAAUGAGGCAUAUUCUUUUAAUAUAGUGGUCAUCCAAGGGGGAGUGUUGUAAAUGAAGAGUGGUGAAUGACCACAUUGAUGGUCAUUAUGAACUCCAUUUACUCAUGAGUAAUGGGAGUUCAUAUUAUGAAGCCUAUGAAAGGCUUCUUACACCCCAUGUAAGAGCAUCCCGAGAAAAAGAAAGAAAAGUUUUUUCUCUCAUUCUCUCUCUCUCUCUUUCUUUCAUUUUCUCAACUCUCUUCUCUGAUUUCUUCUUCCCUAUUAUACAUCAAAGUAAGAUAUACUUCAUCUCUAUUACUUUGAUUUGCAUUGUAUUUAUCAUUAUUUUAUAACAAUUAUUAUUUUAUAUUGUUUCAUCAAGUUUAUUAGUAUUAUUAUGUUGAUAUUCGGUUGGUGGUUAGGAUUGGAUAGGUUAUAAAUAUUUUAAAAUAUUAAUAAUAAUAACCUAAAAUAUUACAUCAUAUAACUUAUAUCAUAUUGGAUAUGUAAUAAGUCGUAAGUUAAAGAAAUAAAAAUUAGAUUGAACAACAUCUCAUAUUAAUUUUAAUUUUUCUUUUAAAAUAAGAAUAAGUGAUAUUAAAACUCUAUGAAAACUCUCUUAAUUUAUUUCUCUUUUUUAAAAGUUUUGAUGUCAAAAAUUUUAAAAUUAUUUCCUAAUUACUUUUUAAAUUUGAUAACAAAAAGUUAAGAAUAAAGGUAUAAAAUUUGUUUGAUACCUAAUUUAAUAAAAAGUAAAUGGAUAAUUUAACGCUCAACUCGCCUUUUUCUUAUCAAACCAACAAUGUGGGUGACAUCAAAUAUUUCAUAAAAAAAUAAUAAUUAUUAUUUUUUAAAUAACAAAACAAAUUAUAACCACCAAAUAUAUUUAAUAUUUAUAAAAACUAAAAGAAUAAAUAAAAUUAUUUAUUUAUUUUUUAAAUAUUAUAAAAAUAUUUCUUAUCUAUUAAUUCUAUUUAAUCAUAUUGCUUUAUGAUUAAUGAUUUGCGUGUAUUUAGGCAUUUUUAACAAAAACAAAUGUUUUUCAGCCUUGGAUUCCUGGCAUGGAGCAUGGAUUAUUAUAAUUAUUGUGAAAAGUAGUGGAAGCCAUACUGCCUGUAUAUAAAAACAGAUGCAAGUGGAAAACAGGUCUCCAUGACUUAUAAUAUGAGGAUGGGGCUGCCUUUUCCAUGAAUCAAAUCUCAAUAACCGAUUCCAUUGUCUGCCAUUAUUCACCUGCAUCUCACUCUCACAACUCAAAUCUAGACUCAGGUUCACACGCCUUAAUAUCUUGCCACAAAACCCUACAUAAUACUAAUAUAUACUAGUAAUUAGAAUUUACAGUGACCGUGUAAAAUAAGUUUGUAGAGAGACAAGCCAUGUGCAUUGCACUAAUAGAAAAUGACUGAAAAUUAAUAUAAUUCAGAGAGCGAGAAGGCCCAUGUGAAUUGCAUCAAUAGAAAAAUAGUUGAAAAUAAAUAUAAUUCAGUCUCCGGAGCGAAGCCCCAUGCGAAUUGCAUUAAUCGAGAAUAUAAUUCCAAGGCCGCCCCAUGUGCAUUGCAUUCAUAGAAAAAGAGAGUGCAAGACCUGGUCUGCUUUGCAUUAAUACAAAAAUGACCCAAAAUUAAUAUAAUGCCUAAGUGCCCUAAUCUCUAUUCUUUAUUAAUAUUAGUUAUUAGAUUUUACUUCAAAGUAUGUAAAACAAGUUUGUCCAAUUAAACCGUAAGGUUACACUUCAUUGACAUGAUUGGAUAAGAUAGAAUAUAUAUAUAUAUAUAUAUAUAUAUAUAUAUAUAUAUCAUAGGAUAUGUAUAUUUUAUGAUAUGAUUUUCAAUAGGUUAUGUAUCUCAUUGGAUAUACAUAUCAUAUGAACAUGAUAUUUUAAUAUAGCAUAUCAAAUAAGAUAUGUUAUAUUAUAUUUAUAUUUUAUUUAUAAAAUAAAUAAAAAAUAAUAUGAAAUAUAUAUCAUUUUCAAUAUUUAAAAUAAUAAUUAUAUCACAUUCAAAUAUUUAAAUAAUGGAAAAUUUAUUAUGUUUAACAAUAUUCAUGAUUAAAAUAUUUAAACUUAAAAAAUAAUUUUUUUAUAUAAUGUUAUUUAAUAUAUAAAAAUAAUUUAUAUAUCAUAUAUUAAUAUUAUUUUAUAAAUAUUUUUUGUUAGUUUUUCUUUUUAAUAAAAAAUUUAAUUUAUAAUAAAAAAAAUUUUGUAAUAUGAGUAUAUUAAAAAAUAAAAAAUUGAUAAAAAUAAAAAAUUGAUAAAAAUAAAUAAAUUUUUUAUAUAUGGGAUAUUUAUAUCUCAUAUCUUACCAUGAGAUUAAUAUAUCCCAUGUGAAAAUGAUGAAAAAAAAAGAAGGUGGAUAAUAUAUCUCAUUACUUAUCUUAUCUCAUAUUUGGUUGAAUAUAAGAUAGAAUAAGUAAUGAGAUAACUUAUCUUAUUCCAUCACCAAUCAAACAUAAGAUAGGAUAUAAUAUCCCCUUUCCUAUCCUAUCUCAUGCUAUAUUUGGUUAACCGUCUAAGUUCACUAAGUUUCUACUAUUCAUUAUUAUUAAUUUUUUUUUUUUUGCAUAUAAUUAAAUUUUCCUUACAUAAAAACACUAUUACAGAUUUGUUCUCCAAAAAGAUCCAUAUUUUGGGGAAAUAUGUAAACUAUCUUAUUUGCAUAGAGGGAGCUAUAAAGAAGAACACCAAAUUGUCACACAUGAUGGCUCAUUGGAGAUGAUAUUAAAUCAAUCACAUGCAAAAAUUUAUUUCUAUAAACCAAAAAUGAGUUGCAUCAUUAACUUAAUUUUCCUUCACCAUUCCACUCCAUAGACCAUAAACCAAGAAUAAGUUGUAUCAUUAAUUUAAUUUGCCUUCAAAAUUCCACUCUAUAAACUAUAAACCAAAAAUGAGUUGUAUCAUUAAUUUAAUUUUUUUUCUUCUAAAGAUUCCAUUAUUGAUCAUUUAAGAACUUUUUACAAUUUUAAAUGAGAUAAUUGCAAUCUUUAUUUUUUUAUUAAAAAAUAUUAAACAAUAUGUAAGUAUGUAUCUUCAUAUUUUCAAACUUUCAUUUAAGAAAUUUAUGACUCAAAUUUCUAAAAUUAAGAGUGCUUCCCAAUUACAAUUCUCCAUCCCUCAACCUAGAACUUCAUCCACCCGAUGGAUGUAAUUUCAAAAUAGAAUUAAUUUGAAAGUGGUUUUUGUUAAUUUAUAACACUUUUUGUUAGUGAUAAAGGGAAUCACUCUAAUAAUAUAUAUUUUUUGGAUUAACAAAUGAAUUCAUAAAUGAAAUAUAAAAUUUAUUUUUAUAACCAAAAUUUUAUUCCCUUACCCUGCUUUGCACAUUUUCUUUGGUUUUUUUCAUUGAUUUUAGUGGGCUUUACGCUAAGUUGCAGGUGUGGGUGUAGAGGAAAUGGAGGUGGUGUAAGUGGGUUGUAACACCCCAAAAUAAACUUUAGGGACAAAAUAGUAAAUUAUAAAUUAAUUAAUUAAUUAAACUCAUUAAAGGUAAAAAAUUCAUUUUACAAUUAAUAAUCCUAAAUAUAAAUUAGAUUGGGACAAUUAUGUUUUGGGCCUAGUUGGGCCAAAAAAUUAAGUUUUGGUCCAUAUAAGUUCACCAUUCAAGCCCAAGACCUAGAAAAAGUGUGAAAAUUGAGAAAAAUAUAUGAAUUUUUUAUUUUUCCAGAAAUAACCUUUGCUCUAUGGAAAAAAAAUAGAAAAACAUUAAUUUAAAUUUUAUUCCUUUUGUAAACCUCAAUAAAAUAUAAUAUAAUUUAGUGAUUUGAAAAAAAAUACACCAUUUUCCAAAAAAAUAAAAAUAAUUUAUUAUUAUUAUUAUUUAAAAAUCAAACAUCUUGGAAAAUAUAUAUUUUUAAAAUUGUGUAUAUAAAAAAUAACUAAAAAUGUAUCAAAUUUAUUUUUAAAAAAUGAUAUAUUUUUAGAAUAUAUUUUUAAAAAAAUUAGUUUUCUAAAAAUAAUAAUUUUUCAGAAUAAUUAUUUAAAAAAAUUAAGAUAAAAAAGUUUGUCAAAUAUUAUGGUAGAAAAUAGUUUUGAAGGGUAUAUUGGUUUUUUCAAACUCUAUAUCCUUCUCAUCAAUUAUUCAACUUAUAUGGACCAAAACUUAAUUUUUGGGCCCAACUGGGUAAAAAAAAACAUUGUCCCAAUUCGAUUUUCCUUGUCUUCUUUAUUUAGAAAACUCUAUUGAUAAAAAAUCAGAGAAUUGGAGAACGUAUGGUUAAAGGUUUGAAGGUGUAGAGUUUAAAGUUAAUAUUUUUUGAGGUAAGAUUUUAACCCUAGAUUAAUAUAUUUCUUUAGUUAGUUUUGAACACAUUAAAUAUUCUUUAGAAAAUUUUAAUUUAGAUUAGGUUUAGUUUAUUUAAUUUAUUUUAAAAUCAAAAUAUUGAAAUUAUGAAUAUAGGUUAUUUCAUUAAUGAAAAUAGGGAAAUUUGAAAUUUUUUUUAGAUGAAUAAAUCUAAACAAUGAAAUUUUAAAAAUUAAAUGAGUAAAUAAAUAUAUAAUUAUAUGUGGCUUAAAGGAUUAGAAAAUAAUAAGCAGAAGAAUUGCAUGUUUUUGAGGCAUUGUGUUGGGGAGACCAAAAACUUUAAAAAAAAAAAAAAAAAUCAAUAUGUAACCAUGAGAGGUAAAGUGUGGUAGUGGAAUAAAUUAAAAUAAUAAUAAUGAGUAGAGUUGGUGGGGUUGUUAAAGUUGUUAAAAGUACAUGGGGUAUUUUGUUAAGUAAGAAAGGACAUUGGGAUUAAUAAAAAUAAUGAUAAUGAUAAUAAUAAUAAUAAUAAUAAUAAUAAUAAUAAUAAUAAUAAUAAUAGUAAGAAUUGUAUGAUUUGGAUGUUUGUGAGUGACGUACAAUAAGGUUGUUCGGUAUUGAAAAAUAUAGUAAUAAUAAUAGUAAUUGUUUUUAAUAAAAGUUUUAAUUUAGUUUAAGUAUACAAAAGAAAUAAAUUGUUAGGAUAAGAUUUGGAAGAAAUAUGAGUUUAUAAAAAAUUUAGAAAUUAAUUAAAUUAUAUUAUUAUUGUUUAAGAAGUUGAAAAAUAAUAUUGGGUGGUAAUAAUAUUAGCAUGUGAAAUUAAUUAGGAUCCUUAAUAUUAAAUAAAAUAUUUUUAGGAUUGUCAAAUUUUUAUCUUUAAAUAAUUGUAUAUAAUAUUAUGUUAGGCGAUGAAUAAAUUCGUCAAGUUAAAUACUUCGAGUUUUUUUUUUUUUUUUUGGUUUUAAAGUAAAGUUAAGAAGAAAGUGAAGUUUGGCAAAAAAAAAAAUGAAAGAGAUGGAUUUGAGUUAGGACAAUUUUUCUUUAGAUGAUAAAAGUGAUAUAAAUCAUCUCAUAAGGAUACAAAACUUUAUAAAUUGAUAUGAAGCAUUAUUAAAUAGAUUCAUCUCAUAUCUCUAUAUAUAGUUGAAUCCUUUUUUUUUUUUUAAUAAAUAAAAUUUUUAUAUAAAAAGAUCAAAUUGCUCUUCAGCUUCUAAAUUCCACCUCUCCUAAACUCUAAUUUCAUUCUUCUCCUAUUUCAUCUUCAUCCUUAAAUCCUUUUUUUUCUUAUACUAAAAUAAAAUUUUUAAAAAUGGAAAAUCGCUAAGGGUGGCAUAGCUAAGCCUAUGAUCACAAUUGCAACUGUGACUAUAGCACUACGUCAUCCCAAAUUGUUUUUUUUUUUUCAAUAUUAAGAAAAUUUGAUGACGAUGAUGAAAAAGGGGGGUGGCCUUUUUUUUCUUAUACUAAAAUAAAAUUUUUAAAAAUGGAAAAUCGCUAAGGGUGGCAUAGCUAAGCCUAUGAUCACAAUUGCAACUGUGACUAUAGCACUACGUCAUCCCAAAUUGUUUUUUUUUUUUUUCAAUAUUAAGAAAAUUUGAUGACGAUGAUGAAAAAGGGGGGUGGGGGGGGGGGGGGGGGGGGCGGCGGGAGAAAAUGGAAAAGAAAAAGGUGUUAGGGUUUUGGAGAAGUGGGUGAGUUGAGGAUGAAGAGGAUAUUUUGGGUAUUUCAUAUAUAUAUAUAUAUAUGAAAGAAAGUCUAACUUUAAUAUUAUAAAAAAAAGGCAAAUUAUCUAAAUUUAUACAACUUUAAUUAAGGAGAGUCUAACUUUUCCACUUUCAUCUUUGGUAAACCUAAAUUAAAAUUAUUUUAUAGAAGAAAAUAUCUUUCAUGGACUCUCAUCUUAUCCCCCUUCCACUUUAAUCCAUCUUUAUAUAGUUUUAUUCAUCAUUAUUUAUCUUCAUUUUUGAAAAGCGAAUUGAUAGAGCACAAUGUUUAAGUGGCUUCACAAUGGUUUGGCCACUAUGGUUUGUCUUUUUUAAAUCCUUUGUAGUUUUUGUUUUAAAGUAGAGCUAAGAAGAAAGUGAAGGUUGGAAAAAAAGGAAAAAGAUAGACCAUUAUGCCUAAGUGUCCCCCAUAAUGGUUUUUUCAUUUUUUAUUUUUUAUUUUUUAUUUUUUUAUUUUUAUGAAGUAAAGCUAAAAAGAAAAUGAAGUUUGACAAAAAGAGAAAAACAUGGAUUUGAGUUGGGACAAAUUUUCUUUAGGUGAUAAAAGUGAUAUAAAUCAUCUCAUAAGAAUAAAGGAUACAUAACUUUAUAAAUUGAUAUGGAGCAUUAUGAAACAUAUUCAUCUCAUCUCAUCAUUUUUUUUCCAUAAAUAAAAUUUAUAUAUGAAAUGAUCAAAUUUCUCUUCAACUAUCUAAACUAUAAUCUCAUUCUUCUCUUCUUUCAUCUUCAUCCUCAAUUUUUUUUCCUUAUAGUAAAAUAUAUAUAUAUUUUAAAGAAAGAAAAAUCAGUUAGGGUGGCACAACCAAUCCUAUUAUAGGUGACCGACAAUAAAGCCUAACCGUGUAGCUGUGAUCACAAUUGCAAUUGUGACUAUAAAAUUGCAUCAUCCCAAAUUGAUUUUCGAUUCUUGUUAAGAACCUUGUCAGUAAAACCCAAUGAGACAAAACUUGAAUAAAGAAAAAAAAAGUGCAAUUUAUCGAUAUCAAUAUUCUCCCCCUCGUGUUGACUUAAUUGUGCCCUUUCCAAUACUUCAACGAGUAGAUAUUUCAAUCUCUAUAUUCCAAUAUUGUAACUAAACUUUUUCAAUAUAGUUAUAAUGUUUUUAUGAAUAGAUCUAUUAGAUUAUCACAUGAUUGGAUCUGUCAAUACAUUAAUUUCACCAUUUUCUUGGAGUCAUAAGUAUAGAAGAUUUUGUUGAUAUAUACUUAGUUUUGUCACCUUUUAUAAAUCUUCCUUUAAUUUGUGCAAUAUCAGAAACAUUAUCUUCAUAUAUCUCAGUAGCAUUAUCUUUGAUGGAAGGUAGUCUACAUGAUUCCCAAAUAUGUUGGAUCAUUGACCUUAGUCAUACAUAUGCACAACUUGCUUCAUGAAUUACAAGUAUAUCUUAAUGAUUUAGAGAGGUGGUUGCCAUUAUUUAAUUCACUAACCUCUAUGAUAUAGUCGUAAUAUUGUAGGUAAAUACAUACCCUUAUUUGAAAUCAAGCUCUACAAACUCAAUUAUGCUUUCUUCAACAUUUCAAUGGUAUAUCUCUCAAUCUCUACAUUCCAAUGUUGUAUCUUAACUUUUUUAAUGUAGUUGAUUGUAAUAAUUUUAUGAAUAGAUCUAUUAAAUUAUCAUAUAAUUGAAUAUUUUGAACAUCAAUUUCACCAUUUUCUUGAAGCCCGUGAGUAUAGAAGAAUUUGCGAGAGAUAUGCUUAUUUUGUUCACCUUUUAUAAAUAUUCCUUUGACUUUUGCAAUAUAAGGAACACUAUCUUUGAUAGAGGGUAGUCCACAUGAUUCCUAAAUAUGUUGGAUCGUUGACCUUAACCAUACACAUUCAUGACUUGUUUCAUAAAUUACAAGCAUCUCUCAAUGAUUUAGAGAGGUGGCUAUCAUUGUUUGUUUGACUAAUCUCCAUGAUAUUGUUGUAUUAACAUAGAUAAAUACAUAUGCUAUUUGAGAUCAAGUUUUGUAGAGGUUUGAAAGAUAGCCAACUUCCACAUAUCCAAGCAAUUGAGAUUCUACUCAUUUCAAAUAAAAUAAACAUAUGUCAAUUGUUCCAUGAAGAUAUUGUAGUACAUGUUUGACUUUAUUCUUGCAAGCAAAAUGACAAAGAAUGUUAUAUCUGAUCAUGUAUUGUUUCAAGAUACAUUAGUGUAGCAAUUGCAAGGUACUUUUGGACGAAAUAGUUAUCUAUUAUCUUCUUUAGGAUGAACGAGGUCCUUUUUCACUUCAAGUGAACAAAUUACAUUGAAGAACUUAAUGGAUACAAUUUAACCUUAUGAAAGUUCUUUAGAAUUUUUAUUUAUUUAUUAUAUGCUGAUUGAUGGACUAAACAUUCCAUUUUAAAAAUGCUUGAUUUCCAAGUUGAAACAAAAUUUUCUUUUUCCAAGAUCUUUUGUUUGAAAUUCUUUCAUUAUACAUUUAAUCAUUCUAAUAUACCCUUUAAGAGUCAAUAAGAUUGCAACAAUGACAAACCUCCACUUUAAUCCACAUAAAGACAUAAUUUGAUCAAGUAUAUUGUCAUCAUGACUUGAUUAAGAAUGUGAUAUGAGAUUUUCAAUCAUUGUUUCAAUCAUUUUAAUCCUUCAGAUUUUUUUUUAAGCAUGUUAAUUCUUAAGGGAGAUAUUUGCUUUAUUCUUUUAAAUCUUUCAAGGAUUUGGUUGCUUCAUGCAUUUAGGAUCCUUUAGGAUUUUAACAUAUCCAUGAAUCCAUAUACAUUAUAAAGUAUAUAUCAAAUCUUUGAGGUAAUGGGAAAAACCUAAAUCUCUCUGUUUUCCAAUCCCGGAUCAGGUUAAGAACAUGUAUAACAUCCUAGGAUUUUCUAAAUCCUAUGCACAAUGAAAAAAAAAACAUUUUUAAACUUAUAAAGGGAUUUAGAAAGUGCUAAUAAAAACCAUACCUCAAAUUUGGAUGUUCCCGAAUCAAAUCCAUGUGGUGAAGAUGAAUAAAGAAAUCGCAAAAGUCUCGUAAACCUGAAGUCUUCCGUUUGAUGACUCGAACCUUGAUCUUGACACACUUCCAGUGGGAAUGAAAUGGAGGGUGGAGGCUAUGACUCUCUCUCUCUCUCUCUCUCUCUCUCUCUCUUUCUCUCUCUCUUUGGAGAUGGAAAAUGACUAUUUAAAAAAAGUUGUGGGAACCCUAACCACUAAGAGGGUAUUUAUAGGGCCCCUUAUUGUGUUUAAGUGACUUGAUCCCAUUACAGGCUCGGGUCACUUAAUGUAGCCUAAAAUGGGUCCUAAUAGAUUAAUCCUUAAGAUCACCCAAGGGAACACAUUAUUUCAAUCCCAAGAAAUAUUACGGUGCCUCUAUUGAGAAUACUUAUUGCUACUGACUUACAUUAAUAGUAACUCGAUCCAUAGAGAAUAUAUGAUCAACUUACGAUCUCACUCAUAGGUCAAAGCCUAUUAACUUCAACAUAAGCUUAAUAUUCUCUCUAGGUUGAGAGACAACAUAAUGAAACAAUUUGGUGAAUUCAUGACUAUUUAAUAGUCUUAACUCAUAACUUAUCAUAGGUUAUGUCAAAUGUGCAACCAUACACACCAGUGCACUCACCAUGGGAAACUCAUCCUAAUAGCCAAAACUAGUCAUCCCUCCAAUUAGGAAGUGACGCACUACAACCUCUAAUUGGUUGCUUAAACCCAUGAAUUGACUGUGAAUAAGUGAUCUAUUUGCUAGGAACCCAUGACUUGGAUCUUCUGUGCAACUCCUAAUGCACCCAAGUCAUGUACAAUGCAAAAAAUGUUGAUCAAAGUAUUUACAAGAUAUAAUGCAUGAAAAUAGGAUAAAUAAAAGUGAACUAAAACUUUAUUAAAUAAAUAAUAAAAACCAAGAGUUUAUUAUAUCAUAUUAUGUUUUUAAGGGCUCUAUCCUAACAUAAGGGAUUGUCAAUCAUGUGACUGAAUCAUUACAAGGAUGAUGCUAGGUCUUUGCAGGAAACCUUAUGUUAUAAUUUUUGCUUUAUAACAUAAUAACUCAUUGAUAUCUAACAACUUUUACGUCUUUGGGCAUUAAACUUCAAGUCCAUUUGUAUUCAAUAGGUGCAAUAUCUUUUGGCAUUGGACUACAGGUCUAAAUAUUCCUCAUUUUGCUAAGAAGUUUAACCUUAUAUGUAUUUCAUCUUUCUAUUUUGACCAAUUAGAAAUAUAUUAGCAUUCUUGCAUAAUUCAUGGUUUACAAUUUUCCUAACUUUGUAUGAUGUCAAAGCCCAUCUACCAAGAAGAUGAAUUGUCAAUGACAAUAUUAUUUUUGAUCCCAUCUUCAUCCUAUCAUGUUCAUAAUAGAGGCCUUUUUUACUUUUAGGUAUUGAGGUAUCUAUACCUUUUUAGGAGCUAUUUUGUACAAUUUUUGCAUCUUCAAGGGCCAUUCAUUUAAUUUGUACCUCUUCAGGCAUUAUUUGUUUAAAUUAUACCUCUUUAAAGACUAUUUGUUUAAUAUGUGCUUCUAUGUUAUCUAUUUUAGUUGUGCCUUUUUAAGAGCAAUAAGUUCCUUAAUUUUGGAUUGAUCAAUCACUUUUGUGGCCUCUUCAAGAGUAUCAAGUUUUUCAUAUGUUUUUCCUUAUAUUUUCCUUUUUCAAUGAAUUACAUCAUUUGAGCCAAUAAGUCUACUAUGCUUCAAGUGUACCUUGGAUUCAUUUGUCAUUAUAAUAGUUAAUUGUCCUACUAAUUUUUUUUUGCUGCGAUUAUUUUACCAUGCGUCAAGCAUAUAUCUGGAAUAGUGUUGGUUAAUUUUCAUUCGAGGACAUCUAUUUAUAAUAUUUAUUUGCAUAAAAAAAUUCUAAGAAAUUUCAUGUCAUUCUUCAAGGAUCAACUUCCUCCCGCUAAUUAUGAGAAAAUUUAUCUUAUUAGAAUAAUAAUUUACACAACAUGUUAUACUACUUUUUAGAAAUAUAGAUAAAUCACUCAUUAGAUAAAAAACUUUUGAUUUUAUAUAUAUGUUUACAUGACUUGUAAUGAGUAGAUGGAUUAUUAUUUACCCCAGGGAUCAUGUUGGUCAUGUCAGAUUCUCUUAGAUAUGAUAGAAUGUAAAGUGUCAUUCAUAUGAAAUUUUAUCCCAUUAGUUAUAUAAUUUUUAUCUCUUUCAAAGUCUAUAAUCAAGUUUACUUGAUAUAUAUUAAAAUAAACUAUUAUAUACAUUGUACAAUUGAUGAGGUAAAUAUCUUAUAAUAAAUCUAUCAAAGAAUUGAUAUUAUAUGUAUAUAACUAAUAAAUAUGACAUGCAUGUAUUAAAAAAGUAGUUUAUUUUCUUUUUCCAUAAGAUAGGAUGUACUAUUUUAAAGAUUUCAAUCUACAUAACUAGCAAAAAGAAUACAACAGGUAUAAUCAAAUCAAAUUUGAAUCAUUGCAAAUUAAGAAUAUAUAAAAUAAUAACUUCAAAUUAUGAACAUUUAUCAUAUUUAUAUAGUUUUUCAUAACGGUAGAGUAAGUUAAUUUCUCAUCUUGAUAUGAUUCCAUACAUAUAGUUUAAUAAGAACAAUAAAUAAAAAAAACCUGGAAUAAAAAUUAUACUAAAAUUUCCAUUAAAUAAUAAAAAUAAUUACUAGCUUGUAGCUAUAAUAAAUAAUCUUAGCAUAGCUUCUGGGUAGAGUAUUUAUUUUCUUGUUUUCAUAACUUUUGGUUAUGAAUAAUCAUAAUAUUUACAUAGAUUCUCAAUAUUAUUUUUCUUUUACCCAUAUGACUUUGGGCUAUAAUUUUCUAUAAAAACCCAUUUUAUAUAUAGCCUCAAAUAAUAAGAGGUUAUAAAAUGAACCUUUAUUCUACAUAGCUCAUGACUAUAACAGAAAUAUAUAAUAUUAACAUUUCUAUAUAUUUCUUAGAUCAGAUGAGAAAAAAAAAAUGUAGAAUACAUUGCAUAUAACGUCAAGCUAUAAUAACAUAUGAAAUAAUAAAUUCUUUAAAAUCUUCAUUUAGAGGAAAUAUAUAUUUGCUCUCAUAUAAAUUCAUGGUAUGAAAGUUUUUUAUAUAAUUUUUCCCCUAUGAGAAUAUGCAAGAUAUUUUUCUCUACAACUUUAGGCUAUAAGAAUGUAUAAAUUAUUUUUUCAUAUAACUCUAAGUUACCAAAUAAUUAUUACAUGCAUUACUUCUAGUUAUAUAAGAAUAUGAGAAUAUUUUAUUUUCUUCUUCUCUACAUAGCCUCUAGCUAUGAGAAAUAAUCUUUUAUAUUAUCAUCAUAAAAUAAUAUAAUUAAAAUAAAAAAUAAAUUUUUCAUAACUUUUGACUAUGAAAGUUUUUAUUGAAAAAUAUAAAAAUUUUCAUAGCUUUGAGCUAUGAAAUAUUAUUUGUAAAGAUUUUGACCCUAAAACUAUUUAAAUUGUUAAUUUAAUUUUUAUAUAAUUAUAAAAAGAAUUUAACUCCAAUUAAAUCCUUAUGGUGUUUGACUUGUUUUACUUAAUGAUAAUAUAACGUACACUUAUUGACUAAAUUUUCAUCUUUAUUAUUUAUAAGUGAUGAAAAAUUCAUAGUUGAUUCAAAUUCUUUAUUAAUAAGUAUAUAAGGAGUGGAGAAGUCUUCUCAAAUAAUAUCAACAUUUUAUAAUAAACUAUCAUAGAAUUGUAAAAAAUCCUAAUAUUAAAAGGUCUAGCUACUAAAAUUAUUACCUUUGAAUGUCUUUAAAAAGCACAAAAGGGAAUAUAUAUAGUUUAUUAUGCACAUAUAUUAAUAUAUAUAUAUAUAUAUGAAUUAAUUGACACAAGUUAGUUAUUAAAUUUAUUUUUAUGUACAAAAUAUGUUAUACAAUGUGAUUUUAACGUAAUCUUAUAAAAUUGGUAAAGGCUUCGAAAAAGGCAAUAUGCACUAAAAAAAAAGCAGUGAAGUGAGCAAGGAGUUUAUCCAAAAACAAAUCAAAAGUAACGAAGACUUUGUAUGUCCUAUAUAAUAACACGUUAAAACCAAAAUAAAAUUGAGAGUAUUUCAAAUAUUAGCACCCUCAUACAUCCCAUGAACCUUUGCACAUCAAUAGAAGAUAAUAAAUGGCUUAUCAUUUAAACAAGCUUAUUUGUAGUAAUGUGUAUAAAAAGUACAUUAAUUAUUUAAGAAACUUCUAUGGUACUAAAAAAGUACAAUACAAAACAUUCACUAUUAGUCAUUUGAUUUUGAGAUUGAAUCUCCACCGUUCAAUUAAAAGAUUUGGAAAUUGAAUUCCCAUUCUUUAAAUUUAAAAAAUAAAGAUAAUAAUGAAGAAUUGAUAAGUAAAAUUGUCACGCCCCAAAAUCCACUCCAAGGGCAUGACAAUCAUUUCACACUUCAAGCUCCAAGGUUCAAAUUGAAAACGACACAAACAUUGGUAUUGUAGCUGGAAAUUUACCAAUUACCAAAUUCCUAUUCAAAGUAGUAGGACAAAAUUCUAAAAUCUCCAAGUAUCAUCUUUAAAAAAAACUAAUACAUCAAUCAAAGUGAUAUUGUCCAAAUAGCUCUAAACUCAAAAAAAUUCAAACAAGAAUUAAGUUUUAACAUCUAAACAAUAUCCAAAAUAAAUAGAGUUUAAACAAAUAUCGUAAUAAAGCCAAAUUUCCCUCCUAGCUGUCACCCCUCGCCCGAACUGAGGUUACCUAAAAGAUUAUCAACAAAGGGGGAUGAACUUAAAGCCCAAUAAGGAACAUUAAUAUAGUUUCAUGGAUAAAACAUUUUUACUCAUGCUUGCAAAUGGGAGUAUUUCAAAUAUAAUCACGCACCCUCAUACAUCCCAUGAACCUUUGCAUAUCAAUAGAAGAUAGUAAAUGACUUAUCAUUUAAACAAGCCUAUUUGUAGUAAUAUGUGUAUAAAAAAUACAUUAAUUAUUUAAGAAACUUCUAUGGUACUGAAAAAGUACAAUACAAAAUAUUCACUAUUAGUCAUUUGAUUUUGAGAUUGAAUCUCCACCAUUCAAUUAAAAGAUUUGGAAAUAUUUUAAAAAAUAAAGAUAAUAAUGAAGAAUUGAUAAGUAAGUAAAACAAAUCUAUAAAUGCAAAUAAAAAGAGUUUUAUUGAUAGACAUACAAUGAAGAACCUUAAUGUUUCUCCUUUCUGUUAUGCUUUUUUGUUAUAAUAAUAAUGAUGAUGAUAAUAAUAAAUAUAAAUAUAAAAGUACUUUUUUCAAUCGAUUUAUUUUUUGUGAAGGUACCAUGCAUGUAUCAUUACUCAAGUCUAAAGUUUGACAUGUUUAGUUAAUGAAAAUAUAUGAUACACAUAGUGGAAGCACUUCCAAAGGUGACCACAUUGCUUAAACAUGCAUGUUAGUUCAACAUUCAUUAUAUUGCAAAUGGUGACAUAUGUUUCAUACACAAAAGCACUCGUUUUACUCAAAUUUGUUAGAAUUAGUAAAAAUUUGACUACAAUAUAAAUAAUGUUACAAAGAUAUAAAAAUUAUGACAAAUAUAAAUAAAACAACAACACAAUGUGAAUACAGUAGUAACCAUAAAAAUUGUGACAAUUGUACCAAAAACUAAUUAGAGUACAAAAAAUAUGAUCAAGUAUAAAAAAUGUAAUAAGGAUAUAAAAAUUUUAAUUGAGGUACUAAAAUAAGAAAAAUGUGAUCACCUCAAUACAAAUAAUGUAAUCUAGGUACCAAAAAUAGGGCCCAUGCACUAAGGUACGAAUGUGAUCUAAGUACAAGUUAUUUAACCAAGUUCCAAAAAUUUUAACUAAGGUACAAAAUCUAUAAUUAAGAUGUUAAGGCACAAAAGACAUAACCUAAGUACAAAGAAUAUAAAUAGUGUAUAGACAGUGUGACUUAGUUUUAAUUAAUUAUUUAUGUAUAAUUGUAGGCCCUCCAUUUUGUCCUCUUAGCACAUGUAACAUCAAAUGUUCCUCCUAUUCCCCUCUUGGUCCCUAGUCAUCCCUUGGUGGUCUAUUGACAUUCAUUCGACUUACUCUUUCCUAGCUAUCUUUGGAGACCUUGGUUGAAGGAUUUGUUUGCUCCUUCUUUGUGACCCUUGGCAACCUCAAGUUAGAUAUAGGAUUUUCCUUUUUUCUUUGUAGGAUAGCUCAUUUAGAUACACUUUUUAGAUCACGUAGACACCUUUUGAGAAUAUGAACACUUUUAUUUUCAAACAAAAAUUGCAUGAGUUUGAUGAAAUUAAUUCUUUUUAAUUUGCGUGAAACAAUAUGUUGUUUUUUGUAAUAUGCAUGUGAUUGAUAUUUUAGUUUUAGUUACAUAAUUUUAUUAUUAUUAUUAUUAUUUUCAAUUAUAGGUUUUUUUAUUCUACUUCUUUUUAAGUUUCUCAAAAUUUGUUCUUUUAUUAAUGAAUGUUAUUGGUCUCCAACCAAUUGGAGUUAAAUCCGUCUAAGUUAACAAGGGUUAGACAACCUUCUUCCUUAUGUUAUGCUUCUUAGAGCUCCUGCCUAGUAAUGGGGAGACUGGGUGAGCUUCUUUCCUGCAUAAUGGAUGUUUGGAUAGGUGGUCUAAGCAUGCCCCUUUGAAACUUAAGUUAAGCAAAAAUAGACUAGACUCCUCAAAGGAGGGAGUGAGUAGGUCAGCUGAUGUGUGCCUACCUUGUUUGUGCCUCAGAAAGGUUUUUAUAGUGCUGAAAGAAAGCCACUAUAGUGUUGACUAAGCACUUUAACCUUCUCUGUAAUGAUGAUCGUCUUGUGGGUGGCAAGGCAAUCAUUACAUCUUUGGGCAGCUGGCAGGUGCCGUAAGAUGAUAUGGCAGGUGCAUAUCCCUUCAACCUGCUGGUGGUAUAGAGUUGUGUGUGGUAAUUAAUUGACAUGGACUGGAGGGUUGGGGGAGAUCUCAUCAACCAUUCCCAUGUCAGACAUGAAUGAUUACACAUAAUAGUGGGCCUUGAAGGCGUGAUUGGGUGGUUCCGUCUGUUUAGGGAGUCCAGUCUUACUUUCCAUCUGUUCUCGUAUGGGAAGGACCCAUUUUUGUCUGUGACCAAAUAAAUUGGACGUAGUCCGGAUGGAAGAAUUCGAACGCUGCUUGUCCCACUAUCUGGAUAGUGCUGGGAUUGGACAGUGACACGUGGAAUGACACAUGGAGGGAAACUCCUACAAUGCCCCCAUUUUACUCCGUUUACCUAUGUUCGAGUAGAGGUGGACGGGUUAUGUGUCUCUUCAAAUCACCCAAGUACUUUUUCAACACGUGUUACUUGGGAAAUUAAAUAUGGGUCAUUUUCACCGAGGCCAUCUAUCAAGUGGCGCAUUGAUUUGAGGUGCAUUUCCAAGUAGUUUGUUUUUUGGGAUCCUUAAGGUUUCGAUAUCCUAUAAAUAGGGGAUUCCAAAACUUUUUAGGUUACUUUUUGAACAUUCCUUUUUUGGAACAUUUUCUUUCCAGUCUCUGCACAUUCAUUGUUGUUAUGCCAGUCAUCGUUCUUUCUCCGUUGUGUUGUUGCUAUUUCCAAGCCUUCUACAGGCAGACUCUUCCUUUGCUUGGGGUCAUUCUUGUUGGCUUUGGUGAGCUUGCUUCUCUUUGCAUUCAUUUUUUUUUUUUCUGUUUCUUUGUUUGCUGUUAGGACUGCUUUAGGAUUUGUGAGUUUUCUUGGAUGCAAAGUGAACGUUAUGAAGUCCAAACUGUAAGGCUUUUGUGCUCUAUUGGGGAAAGUAACUGCCAUUGAGGGGAGAAGGUUGGUAGAAUCUGUUAUGUUUAGGGUUUUUCACAUUUGCCUUUUCUGUUUCUUUUCUGUUGGUGCCCUAAGUAGUCUCCUUAGGCAUUUUGGCCUGUAGUAGUUGUGGUGGCAUAAUGGGAAAGUCCUUUCUUGGGGUUAGGGCUUGCUCUCCAAGUUGGGUUAGGCAUCCUGCUUAAGUGUGGGCUUUAGAUUUGCUUAGGUUGCUUGUUGUACAACUAAGGCACUACCUAAUGGCAGAUGAGUCAGGUGACUGUUUUUCUAACACUUUGUGUUGUGCUGCGCAGGUUUCACGUGUCCUAGAGUUUCUCAGUUAUGUCAGUAAGAGGGGCAUUGCUUCCACCAGCACAAGUGGUAGAGGUCAGAAAAAGGGUUGAAAUGGUGUAGUUGUUGAACGUCCUUGGUUGGAAUGCCCAGUCUACCUUCUAACCGAACAAGAAUUCUAGGAUCACUUUCGCAUCUCGAACGUCAUCUCCAUACUUUUGGUAAACGACAAACCUACGCCCAUUGAGAAGUUGUCUCAUAAUGCUACCUACUUUAGCAAGGAGCAGUUCAAUGUAGGGCUUCGUUUCCCUCUGCCUUCUUUGCUCAAGCAGUUUUUCCAUUUCACCAAGAUCCCUCCAGCAUUUCUUCACCCAAAUGUUGUCCGAGUGCUAAUGGGGUGUAGCGUCUUAGAUAUGCUCUACCACCUGGAUCUCUCCUUGCUGGAGAUCGUCUUCGUCUAUACAAUUAAGAUGAGCCAGAAAGAGAGGUUCAACUUGUCCGCCCAUAUCUCCAGUUAGUGAUAGGGCUUCCAGAUUAGAACAAGGGCGGGGCAAAGGCCACAUCCUUGUUUAUGGUCCCUGGGGUGAUCUAUAUGAGAGUUCGAACAGGGAAUUCCAUUUGUGAUGCUCAUUGUAGAUUUUGAGUAGGAGAUGCUCUUACGACUUUUGUUCGUCCUUUAUAGCGUGUUAGAUGUGAACUCAUUGUUGAUGUUUCUUGUUUAUACGGUGUAGAGAAGGACAAGAGGGGUCAACUCAUGGAAUGAGUGGAGAAGGCUUCUUUUGACCGACUCAACAAGCUUUUUGAGAUAUUUAUAGCUGGGUCGAACCACUAAGUUCUUUUGACGGAUAGGAACCUGCUAGCGAUGGUCAAGAAGUCCAAGUCGUUCAUCAUCCCCAUACUUCCUUGUUUGGCUCCUCAGGCCUUGGUGCCCGACGAGCACCACGUGCUGAAGGAUCUCUCUUGUUAUGAGGUUGGUCAUGCGGUGGACUCAAAAGCACGCCAGGACCUCUUGGAGCAAAGGAAAAAAAAAUUCACAGGAAGGGAAGCUAAGGCAAGCUCCAGCCACAAGCCGCCCAACAUCUAAUUCUGUCGUUCGCCUUCCUACUAAGAAAUAGGGCCCUGUCAUUCAACCUAUUCAAAGGCCUCCAAAUCCGCCACGCGCAUCUCCUGCUCAUUCUGCUUCAACUUCUGCAUCCUCGUAUUCUGUCGCCGGCACUGAGCCAGAGGCAAAGGUCAAGCCAGUAGUGUCUCCUAUCAUCUAUGAAGAGGAGGAAUAGGAGGACAUGGAUGCAAACCUGAGAGCCAGAUUCAGGGAGAGGUAGCGCAAACGCUUGUUCGAAUCCAUCAUGGUCGUUCAUCCUGCUAAAAAGUCCUGUAUGGAGGUCCGCUGCCCGAAAUUGGUCUUUGCCAUUGCAUCGACACCAGAGCCUUCAGCCGUCGCUGUAGGUAGUAACCCUACGCUAGACAAAAAGCCUUUCUCAACUGGAGCAACCGCUCAACCUGAGCUAGGGGGCCUUCCAUUGGUCUGACGCAACUCAGCAACAACUCUGUUGAGUGUGUUGCUUCCGCUCCCCACAUUCUCAAGCGCCUCAUGCUCCCAACUGGGAUGAGAUAAUUGAAUUGAUGAAACAAAUUUCCUACUUUACAAAGAGGGAGACCCUUAUGAACAACAUAGGGGACCUCUUUCCGGCCACCCCGUGGGUUUCAAUAGACCUAGAUGGCAAUCCCAACAUUUCCUUUGUGGCCCGACUUCCAUUCGACAACCCAAAAUCCGUCACCUCCCGUAUUUUUCCUAUGCAAGAUUACACAACCAUCGAGACAACGAAAGUGGUAAGCCUCUCAUCUCUUUUGUUCAUAAUGCCUUAGUCUUUUGAUUUUUUUAAUAUCUUCAUUGUUGUCAUCUCAAAUAGUAGCCGACGUUUGUAAUUUGAUGCGACAACGUGUUCUACUCUUUAAACGGUUGAAGGUUGUCGAGACUAUGAGAGUGUAUAUUGCCCAUAACAUGGACGAUAGUGAAGAACUCCGCUCUAAGCUGAAAUCAGUAGGGGACGAGCUUGCUAUUGCUCGGAAGGUUGCUAAGAAGGGAGUCGGGUUGCUAAGAAAGUCAAAAGAAGAGAGAAAGACGACCGAAGCUGAGGCCCAUUGGUUGAAAGGGGGAGACGGAGGCUAAGCGUACGUAAGAAGGCUGAACAAUAGAAUGAAUGGCUGAGGCAGAAGAUGGAAGAGCUUCGGGUAGGGUUCAUUGCUAAAAAGGAAGGGUUGGAGGGCAAGUACCAAAAGUAGGUAGAUCACAUGUUUUUGUUCAGCUACCGGUGCUGCAUGAAGAAACAAGGCAUACUUAGGACACCCUUAAUUACACUUUAGGUGAUGGGGAUGUAGCAAUCGACGACCCUACCCGAGGAAAUGGAGAUGUUGCUAAAGUUGACCCCUCUAGUGGGUAGACAUGGUCUUUAUUCCUGUAUAUUUUUUGUUUUUUUUUCCUAGCUGGAAAUGGCCCCACAGGAAGUUGUAAUGAAUGCUCAUAUAUUUUUCUAAAUACAAAAAUACUUGUUUUUUUUUUUCUCUAUUCCAUAUACAUUUUACUUUUCAUAAGCCAAUUUUACUGAUAAUACUGCUUCAAGUUGGACACAUUCCACGAGCAGAGUAAGGGUACUUCGUCCAGUGUUUGGAGAUGGUAUGCCCUUGAGUCUUCGACCUUGGUCAUAAAGUAGGGGCAUGUCCAAUUAGCCUGAAGGUUUUCAGCCCCCACCUCCGCCAUGUUCUCAAAGACUUUUAUGAGGACAAAGGAUCCGGUGCAAAAAAUACGUGGUCAGCCCUUUUUAUUAUAGUGAGUGAAAACUUGCUAUUGAUAGGAGGCUAUUCGGAUGGUCCUGCUUCCCCUUACCUCAUCUACCCAAUCUAGUUGCCUCACAAUUUCUUAAGUGUCAUAUCUUUGACCUUGCACGACUAUUUUGGAGGUGGACAUACCAAUCUAAGUUGGAAUAACAACUUCCAUUCCAUAGGCGAGGGCGAAAGGAGUGGUCCCUAUAGGCCACCCGGGCGUUGUUCGGUAUGCCCAUAGAACCCCCAACAAUUCAUUUACCCAUUUUUCUUUGUCUCAUUCCAGCCUUUUCUUUAGUGCAGUUGGUAGGGUUUUUUUUGUUGCCUCUACUUGCCUAUUACUCUGAGGAUAGCAAAGCGUGGAAUAUAAAUUUUUAAUAUUUAUCUUUGAGUAGAAGGUUUUGAAUGCGAUGCUGUUGAAUUGCGGCCCGUUGUCUGCUAUGAUUGCUUAUAGAAUCCCGAACUGGCAAACGAUGUUCUUCCAAACAAACCUAGAGACGUCUUUGUCUUUGAUGCUAGCAUAGGCUUCUGCUUCUACCCAUUUGCUGAAGUAGUCAGUAGCUAUGAGUAGAAACUUUUUUUUCAUGGCUGCAAUAGGUAAGAGGCCAACUAUGUCCAUCCCCCAUAGCGCGAAUGACCAAGGGCUCAUUAUUAGAUUAAGAACUUCAGAUGGCAUACAGGGGAUGGGAGCGUACCACUGACACUGGUCACACUUCUUAACAUAAUUUUCAGUAUCUUGUUUCAUGGUGGACCAAUAGUAUCCUUGUGUGUGAGCACGAUAUGCUAAUGUUCGCCUGCCUAGAUGAUUGCUGCACACACCUUUGUGGAGUUCAGCUAGGACUUACUGGGUCUUUGGAUUGUUCAAACAUUUCAGGUACGAUUCUUUAAAAGAUCGCCUAUAAAGGCUGCUAUUGAUUAGAGUGAAGCGGACGGCCUGUACAUGAAUCUUAUGAGCAUGCUUCUCAUCAUUUGGUAGUUCUCCCAUUUGGAUAUAUUUCAUAAUUUCAUGCAUCCAUCCAGGGCCCAUCUCAAUAGUAUUAUAUACUGGUACUGUCGCAAUUGAGGUUGCGGCCUGGAGGUAGACAGGCAGCAUUACGACUUUCUUUAUAGCGAGAGUAGUAGCUAUUCCGGUCAAUGCAUCAACCUUUAAAUUUUAUGUCUGGAGCACUCGUCUAACUGCUUAUUCAUCUAACUUUCCUAAGCAGUCUUCUACCAGGGUGAGGUAGCGAGCCAUACAUUCGCCAUUAGCUUUAUACUCUUUCUAAAUUUGCUUGACGAUUAACUCAUAAUCGCUACAUAUUUUCAACUUGAUUAUCGAUAAAGUUAAGGCAAGGUCCAUCCCAGCCAAGAUUGCCUCGUAUUCAACUUCAUUGUUUGAAGCAGGAAAACUGAGCCGGAUAGUCUACUCUAGCAAUUCCCCGAUAGGUGACUAUAAGAUUAGGUCCACCCCGGAACAGGAGGCUUUAGAUGUUCCAUCUACGUGAAGUAUCCACAAUCCUUCCCUAAGGGGCUCAUCCAAGUAAGAUGGUUUUUGGGGAAGUUAAGAUAUAAAGUCGUCCAUAACUUGUCAUUUCAAUGCCAAUCUUAGCCAGUAUUUGAUUCCGUACUCACUUAACUCGAUGGCUUACUUCAACAUUCAUUUGGAUAAGUCCGACUUGUGCAAGAUGCUUCUGAGUGGUUGAUUUGUGAGUACGAUCACUUGGUCGGCAUGAAAGUAUGGGUGGAGUUUCCGGACGGUGCUUUUGAGGGCUAAGGUCGUUUGCUCCAUCCUGGAGUAUCGGUUUCUACAUCCACCAUAGCUUUGCUUACAUAGUAAAUGAGCCUCUAUUUUUUAUCUUUUAUGUGAUGAAAUAAAACAGCACUAACCACAUAGUUAGACAUGACCAAAUACAUGUAGAGUUGUUUACCUGACUGAGGGUUACUUGGAAUAGGUGGCUUAGUAAGGUAGUGUUUGACUCGAUCUAAUGCCCACUUGCACUCAUCUUUCCAACCAAUUGCGCUUGCCUCCAUAGUUCUGAAAGGCGCGCCUAAGGCGCGCCUAGGCUCGGGGCGGCGUGACGCCAUCCUCCGGCGCCUCGCCUGAAGAGAGGCGACGCCCCUUCACGAAGGCGCCGCUUAGGCGCGCAAGGCGCUCGCCUCCAGCAAGGCGCGAGGCGGUCGCCCGAGUCGCCUCCGACGGCCCGACCAGGUACGCACUCCUCCUUCUCCUUCUCCUUCUUCUUCUUCUUCUUCUUCUUCUUCUUCUUCUUCUUCCUCCAGUCGGGUUGCAGAGACGGGGCAGCCCUAGUUUUUUUUUCAGUUUUUUUUUUAUAUUUUAUGGGCCCAAAACGACGCCGUUUGGACACUGUGCACUUAAGUGAACAGUGACCAAAACGACAUCGUUUUGGACCCUGUUAUUCAAAACAUAAAAUCUCCUUCCAUCCAGCCCCCUUUUCUGCUGUUUUUCAAUCCGAGACCACUGCCAUUUUUUGCCCUAGCCUCUUCCGUGCUGGAGAAGUGAAGAAGAAGAAGAAAAAUAAGAAGAAAAAUAGAGGGAAAAUAGGAGAAAAAUAAAGAGGAAAUAGUCACGUACCUUCCGGACCUCGGUAUUUUUCUUUUUUCUUCACUUUUCUGCAUUUUUUUCCAUUCUUACCUCAUAACUCUCAUUGGUAUUUUUUUUUAAAAAAAUAUAAAUAUUAUAUUUUGAGUUUUUGACAUGAAAAUUUUACAAAAUAAAAAUAAAUAAAUAAAAAGCACUCAUGCAUAUUUGUUGUUAAUGUGAUAUUUGAUAAUGUGAUAUGCAUUUUUUUUUCAAUUUUUUUUCUUAAUUUAAUUAUAAUUAUUUUAUUGUGGAGUAUAGAUAAUUUGUUUGCAAGAUGGAUAAUGAGAGUGAGACUCAAGUGGACUCUAGUGCAAGUGGAAGAAGAGAUCUAGGGUGGAAAUAUGGUCGUUUGGUUAAUGAAAAAGAUUUGAACACCAUCAUAUGCAUUUUUUGUGAUAAAGUAACCAAAGGAGGCAUCUAUAGACACAAACAACAUCUUGUUGGUGGAUAUAGAAAUGCUAAAAAGUGUAGAAAAUGUCCGGAACAUGUUAGAGAAGAAAUGGAAGAGUAUAUGAGUUCCAAGAAAAAUCAAAAAGAGCAAAUGAAUAUGGGGAGCGAAUAUGUUAAUGAAGAUUUGUUUGGUUUGGAAGAUGAAGAUAUUGGUGAGGAGAUUAAUAGUAGAACGAAUAUCACCAACAUUUCUAGUGGAGGUAGUAACCGAGGAGGAAGUGGUGGUAGGACGUUUUCUUCAAAAAAAACCAAGACAAAAAGGUCCUAUAGAUCAUUUUUUCACUCCUAAUGCAGAGAUGGUUGUUCAAAAUCAAAGGAGUGGAAAGAUGAAUCAAACUACCAUCAAUGAUGCCUACAAAAAGGAAGUAAGAGAAAGAGUUUGCACGCUUAUCACAAGAUGGAUGUAUGAGGCUGCUAUUUCAUUUAAUGCAGUCACAUAUCCGAGUUUCCAACCAAUGAUUGAGGCUAUUGGCCAAUAUGGUGUGGGUAUGAAGGGACCAACUUUUCAUGAGGUAAGAGUUACUAACCUUAAGAAAGAAUUGGCUCUCACAAAAGAUUUGAUGAAAGAUCAUAUGGUGGAAUGGGGGAAAAAUGGAUGUUCAAUUAUGUCGGAUGGAUGGACCGAUAGGAAAGAGAGAACUUUGGUGAAAUUUUUGGUUAAUUGUUCAAAGGGAACCAUGUUCAUGCAAUCCAUUGAUGCUUCUUCAAUGAUUAAGACGGGAGAAAAGAUGUUUGAGUUACUUGACAAAUGGGUAGAGCAAGUUGGUGAAGAGAAUGUUAUUCAAGUUAUAACAGAUAAUCACUCAAGUUAUGUGAUGGCAGGUAAUAAAUACUAUUUCUUGAAUUUUUAUUUACUUUUAAAAUUUGAAUUAUUUAUCUUGAGAACUUAUGUAAAUUUAUUAUCUACAAUUUCAUAUACGGAGGUUGUUAGAAUUAAAGCGUCCACAUUUGUAUUGGACACCAUGUGCUGCACAUUGCCUUGACUUGAUGUUGGAGAUAUUGGAAAGCUACCAANNNNNNNNNNNNNNNNNNNNNNNNNNNNNNNNNNNNNNNNNNNNNNNNNNNNNNNNNNNNNNNNNNNNNNNNNNNNNNNNNNNNNNNNNNNNNNNNNNNNUUGAUGAAAGAUCAUAUGGUGGAAUGGGGAAAAAUGGAUGUUCACUUAUGUCGGAUGGAUGGACCGAUAGGAAAGAGAGAACUUUGGUGAACUUUUUGGUUAAAUGUCAAAGGGAACCAUGUUCAUGCAAUCCAUUGAUGCUUCUUCAAUGAUUAAGACGGGAGAAAAGAUGUUUGAGUUACUUGACAAAUGGGUAGAGCAAGUUGGUGAAGAGAAUGUUAUUCAAGUUAUAACAGAUAAUCACUCAAGUUAUGUGAUGGCAGGUAAUAAAUACUAUUUCUUGAAUUUUUAUUUUCUUUUAAAAUUUGAAUUAUCUAUCUUGAGAACUUAUGUAAAUUUAUUAUCUACAAUUUCAUAUAGGGAGGUUGUUAGAAUUAAAGCGUCCACAUUUGUAUUGGACACCAUGUGCUGCACAUUGCCUUGACUUGAUGUUGGAAGAUAUUGGAAAGCUACCAAACAUCAAGAGGACAUUGGAGGGGGCUAUAUCACUAAAUGGGUAUAUUUAUAAUCGCUCAGGGCUACUCAACAUGAUGAGGCGGUUUAUUGGACAAAGGGAAUUGCUUAGGCCUGCUAAGACUCGGUUUGCAACUGCUUUCAUCACAUUAUCGCGAUUGCAUGAACAAAAAAACAAUUUGAGGAAGAUGUUUACAAGCUCAGAUUGGUCAGAUAGUAAAUGGGCAAAAGAGUAGAAGGGGAAAACUAUAGCCAACAUAGUUCUAAUGCCUUCAUUUUGGAACACUAUUGUGUUUUGCUUAAAGGUUUCGGGUCCCCUAGUUCGUGUGCUUCGUUUGGUUGAUGGUGAAAAAAAAGCUCCUAUGGGAUACAUCUAUGAGGCCAUGAAUAGAGCUAAGGAUGCAAUUGUGAGAAGUUUUAAUGGAAAUGAAGAGAAGUACAAAGAAAUCUUCAACAUCAUUGAUAAGAGGUGGGAGAUUCAGCUUCAUCGGCCUUUGCAUGCAGCAGGGUACUUUUUGAACCCGGAAUUCUUCUAUGAUAAGCCAGAAAUAGAGCAUGAUGCCGACAUUAUGAGUGAUUUGUAUAAAUGCAUCUUAAGGCUAACAAGAGACCCUGCUAAGCAAGAAAAAGUUGUGGCCGAAGUGAGUUUGUUCACAAAUGCCCAAGGACUAUUCGGGAAUGAGUUCGCUGUUAGGACAAGAAAGACUAGAGCACCAGGUUAGUUAUUUAGUUUUGUUUAUUUAAAUGAUUAGAUUGUAUUUUUGCUAAAAUAGGUGAAUUGUUUCACUAAAUUGUUAAUAUCUAUACUACAGCUGAAUGGUGGGCUGCAUAUGGAGCUUUAACUCCAAAUUUGCAAAAGUUUGCAAUGAAAGUCCUCAACUUAACAUGCAGUGCAUCAAGUUGUGAACGGAAUUGGAGCAUCUUUGAGAAUGUGAGUGACCAAAUCCAAAAUAAUUACAAGUAAUAGUCUAAUAGAGUCUUGAAUGUAACUUAAAAGUUAAAAUUUUAAAAUAUAUUUAUGAGCUUAUGAAUUUUUGCAGAUUCAUAGCAAGAGGAGAAAUAGGUUAGAUCAUCAACGCUUGAAUGAUUUGGUGUACAUCAAGUAUAAUCGAGCCUUGAAGAGAAGAUACAAUGAACGUAACACCAUUGACCCAAUUUCCUUGAAAGAUAUAGAUGAUAGCAAUGAAUGGUUGAUAGGGAGAAUGGAAUAUGAGGAUUCUCAUGGAGGUGCACAAGAUGAUUUUGUAUUUGAUGAUGACAAUUUGACAUGGGGUGAUGUUGCUAGAGCUGCUGGAGCUGAGGAAGCCAGGUUUGAUACUAGAGCUAGAGCAAGCUCAAGCAUAAUACCACCAACAAGGGGGAUAGCUUCAAGUUCUAGAACUUUGCCUUCUUAUUCACUAAUAGAUGAAGAUGAAGAUGGAGACAUGGUUGAUUCAGCAGAUGAAGAAAAUGGGGAAGGCUACAAAUGUGGUGAUGGAAAUGAUGAUGAUGAUGAUUUUGUUGAUUUAGAGGAGGAGUGAUGAUUGCUUGUUGUGGACAAAUUUGUGAUUUAAGUGUUUUUUAAUGAUGUUUUUGAAUUGUGGACAAAUUUCAUGUUUUGGACCUUUAGGUUUGGAAACUUUGGAUUUGGAUAUGUAUUAGGCAAUUAGCAAUAUGGAUUUGGAUUUGUUUUUAUGCUUGGAGUUCUUUAUUUUUAUGUUUUUUGUUUAUUAAAUUGAAGUUUUGGAUGAUAUUUGAUGAUUUAUGUGUUUAGGACAAAUAAAUGAUUGUUAAAUUUGAUUAUAUUAUAUAAAAAUAUAUAUGUAAAUUAGGGUGCGCCUCACUUCACUAAAGCCCGCGCCUUAGAUGUGCCUUGCGCCUUAGGCUCCAGGACUACUUUGCGCCUUGGUGCGCCUUGAGCCUUUUAAAACUAUGCUUGCCUCUUAAGUAUGAGGAAGAAAUGCCUCAAUUUGUUUAUAAAAUGGGCUAUAAAACGCCCUAGUGCAGCUAGACGACCUAUAAAACAUUGCAACUCCUUUUUGCUACUUAAGGUAGGUGUCUCAAGAACGACUUUUAUUUGAUCUGGAUUAACUUCGAUUCUCUUUUAAGUUACCAUAAAUCUUAAGAAUUUUCCUAUGCUAGCACUAAAAGUGUAUUUAGUCGGGUUAAGCUUCAUGUUGUACACCCAUAUUAGUCAAAAAAUUUCUUCUGGGUGUUGGGAGUGUUCAUUUCGGGUCAUGUUUUUUACCACAAUGUCAUCUAUGUAGACCUCUAUAGUUCGACCUAUCAAGGGUUUGAAGAUUUUUAGCAUCAACCUUUAAUACAUAGCACCAACAUUUUUAAGCCUAAACGUUAUAACCCUAUAGCAAUACAACCCUUGUGGUGUCACAAGGGCCAUCUUUUCCUCAUCUGGUUGGAACAUGGGGAUCUGGUGGUACCCGAAGAAAGCAUCUAUGAAGAAGAGCAUUUCGUGCCCGGCAAUGGCAUCUACUAUUUGGUCUAUUCCGGCAAAGGAAAACUAUCCCUUGGGCAAGCAUCAUUCAAGUUGGUGUAAUUGACGUAGACUCGCCACUUCCUUCCCUUCUUUGGGAUGACCACCGCAUUUGCCAGCCAGUCUGAAUAUUCAACUUCCCUGAUAAAUCCAAUUGUCAAUAACUUGUCAACUUCGGCCUAGAUGAUCCUCUCUGCCUGUCCGAGUAGAAGCGUCGAAUCUUCUAGUGGACGAGUUGUGAGAAAGGUGUGACAUUGAGCCGGUGUGAGGCUACAAAUGGAUGGAUUCCUGGCAUGUCUGAAUGAGUUCAAGCAAAGAUGUAUUUGUUUUGUUGGAGCACGCUUUCAAGUAGUUUCAUUUCAUCCAGCAUAAGGAGAGAAUUGGCAUAGGUAACUUGGUCAAUACCGCAUGAGAAAUGCAGUGGUUGGAGUGGGUCGACUACGGAUGGAUCCUUCUCCACUAGGCUUAGUAAUUGCUACUGCCCCUCCUUAUUUGAUAGUUCUGGGUGUGGCUCAUUAUUGGUCGGAUGUCUGGAUUCAAGCACUACUUGAUAACACUGGCAUGCAGCCAAUUGACUGCCAAAAAGAUCGAUCUGCCCAUCCUCGAUGAAAUAGCUCACCAUCUAAUGAUACGUAGAAGGAAUGACCUUCAUGCUGUGAGGCCAUACACGUCUCAUGAUGGCAUUGAAAUGGGAUAAAUCCUCUACCACCGAGAAUUGCACAUUUUGGGUGAUCAGACCAGCUUGGACAAGUAAUACAGCGUCUCCUAGAAAGGCUGUCGUGGCUCCACUGAAUCCAGAUAGUACCCGCCCUGGGUUUUCUAGGGUAGAUGGUGGUGAUUACUACUCAAAAAGUGUUAUUUGAUAGCUUGAAAUUAAUCCUUUUAAACACUUUUGAGUAGUAGUUUUGGUCUUUUAACUCAAUUGGCAUGUUAAGGACCCUUGAAAGCAAUUUUAAUCACUUUGUGUAAGUUUUGGUGUUUUUGUUAGUAAUUUGAUCACCAAAGCAAUCCAAGAUUGAGGAGAGUUAUGAGGAAUCUUGGGCAAAGCUUGGAAGUCAUUUGCCAAGAGUAAAUCCGGAAUGCAAGGAGAAGAAGUAAAGAGAAUCUGCCAUGAAGCAUAUUCUUGAUGACAGUCGUGGCAGCCACUUUUGGAGCACUUUCUGAAGUCCAAUUGAUGCAUGCUAUAUACCAUUUCAAAGCUCAGGAAGUCAACAAUCCAAUGCUUCAAACGGUGCGCAAUUCGGAGUUGAAACGAAGAAGUUACAACCAUUGCAAGUCAAUCACUCCAAGCUGAAGGAAGCAUUUUGCAAAGUGUUGCGAAAUCACCCUUUUGUUGCGAAGUGAUUUCGCAGCCUUUUUGUACAGUGUAGUGGAUUUCCUCCUGAAGUUGCCCGAUAUAUGCCGCAAGCUGGAAGCUGAGAACCUCAAGGUGGAAGCCAACUUCGCAGCCCUGCGAGAAUAGCUUUUUGCUGCGAAGUGAUUUCGCAGCCCUUUUGUGUGUCUGCGAAAUCUCGCAGACAUCAUUUUCUCUUGCGAAAUGGUCCAUAGUGCUUCCCGAUAUUUGCUACCGAUAUUGGGAGAUAUUUUCCAUCAGAUUUUUGUUGUCUAAAUCCCAAAAUACUCCUUGUAAGCCACCAAUUACAAGAUUCCUUAGCUUUUAAGUUAGUAAAAAGAACAAAUAUCCAUGUAAUAAUUUAGUUUUGUUUUAGGUUCAUAUAAAUACUCUUCAAGAGCCUAUUCUCAGAAGAGGAGACCCUUUGUAAAUUUUUGGGAAAGCAAGUAAAGUUCAGGCCUUUGUUUUGCCUUACCUUCUCACUUCGUAUUUUUAUUUUCUUACUAAGUUAUGAACUCUCUGAGGAAUUUUCCCCAGAGAAUGAGUAACUAAACCUCUAGUUCCUUGGAGCUAAGGUUGCCGGGGAAGGUUCCAAGUGCAAGAAUGCAAAGCUUUGUGGUUUUAGCCAGUAAUGAAGAGGAAGUGAAGUCUUUUAGUGAUUUCUAUGUUUUUAGUUAACUUAAAACACCUUAGAGUCACCUAGGCCAACACUUGGUAAGGCAAGUGAUUUCCAACCAUGGGAAUGCACUAGUUUACUCCUUGCGAGCCUCUGGGAGGUGACUUUAGGGUAGGAUUUUCUGGAAUUGCCAACACUUGGUAAGCUUUUGGACUCCAAGGAGACAUCCAUUAGUUAUCUCUUGCGAGCUUGAGAAGGGAAGUCCAAGGUUAAAGGUCACCUUGAAUGGUUAAGGCUAAGUGAGAGGCUUAAACCAUUGCAAGUUGUAUCAGUGAGAGAAUUAAAGUUGAAAUCUAAUUAAAGGAUGUAUCUGUACAACACCGGUUAGAGAAUUGACUAUAUGUUGAAUCUCUAACGCGAGGUAAUGAACCAUCUGACCAGAGCUAUGUCUUUUGCAUGAGGAACCACCCCAGUGAACCUAACUCUCCAAGGAAUGCUUUUCUUCCUAAGUUAUUCCCAUUACUUGUUUUGUUAGUUAGUUUGAAUCUAAAUCUUUACCAAUCAAAGUUUGUGUUUUAUUUCUUAAGCUAACCUUGAAAUGAAACAAGACCAAUUCACUUUGAAUUGAUAUCAUUGAUAACUUGUUAAUCCUUCCUAGUGAACGAUCCUAGAGCCACUAUACUAUAGUAGCUUUGUCUUUGCUACCCUAGUAUAUGGUGUAAUAGGUUAAAAAUUUUGUUGAUUACUCCCUCAUCCAAGGAGCACCAGCUGGACGUGAAUCAGUUGAGACACCAUCUGGGCAUGAAUCAGUGGGAGUCUCAUUUACUUGUAGGCAGACAAUUUUAAGAGGUCAGUUGAGUUGCUCAGAUCGAUUAGAACUCUUCUUACAUUAAACACGCUUAUUCCUAGGGUCAAGAUCAGGGCGUCUUCGUGUGGCUGUAAUACCCGGUUAGCAUUGACUGGGGGAAGGUAAUUAUGCCAUCAAUGGGGUGCGUACUCCCAUCUGCCAAGUUAUGUUGAAUGAAACUGAUCCAUUCCCUUACAAAUAUUGCACGGAGCAGCCUUUGCCUUUUCUGCUUGGAGUUUUAUUUUUUGUCAAUGGGGCCACCAUGAAUGUAGCUGAUAACAACCUUGGGAGUUGUUGAAGUUGUGGGGGAUUGGUUGACCAAAUCUCAAGCCAGUUCCUUUUGCCCACCAGCCGUGCAGACAUAUUGCUUCAAGUGCCCAACCUUGAUUAAUCUUUCCACUAGGUAGUGGAGAUUUCUACAUUGCUUCAUGGUAUGGCCAUGAUCUUUGUGAUAGGCACACCUACGGUUCCGAUCCCAUUUAGCCAAAUCUGUUUUGAUCGGCUUUGGCCACCUGAAAUCAAACAGAUCGCGGAUCAUUUGGAUGAUUUUUUCGUAUGAGAUACUGAGAGGGGUUAGGCUAACCUGACUCGGUUGCUGCUGGUCGUCCCGCCUCUUACUAGCUUGCCUCAAUUGGUUUGAAGGCUUCUAGCUUCCUGCAUGGUCGUUUCUUGUCGGACGAUUAGCGACCAGGACUUGCUGAGUGGCCGCGUUGACGUCGUCUUCGAGCCUUAAGUACUUUUUGGCUCGCCUGAACAAAUCGUCCAUUGUCGGUGGUGGUUUUUUUGUGAGAGAUUCGAAAAACGGCAUACCCGAAAAUAUGCUUCUCUUAAAGAUCUAUAGGAUAGAGUAUAUGCUACAAGGCUCCACUUGGAGCACAACUUGUCCAAACCAUUUCAUGAAGUCUCUUAAGGAUUCGUUUUCCUGCAUCUUAAUGUUCUGUAGGGUGUUUAUGUUCUGCUUGUGGCAAGUUGAACAUAAGUAGUGUCCCACAAAGGCUUUCGAUAGAUCCCAAAAAUUGUCCAUGAAGCCCUUCGAAAGGCAAUGGAACCAUGAAAAAGCCUAGUCGUGCAGACUCGUUGAAAAGACUUUACAUAACAGUGCAUCAUUCCUUAUGUCCAGGGUCAUGAGUUGCCUGUAGUACAUAAUAUGAUCGAACAAAUCGCUCAUUUCGUCGUACGUCAUAAAUUUUGGUACCAUGAACUUCCUUGAGGGUUCAUAGUUAAUGAUAUGAAGGCCAAACGACGUGCAGAGCAUGUCAUCUAGUCAUCGGGUGACGGAGCCAGGUGGAGCUCGGUUCACUGAAGUCUUCGCUUGCCACUAUUUGGGCGGAUGGGAGGGUCAUUCUAACAUGAUUGUUGUGGCCGAGGGACCCAAACAGGCCUCCAGAGUUUCUACUACGUAAGGUUUUCCUCCUAUGCUAGGUGACCAGGGUCCCAACUAGGCCUGUAUUGCGUGAGAUAGACAUGACCUCCUAUCACGCCUUCUUUUUGUUGAGACCUAGGUGGAGUCAAAACUCUCUUCCAACUACACCGAGCGGGUUGGUGGAAGCUUCUCUUUUGAUUAUAUCUCAUGACUGCUAGAGGAAGACUCUAUGUUCCUGGGAAAAUACGCAUCGUCAUUUUGUAUAGAGGUUGCUCACAGGCUCUUAGGCUGUCGCUUAUGAGAAGGGCUUGAUGACGAUACUUGGGCACACAACUUGUCAUUCUCUUCCUUAAGUCUCCUAGUCUCGUGAAGUAGGGAUUGUACAUGUUGCUCACUCUCUCGUUGGCGUCUUUCCAUGCUUUCACGCCAGUCAAAGUAGUCCUCACUACCCAUAGCUGACGAUCAACUUCUAAAGGGUGUUGACAUCCUUAAACGUUCCCACAGACGACACCAAUGUUAGUUUCCAUCCAACUGGAGUCAGAUCCAUUUAAGUUAACAAGGAUUAGACAGUCUUCCUCUUUACGUUGUGCCUUUUAGAGCUCCUACCCAGCAAUGAGGAGAUUGGUGAGCUUCUUUCCUACACAAAGGAUCUCCAGACAGGUGGUCCGAGCACGCCCCUUCAAAGCUAAAGUUAGACAAAAAUAAACUAGGCUCCUCAAAGGAGGGAGUGAGUAGGUCAGCUUAUGCGUGCCUACCUUGUUUGUGCCUUAAGAGGAUUUUUAUAGUGCUGAAGAGAAAACCACUGUAAUGCUGACUAAACACUUUGACCUUCUCUGUAAUAAUGAUUGUCUUGCGGGUGGCAAGACAAUCAUUACAGCUUUGGGCGACUAGUAGGUACCGUCAAAUGAUAUGCCAUGAUGUUUGACCGUGCAACCGUUUGUCCCUUCAACUUGCUAGUGGUAUAAGGUUGUGAGUGGUAAUUAGUUGACAUGGACUUGAGGAUUAGGGGAGAUCCCAUCAGCCAUUCCCAUGUCAGAUGUGAAUGAUUACACAUAACAGUGGGCCUUAAAGGCUUAAUUGGGUGGUUUCGUCUGUUUAGGGAGUCCAGUCUUAUUUGUCGCUUGUCCUCAUAGGGGAAGGGCCCCUUCUUGUCUGUGACCAGAUGAAUUGGACAUGGUUCGGAUGGAAGAAUCUGAACACUACUUGUCCCGUUAUCCGAAUAGUGCUGGGGUUGGAAACUAACGUGGAAUGACAUGUGGAGGGGAGCCCCCACAAAUGGUUACUAACUUCUAUUUCCUUAUUGCUUUUCAUGAGGAAAUGCCACCAACUAUAUGGAAUGAGGAUCACUACUACAAAUGGAGUGCAAAUAUUGGGGAUAUUCACUUACAAAAGAGAUCUUUGUUUUGAAAGGAAAGAGAUUCAAAUGGGAAGGACUUUGGGGGAAGAGACGAAUCCAAUUGCAUGGGAUUCAUGGAGACCACCAGAUUUCCUUAAAAAAGGAAGGUUCACACUACGGGAGGCUUCCGUCCGCCUAGGGCACGAAUCACAAGCAGUCUAGUAUAAAGACCAAUCACCAUCUCGCCCAUGGGCAUAAGACCACCAAAUUCGUGCACUCACGAGAUCUAGACAGACAAAACCAACCGAGCAUUAUUCAACUUCGCCUGGAAUGCAUCGAUUGUAACAAACAUUAAAUGUCUUGAUUGACAUGACUACUAUGAAACCAAAACACCAUACUUUAAGGCUCAUCAAGGCAAAACAACUAUUAUGAGCCAACAAUUAUUAGCAUUAACGGUGGAAAUGCGCAAUCAAAGGCAUAAUAAAGACGCUUGAGAAGACAUUACAUUGGAAAAAAGAUAAAACAUCAUUCUGGGACAUAGGAGAGGUAUGUUGCCACUUUUCCAAGAAUCUUUUGCGCAAGUCUUUUCUCUUUGACUUAUUGAUCUUUUGAUAUAUGCGUUUUUUUAGUUUUAAAGAAUCAUUGAUGAUCAUAUAUUAAAGUUUGAAUGAAAAUUAUUGAUGAUUGGUGUUAAAUAUUGUUUGAUACAUGAUUGAAAUUAUCUUUAGGAUCAAUUUGGAGAAUCUCUAUAUAUGAAAUUUUCUAAAAAUUGUUUUUUAUUACCAUUGUUGAUAGUUCACUUCACCUUUGAACUUGUAAAUUGAAAUCCGACCAUUCAAAAACUUUUUAAAAUUUUUCUAAUUAUUUUGUAGUAUUGUAGACUUCUUGAAUUUGAUUUUAGAAUUUUUUUUUUAGUGAAAAAUAAUUUUUCCAAUUAAAAGAUAUAAAUCAAUCUUUCAAAAGGUUUAGUUGUCACUCUGUUUUAGACACUCAAUCUUGUUUCUUAAAAUUAAAUUAUUAAAUGACCUCUUUAGUUUCUUUGGACAUUUUUCACUUAAUUUAUACUUCUUAAAUUCAAUUUUUUACAUAUAAAAUAUUAAGAAAUAAUUAUUGAAAUGAGAGAUAUGAUUUUUUUUUCUUCUUGCACCUAUUGCACAGGUGCUCUUCUAGAGCUGCGAGAUGUUAAUUUAAUUUUAAAUAUAUUAUGCAUAUGAUCUUGUCCUAUGAUUAUUUUUCAUAUAAAGUAGACAUAUUAAUGAGUUGUGUGAAUUUUUGUAGAAUUUUUAAGACAUCUCUAAGUUAAUUAAAAAAUUAAUUCUCUCAUGCUAUGGAAAAUUACUUUGUUCUGGACAUCUCUUAUGAAAUCUGGUAGUAAAUGGGAUCUAAUUAAUUAAUUUGGCCACUUGGAUGAUAAACUAGACAUAUAGGAGAUAUUCCCUGAAAAUUUUCAUGAUGAAAUUCUACUUAUAGAUAUUAUGCAUUUGAAUUUAUGUUUGAUUGUCUUAUGAAAGCACUUGUAGCUAAUUAAGGUACAAAUUUAGUGAGAAAGUCUUCUUUCUAUUAGACCACUUCAAAUAGACAAACUAUGCACCUCUCUUUUAUCAUCACAUGUAAAUGACCUUAAAGGAUGUGAAGAUCACUCUUAUAACUACCACCACUACUUACGUGGAGAGACAAAGGAUUAGCUCCUCAUUAACCAUUUCUUAGAGGCUAGGGCAAAUGAAACAUACCACUAAAGUAAAAUAAAAUAAAUAAAUUUAAAAUAAAUGUGUAAAAUGAAACACCUAAAAAAGAUAAAAUAAAAUAAAUUUAAAACACAUACCAACCCGUUUCACAAAAAUUAGAACUCGCAAACAAUUGUUAAACAUAUAUUAUUAUUAGAUCCUUGACAUGAUCGAUACGCUUCCGAGGAGAGCUGCCUUGUCCAUCAACAGUAAAGAAAUAUUGAUCCUUUUCAAAUUCUAACAAAGAAUGUAUGUAGGAUGUAUAACAUUUUUAAGGACUAGGCAUAACCAACCAAACUUUUUUCGCUACUGAUUCUCAAGAUAUUACCUAAAAACAUGCAUAGACAAAAAAAUUCCAGACAUGAGCUAAAUCAAUUAAUCAAGAAAAAAUGGAUGAUUGAAAGAGAAAAUGAUGCAGUCCCUUUUCAGACUUGAUCAGUAACCUUCAUGUGGUUGAGCAAGUGACAAUGGUGUCGGCAUGGAUAUUGAAGACUUUGGGCUUUGUAACUUUUAGCAAAAGUUUAAAUAUAAUACGCAAGGUUACGAAGGAGAUAGAAAAAAGACUAAAGACUUAUGUACAUGAAAUGGUAUUGAUCUUCAAUCUCAUCUCAAAAUAGAAUGAGAUAGAUUCAAAUAUAGGACCUGUUCUUUGCGGAGUCAGGAAGCAUAAUAUAAUGAAUGAUAGGAGUUUCAGAUUUUGACAUUCGUCACUGAGCCAACACCAUUCAUAAGUAGGUCUGUUUUAUUAUUGAAAAGAAACAUGAGGCAAAGCAUAGGCACCAGUACAAAAAAGGCUUAUGAGCAUAACACUUGAUGUAGAUGCUAUAAAAAAUGUGAUGGUGGCAGCAAUUAGCUUCCCAGCUUCAGGCUUUGCCAGGAAAAGUUGAGAUGCUAUCAACUUCAUAUGUUAAAAAAUUCAACAAAUAAUUAUAAAAACAAGUCCUCUCUCACCAAGGAAAAUACUCUGAAAAAUUCCACUUUUGCUGCCUUUAUCGGCCAAAAAUAAAAUCAAGCUGACAAGAGUUAAAUAGAAACAUGGAUUCAAACAACACAAGUGAAAAUUACCUGGCAUGCAUCUCCAUGCUCAUGGUCAUCAUUUGGCUUUUUCCAUACCUAGAGUGAUUAAAGUGAAUCAAUUGUCAGUUUAAGAUAAACUUGAAGCAAAAUGGAAAUUGAAUGAGAUCGAGUGCAUUUUCAAACCAAGACAAAAAUAUGCAGCCCAAGGGCUUCACACGGAUCCCCUGUAGUUAUUAUUAUUAUUAUGGGACCCAUGUAUAUGCACUACAGAAAAGGCUUCCAUUAUUAACGUGAAUCAGUGAAAAGAGCUGUAGCAAUGAAACAUGAUGUGAGCUGUGAAUGACUGCAAAACUUAUUUGUAUGAUAUGGGACGCCUUUGGUUGGAUUUUUUACGAGGGUAGGAUAGUUUUAAAAAAUAUCUUUUGGUAGAAAAAUUAAUUUUAAAUUUAUAAAUAAGUAGAAAAAAAUUACAAUUAGUGACUUUAAAUUCCAGCGUGUGCCAUUCACCAGUUGCAUGUGACUAUAUUAUAACUCUUUUAAGUUUCAGUCUUCUUGGUGUUGAGGUCUUGCGUCCCGAUGAUCCACGUAGUUGUCAAGUGGACGCACGCUUUCAACCAAGAUAGAUUUCUGGUUCAGUCGUCCUUGCAAAAGGUGUCCAGACACACCCUCCGAUGGUUUUGUCAACCAUGUUUAGAGAGAUUAAGCAGUUGGCAUUUUUCUAGGUAUAACAAGCUUACCUUCUUCCUUGUGUGAAGGUUCCUUUAUAUAGUGUCAGAAGCUCGUCCUCCCUCUUUAAUGAUGGGAGGACUUUUUGGCUCGUCAUGAUAACUCCAAGGUGGUGGCAGGGUCAUCAUCACCCUAUGGGGGCUGUCAGAGAUCGUGGGAGGUGAUUUGCCAUCAUUCCUGUCCUUUCGCUCUGCAGGCAGCGGAUCGUGGGAGGUGACCUGCCACCACUCCUGUCCUUUCGCUCUGCAGGCGACGGAUUGUGGGUUGUGGCAGGCUGUCGGAAUGAUGUAGCAAGACUUGCUCAUUUCAAUCAAUGAUCCGGAUAAGAUAUGUUAUCAUCCGAACGUGACAUUCGGGAGUGACGUGUGCUUCUCCCUGAGGGAGUUCGGAUAGGGGAACGCGCCACAUGUCCUCUUAGGGAGUCCGGAUGAAGUUUGAUCCGGAUAGCAAUGCGUGCCACGUGUCCCACUUUGCGGAGUCCAGAUGGAGUUGCUCCGGAUAGCGAAGCGCGCCACGUGUUAUCAGGGAGAGGAGUCCCUACAAUGCCCCCCUUUUAACCUGCCGAUUUUGCCCGGGCAGAAUGGAUGAGUUAAAAAAUGAUUGUUUUUGAAACUAAGGUUACUUUUUGCGCUCAUUGGGCCAUGUGGUGCGCGGGGGCGAAAAGGAAAAAUAGGGUAUUUAUGAUGAGCUGCCGUCUCUGGGAUUUCCUAGGCAGCGUGUCUUUUCAGCAGUGGCGCGGUUGGGCGUUUGGGAUACCGAGGGUGAGUCUGAAAUGUAAACUGAGUCACAAGACCCAGUCAUAUCAUGCUUGCAUUUUCAAACAAUGACAAAAAUCUUCAGCCUUUGAUUCCUGUACACGAAUUCCCUUUUGCAAUACUGAAGAGGGCUUCCAUUAUUAACCUGAAUCAGUGAAAACAGCUGUAGCUGUAGCAAUGAAGAAAAUAGAAAAAAAUGAAACAUGAUGUGACCUCUAAAUGGAGACAUAAUUUGAGGGAUGUGGCUGUCAUUCCAUGUUCAAAUCACCUCCAUGUGAUGUGACUCCCACAACCCAAUUCAAUAGUCAAAUGUUGAGAUAUAAAAAAAAAAUUAUAUCUUAAUUUUAAAGAUAUAAAUUAAAUCUAUUUUAAAUAUAUAUAUAUAUAUAUUUAUAUAUAGAAUUUAUUAAUAUAUUCUAUUUAUAAAAAAAAAAAAAAAGAAACGUAUCAAGUUAUAAAAUUUGUUUCACUUCUAUUUUUUGUUUUUUUUAACUUUUAAAAUGGGAAAUUAUCACCUAAUUUACCCAUUUAUUUAUUUAUUUACUAAACCAAUAAUAAGGGUGUCUCAAUCUCAGCUAUAAUCAUAAAAAAAAAUUUAGAAAAAAUAGCAAAAUUUUAUUUGAUUUCCUUUUGAUGAAAAUGAAAAACAAAACUAUAACCACCAAUAAAUGAAUACAAAUACGUGGCAUGUAACUCACAUGAAAGUGGGCUGUCAGUUUUCAAUAACAAAGACAAAUUUCUUUCCUUUACAUAAACCAUUCUUAUAUCUACAGAAAAGGGGCUCCCAUCCAUUAUUACUCUCAAUAAGGCACAUAUGAAAUCACAAGCAGCGAUUCUAAAUUCCAUGAUCUGUCAUUUCCCACCUGCAUUUGACUCCCACAACACAUUCAAGUUUUGGUCUCCUUUGGCUGCUAAAUUAUUUCCAUUGAUCAUUGAUCAAGUCUUAAAGACUCUCAAAGUAUAAAAAAUUGUGAGGUUCAAAUAUAUGGGGACUUGGAUUCCUUAGGAGAUAUUAUCUAUUGUGGAACCCGGAUGAGCUCAAGUUGGUACUAACUUUAAUUGGUGAAAGCAACUACACAAAUAAAGAAAACAAAGAAUAAGAUAAAAGGUAUUAAAUAUGAUGUGAGUCCGAAAUCCAUAUCAAUGACUCGGGGUUUGAAAAUUCAGAGGUUUUGGAGCUUUGGGCUUACUAAAAUUAUUACAUUUUAACAUCUUAGGUGAGUACAAAAGUGAUCAUUCAAAAAAUGUAUAUGAAUUAAUUGAUAGAAGCUAAUUAAUUACAUUUAUUUUUAUAUACAAAAUAUGUUGUAUGAUGUAAUUUCAUUAUAACAUCAUAAAAUUAGUAAAGAUUCGGCUAAGCACAAUCUACACCAGGAAGAAUAAUAAAGUAAACAAAAAGUUCGUCCCAAAGAAAACCAAGAAUAGUGAAGAUUUUGCAUAUCCUAUCAUUAUAACCAAAAUAAAAUUACGAGUAUUUUUAAGUAUUAACACUAUCCUACAUUCCAUGACUCUACACAUCAAUAGAGAAUAAUAAUUGUGACUUAUUAUUUAAUCAAACUUAUUUGUAGUAUUAUGUGUAUAAAAAAUAUAUUAAUUUAUGAUUUUUUUUUUGUAUUUUUAUAUUUUUUAAUAUUAAAAGAUUUUAAAUAAUUUCAAAAUUCAUGUGACUAAUAUAAAAAUAUUUUUCCAAGAAACAAUUUUCAACAUGGUUAAAACUAUUGUAAUACUUUUACGACUAUCAUUUUUAAAAUAUUUUUCCCAAUUUCCUAUAGUAGUUAAAAACCCAAGCUGUCCUUUCCAGAAUCAAAUCUCAAUAAGCCAUCAUCUCAGUACAUUCUCGUUGAUGCUUUGCCAAUGACACACCACUAAACUAAACAACAAUAUUUGAUUGAAUGCUUACAUUUUAUCUCUAAUAUCCAGGAUCAAUUUGGAUAUGUAACAUAUUUUAUAUUGUGCUAAUAUUUAAUUUGUUAAAAGAUUAAAAAUUGAAGUGAAAAAGAUAUAGUUUAUCACAAUUUUAAUAUUUUUAAGGAAAAAUAUAUUACAUAAAAAGAUAUCAAGUCUCUUUUAUUUUUAAUAUUAUUUAGACAUCUCUUUACAGUUUUCCGUUUUUUAGAUGUAAUUUUAAAAAUAAUUUUAUAAUUCACGUUUUGAUAACCUAUUUUUUACUUUUUAAUUUUUAAAAUCUAAUAAAAAAUAAAAAUUAAAGAUAUAGAAUUUGUUUAAUUUCUAUUUUCUUUUAUAAAAAAAUUAAAAUGCAAAAUUAUCACCCGUCUCACCCUAGACCAACAAUAUAUGAGUCCCUCUUAUAACAAUAAAAAAUUUCAUCCAUAAAAUAAAAAAAAUUAUUAUAUUAUUUUUCUUUUUUUAUUAGAUUAACAAACACAUUUUACUUUUUAUUUUUUAAAAUAAAAACAAAUUAUAAACACCAAAUAUAUUUAAUAUUUACAAAAACCAAAAAUAUAAUUGACAGAUUGUGAAUAUUUUUUGUGUUUGAAAAAUUAUAGAAAUAAAAGUGUAUUCAAAUGAUACCUUAUCUAUUAAUUCUAUUUAAUUUUAUUAAUUUGUAUUAAAUUUAUGAAAAUUCCAGCAAUUAAUUUUAUAUGACUUUAAUAUAAUAAUUCAAAAUUUUCAGCAAACUUGUAAGAUCAUUAGUACUGCCCGUACUUAAAAGUUAGAGCAAAAUAUCAGACUUGGUGGUAUUCACUAUUCAAUGAGAUUGAGUGCGAAAUGUAAACAGAGUAACAAGACCCUCUCAUGCUUGCAUUUUCAAACAAAGACAAAAAUCUUCAGCGUUGGAUUCCCUCUGCACGAAUCCCCUUUUAUUAUUAUUAUUUAUUGUGUGGGACCCAUGUAUAUGCAGUGCAGAAAAGGGCUUCCCGUUAUUAACCACACAAUCAGUGGAAACAGCUGUAGCAACGAAGACGGUAGAAAAAGAUGAGACAUUUAUGAGAUAUGAUGUGACCUGUUAACGGAAACCUUGCGUUUAUCUCAGCGAUUCUAAAUUCCAGAGGCUGCCAUUUCCACCUGCGUUUGAGUCCCACAACACUUUAAUAUAAUAAUUAAAAUUUUUUCAAAAAAUUAGUACUUAAAAUGGAUUACCAUUCUUGAUUUAGCCCUUUGAAUUUCAUAUGUUUAUAUCUAUCAACGCUUUCUGCUAAGAAUGAAAGUGGACAAACAUUUUUGGAUACCAUUGAUCAUGUGUUUAGAUUCUCAAAAUCUAAAAAGUUGCAAGGUUUUGAUUUGGGUGUUAUUAUUUUGAUUUUUAUGCGUUUACAUCCAUCAACACUUUCAACUGAGAUCAUUGAUCAUCUAUUAAGACUCAUGAAUUCUAAAAAAUUGUAAGGUUUUGAUUUGGGUGUUAUUACUAAGAUGGUAGUGCUUUUAAUUCCAAUGAAAACAAAUUAAUAACCUGCACUAGGAAGAAUAAUAAAGAAAACAAAAAGUUCUCCCCAUAGAAAACCAAGAAUAGUGAAGAUUUUGCAUAUCCUAUCAUUAUAACCAAAAUAAAAUUGAGAGUAUUUUUAAGUAUUAACACUAUCAUAUAUUCCAUAACUCUACACAUUAAUAGAAAAUAAUAAUUGUGACUUAUUAUUUAAUCAAACUUAUUUGUAGUAUUAUGUGUAUAAAAAUAUAUUAAUUUAAGAUUUUUUUUUUGUAUUUUUAUAUUUUUUAAUAUUAAAAGAUUUUAAAUAAUCUCAAAAUUCAUGUUGUUGGGACGUUAUUUAUUUUAUUCGAGUAGGACCACGGAGUAUAUUUGGCUCUGUGCCAGUAAGGGGCAUCACAGAGCCGCCUCCUCACAUGACCUAUUAAGACUCAUGAAGUCUAAAAAAUUGUAAGGUUUUGAUUUGGGUGUUAUUACUAAGAUGGUAGUGCUUUUAAUUCCAAUGAAAACAAAUUAAUAUCUUGAAACUUGGAUUCCUCACAUGACCUAUUAUUAUCCAAUGUGGAGCCCAUGUCCGUAAAGGAUGAGAUCCCAUUUGUAUCAAUUUAAUUGGUGAAAGCAAUUAGACCAAUGAAAAAAAAAUAAAGAAAACGAUAAAAUGUAUUAAAUAUGAUGUGAGUUGUGAAAUAGUGAGGAUAUAUAUGUUUAUAUUAAAGGAAUACUUUUUCACAAAACGCUAAAUGUGGGGGGUGGGUAGUAGAUAAAGGAUGGCGAAAGGACAUGAGAGCUUACAACUAUGCUUCAGUCAUUGAUUGAUGAUGCAUCAUCAAUGUUGAUCAAAUUUAAAGUCUUUGGAAAUUGGGACAUGCUCUCAUUUUCACUUAGCAAUCAAUUAUCGCCUACUAUUCCAACUUUGUUAUUAUUGUUAUUUAUUAAUUUUUGGGUCCUAACUCCUUCCCAUUGGCUCACUCUGGUUUUACUACAUCCAUAUCUUUCUCUUCUUGCUUUCAUACCAUUGAUCAUGUUGUGGACCCCGCAUUUCAGCUCAUGCGUUUCCCACUCGAUGGCGAGCUUGAUUUUUAUUUUAUUAAGAAAAAUGACUUGGAGUCGCCACUUAUUUUUAUUUUAUUUUUAAAAGGGUAAACAAAAUAAGAAAAAAAAAAACCCUAAGUGUGACUCCUUAUUUUGGAAAAGGUGAUCUACGAAAAACCGGAUCGGGUUCGGGGGUCAAGUUACUUAUCGGGAAGGUACAGUAUAAACCGUAGCACCCCUCUAAGUCCCUAGAGUCGGGUCUCUAUUAAUACAAUGAAACUGACGUGGCAAUCAACGAGAAAGUCAAUGGAUACUAACCUAAAUUAUACACAAUAUGGGAAUCAAAACACGCAAUAGAGAUUGACUAGAAUGAGAGUGGAUGCGUACCUUGGCCACGAGCCACAAUGCGCUAUAAAGAAACGGGAUUAGUGCACAAUUAAGGAACACAAAAUAUAACUCAUGCAUAUCGGAGUGCAAAACAAAGCUUAAGCAAAAUACAUUAAGUACGACAAUUGACAAUCAAAAAAGGAUCACACAUAGGGCCCCCACCAAAGCCCAAUUUAUUACUCAUGAACUAGUCUCACAAAUUCCGUGUUUUUGAAUUAUGAAGAAUUUAUUAUUGCUUAUGUAGAAUCAAGAAGAUCAGAAGAUUAUUUAAGAACCGGAACGGAAUUAAAACUAUUCGAGUGAAAACUGGAUUUUUGAAAUUUACUUGAAAAUUGGAGUAUUGAGAAUUAAAUUUAAAAGAUUAGAGCUUCGGUAAUUAAAAUGAAAUUUGUCAAAGAAGAUGAGAAAUGAACUUUAGGAAAUUGAUUUGUGAGAAUAUGGGUUUUGAAAGUUGAAUUUGUAUUAAUUAUAAUGAUAAGGAGUGAACUUUAGGAAAUUGAAAUGCGAGAAUAUAGAUUUUUAAUAAUAAAUAAUAAUAAUAAUAAUAAUAAUAAUAAGAAAUGAACUUUAGGAAAUUAAAUUGUGAAGAUAUAGAUUUUUAAUAAUAACAAUAAUAAUAAUGCUAAUAAUAAUAUUAGGAAAUUGAACUGAGAGAGAGUAUAGAUUUUUAAUAAUAAUGCUAAUAAUAAUGAUAAUAAUAAUAAUAACCAUAAUAAUAAUAAUAAUAACAAUGAGGUUUUGGAAUAAUAAUAAUAAUGAUAACAAGAUUUCGAAAGUUGAAUUAAUAAUAAUAAUAAGAAUAAUAUUUUAAAAGUUGAAUUAAUAAUAAUAAUAAGAUUUUAAAAGUUGAAUUAAUAAUAAUAAUAAGAUUUUAAAAGUUGAAUUAAUAAUAAUAAUAAUAAUAAUCAUAAUAAUAAUAAGAAUAAUAAGAUUUUUAAAUAAUAAUAAUAAUAAGGUUUUGAAAGUUGAAUUAAUAAUAAUAAAAAUAAAAAUAAUAUUUUAAACGUCGAAUUAAUAAUAAUAAUAAUAAUAAUAAUAAUAAUAAUAAUAAUAAUAAUAAUAAUUUAAAAGUUGAAUUAAUAAUAAUAAUAAGAUUCUAAAAGCUGAAUUAAUAAUAAUAAUAAUAAUAAUAAUAAUAAUAAUAAUAAUAAUAAGAUUUUGAAAUAAUAAUAAUAAUAAUAAGGUUUUGAAAGUUGAAUUAAUAAUAUUUUAACAGUUGAAUUAAUAACAAUAAUAAUAGUAAGAUUUUAAAAAUUGAAUUAAUAAUAAUAAUAAUAAGAUUUUAAAAGUUGAAUUAAUAAUAAUAAUAAUAAUAAUAAUAUAAAUAAUAAUAUCCUAAGCCCAGGUCAUUAAACUAAAAGGAGCCCAGGUCCGUAAACUCAUUAAAUUAAAAGAAGCCCAGCCCGCCUCCAUCUCCAUCACAAGCCCAGGUCAUCAAAUUAAAAAGAGCCCAGGUUCAUAAGCCCACUAAAUUAAAAGAAGCCCAGCCUGCCUCCAUCUCCAGCAAAAGCCCAGGUCAUUAAAUUAAAAAAAAAAACCCAGGUCCAUAAGCCCAAACGACCCAAGCCUGCCUUCAAUCUCCAACAAAGCUGGUUUUCCACUUGGGUGUCGCCUUCAGCCAAGGAGCCUCUACCACCAGCGAUGCGAUGGAGAGGGACGCGACGGCAGCGAGCUGGCAGUAACCUGAAGAUGUCACCGUUGUCACUUCCGCGCCAUGGUAGAUGGGCUUUGGGUGGUUUGGAUGUGAAGGAUGGGCUGGUAUCGGUGGUGAGGUUAGCUGCUACAAAUGGGUGUGAUAGAAAAAGGAGAUGGGUAUGAGGGGUGUUUCAGAAAAGCGGGUAGUGGUGUGGGCAUGAGAUAUGCGUAAUGAGUGGGUAGGGGUGGAUAAAGGACAUGAGGAUACAGAGAAAGAAUGGGUUUUGGGCGGUAUGUUUAGAUGAACACAUGCAUUAGGGUGUGGGUAGAGAGAGAUAGAGAUAUCCAUGCAUGCUCCAAGCUCCAGGUACAGGGAAGGACAGAGAAUAUAUGUAUGAUUCUGAUGCUCUCAUAUGCAUAAAUAUCCUUAAGUGAAAAUCAUAAAAAAACGAGAGAGAAGCAGAAAAGUUGCAUCCAAACAGUGAAUAAAAGCUAAAGACAUCAAGGAAAAUGCAUGAAGAACAAUGCAACAAGAAAAUGUAAACAGAAGAUCCACAAUAUUCGCACCUGGAAGAGCUCUCUCCUAGCGGGAACCAAUCGGAAAAAUGUAUGAGUCCCUCCCCUCUUCCUCUGCUCUGCCCUUUCUUUCUUUCCAAUCCCUUCCCCUUAGCUGUCUUUCCUUUCCCGCCUUUCUUUUUUCCUACAGCCCUCACCUACUCUCUGCUCCUCUCUAAUCUGGCCGCCCCCAUCAGCUUAAAUCUCGGGGUGGUCAGAAGGGUAAUCAUGAUAGAAAAAUCACCCCAAAAACUCCUCCCCGGAAGAGGGGGUCUACACAUGUGUUAAGACUCUCAAAGUUUAAAAAAUUAUAAGGUUGCGAUUUAGUUAUUAUUAUUAAGAAAGUAUAAGAGAUUGUUGUGCUUUUAUUUUUUGUUGUGCUUUUAUUUUCAACAAAACAAAUAUAUUGAGACUUGGAUUCCUUUCAUGAGCUAUUAUCCAAUGUGGAGCCCAUGUCUACAAAGGAUGAGCUCCCAUUAAUAUUAACUUUGACUGGUGAAAGCAACUAGACCAAUGAAGAAAACAAACAAAAUGAUAAAAAGUUUUGAAUAUGAUGUGAGUUGUGAAACAUACGUCAGUGGCUUAUAUUUGAAGAUAAGGUUAUGGGAUUAUUUACUUCACAUUCACAAUCGGAUUCACAGAAGAUGAUACAAUUUAGGAGGUGUAUGGUAUCCGAGAAUAGGGAGUGAGAAUAAAUAUUUCAUUCAUUUUCUCCCUUAUUCCUAUGUUUGGAUAAAUGUUAAGAAGAUAGAAAUAAAAUAAAAAAUUAUUUAAGCAGAAAUCAAAUUCAACUUAUAAGUCGAAUUUGAAUUAAUAAAAAGUAGGUGGUAUUCUGAUUCAUUAAACUCAUUUUAUAAUAUAAAAUAACCUAAAUUUACUAUUUUACCCUCUUAUCUCAUUCUUCAAGUCGGAUGUUUAUCUUCUUUGCAAAGUUAGAGACCCAUUCAUCAUUCACUUCUCUGCAACAAGUGAUUCUCCCAAAUUGAAUCAGUUAAACCUUGAUCGACGUUUAGAAAAAUUUUGAUAAAAAAAACGAAUUUUUUCAAAAUUUUUUAAGAUUAUGGAUUUUAUCGGAUAUGAUACUUGUUGAAAAUUAGAAUGAAAUUUAAAUUCUUUUAUUUCCUUUUUUGGAAAUAGGAAAAACAUUUGCUAACUUUGAGAAUUUAAAUAUUAUAAUAUAUAUAUAUUGGUAAAAUAUAAUUUUAUAACUACUUAAGCAUGACAAAUUAUUCAAAUUUUUAAUAAAAAUAAUAAUUGAAUAUUUUUACAUUAGGGUUAUAUGAUUUUUUAUGGUUAAUUUUUUAUUUAUUAAGUAUAUACAUUUUUUUAGUCUUAUUAUUUAAUAACAAAAAAACUCUCAAAAUUUAUUUUUUUAAAAUAAAAAAAUUAUUUUAAAUUAUAUAUAAGGAUAUUAUUGUAAAUUUAUUUCUUUUUCAUUUCCAUUCCUAUUAUUAUCAAACAUUGGAAUUGAAACAAAUAAUCAUUCUAAUUUUGCAUUCCUAAGUUCAUCCAAAUAUUAGAAAUGGAAUCAUCAAAUUCAUUUCUAUCCAUUAAGAAAAAGGAAUGGAAACAAAAUAUUCAUUUCCAUUCCCUAUUCCGACGUACCAAACACCCUCUUAGAGGCUUUGGAUACUAAAAUUAUUAUCAUUUAGCGCUUUAAGUGAGUAUAAAAUUAAUCAUAUACAAGUUGGUUAAUUAAAUUUAUUUUUAUCUACAAAAUUUGUUGUAUGAUGUAAUUUUAAUAUAAUAUUAUAAAAUUGAUAAAAACUCAGCUAAGUUGAAUCUAUGUUAAAAAGAAUAAUAAAGUAACCAAGAAGCUUAUUCAAAAGAAAACAAAGAAUAAUGGAGAUUUUGUAUAUUCUAUAAUUGGAACAAAAAUAAGAUUGGGAAUAUUUUCAAUUAUUAACACUAUUAUACAUUCCAUGAAUCUACUCAUUAGUAGAAAAUAAUAAUUUUGACUUAUUAUUUAAUCAAGCUUAUUUGUAGUAUUAUGUUUAUAAAAAAUAUAUUAAUUAAUUUAAGAUAUAUAUAUAUAUAUAUAUAUAUAUAUAUAUAUAUAUUAUAUUUAAUAUUAAAAAAUUUAAAUAAUUUCAAAACUCAUGUUUGAUAACUUAAUUUUAUUAUUUAAUUUAUCUUUACAUUUUGAUAAAAAAAAAUUAAAAAAUAAAAGUAUAAAAAGUUUUUUCCUUUCUAUUUUUUUUAAUUUUAAAAUAAAAAAUUUAUCACCCAUAACUUACUUUAUUCUUUUUUUUUUUUAAUAAACCAACAAGGUUCAUAUUUAGAGGCAAAAAAUUCAUCAAAAUCAUAAGAAACCAAAAAAUUCAUACUUAUAAACAAUAUUGUGUUAACCCUUUGGUUUUUAUGUUGUUUAAAUCUAUCAACACUAAUAGUUUUAAAAAGUGGUAAAAAGUGAGCAAUAUAUAUGAAUGGUCAAUUUAGCUUAUUAAUGGGCAUAUUAAGGUGGCAUUAAAAUUGAUUAAGACUAUAUUUUAUGCGAGAGAAGCAAAAUAGAGAGGAAAAGUAGAGGGAAAGAAAAAGUGAACGAAAAUAAAAAGUAGAUUUAAAGUUAAUAAAUUAUUUUUAUUUAUUAUUUCAAAUUUAUUUCACUAAUUUUAAUUCAUUGAUAUAAAAAUUAAAUAAUUUGAGAAUACUUAAAUUUAUAACUAGUUUUAAUUAUAUAUAUAUAUAUAUAUAUAUAAAUAUAUUUUAACAUUUUUCAUUGUACAAUCAAAUAUGAAAAAUUAUUUUUUUAGUAUUUUUUUUCUUUCAUUGGUGAGUUAGAAAGAGGGAAACAAACGGAGAAAAUAAAUAUAAAUUUAUGCUACUUUAAAAAGAGAAUGUACUUUUAUCCUCCCACCUUUGCUUAACUUAAAUAAAUAAAUAAAAUAAAAUCCUUAUAGAACCCAACAAUAUUAAUUUUUUUUAAAAUAUGUAAAACUACCCUUAAAGAUUCUUUCGCCAAUUUUUCCCUUCCACCUUCAUUCAUUUUCAAUUUCAUGACCAAAAAAUAAAUAAUUAAAAAGAAAAAAUGGAAGCAAUGAGGGAUUUAUUUGAUAAUGUUUUUAAAACCAAUUCUCCAAAAAAAUAGUUUUUAAAAGCAAUUUUUAAAAUGGUUAUCAAUUAUUUUUUAAAAUAAAAUUUGUUUGAGAAUUUUAAUAUAAAAAAUAGUUUUUUCGACUUAUUCUCCACGAAUGUAUUGUGUAUUUAUGUAUAAUAAAAAAAUUUCUAAAAUAUUUUUUAUUUUAAUUGUUAUUCAAAAAAUUAACAAAAAAUAACUGAAAACACACCUCAAAAUUAUUCUAAGAAAUAUGCUUUUAGAAUAAAUUUUGAAAAAAAUAAUUUUUUAUUAAAAAAUUAUCAAAUAUAUUUUUUUAUGUUUGAAAAUAAUUUUUUAUUAUAAAAAAUAAAAUUACCAAAUAAGCCUUAAUGUUUUUAUCACAAUUGCCUAUCGUGCUUUUGUUUUCAAACAAAACAACAUCUUAAGUUGUAUUCCUUUGACAAGUUAUUAUCCAUUGUGGAACCCAUGCUUACUAGACAUAGGCCGGUAGUACAAACAAAGAAAAUAAAGAAAAAGAUAAAAGUUGUUCAAUAUGAUGUGAGUUGCGAGUUGUGACUUGUGAGGUAGAUGUUUGUGGUUAACAUGCCUCAACCCUAAAAUUGAUUCCACUUAUCCGUUUUAGGGUUGUCUCUUUUAUAUUAGAAUAAAAAAGAUGAUUCCAUUCAUAUGUAGGACCCACAACUUAUCUGAAAUUAAAAGGACUUUAUAAAAGCAAUUAUGUAUGCUCUAUGUCAAGAUUCUUACAAUACCAACCUAAUGUAAACCCCUAAGAGGGGAUGAAUUGGGUGUUGGUUUAUUUUUAUUUUUAUUUUUAGUUUUGAAAAUUAUAAAUUAUGAUGAAUGUAAGAGAUAAAUAAGCAACAAUAUAAUAAAAACAAUAAAAAAAUCAUUUAAUAUAAAUAAAGAGAGUAAGAAAGAGGGAAUUUCAAACUCAAGAUUUAUAAUGUUUAACACAAAUCUCACCCUACAUUUAUUCUCCUCGAAUUUCAAUCCCAAGUUCGAGGUUCCACUAUAUUAAGAUUUUCAAACCAAGCCUUAGAACUUUAUACUUGGAUUAGUUGACUCCAAUAGACAUUUACAAUUUUCAUUAAGAGAUGUCCCACUCUUGAACUCCCCAAAUGAUAUCCCAUACUUGGCAAACCCUAAGUGAUACCUUAUAUUUAUAUUUUUCUCUCAAGUGAUGCCCUACACUUGAUCUCAUCACAUAAGAUUUACAAAAAAAUAAUUUUUAAUAAAAAUUCCUAGUUUACAUUUUUUCUUCUAUAAAAACUAAAAAUAUAAUUAUUAAAAAAUUUAUGUUUUAUGUUUUUAAAAAUAUUAAGAAUAAAAGUAUAUGCAAAUGACACCUUUAAUUAUUAAUUCUAUUCAACUCUAUUUAUUUUUAUUGAAUUUAAUGAAAUUCAAUUAAUUGUUUAUGUAUGAAUUUAAUAUAAGAAUUAAAAAAUUUCCAAAAAUUUUAACACUUAUAAUCGAUUACCAAUCUUGAUUUAAUCCUUUGAUUUUUAUAUAUAUGUUUAGAUCUAUUAACACUUCUAGCUAAGGGUGAAAAAUGGAUGAGCAUUUUCAAACACCAUUGAUCAUGUGCUUUCCAAAUCUAAAAAAUUGUAAGGUUUUGAUUUGGAUGUUAUUAUUUUGAUUUUCUUGUGUUUAGAUCUAUUAAUACUUCCAACUAAGGAUGACAAUGGAUGAGGAUUUUUAGGUACCAUUGAUCAUGUGUUAGGAGUCUCAAAGUCUAAAAAAUUGUAAGAUUUUUAUUUGGUUAUUUAUUAUUAUUGAGAAAGCACAAGCAAGAGACUAUCUGCUUUUAUUUUCAAUGAAAACAAAUAUCUUGAGACUCGGAUUCCUUACAUGAGAUAUUAUCCAUUAUGGAACCCAUGUAUACUAAGGAUGAGCUCCCGUUAGCUCUAACUUUAAUUGGUGAAAGCAACUAACAAAUCAGUAUAAGAGCUUAGGUUGAAGAUUUCUGGAAGAGUAAAAGAUCACAAAGUAACAAAAUAAAAACAAAAGGAAUUUUCAAUGAAGGUGGAGUCGAUUGCUCUCUCGUGGUGAAAUGAUAUAAAAAAGAUUGUCAUGGAGAGUUUGAAGAUUGACUUCAUGGAAUUUGGUCCAAGGUGGAGAUUGUUAGGAAGUGUCUCAAAUUCCUAAUUAGUAUGAUUCUUUUUUUUUUUUGUAAAGAAUAUUACACAGAAUAUUUCUAGGUUUAUAUAUUAUUGUAAUAUUAGAUUUCCUUAUAAAAUAAGGAAGGUUGUUGGAAAUAUCUCUAUGUAAUAUUUUAGGUUAUAAGGGGAAAACAUUAUGAGAUGAAGAUGAGUUUGUGAAGAAACGAGAUAGAUAGAGAUGCGAGGAAGAACAGGAGCUACCCGAUAGAGCUAGAGGGCUUAUGGUAGGGUAUGAAUACAAAGAGUGGGGAAACAUAAGAUGUUUCAGGAACUCAAUAGUUGUAUCUGGUUCUGUCCUCUGUAAUGUUUUGGUUCUAUCUUUUAUAAUGUUCUUUAUUGUAUAGUGGAAUGAUUCUCUUUCAUCCGUGGAUGUAGGCAUGGUUGUCGAACCACGUUAAAACAUUGUUUAUUGUUUGUGUUGAAUUUUUUUAUUUUAUUUUUUAUCUUUGUAUUCUAGAUUAACGAUAUUUGCAUCUAAGUUUCCGUCGACACAACAAUAAAGAAAACAAAGAAUAGGAUAAAAGUAUUAAAUAUGAUAUAAGUUGUGAAAUAGAUGUCAAUGACUCAUAUUUGAAUAUGGGGUCAUGGGAUUAUCUCCUUCACAUUCACAAUCACAAUCAUUGAAGAUGAUACCAUUCAUGUAUGGUCUCAUAACUUGUUGAAAAUUCAGAGGUUUUAGGUGUUUUGACUACUAAAAUUAUGACCUUCUAACAUCUUAAGUGAGUACAAAAGUAACCAUUUAUGGUUUAUUAUGAAUAUUUCAAAAAAGAGAUGUGAAUUAAUUGACACAAGCUAAUUAAUUAAAUUUAUUUUUAGGUACAAACCAUGUUGCAUGAUGUAAUUUUAUUAUAAUAUUAUAAAAUUGGUAAAGACACUGCUAAGCACAAUGUACACUAAAAAGAAUAAUAAAAUAAACAAAAAGUUUAUACAAAAGAAAACCAAGAAUAAUAGGAGAUUUUGUAUAUCCUAUCAUUGGUACCAAGAUAAAAUUGGGAGUAUUUUUAAGUAUUAACACUAUCAUACAUUCCAUGGAUCUACACAUUAAUAGAAAAUAAUAAUUUUGACUUAUUAUUUAAUCAAGCUUGAUUGUAGUAUUAUGCCUAUAAAACAUAUAUCAAUUUAAGAUUUUUUGUUGUAUUUUUAUAUUUUUAUAAUAUUUAAAAGUUCUAAAUAAUUUCAAAACUCAUGUUUGAUAACCUACUAAAACUAAUUAUCUUUAAAUUUGAUAAUAAGAAUAAAAAAUAAAAGUACAAAAAAGCUUUUUCAUUUCUAAAUUUUUUAAAAUAAAAAAUUAUCAUUCAUAACUUAUUGGCAAUUUAUUCCCUUUUUUAAUUAAACCAACAAGGUUUCAUACUUAUAGACAAAUAAAAUUCUUCAAAAAUCAUAAGAAACAUUGAAAACAUAUUUUCUUUAUUUUUAUUACACAAUAAUAAUAAUAAUAAAUGUUUUCAUUCUACAACUAGAAACAAAUUUGGUGCUAUAAUGGUUAAUAUUCAUAAAAAUUAGAAAUACAAUUGAAAAGUCAUUUAUUUUUUAUUUUUAAAAAUAGUAAAUUUGAAAUUGUACAUCGGGAGACAUUAAUUAAUUACUUUAUUUUAUUAAUUUAUAUUAUAUUUAUUAAGAUAUAAUUAAUUAUUUAUGUAUAAUUUUAAUAGAAAGUUGAAAAUUAGAAACAUUAAUUCAUUUUCCAUUCAGUACCAAAUAGAAGUGUUACCAAUUUUGUGUUAAAUCUUUGGUUUUCAUGUUGUUUAAUUUCAUCAGCACUUACCAAUUUUGUGUUAACCCUUUGGUUUUUAUAUCGUUUAAAUCUAUCAACACUAAGAGUUCUAAAGAGUGGUAAAAAAUGAGAGCAAUAUAUAUGAGUGGUCGAUUUAUCUGGAAUUGGUGUGUUAGAAAGAGAGAAACAAAAGAAAAAGAUAAAUAUGAAUUCAUGCUCUUUUAAAAAGGGAGAGUGUACUUUUAUCAUAAAUAUGUAAACUACCCUUAAAGAAUCACUCAUCAUUUUUUCCUUUCCACCUUCUUCAUCUUCAAUUUUGUGACCAAAAAAUAAAUAGUUAAAAAGAAGAAGAAAAGAAUGGAAGCAAUUAGGGAUUUAUUUGAUAAUUUUAUUUUUAAAACCAAUUCUCCAAAAAAAAGAAAAAAGAAUGAAAGUUUUCAAAAGCAAUUUCUAGUUGUUAAUUAUUUUUGAAAACUAAUUUCUUUUUGGGGAAGUCAAAUAUAAUAAAUAGUUUUUUUUUUUUAACUUAUUCUUCAUAAAGGUGUUAUGCAUUUAUGCAUUAUAUAAAAGUUUUUAAAGUAUUUUUUAUUUUUUUAAUUGUUAUUCAAAAAAUUCACAAAAAAUAGCUAAAAACACACCUCAAAAUUAUUAUAAGAAAUAUGCUUUUAGAAUAAAUUUUGAAAAAUUGAUAUUUUUAUUAAAAAUUUAUCAAAUGCAUUUUUAUUUUUGAAAAUAAUUUUUAUUAUAAAAAUAAAAUUACCAAAUAAACCUUAAUGUUUUUAUUUGAGUGUUAUUAUUGAGAAAACACAAUAACCUGUCAUGCUCGUAUUUUCAAACAAAACAAUAUCUUAAGUUGUAUUCUUUAGACAAGUUAUCAUCCAUUGUGGAAUCCAUGCUUACUAGAUAGAAGAAGAUGAAAAUAAAUAAAUAACAGUUAUUAAAUAUGAUGUGAAUUGUGAGAAAGAUGUUUGUGGCGCGUUAUACGGUUGUCUCUUUUAUAUUCGAAGAAAAAAGAUGAUUCCAUUCAUCUUUGAUGACCACAACUAAUUUGAAAUUCAGAGGACUUUACAAAUGCAAUCAUACAUGGUUUGAACUAGGAUUUUAAUAAUAUCAACCCAAGAGGAGGAUGAAUUCAACAAUGGUCAUUUUGCAAAUUAUAAAAAAUAUUAACUAUGAUGAAUGUAAGAGAUAAAUAAGCAACAAUAUAGAAUAAUAACAUAUAGAUAAAGUAGAAAAAAAAAAUUUCAAACUCAAGAUUUAUAGUGAUUCAACCCAAUAUAAACCUACAUCCACUCUUAUUUAACUUUAAUCUCAAGUUUGAGGUUUCACUAUACCAAGACUUUCAAACCAAGUCUUAAAGUUUUAUACUAGAUUAAUGAACUCUAAUAAACUUUUAUAACUUUCCUCCAGAGAUUCUCACUUUUAAACUUCCCAAGUGAUGCUUCAGGUUUGUCAAACCCUAAGUGAUACCUACUUAAAUGAUACCCCAUACUUGAACUCACCUCAUAAGAUUUAUAAAAAAUGAAAUUUUCAAUACAAAUUCCUAGUUUACAAAUUUUUUUCUCACUUUUGAACUCCCCAAGUGAUACUCAAAGAGUUUUUAAAAUCAUUUUGGCUAUGUUUAGUUCCUAGAAAAUUUGAGGGAAAAUGUAAAAGAAAAAAAAGAAAAUUAGAAAAAAAAAAAGAAAAGAAAAAAAAAGAAGGAAAUAAAAAGUAAAUUUAAAAUCAAAAAAUUAUUUUUAUUUAGUAUUUCAAACUUAUUUUAUUUAUUUUAGCUCAUCAAUAUAAAGAUUAAAUAAAUUAAAAAUUCGUAAGUUUUUAACUAGUUUUAAUUAUAUUUGAUUUUCUUUGGUAUUUUCCACAAGAUAAUUAAAUAUGAAAAAAUCAUUUUCCUUACCAUUUUUUAUUUCUUUCCUUAAUAUUUUUUCUCGGAACAAAAAAAAAACCUUUUAAAAUUUUUUUUGCUCUAGAUAGUGACUAAGCACUCAAUGAGUUUUUAAAAUCAUUUUUAAAACUUUUUUUGCUUAAUUAAAACCUUUUGUCUACUUGAUGUCUUAAUUAAAUCCAAUUAAACUUCCUCGAACCUUUCUAUACUUAUGUCAUCAUGGAGUAAUCUAUAGAUACUCCAUUUCUCAUGUUAGUCUUAGGGAUAUUUAUAUAAUUACAAAAUACUUGUUAUACUAAUUAUAGUUUGAAUUUAAUAAGUAGGAGCUAUAGUAGAAUUUUUCUUUUAAGUUAUUCUCUUUAUUUUUUCCUCAUUUACAAUAAGAGAUAUAGUAGAAUUAUGUCAUUUGACAUAAAUACAUUUGAAUAAUGCUUUUAUUCACUCUUUUUUUUGUAUGCAAAUUCUAAUCUCUACCAAAGUAGAGAACAAAAAUCAUAUGAGUGAAGUUAUUAACGUGUGCAAUAAAUUAAAAAAAAACCUUUAUAAUGCUAGAGAACAUCAUACAUUUGCUCCCAUUAAUAUUAACUUUGACUAAUGAAAGCAACUAUACCAAUGAAGAAAUGAAGAAGAAGAUCACCAAUGCUAGAGAACAUUAAAGAGUUGUGUUAGAGAAGUGCAAUCUAAAAAAAUAAAAAAUAAAAUAACUAUUCAAAAGGGUUUCAUUGUUUUUAACUUACAAAAAAAUCUUAUUGCUUUGUAUUUAGGUUUUUUUAAUAUCUAUAUUAUUAUUAUUUUUUUAAAAAAUACUUUGUCAUAUUUCUUUCUACCAUAUACUUACUUCCUAAUGAUAUAGAUUAAUUAUACACUUAAGUAACCUAAAUUAUAAAUCUAGUAUAGUACUGUAGACCCCAUUUUUGCAAACCAAAUGUUUUUAGUUUUUUUUUUAUUUGCUUUUAUUAAGGAGUUGGAGAGCAUUUCAUGGGAAGUGGGGGACACCUCCCAUGAAGCUCCAUGCAUGGACGUGUGGCGAACAUCAACAGCUUGCCCAUGAUGGUGGUUGGAGAGGGUGACAUAUUUGUUGAAUGAUGCACAGUAGAGCGGUUGGAGGCUUGGUAGAGAAGAAAAUGAACUGUUUGAAAAGGAAGCAGGGAAGAAGUCUAGAGGGGGGACGGAUGAGAGGUUGAAGAGCUUUUCGAGGGGUGAUAUCUGGGGCGGAGAAAAAAAAAAAAGAAAACCAAGGGGGAAAAGAAGAAACGACACUGCUGGAAACCAACCCACUCCUUGCUUGAAAAGAGCACUCCAACACACUAUUGUUUGCUGCCAAGGUACGACCUCACUCCCAUUGUGCUUAUUCUUAUGCACCAUUUGCUUUAUUAUUUGAUUAUUUAAUGGGUAUCCAUUAAUUUCCUCAUCAAUUGCCGCACUUGCUUCACCUUAUUUAGUAAACACCCAUUUUUAGGGGCUUAGGGGGGUGCUAUGGUCUUUACCGUAUCUUCCCAAUAGGUAACUUGACCCCCGAUCCCAGACUUGGUUUUCCACAAACCACCUUUUUCAAAUAAGGAGUCACACUUAGGGCUUUCUUUCUUAUUUUUGUUUACCCUUUAAAAAUAAAACAAAAAUAAGUGGCGACUCCAAGUCUUUUUAAAAAAAAAAAUCAAAUUUUCACAAAAUAAAUAAAAAGCUAGUCACGUCAUCGAGUGGAAGCACAUGAGCAAAAAUACGGGGUCCACAAAAUGGCGACUCUGCUGGGGAUUAUUUAGAGGGUCAAGCUUGAACUUAAGAUGAGGCAAAUGUGGCGUUUGAUGGGUCGAUCAGUGGGUACCUAUCUUUUGAUUGCACAUUGAGAGCUCUUGAUAUUAUUGGAUGUGCGCUUGGUUAUUGUAUUCAUUUAAGAUAUUGACAUGCUGAUUAUGAUGAUUGAUUAUCUUGAUUGAGGCUUCUGAUGUAGUGAUUCUUUCUAUGCUUCAUUGUUAUAUCUAUUUAGGACACUAACAUGCUGAUUAUAUUGAUUGAUCAUUUUGCCUUGCUUAGCAUAGUGACCCUGAUUUUGCCAUGUUUGUUCUGAUCACCUCGCAUGCAUAGAUUCAUUGUUGUAUAUCGUUUGACUUGACAUGUUGAGUUUUUGGCUUGUAUAUUAUGUUGAUCAUUUUUGAGCAUGCUGUCUUUUUCAUUGUUCGUCUUGAAUGUCACAACUUGUGUGAACUUGGGUGAUAUAUUUGUACUUUGCUUGACUAUAUGUUGCAUGACUGUCCUCCUUUGUGUGAUUGCAUGUUAUUUGUCCAUGUGGGCUGCACAUCUAUUCCCUUAUCUCCUAUCCUUUAGUUUCGGUCAUUUCCUUCAUUCCGACUCACUUUUGCAAAUGUGAGACCUUGUGUGUGUUUGUUACUUUAACCGAGCUAAAGGUUAGGAAUAAGGUCUAGCAACGGGCUAUAUCGAUGUUUGGGAGCAUUCUGGGGGUGACUGACACAUUGAUGUCAAUUGGAGUCCGAUCAUUGAAGACCUAUAUAGCCCGGAGCUAGGUUUCAUGGAUAUUUGUGCGGCCAGUGUGUUUCCUCUUCUGUUUUAGCUUCAUAGGGUUUUUGAAUGCACCCACACUGCUCACUGUGCACUCUAGUUGGCCAUUGAGUGUUGAGAGCUUUGAGAAUUUCGCCAUAGGAAACCCCCUGGGAUGUCAAGGUAGUGCAUGUGUGGAGGUGAUGACCAUCUUGCAUAGAAGCGCCCCAUAUUUUUGGAGGCAUGUAGAGGGUUGCGUACCACUAGAGGGUAUGAUCGCUUCUGCUAGGGAUCUUUUAAAGUCCACCCUUAUCCUUUUAGAGCCAUCUUGACCUUGUAGAUUGAGUCAUAGAUCAUUCGAUUAGGACUCCAUUCCUACACGUGGGUACAUCUGAGGGCCUUCAGAGCCUCUUUGGUCACAGUUUGGAUUUAGUAUUCUCUCUUUUAGUCUCCAAUUAAGAGUGCAUCGAGAUUAGUAUGAGUUUGAGUUAUGGUCGGACAGUCCGUCUACACUUUGAUGUCUUGCUCGUUUUAGCUCAGAUUAGCAUUUCUUCUGUGUUGUCCUUAUUCCAAACCUUUAUUCCAUUUCUCAUGUUCCAGGAUCAAUGCUUUGUUAUCAGUCUGGAUUUACCAUCUUGGUUCAGAGUAGAGGGGAGAUUAGUCUGAUUUUCAGAGAUAUCAGACAUGGAUCAGUAGGUUGUCACAGUCAAUCAAUUUACGACUGCCAUAGCUUCUAUUCAGGAGGCCUUGGCCAAUCUCAAAUAGGAAAUAGGCAGUCAGCAGAGUAGAUCGCCCGUAGUUCACAAGGAGACACCUCAUGACUCGUUGCCACUUCCACCGCCACCACUUGUUUCGACAGCAUGUCAGACCUCACCUUAUAUGUUGCAUGGUCAUUCUGAGGUUGCCCCACUUGUAGUAGUUUAGACCAUGGUCAUCGAUGAUGCUCAUGCAUGUAUGGACCGUAUUGAGCAGCGUAUGAGACAGUUGAGAGUAUAUGAUGUUUCAGCUGUUUGGAAUGAUCUUGAGGGUAUGCUGGUGGCCAGUUUGCCGACCAAGUUUAAGAUGCCCGACAUUGAGAGAUACACAAGCAUUGGUUGUUCUCGCAUCCAUCUUCGACUCUACAACACAGUGAUGAGGGCUUAUGGCUUGGACGAGUCACAAAUGAUUACCUUAUUCCCACUAUCUUUGAGUGGAGCGGCCCAAUGCUGGUUCGCGUCUUUGGAGUCCUCGCGGUGCAGGACAUGGGAUGACUUGGCCCACGAGUUUUUACGGUAGUUUUUAUUUAAUAAUGUCAUAGAUGUAUCGAGGAGAGAAUUUGAGGCUCUGAGACAGAGGUCAGAUGGGUCUGUUUCUUCAUUCAUCUCCUGUUGGCACGGGAAGAUCGUCAAGAUUAUUGAUAGGCCAUCAAAGAGGGAUCAGAUAUAACCCAGGAUUGCUAGACACGUGGUUGGGGUACCCUUCACAAACUUUGGCUCUCUGGUUUUGGCAUCAUAUGAUGUUGAGGACGGUAUUUCGAGAUGAUUGUGGACAGAUUAUUCUCUUAUUGAUGUUAAGGGGAAGAAACCAUUAGGAUGACAGAGAUCGGUUGAUGUGAGUGCUAUCAGUUCUACCAGUUAGAGGCCUUCCAGGUGUCAUCAGCUUGUUCUACAACUUUCUGGGACUCAUCAUUCAUAUCCAUCUCAGCAGUAUAGGCCAUGGACACCUUAUCAGACUUAUGAUCGGACCUACAUGCCACCCAUAUUGUCACUGCCUUACUAUGUCGCCCAAGGCACAGAGAGACCUCCUGUUUCAUAUUCUGCCACAGGGCAGCCAUGCUAUGCGGCGUAGUUUGCCACGAGACCUACAACAUCUUAUCCCAGGCCUAGAGCUCAGUAGACUUCCGCUACUUUUUCCUUGAGGAUAUAGAGACAGUUUUCACAGUUAGGCAUGCCGUUGAGCUAGGCUCCUCGGAAGCUUAUAGAGGUCGGGUUAUUGACUACUCUCACUCCUAGACCACCACCUCAACCUGUUCUACCUCAGUUCAGGAUGGAUCUACACUGUGCAUAUCAUCAGAGGCCUGGACACGAGACUGAUUGUUGUACUGCUCUGAGACAUGUCAUCCAUGAUCUGAUUAAUUAGGGUUUGGUUCACUUGGGUUAGCCAAGUGUAAACAUAAACCCAUUACCGGCUCACACUACACAUGUGGUUCCCCAUUCGGUCGAUAGCAUGCACUUUAUCGACUUCGCUGAGCUUGACUAUCACAUCCACAUACUGAGUUGGGAUGAGUCACAGCUAGAGCCUUUAGUAUCAUACGGGAUUUAUGAGAUAGGCCGAGUGGCUUUGGGCCCUCUGAUGCCCACACCAUUCAGAUUAGUUCUUAAGGCAGUGUUAGUACAAACGACCACUGUUGUGCCACUAACUUUCCCACAUUAUAGUGCUCAGAUGCCAUUUGUCUUGAUUCCCGAUGUUGAGGAAGUUCGAACUCCAUAUGUUGAUGAUGUUCAUAUUCCUGAUAUACAGUAUGUUAUUCGUGGGGGUAGGAUGGUACGACAACAGCCUUCCAUAGCCGCUAGACCCUUGGAAGGGACGUCAUCCCAUGAGGGGGUUAGGAGGGAGAUGACAAGAUUUUGAGGCAGUUACAGAGCACAUAGACUCGUAUUUCCAUUUGGAGCUUGCUGACAUCUUCCAACACUCACAGAGAUGCAUUGAUUCGAGCCCUGAGCCAGAUCAGAGUCAAGACUACCACCAUUCCUGAGGGGUUGAUCCAUAUGGUGAUGGUUGGCAGAACCACUUACAUAGUAUUCUCUGAUGACGACUUACCACCAGAGGGUUCUGACCACACAUGUCCACUUUAUAUCUCGGUCAGUUGUUUAGGCCGCCAAGUCCUAUCUGUCCAUCUGGACAAUGGUUUGGCCCUGAACGUCUGUCCUCUGGCCACUGCCAUCGCCCUUGGCAAUGCGCCCUUUGACUUUGGUCAUUUUACUCAGACAGUUCGAGCAUACGAUAGCACUCGAAGGGAGGUCAUGAGCACUCUGGAGAUUGAGUUGUUGAUAGGUCUGACCACAUUUGUCACUUUGUUCUAAGUUUUGAGGAUUCCUACAUCCUUUAACUUGCUAUUGGGUCGACCUUGGAUUCACAGAGCUGUGGCCAUUCCUUCUUCAUUUCAUCAGAAGGUGAAGUUUAUUCAUGAUGGCUAGGUCAUCACAGUGCAGUCUGUAGGAGAUAUGUUUAUUUUUGCUAAGCUAGUGCUUCAGAUUAGUCGCAGUGAUGACGACUUAUUUUUGAAUGGAUUCACAUUCGACGAGGUGCAGACUUUAGAGAUGGAGGAUUUUUGUUGAGACUUCGUGGUUAUGUCAUUUGACCAGCACGGUAGCAUGGUGGUGCUCGAUAUGAUGAGGAGCAUGUCUUAUCUUCUCAGCAUGGGAUUGAGGCGACGUUAAUAUGGGCCCAGUGAGUUCAUGGCUAUCCCAAAUCACGAUGUACCUUUCGGACUCGGGUUCAUUCCUACUGAGGCUGAUUACAUAUAUAUGGCACGAUUGUGCAAGGAGAGGGUGAGGGCUCGACUGACUCAUACAUCGUUUGAUUAUCCUAUUUGCCCGUACACCAUGAGUUUGGCAUACUACUUCGUGGGGGCGUCAAAGCCACAGAUGCCUCCAGAUGGGAUCAUUGGGGGAAUCAAUACUACUCAGGAGGCUGAGCUACAAUGCCUCAUCCAUCAGCUACAAUUGAGUGAUGGAGCUCCAACACUUUGACAACUGUCUGGAUCCUCUCAGCAACCUUGAUGAUGGACACCCCGAAGAGGUCAAAUGGUGAAGCAAGCUCAGGCUGGACUGUCCCACCGAUCUGGCUCAGACUCAUUGCGAGUGUCUCAUCAAUGUACUCUUCAUGCGGAAUAGCUUCAUCCACUAUGUCUCCAAUCUCGGCAAAUAUCCCGUACUCAUCAAUCUCAUCUGGGAAAUAUAGCGUCAUAAGGCUCAUACGAUGUUUAUGACUCUUUAUUUAUGGAUUUGAGCAUUUUUGAGUAUUUGCCUGUCUCUCAUGAUGUUACUUUAUCUGCAUUAUUUUCACUCACAACACAUAUAUUUGAUAUAGACGGUGAAAUUGCAUAGCAUGAUUCAGAUGAUGACUCGUCGUCUACUUCUGAUUCAGACCCCAUUGAUCAGAGAGUUUCACUUGUUACAGAGGACACAGAGGUUGUUGAUUUCGGCACAGCACAUCAAUCUAGGGAGUUGAGGAUCGGAUUGGAUUUAUCUACAGAUGAGAGGGACAACCUUAUCCAAUUACUCAGAUUGUAUUUGGACGUUUUCGCAUGGUCCUAUGAGGAUAUGCCAGGCCUUGAUUCGUCUAUCGUCCAUCAUCGUUUACCACUUCUGCUCCAUGCCAGAUCGGUUAAGCAGAAGUUGAGACAAUUGCACCAUCACUGGAGCUUGCAAGUGAAGAAGGAGAUUCAAAAGCAACUCAGUGUAGGAUUUUUAUUAGUAAUCGAGUACCCAGAGUGGCUGGCCAAUGUCGUCCCUAUUCCCAAAAAAGACGGCACGGUGAGAGUUUGUGUUGAUUUUCGAGAUCUUAACAAGACCAGUCCUAAGGAUGAUUUUCCUCUCCCUCACAUCGAUAUGCUAGUCGAUAGUACGACAGGUCAUUCGAUGUUGUUCUUUAUGAAUGGAUUUUCUGGGUAUAAUCAAAUCUUGAUGGCUCCAGAAGACAUGGAGAAAACGUCUUUCAUUAUCGAGUGGGGUACUUAUUGCUAUAGAGUCAUGCCAUUCGGGUUGAAGAACGCAUGAGCCACCUAUCAGAGAGCAGCGACCAUUCUCUUCCAUGACAUGAUGCAUUGGGAUGUCGAGGUUUAUGAAGAUGACAUGAUAGUGAAAUCUCGAGACAAAUCAUAUCACCUAUCAACUCUAGAGAGAUUUUUUAAGAGGAUCAGGCAGUUCAUAUUGAGACUGAAUCCCAAGAAGUGCACUUUUGGAGUGACUUCUGCGAAGCUCCUAGGAUAGAUGGUUAGUGAGAGAGACAUAGAGGCAGAUCUAAACAAGAUCAAAGCCAUCCUUGACAUGCCUGCACCAAGGACAGAGAGAGAGGUCAGAGGCUUUUUGGGUAGAUUUCAGUACAUCAACAGAUUCAUUGCUAGAUUGACAGAUAUCUGUGAGCCCAUUUUCCGACUCUUGAGGAAGAGUCAACCUAUUGUUUAGGAUGAUCAGUGUUAACGCGCAUUUGAGAGAAUUAGAGAGUACUUGUUGUCGUCUCCAGUCUUGGUGCCUCCUACACGAGGUUGUCCUUUACUCUUAUACCUGUCAGUUUUAGACGUAGCAUUGGGAUGCAUAUUGGCUCAGCUUGGUGAUUCGGCCAAAGAGUGAGCCAUUUAUUAUCUGAGUAAGAGGAUGCUGGAUUAUGAGACGAGAUAUGUCAUGAUUAAGUGCUACUACUUGGCAUUGGUUUGGGCCACUCUUCGACUGAGACAUUACAUGACCGAGUAUUUAGUGCACUUGAUAUCCCGUCUAGAUCCUUUGAGAUAUUUGUUUGACAUGCCCACUUUGGUCGAUUGUCUCAUGAAAUGGUUGGUACUUCUGACUGAGUUUGACAUCCAUUAUGUUGCUCAGAAGUCCAUCAAAGGAAGCAUUCUUCCAUAUCACCUAGCCUCAUUACCAGUUUAUAAUGGUAGAGCUAUUGAUGAUGAUUUCCCGGAUGAGAAUGUUGCUGUCGUGACUAGUCUGUCAGGUUGGUGCAUGUAAUUCAAUGUUGCAGCCAACUAUUCUGAAUACGGGAUAGGUGUCUUGUUGAUAUCCCCUCAUGGUGAUCACAUUCCUAGAUAUGUUCAUUUGGCAUUCUUGGAUCGACAUCCUACCACGAACAACAUUGUUGAGUAUGAGGCUUGUAUCUUGGGAUUAGAGACAGCUCUUGAGCUCGGGAUCAGACAGAUGGAGGUGUUUGAUGACUCCAAUCUGGUAUUAAGACAGAUUCAGGGCGAGUAGAAGACUAGAAAUGUGAAACUUAGACAUUACCAUGCAUACUUAGAGUUGUUGGUUGAGAGAUUUGAUGAUUUGAGAUACACACAUCUGCCUAAAGUGCAGAACCAGUUCGCCGAUGCCUUAGCUACUCUGGCUUCCAUGAUUGAUAUUCCUACAGAUACAGUUGUUCGCCAUUUGUUGAUCGAGUCGAGAUUUGUUCCUACUUACUAUUGUUUGAUUGACGAUGCAGAGUUAGAUGAUGGAUUACCUUUGUACCAUGACAUAUACCAGUUUUUGAGACUUGAUGCAUAUCCUAAGGCCGCCACAGCCAAGGAGAAGAGAGCAUUGAGACAAUUGGAUGCCCAAUUUGUGAUAUGUUGAGGGAUACUAUACAGACGAUCAACUGAUGGGAUGUUACUAUUGUGCUUAGACCACGUCUUUGUCGAUCGAGUGAUGAGAGAGGUUCAUGUGGGAGUCUAUGGAUCACAUAUGGGAGGACAUAUGUUAGCUCGUAAGAUCAUGAGGACUAGCUAUUUCCGGUUGACCAUGAAGACGGAUUGCUGCUAGUUUGUUCAGACAUGUCCAGAGUGUCAGAUACACGGGGACCUCAUUCACGUGUCGCCUUCGCAGUUACAUGCAUUGACUUUACCAUGACCAUUUUCAGUAUGGGGUAUUGACAUCAUUGGGAAGAUUUUUCCGAAGUCUUCUAGUGGUCAUGAGUUCAUCUUGGUUGCCAUCGAUUACUUCACCAAGUGGGUGAAGGCUGCCUCAUAUGCAAGAUUGACAUCUAUUGGAGUUGCUAGUUUCAUCAGAUCACACAUUAUCUGUCGCUAUGGAGUCCCUCAUGAGUUGAUCUCAGAUAGAGGUGUACAUUUCAAAGCAGAGGUUGAUACUUUAGUACAGAAAUAUGGUAUCCAGCAUCAUAGGUUGUCUACGUGCAGGCCGCAGACGAAUAAGGCAAUAGAGGCCUCGAAUAAGAAUAUUAAGAGGAUAUUGUGAAGGAUGGUUGAGACAUCUCGAGAUUGGUCUGAGAAGCUAUUUUUCGCAUUAUGGGCUUAUCAGACUUUUUUUCGCACCUCUAUAGGAGUUACACCUUACUCCUUAGUGUAUGGUAUGGAGGCAGUGCUACCAGUUGAGAGUGAGAUGGGUUCAUUGAGGGUAGCAUUAGAGUAGUAGAUUCUAGAUGCAGAUUAGGCUCAAGCUAGAUUAGACCAGCUUAAUCUCCUAGAUGAGAGGGGGUUGAGGGCAGCGGACCAUGUUCAUGCCUAUCAGAGGAAGAUGGCUCGUGCUUUCAAAAAGCGGGUCAAGCCUAGACCAUUACAAAUAGGUGACUUGGUUCUAAAGGUCAUCAAAGGAUUGAUUAGAGAUCCUAAAGGAAAGUUCAAACCCAAUUGGAGUGGACCUUACUUCAUUAGGGAGCUGACCCUAGAGGGCGUUGCAUGGUUGAUGGAUCUAGAUGGAAACAGAUUCUCAGAGUCGACUAACGUGGAUCAGCUAAAGAGGUACUAUGUUUAAGACCAUAGUCGUAGGAUGGGUGGCCAUCAUUUCGGUUAGCCAUAUAUCUUGUUAUUCUUUUUUGAUAUACGGACCAUUACUAGUUCAUUGAGCCUCACAUGUGCAUUAUAGUAUUUCUUUCUUAUUACCUUGCUUACAUUUCCACACCAGGAUAGGGGCUUUUUAGUGUAUGCAUGCUUCAUUUAGAAGCCUCAUGAGUCUUGGACCUACUGGUGCAUCUUUCUCUCUCAUUUUUUUUUCCUACCAUCACUUUACUGCAUUCCAUCACAUCUUAUUGGUUGUGUUCUUUAUCUAUUAUUCUUUAUUAUAUCUACUGCUUGUUUUACUUUAUAUUCUUUUCACCCUGAGUGUUGAUCUUCCUCGGUUCAUUGCAUGGAGGAUAGUCACAUCAUUCCCGCUAUCUAUCCCACAGACACUGGCUCAGAGAUUCUUAAUUAGUUUGAGAAGGUCAUCUUGUUAGAGAGAGUUUUUGUUACCUUAGCACUUGAGAGCGUGUCUAUCUAUUAUUGAUAUCAUCUUUGGGGCUUAUUUUGUUCAUGUUCAAGGUAUGUACAUUUGUAUAUAUCUAAAAAGGAAAAUAAUAAUAAUAAUAAUAAUAAUAAUAAUUUUUUUUUUAAAAAAAAUAAAUAAAUAAAAAUAAAAAAUGAAUGAAAGGAAAAGAAAAAUAAGCACAUGUGUGUAUGUGCAUAGCAAUCUCCAUCAUUGAGCAUGUAUAUUGAUAUUUGAUGGUCAUUUUAUCGAGUAUGUUUGUUGGUGAGAGUUCGUAUGUGAGUUUUCUGAGAUCCUUUUUUUUCUUUGUAUUCAUUUUGUCAUGUAUUUUGAGAGUGAGAUGAGUGCCAUUCUUUUAGGAGUUCUGGGUCAUUGUCCAUUCCUUCAUUACAUUCAUUGCAGAUGUGACUUCACUUCAUGUUGGAUUUGAGCGGAUCAUAUCUCCUCUUUGUACUAUUUGCUUCACCAUCAUUCUCAUUUUUGCUUUUGAUUCAUCAUCUUCGUUUCACCCCUUGUUCAUACCUUACAACGACCCGUUUUGAGUUUGAUACUCCCUUUACAUCAUCAUUACACAUCUCAUUAUCAGUUUGAUUUGCAUAAUUGCCUCAUUAUUAUUAUUAUCUUCACAUUGGGCAUCCUCGGGUCCAUGACUCACGAGAUUUUAUGUACAUGUUGCAUUUCACACACGAGGGCAUGAGUUUUUUAUCAUUGGGUAUUUGAACCUAGUUUCCCUUCAUUUCUGUUACCCUAUCACCCUAGCCUACGUUAUGUCCCGUGUCUUAAGACCACCCUAAGGCCAUGGGAUCAUAUGUCAUCUUUGAUAGCCCCUACUUGGAUAGGUGUUUGAGAUUUGGUUGAUAUUUAGAUAUCAUCAUGCUUCUUCUUCUAAGAGACACCUCUUUGAUGUUUGGACCCGAUUUAGUUGUGCAUAUGGAUGAUCAGGAUUACCCAUUUGAUGAUAGAUGAUUGGGUGUCACCUGUUUUUCUGAUCUAUUACACAUCUGAUGCCCUAUUGGGGCAUAUUCUGUUUUGGAUGAGAUUUACAAAUCUUCAUGGAUUCGCAUGCUUAUCUCCACUUACGAGGUGCACACCAAGACGAGGACUUGUUCGUUAUUUUAUCAUGAUCCCUCGGUGGAUUAUUUCUUAAGCCACCUAGCCAGGCCCGUAUUUUUCAACAUUUAAAUGUCGUCAUACUUCUCAUCCGGGAUACGUCUCUUUUGAUGCGUGAGUCCGAUUCAAUUGUGGAUUUGGAUAAUGAAGAUCAAAUAUUUGAUGAUGGAUGAUUUCAUGUCAUCCAAUUUCCGACCUACCAUAUAUCUGAUGCCAUACUGGGGCAUAUUUCCGUUUUGGUUGAGAUUUGCAGAUUUUCAUGGAGCUGCAUGCUCAUCUCCACCUAUGAGAUAUGCGCUGAGAUGAUGACCUAUUUGCUAUCUUAUCCAGAUCCCCUAGUAGAGCCUCUCUGGAGCCAUCUAGUUAAACUCGUAUUUUUCGGCGUUUGGUUGUCAUCAUGUUUCUCCUUCUGGGUUAUGGAUUUGGAUGACGAGGGUCGUGCUCCUGAUGAUAGAUGACUUGAGGCCAUUUGAUUUUUUUGACCUAUCACACAUCUGAUUCCAUACUGGGGCAUAUUUUCUAUUCGGUUGAGAUUUGUAGAUCUCCAUUGAUUGUCAUGACCAUCCCCAGUUACGAGAUGCACGUUGGGCUGAUGAUUUGACUUCAUUUUUCCUUGAUCCUCCGGUGGAGCCUUUCUUGAGUCAUUCGGUCGGGCCUAUAUUUUUUUAUGUUGUCAUGAUUCUUGGAUGUAGAUAUCUCAGCCCCCCCCCCCCCCCCCAAUUUAGUUGGAGAGAAGAAUGUUUUUUCAAAAAAUCGUUAAAGUCCACAUUAACCCGUCGAGAAAAGUUUAUUUCCAUUGAUGGGCACAAUCUCGAAGAAGUUUGCCGAGAAGAACCUUUAGCAAAAAACGGGCCCAAAAAAUUGACUGCCCCACUAACCCUGAAUCUUUAGUAAAAUGGGAAUGGAGGAGUUACCUUGGGGGAAUAAUCUCUUGGGAAUCCCNNNNNNNNNNNNNNNNNNNNNNNNNNNNNNNNNNNNNNNNNNNNNNNNNNNNNNNNNNNNNNNNNNNNNNNNNNNNNNNNNNNNNNNNNNNNNNNNNNNNUUUUUUGGGGGUUGGGUGGUCAUCAUUUUUUUCUUUUUGGGUUAGGGAUUGGGAGGAGGGGGGUUGUGCUCUUGUUAAUAGAGAACUUGGGGCCUUUUGUUUUUUUUGCCCUUUCACAAUUUUGUUUCCAUAUGGGGGCAUUUUUUUUUUUGGGUUGGGAUUUGUAGAUUUCCUUUGAUUGUCAGGCCCUUCCCCAGUUAGGAGAUGCAGGUGGGGGGGAUGAUUUGAUUUCAUUUUUCCUUGAUCCUCGGGGGGGCCUUUUUUUGAGUCUUUGGGUGGGGCCUAUUUUUUUUUAGGUUGUCAUGUUUUUUGGAGGUAGAUUUUUCAGCCCCCCCCCCCCCCCCAAUUUCAGUUGUAGAGAUGAUUGUUUUCUCAGAGACUCGUUACAGUCCACAUUACCCAGUCGAGAGAUGUUUAUUCACAUUGAUGGUCACAGUCUCGAUGAUGUUUGCCGAGAUGAUCCUUCAGCAAAACACGGCCUCAGAGAUUUGACUGCCCUACUAUCCGUGACUCUUUAGUAGAUUGAGAUUGUAGUAGUUACCUUGGCGGACUAUUCUCUUGUGACUCCCCAGUGGAUCAUUCCUUCGAUACGACGAUGGAUUUCCCCAACAAAGCACCUCGAGUAAGAGACAUUCAAAUUGUUAUAACGCUUCAUCAGGCCUUGUGUUUUAGUUAAAUGGGUUACGAGACUAUGUUUAUAGUUGAUUUGACCAUUCCGACUUGUUAGCAGAGAUCAUUUGAGACUCAUGGAGUCUCUUUAAGACCAUUUCCGAGGAUUGAGAGCUGUAGUAGCACGCUACAUUGGGGCAUAUCCUCCAUUCAUUUUCUCCUUGCAUCUUUAGUCUCGGCGUUCAGAGCCAUCAUUGUUUCAUAGUUUCUACGAUCAGAGCCAUCAUCAUUCUUAGUUUAGGCAUUCAGAGUUGUCAUCAUUCUCAGUUUUGGCAUUCAGAGCCAUUAUUGCUUCUCAGUUUCGACGUUCAGAGCCAUCAUCGCUUCUCAGUUUCGACGUUCAAAUCCAUCACCACUUCCCAGUUCCAGCGUUCAAAGACAUCAUCACUUCCCAGUUCCAGCGUUCAGAGCCAUCAUCAUUCUCAGUUUUGGCAUUCAGAGUCAUCAUCGCUUCUCAGUUUCGGAGUUCAGAGCCAUCAUCGCUUCUCAGUUUUGGCGUUCAGAGCCAUCAUCAUCAUUCUCUGUUUCAGCGUUCAGAGCCAUCAUCAUUCCUAGUUUCGGCAUUCAGAAUCAUCAUCGCUUCCGAGUUUCAGCAUUCAGAGCCACCAUCCUUUCUAGUUCGGUGUUCAAAGCUACCAUCUCUUCUCCGUUUUGGCGUUCAAAGCCAUCAUCAUUCUCAGUUUCGACGUUUAGAGCCACCAUUUUCUUAGUUUAGGCGUCCAGAGCCAUCAUCGCUUCUCGAUUUCGGCGUUCAGAGCCAUUAUCACCAUCUCUUCUCGGUUUGGGUGUUCAGAGCCACCAUCUUCUCAGUUUGGGCAUUCAAAGGCACCAUCUUUCCUUAGUUUUGGCUUUUAGAGCCACAAUCUCUUCUCAGUUUCGACGUUCAGAGCCACCAUUUCUUAUCAGUUAGGACGUUCAGAGUCACCAUCUUUUUUCUAGUUUGACGUUCAGAGUCACCAUUUGUCUCUAGUUUUGGGGGGUCUCCUUUGUUCUUUGGUAGAGUUCACUUCAUUCCACUCAUUAUUCACACUUUCUUUUCACUUUAAUGUUCACAUUCCUUACGCUCAUGAGCUUUACCGAAGAGGGGCAUAUUUGUAGACCCUUUUUUUGCAAACCAAAUGUUUUUAGUUUUUUUUUAUUUGCUUUUAUUAAGAAGUUGGAGAGCAUUUCAUGGGAAGUGGGGGACACCUCCCAUGAAGCUUCAUGCAUGGACAUGUGGCGAACAUCAGUAGCUCGCCCAUGAUGGUGAUUGGAGAGGGUGACAUAUUUGCUGAAUGAUGCACAGUAGAGCGAUUGAAGGCUUUGUAGAGAAGAAAACGAGCUGUUUGAAAAUGAAGUAGGGAAGAAGUCUGGAGGGGAGAUAGAGGAGAGGUUGAAGAGCUUUUUGAGGAGUGAUAUUCGAGGUGGAGAAAAAAAAAACUAAGGGGGAAAAGAAAAACGACACUGCUGGAAGCUAACCCACUCUUUGCUUAAAAAGAGCAUUCUAGCACACUAUUAUUUGCUGCCAAGGUACGACCUCACUCCCAUUUUGCUUAUUCUUAUGCACGAUUUGCUUUAUUAUUUGAUCAUUUCAUGGGUAUCCAUUAAUUUCCUCAUCAAUUGCCGCACUUGCUUUACCUUAUUUAGUAGAGACCCAUUUUUAGGGGCUUAGAGGGGUGCUACGGUCUUUACCGUACCUUCCCAAUAGGUAACUUGACUUGGUUUUUCAUAGACCACUUUUUCCAAAUAAGGAGUCACACUUAGGGUUUUCUUUUUUACUUUUGUUUACCUUUUAAAAAUAAAACAAAAAUGAGUGGCGACUCUAUGUCUUUUUCAAAAAAAAAAAAAAUCAAAUUUUCACAAAAUAAAUAAAAAACGAGUCACGUCAUCGAGUGGAAGCGCAUGAGUAGAAAUACGGGGUCCACAAGUACAUAUUUAUAAGACAACUUUUCUUGCAAGGAUAAAAGGCAUAAAACAAGAAAUUGAUUUGUUAAGGAGAUUAAAACCUUAAUUGAAUUGAUUUCUAAGAAGUCAACUCUUUAUAAAGCCCAUUAAGAGUUUUUAUGUUUGUUUGACUAAUUUUGUUUAAAAAAUUUAUACCUUAACUUUGAACUUAAUACAAAUAUGGGAAAAAUAUUACUUCUUAUAAAAGUUAUGUUUUGACUUAUGUAAAAAGUUUUUUUUUUAUUUAAUAAAACUUUUAUAAUUCCAACAUUUUUCUUGAAAAAUUAUAAUUUUAGUUUUUCAAUUUCCAAGUAAAGGAAAAAAAGAAGAAAAUAUCUCAAACAAGAUGUAAGUGGCUGAGGAAUAGAUAAAUGACUUGCACUCAAAGAUGGGGUUACGGGGCUCAUGUUGACAUUCACAAUCAUAGAUGAUUAUUCAUGUGUGGUCAUGGCUCCCACGAUUGAUUCAACAUUGGGAGGCCUUUAUCCAAAUGACAAGUGAUUAAAAUCCUAAGUUGAUAAAUUGGUACACAAAUGCUUUCAUUUUCCUUGAGUAAUUAGUAAUUACUCAUUUAUUCUACCAACUUUAUUAUUUAUUCUAUUCAUUUAAAGUGUAUUUGACAGUAAUUCUAGAAAACACUUUUAAUUUUUUUAAUACUUAAAAGAUAAAAAUUUUCAAGUAUUAAAAAGAUAAAAACACUUCCUAAAAUUAUUAUUAAAGAGACUCUUACUUUGGUUUUAUUUGAUCCAUACCUUUCUCAUCCUACUUUCAGAUGAGUGGGAAUAGUACUGUGAUGUAUCUCAUUUAUUAAUUUCCAAAGUUAGAAAAGAUUUCAUCCAUAGUCAUAAAAAAAUAAAAAAUUAUCUUCCUUCUUUAUAUUAUAUUAUUAUGGAACUUUUAUGUCUUUUAAUUUUACUAUAAGCAACAUUAGUACUAUCAUGUUUAGUAUCUAUAAAAAUUUAAAAUUUAAUUCAAAAGUUAUUUAUUUUUUUAAAAUAAUAAAAUUUAAAUUGUAUCCAAAUGAUAUCUUAAUUAUUUAUUCUAUUUAAUUUUUAAUUAAUAUUAAAUUCAUUAAAAAUUUAUUAAUUAUCUAUAAUUUUAAUAUAAUAAUAGAAAAAAAAUCAAUUUAUGGACCUCGCAUUUCGGCUCAUGCGCUCCCACUCGAUGGCGAACUCGAUUUUUAUUUGAAAAAUGAUUUAUUGAUUAAAAAAAUGACUUGGAGUCGCCAUUUAUUUUUGUUUUAUUUUUAAGAGGGUAAACAAAAUAAGAAAGAAAACCCUAAGUGUGACUCCUUAUUUUGGAAAAGGUGGUAUGUGAAAAACCGGAUUGGGCUCAGGGGUCGGGUUACUUAUCGGGAAGGUACAAUAAAGACCGUAACACUCUUCUAAGUCCCUAAAGUCGGGUCUAUACUAAUAAAAUGAAGCUGACGUGACAAUCAAUAUAAAGAUCAAUGGAUACUCAAAUCGAUCAUGCGCAUAUGGGAAUCAGAACAUGCAUAGAGAAUGACCAGAAUGGGAGUGAAUGUGUACCUGGGCCACGAACCACAAUGCACUAUUAAGAAAUAGGGUUAGUGCACAAUAAAUAAAUAUAAAAUAUAGCACACAUGCACUAAACAAAAUACAAAAUCAUCAAUGACACACAUGACACUUCACUCGAGUUCAUUUUUAUUUCAAAUAAAAUUCUUUGAUGUCAGGCCCCCACUAAAACCCAAUUUUGUUUUGCAUGAAUCAUUUCCAAUAACUCCAUUACUCGAAAUUAGGGGAUUGAUUCUUACUUAUUUCAAAACAUUUUUAAAAAUAGAGGAAAAGGUGAAAAAACUUGCUGAAAGGAAAAUAGCAACCAAUUUUAUUGAAAAAUAUGAGAUUUUUGGAACCUAAAAAUUCUAAAGAUGAAAAGUUUUUAGACUUAUAUUAUUUAAAAGCCAGAAUUUGAAAAAGAAUUAUUUACAAGAAGGGAUUUGAAAAAUUAUUUUCAAAGCCAAAAGAUGAUGGAACGGGAGAUGACGCGUGACAUAAGAGUGGCCAAGUAAACCAUGCGUAAAUGGGCCCAGAAUGUGAGUACCGAGGUUGGGUACGAGAUAACCAAUGCAAAUGAAGUAACCAGAGAGAGAUCAGUUGCAAACUUCUCAAUGGGGCCUUGUUCUUGUAAGAUCAGGCACCUCGAGAAUGAAAAUCAAGACAUUGUCACGAGUAGACAACACCACAAAACCAUAAGAGAAAGGUCCCAUUCCAUGUGUCACAUAAUACCGAAUAGCUGUCAAUAGUCUUGACUAAGGUGGUGUUUAUUUUUUUACUUAAUUCUAAAUAGAAUCUUAAUGCUUAAUAGUGUUAAGUUGUUUGUUUUUGUAGUAUUUUAUUUCUAUUAAGUAUUAAAAAAUAAAAAAAAUCAAUAGUUAUUUUUUUUAUUUAGAAAAAGUUAUAUAUUUUGAUUUUUUUUAUUUAGUAAAAAAUCUAUAAUAAGUCAUAAAAAAGUAAAAAAACAAAUAACCUAAAUUCUAAAAUUAAAUUAUUUUUAACAAAAAGCCAAAAAAACAAACACCACCUAACCCUUUAACCUAGAUAAUUUCCAAUACCAUUUUUGACUUAAUGCCUCUGGUUUCACAAUGCCAGCAAGUGAGAGUAUCGUUCCUGCACAACUUGAAGUCCACAAAUUCCCUAAGAUUCAGGAACUUUGUGUACGUGUCCUCAUAAAAUUCUUCACAAUAGAGUCUGACUCCUUCUUCUAUGUAUUUUUUUUUUGAAAAAAAAAACCUUCAUCUCCAAUUUCCUUUUCCUGAAACUGACCUGCAAUCUCACGACUUUGAAUGAAUGACCUUCAGAUAUUAAAGGAACUACAAAGCCGAAAAGUGGGAAACACCUCUGAUAUCUUAGGUGAUGACGGUGACAGUCAACACUUGCCAUCUGGAGAUUACUGAAGUUGAACAGAGUAUGACCGCUUGCGUCAUGACUAUAUAUCCCAUGGACUGCAUGUCCCAAAAUCCCCCGAGUCUUCUGUGCAAGAAGCCUAAUGGAACGCUUUAUCAUGGUAUUCUUACCCAUCAGAACCAUAAAAUCUCCACGUGAACACUGUGGCUCCCCUAGCAAAAAAACCUUGAAUGCUGAAACGUCCUUUUGCUCUUCUUUCCAACACACAAUUUCUUGGAUGCACUGGAAAUGCCCACCAGUUGUCAUAAGUCCGGAGCAAACCCAAUCGUUUGACACCAUUUUAGUGCUUCUGCUCUUAGCAUUCAGCCAACUGAUACAAGUUAUGAAGGGUUCCAAUGAUUCCACGCUAUGAACAACAGCGUGACAGUGGGGCAUGCCGUCGUCAUGGUUGUAAGCGACCCAAACAUGGUUUUGGAGGAAACACUUUUCCGUCUAAUGCUUGUUGAAAUCAUGAAUAUUUGGCUUUGUAACGUUCAGUGUCAUAGCAUAAAACCUUUCCCGAUCCUCCCAUGGUCUGAAGCCAUUGAAACAAUAAUUGUAUCAGUGCAGUCCGCAGUCCAUGACCCAUUCUCUCAUCUCCUUCGAUAUUUCUCUUCGAGCCUUCUGCACGAGAAUAUUUCGAGCCUGAAUCUCCGAUAACUCUCUUGCAGAAAAGGAAUCACAACUACCCCUUUGAAAUCGAGAAGGACCCGUCUCCCGUCUUCGCUUUGUAUCCGAUUUAUGAGCAUGUACACAUUUUCUCUUCCAGCUCUAGAUACAGGAGAAGAGACCGGUGCCUCAAAGGCAAAAAAAGUUUGACGGAAAUGGGCGCAUAUGAGGGUGUGCUUGGAGUAUGAAAAAUAGGAAGGUGGCGGGUAUUUUAAUAGGUAUGAUGGGGGUAUAUGGAUGAGAGUGAUAGGUAGGAAGAUUAAAAAGGGAGUGAGAUGGAAGUGGUUGUGUGCGUGAGGCUUCAUGCACGUGGGAAAUGAUAGAAAUGAGCUGAGGAUGGAUUAAAUGGAUAGUGAAGGGUGAUGAAAGAAACGAGCUCGAUGGAUGUGGAAGAAAAGAAAUGAACAACAUGAGAGAAUGCAGACACGAAAUCAGUGGACUGGAUGAUGGAGGUUAGUGAAAAAUGGGUAUAGGGAAACUUUUGGAUGCAUAAUUCAGGUGUGUUUGGGUAGGGAAUGGGUAUGGUGGGUUUUUGGAAAACGUGAUAUGCAUGAGUGGUUAAGAAAGACAAAUAUGGAAAUGGGUAUGAGAAGGUUUAGAGAGAGAGAAAUAGGUUUAUGGGUGUGGAAUGGAAAAUGUGGUGAGAUGAGUGGGUAAAAGUGGGCAUUAAAAAUGAUGAUAUGCAUUUUAUGAGAGGGCUUGGGAAGAAUGCUAAAGGAAGCAUGCACGUGGGAGAAUAGGGGAUGAAUGAAUGGGGAAUGUGGUUGCAUCAUCUAUGUGACCAAUUCUCAUUUCAGAAUGAGCAAGGCUCGGAGUCUGGACUAGGCACCAGGACUGGGUGUAUCGGCCUUAUUUCCUCAAGUGGCACGGAGCUUGAUAUGAAAAGCAGUAACGCUGAAUUCCUUGCAUUAUUUGUGGAACAUCUUGGGCAGCAAGCAUGGUUCAUGUUCGUCAUCCUCGUCAAUCAUGGGGUGAUAAGGUGUCUUGUGCUCAGUUGUUUUUUGUCUAGCAGGUUAGUUUGCAUUGAUUUCUCUCGACUAGUCUCAUCCCAUCUUACAAGUUCCUUCAUACCUUUGACCCAAUGAUCUACUCAAAUACCUAAAGCAGAUUGAGCAGUCGUCUAUUAUUUUGCUUUCACCUAAGCGGUGGAUAAGGAAGAAACCAAUGUUUUAAAAAUCGGACUAGACCAGCCGGUCGAACCGCCGACCGGUCAACUUUUCGGUUCAAUCCGUCUCAAUGACCCGUUUUGUGGUCGAACCGGCAUUGAACCGUUCAAACCACCAGUCGAACUGGACAAACCGUCCGGUUUUUCAAGAAACCGGCCAAGCCUUUUUUUUUAUAUCCUACAAAAAUUUGUUUAAUAUUAAAAGGCUUAUUAUCCAUUGAGCCCAUUCCACACCCAUAACUUUUGAAACUCAAAACAACUGCCCAAUCAAAUAAAACAUUAGCUUAUUAACAUUUCCCUUGGGCCAUGCCUUUCAAGCCCAAUUUGUUGGCUCGUUUAGCUUGGUAUGCAUGUUGCAAGGUAUUUAUAGAGCACUUGAAGCACAUGAAAUUCAUGUGCUUCUGAUGUGGGACUGGGAAUAGGACUGCCUCUUUGAGGGCUGGACUUUGAACCAUAUCAUAUCAUUGCAAUGUUGUUAAUAUAUAUAUAUAUAUAUAAUAUAAGACUUAACAUUAAUGUUUUUAUUUCAAAUUUUUAUCAUAUAAAAUCUUUAAAGAAAUGUAAAUAUUUAAAUUCCUAUUUAUUUUUAUAACAAUUAUAAAAAAUAAUAUAAAUUAAUUAAUAGAAUAAUUUUAAAACAAUAAAAUACAAAGACAAAAAGAUAAAAUUAAAUAUAUAAUUUUUUUCAUCUUAAAUAUAUCUUCAUUCUUAAAUAUUAUAUCUUUCUAUUUAAUAAAAUUUAAAAUAUUAAACUUUAUCAUUUAAUUUAAUAUACCAAAUAUAAAAAUCAAAUAUUAUUAAAAUUUAUAAUUUUAUAUAUUUUUAAUUUUUAUAAUUAUUUUUAAUUUUAUAUAAUAUAUAAAUUAUAUAUUUAUUACAUCACCGGUUCAAUAGCGGUUUGACCGCUGGUCCGAUCGGUGAACUAUGAAUCGGUAAUUUUUCCGGUUCGAUCAUCGGUCCGAUUCUGAAAACAUUGGUAAGAACAGGGGCAUAUCUACUUCUGAUAUGAUUAGGGUGGUGCGUGAUGAAGACUUGGAUAGUGAAAUAGGCCAUUCCCUUUAUAGGAGCGACAUUUGGAGCUAAAUGUGACAAAGCCACGUUCUAGAUCAUUCAUAACAGUAUUUUUCACAUUGAAGCUUAAUAUAUCAUCAAGCACGGCUUCUAAAAGGGACUGAUGGUGCGUCUUGUUGGGCCUGAAUUCCAUUGUGAGUUCAGAAGGGCCAAAAGUCACUACCAUACUGGACUUUAAGGCACCAGCUUUGGCACAUCCCAUUGGUACACUUCCAAUACCAUCAAUCUCAUGCACAUCCUACAGAAGAGGAUGUAGUGGCUUGUCCGAGAGUCUUUCGGGUUUAUUGAUCGGGUUUAGGACCUCAAAAGGGGUCAAGCCCUUGCACCAGCCCAGACUGGCGGGUCUUUCAACUAUAUUGACACUUUCGAAACUUUAUUUCGGAGCACAUUGGCGUCAUGGCGUCUGUCUCAUUUUAGCAGUAAAUCAUCUACUUCCCACCAAGAGUGAGAAUAAGCCUGUGUAUGCAAUGGUUCAUCAGUGAAGACACUAGCCUCAAAAUCAGUGAUGGUUGAGUCAAACUUGCGAAGUAAUGAAGCAAUCUCAGUUUUGGCCAACCGGAAAUGGCCAUCUCUUACAAAAAAGCCUUACCUCCAGGAUGAAUCAAUGUGAGAAACAGAGCCCAUCAACCAUCUUACUAUAGACUGCCAGGUUCAGCUUCAACCAGUUCCUCCUAAUCUUAAAGCCUUGAGUAUACAUUCGGGGGAAAACAGGGGAGCAAGAGAAUAGCAACAGGAAAUGAACAUGAAACCUUUAACAAACGUGUUGAACCCACUUCAUUAUUUUAUCCAUGGGUCCAUCAAUCAGUGGGUCAAAAACGGAAAAUGUUUACAUGAUUAGAGCACAAAAUGCAGUAAGUCAUUCAAAUAUUAAACCAAUAAUCACCAAACCAACACAAACCAACAAGCAGAGUUAAAAUUACAGAGAAUGACGCAAAGGGAAUACCUGCAAGAUGAAAAUAUACGGGAAAACCAUGAUAACCAUACCUGAAAGUCUCUUCCUCAACCAAGUGUCUGGGGCUUCAGCUCACUGCUUUGUCUCUAGCAAAUGGUCCACUCAAAAAAUCCCUCUCAAAAGACUGCUCUCCAAGAGAUCGUCUCCCCUUAUGGUUCUUCCUCUCAAACCAUGACCAGAAAAUGAAAAUCUCUCACAUAUCUCUCAGAAACUGAAUACACCCCCCUCACUAACGUCUUGCGAAAAUAUCUCCCUAGGCUAGCUAACAGAAUCACAUCUCUGUUUUUUCCCCCCCAAAAAGAUGAACCUCUGUUCCCCAGGCCAAAACCUCUCCUCAAAAAGGGCAGCCAAAGCACUUCUCCCUCUCUGCCAGCAUACGCUCCUCCUAACGACAAAACCUUCUCCCGAAUCUACCUUUGCAGGUGUCAACCUUUUAUUAGCUCCUCAAAAAGCACAUUUGAUUCCCUAGUAGCCAUUCAGGAGGCAGCACAUGGCUCUUUGAGAGCCCUCCACUUGGCAAAAGUUAGAUGCAGGAAUACCUCCCAAAAUGGGUCUACAAAUAUGUCCAUUUUCGGUAGAGCUCACGAAUGUAAGGAAUAUGAACACUGAAGUAAAAAAAAAGUGUGAAUAGUGAGUGGAAUGAAGUGAACUCUAUUGAAGAACCAAGGAGACCUCCAAAGAGACACUAGUAAAACACGAACUCACUUAAGCCAAGAAAUGAACAACGAGACUCUAAUCCUAAGAGAAAAUGAUGUCUCAAAAUGUCUCUGAAGCCACAUUGAGGACCCAAAUUCUCUCUAAGACGUCUCCAAAAAUGACUCUAAAAACCAAAUAAAAAAUGAGUAACGAUCAAACCACUCUGAAGUACAGAAAAGACUACACCCAAAGGAAGUUGCCUUAUGUGAACUACAUGAAAAUGCCAAAUGUAGGGUGCCCAACAACAUGAUAGAAGUAUGUGUUGUGAACUCAAAGGACUACGUCAUGAGCAGUGAGAAGGGGAAAUAUGGAAGAGCAAUGAUGAAUAGGCGAUAAGCAUAGGGUAACGAGGUGAAGAAAGUGAGGACAAGUGCAAACCAUGAAGGUUAGAUGUGCAACGCCAGUGAAUAUGAAUGUCGGGGACUGUGGCUUGGAAUGAUAUAGCUGAGGAAAAGUGACUCUGAAUGUAAAAAACACGGAAAGAUGGUGACUCAAGGUGCCCGAACGGAUAUGUACAAUGGCUCUGAACGCCAAACUAAAGAAAAAUGGUGACAUCGAAUGCUUGAAUGAGUAUGAAAAAUGGCUCUAAAAACUCUUCAUCUAUCUUCUUUCUCUCUUUUUCUUUUUUCAAUAAAUUUUCAAUUAAUUCAAAUCAUUAAAAAAAUUCCUUAAUAAACAAAUUUGAAACAUUCACAUAACUUAUUACCAAAAGUCUAUGUUCAAAAAAUUAUUAAAAUAUGGAAGAAAAAAAUUUUAAAAAAAAACUUUAAACUUUUUAUUUUAUAAUAGUAAAAAUAGUAAACUUUAAAAAUACUCUUUAGUAUAAAAGAAAAAAAUAGUAAAUGUAUUUAUUUUAAAUGGUGUUUUAAUCAUUAAAUUAUUUACUUCUAAAAUGUAAAAAAUAAUUUUCAUUAAUUUAAAUUAAUAUUUUUUUUAAAAGUAUUUUCCAAAAUAAUUUUUGAAUCAUUAAUAUAAUUUUUGUUUAUUUAUAAUUUAAAAAUAGAAAAUAAUGCUCAUUUUUCAAUUAUUUUUAAAAGAGCUUAAAAAAAAAUGAAAUAUAACAAAAAUAAUUAAAUAAAGGAGAAUUUUAUGGAAGGGGCAUAUAAAAAGUGGUGGCAUAAAGACAAAACUGAUGGGUGUAAGUCAAAUGAGUAUUUUUGUCUAUUCCAACCUUAUAUCCUUGUAAUUAAUUAUAGAUGUUUGAAAGACCUUUUAUUAAUAAUCAAGUCCAAGUAGGUGUAAAACACAAUUCUCCCCCUAAUUUUAUCUUUUUUAGAGUCUAUUGUCAAGUUUACUUUAUAUAUAUUAACAUCAAUUAUUAUAUACAUUGUACAAUUGAUGAGGUAAAUAUCUUGGAAUAUAUCCAUCAAACACUUAAUAUUAUAUGUACACAACUAAUAUAUAUGAAAUGCAUGUAUUAAAAAAGUAAUUUAUUUAUUUAUUUAUUCCAUAAUAUAGAAUGUACUAUUUCAAAUAUUUCAAUAUGCUUAGCUAGCAAAAAGAAUACAACAAAUACAAUCAAAUCAAAUUAAGAAUAUAUAAGAUAAUAACUUCAAAUUAUGAACAUUUAUCAUAUUUAUAUAAUAUAUAGUUUCUCAUAAUUGUAAGGUAAGUGAAUUUCUCAUCUUGAUAUGAUUCCGUAUAUAUAGUUUAAUAAGAACUAUAUAUGGAAAAAAAACCUAGGAUAAAAAUUAUACUAAAAUUUCCAUUAAACAAUAAAAACAAUUACGUAACUUGUAGCUAUGAUAAACAGCAUAGCUUCCGGUUAGAGUAUUUAUUUUGUUGUUUUUAUAAUUUUUGGUUAUGAAAUAGAUUCUAAAUAUAUUCAAUAUUAUUUUUUGUACGGAUAUGACUUUGGGCUAUAAUUUUUCUAUAAAAAGUUAAAAACCAUUUUGUAUAUAGCCUCAAAUCAUAGGAGGUUAUAAAAUGAACCUUUAUUCUUGUUAGAGUACCCAAAUUCUAUUUGGUCCGUUGAUGGAAAAUAUGGACAUUGGCAGUUCCGAAUCUUUGAUGCCUCAUGAACGGUCCAACAGCGAGGUUUCUUUCUCGCGGCUGGUGGGAUAUUCAUUGACUGGGGAUGUUCUUCCAUGUUUUGACGCUCCUACUAUGGUCCUUCCAGAGGACACAUCCUGCAUCAUCACUGUUCCUUUCACUCUUCAUACUGCUUCUAACCAUGGUGUAAUUGUGGCAUCUAAAAUUGGGAUUCUGAACAAAACUUCUUAUGUUAGUUUAGUCAACAAUCUUCUACAGAAACCUACCAUGGAGGAGCUUGUUAAGAACUAGGCUAUUCUGGAUGAUGUAAGAACAUUGCUUGGCACAGGAAUAACAGCAGUUAGAGGUAAAGCAUGGGCGAAGGCUUCAGAUGGCACUCAAAUUCCCCUAUCAAUUGUUUACUGAAAGGAUCUUGUGAAACUUGAUGGACCUGAUCCAUUACUUCUUUAUGGCUAUGGUUCACAUGAGAUUCGCAUAAAUCUAAGUUUUAACGCUUCAAGGCUGUCUCAUUAGAUUGGGGUUUUAUGUUGGCAGUAGCACACAUUCAUGGUCAUUCAUGGUAGCGGUGAAAUUGGGAAGCAGUGGUAUGAGAAUGGGAAGUAGUUGAGAAAGAGAAAUACAUUUACGGGUUUUGUUGCUUAUGCUGAGUAUCUAAGAGACAUGAAGUUUUGUUCAAAAGAAAAAUCGUACGUUCAUGGAGGAAAUGCAGAAGAUUCCAGUUUCUGGGCCAGUUGGAGCAGGGAAAUCAUCACUCUUAUGCUGUACUUGGAGAGAUACCAAAAAUCUCAGGAACUGCUGAUGUAUUGGGUUCCAUUGCUUACGUUUCUCAAACUUCUUGGAUUCAACGUGGUGCAUCACCUAUAAGCCAAGAUUCACCUGGUCUCUCCACAAAUACAGGUUCUAUGCAAUUAUUGUUGAUUAGAACCAUGACAGUAUCCUGAUGAAUACAUGUCUUGCCUGUCCGUUUGCUUCAAUACUUCACACUCCACUUGGUGAACCAUCCGCAUCAGCAGAGCAAUCACUUCAGUACCUCCAGUUUUUGGCACCCCACAUUUGACAACCAGUGCAAAUGAUUCCAUGCAUGGCUACCUUUGAUGUGCCAUUUUUUUAAAGCCUCUAUGUCUCAUCCCUUAAUGCUUUCACUUAAAAAAAAUUGCUUUUAAAACAUUAAUUUUCGAAAAUCCGGUUUUCAAAUGAUUUUAAAUCCUUUUUUAUUCAUCUUUAGACAUUCUUAGGCAUUAAAAUUCCAUUUUCCUAAUUGGUUUGCUGCCAAUAUUUCCUUCAGGCAUGCAUUUCUUUUAUUUUCUUUGGUUUUCAAUAAAUUUCCGAAUUUCUCAUUGUAGACCCUCUAUUUUGUCUUCUAGGCACAUUUCAUCUAGGAUUGCCUUCCUACAUCUUCUAUUGCCUUAUUGUGCACUUAUGGUCCUUUUUUUAAGCUAUUUUUUAGCUUUCAUAGGUGUCCAUUGUAACUAUUUUGAUCACUAUUUUUGGAUUCUUUUGGAGAUAUAUAUCUUGGAGGGGUUAGUUGGAUCUCAAUCACGAUUUUAGUGACCCUAGGUUUAGUUGAGAAAUAGUUUAGAAGUGUUCUUUAGGUUUAGUUUAGUUUGAGUUUAAUUUAGUUUAGAAGUAGUUUAAAAGAGCUUUUUGAGUUUAGUUUAGUUUGCUUUUAAGUUUAAUUUUGUUUAAAAGUAAUUUAAAUUAGUUCUUUGAGUUUGGUUUAGUUUAAAAAGUAAGAUUAGUUUAGUGAGGUUGGCUUAGCCUAGUGAGUCUUAGAAUAAGUUAGGGAGCUUUGCUAAGAACUUACAUGAGUCCAGUGGGUUUGGUUUAGAAUGAGAUUAGGUGUUAGUUUAAUUAGAGAGUUUUAGUUAGAAUUAGGUUAGUUGGUUGAGUGAAGGUUAGGGAGAGUUGCUUGUAGGUUAGUAGGAUGAGUAUAGGAUAGGGAGACGUUGGAGGGUAAGUUAGGAAUUCUUUAGAAGGUGAGUGAAGUAGUGUAGAAUAGGGAAAGGUUGGAGAGUAAGUUAGGAAUUCUCUAAAAGGUGGAUGAAGUGGUGGCUUGGCAAGCAAGAGAGGGGGAAGAUAGGAAAAAAGGAAGAAAAGAAGCGGUUCUCUAGAGAAAGAGAAUUUGGGGAGAACUUGGAGAGAAACAAGGUUAGAAACAAGGGACAACUAUGGAAAACUUGAGAAAGAGCUAUGAAAAACUUGAGAGACCAUCAUCAACUUGAAAAAUAUCAAGACAAAAAUCCGAUUUGGAAACACUUUGAGGUAAGAUUAUUUAAUUUCCUAACUUGAUUUUAUUUUCUAUAUCUUCUUCUCAUACUUCUCAUUUUCAUGAUUUUGGAUGUAUUAGACUAGGAUUGGUGUGGAUGUAUAGGCCACACGGAGUAAUGGAUUUUUUAUGAUUGCUUGAUGUUGAAUCUUGAGAUUUUGGUGAAAGUAAUUUGAGGCUGAAUGCUUGAAAUUCAUUAAUGUUUACAUGUUGAUGAAGUUUGAGGAACUUUCGGAGAUUACAUGUUGAUGACUAUUAACUUAUUGAUCUUUUGAUAUAUGCAUUUUUUUAGUUUUAGAGAAUCAUUGAUGAUCAUAUAUUAAGUUUGAUAGAAAAUUAUUGAUGAUUAGUGUGUGAAUGAUUGGUGUUAAAUAUUGUUUGAUACAUGAUUAAAAUUAUCUUUAGGAUCAAUUUAGAGAAUCCCUAUAUAUGAAAUUUUCUAAAAAUUGUUUCUCUAUUACCACUAUUGAUAGUUCACUUUACCUUUGAACUUGUAAAUUGGAAUCCGACCAUUCAAAAACUCUUUAAAAUUUUUCUAAUUAUUCUAUGAUAUUUUAGACUUCUUGAAUUUGAUUUUAGAAUUUUGUUUGAGUGGUUUAUUUUUAUUUUUUCCAAUUAGAAGAUGGAAAUCAAUCUUUUAGAAGGUUUAGUUUUCACUCUAUUUUUGACACUCAAUCUUGUUUAUUAAAAUUAAAUUAUUAAAUGCUCUCUGUAGACCUUCCAUUUUGUCCCUUUAACACAUGUCUUUAAGUUCACUUCCAGUGUUACAGUGUUUCUUUGAUGGCCCAUUACUACCAGUGUAACUUAUUUUUUCUGAGCCACUUUGGAGACUUUGGUUGCGAGGUUUACUCGGUUCCACAUUAUGACAUUGGCUGCCCUUCAAGUUUAGAUUAGACUUUACUUAGGUGCACUUUAGGUUAGAUUUAGUUAGACCCACCUAGUCUCACCCUAGGCCUAUAUAGGUAUAGCUGGCCCAUUAGACACUAGCUUAGGCUCGUCUAGGUUCACUUAGACUCAUUUAGACACCUUAGGCCCGUCUAGGUUCACUUAGACUCAUUUAGGCACGCUUGACCCAUCAAACAUUCUUAGCCUGACUUGUUUGAUUGUAUGACUCAUUUAUCUCAUUUAUUUAUUUAUUUUUAUUUUUUAUUAUUAUUGUCAAUUGCUUUUAUUUUUUUUAGGUAUUCAUUAUUUUUUAUUUAUUUUAUUCAUUAUCUUGUUAUUUAUUUAUUUAUCUAUUAUUAUUAUUUUAUCAUUCUUCGAUUUAUUUAUUAUUUUAUUUAUUUAUUCUUUAUUCAUUUAUCCGAUUUAAUAAUUUGAAGUUUUAUAGGAAAAUCUAUGAUAGAGAAGUUUUUGGAAAAUGUAGGACUCUUUAGGUGAUUUUUGGAAGAGGUAAGACUCUUUAGAUGAUAUGCCUGGAUUGAUUUUUGGAAAUUCAAAAAAGGACUUUUCUGGUGGAUGAGACGUAAGAGUUUGGAGAGAAGAGGAGUCCUCAGUUGGACGGCUCCAAUGGAUAUAAAAUUACAGCCUGGUGGUUUUAGGAGGCAUUCGGAGAUUGUUUUUUAGAGAGAGAGGGUUUUCAUAGGCGAAGAAGAGAAAGGAAAAGAUAGGAAAAGGAGAGGGGUUUUGGGAGAGGGGAAGCAGAUUCCAGUCUUGGAAAGGAUUUCCCGGUGAGGAGCUGUUGGAGAAGACGUUGGGAAGAGGACACAGCCGACUUGAAGCCAAAUAAUAUUUCUUGAGGGGAAUUUCUCCAGGUAUGGUCAGAUGAAAUUCGUAUUUUCUCAUCUCUAUAUGAUUCAUCAUCAUUUUUUUUUAGCAGAUUUUGAUGUCAUCUUGUUGAUUGUUGUGAAUAUUUAAGGCUGAUUGUUCCUCCUGAUGAAUGGAUUUAAAAUAUGUGCAAGCUCUGUCCUGGCUUGAAAUGUAAUCUUUUUUUAAAUCACUACUGUUAAUGGCUGAUGUAUCUAAUCAACCGCUGAUAUUGAUAUCUAAGGAUCGUGCUCUUGUUCUCUUAUAUUCCCCACCUAUUUUCAAGCCCUUUGACAAAAUAAUGGAAUGUGGUUCGUCUGUUACCCAUCCUCUGUCUUCCUUCCUUUGUUUUUCUUGGGUCAUUCUUUCUAUGCUUAGCAUCUAUAUUUCACCCGCCUCCCUUUCUUUGGUGUUCAUGGCUAUGGAGACCAUGAUGGCUUGAGUAUUUCUAGAAAGAUGGAGACUUUGCAAAGAUUGUAUGCAAUGGGUUGUUUGGGGUUAGAUAGAUGCAGAGGCCGCCAUCAUUUCUGGGGGUUCUCAGGCACAUGUGAAUAUCGUAGGAAGCGAUCCAGUUGGCAGAUGCAGUUUUCCAGAUCACAACGCUUGCUUCAGAACGGCGUCAUAUACCAUAACCCUAUGUCUAUAUGAUAAGAUGCUUCGGUAUGUUUCCUUAUUCUGGAACCCAUGGAGAUCAGAAGGUGUUAGACUAUCAGAAUCUUCAGCAGAAAUUCCAGAAGCAUCUGCACCCAUUCCUCACUCUAUCCAUUCUGUUACUGAUUCAAAAUGAUCCAGCUGUUAGCAUUAUUUUCUCCUACAAAUGUGUAUUUGAUUGUUUCCUUAUCUCUGCUCAUACUUGUGUUCCUUAUUAUACGCUUGUCAGUUCAAUUGUACAACUAUAAAUAUAAUGAAAAACUACACAGCUUGAGUGCUAGAGCCAAGUCAAAGAUAUACUGUGUGUUCAUCUUUCUGUUGAGUUGUUAAGGUUUUACAGAAGGUAGGUGGGACCUUUCAAAGGAUGCAUGAUGGUUAGGAGCAAUUCUCCGGUUAGAAACUACCAUGUAAAUUCAAACGAUGCUGGGUUGGGGAUUCCCGAUGGAGCCGAAGAUCCUGUGGUUGCUAAUGGUUGUGCAUUUCAUAGUUGGUGCCGUUGCUUUAUCACUGCACUAUGCAAAUGUUAUUAUCAUUAUUGAGAAGUUGGUGGCAUCCCCUCACUAGAUUGGCCAUGAUGCAAGACAUGAUCUCUACAGUAUGUUAACUGUUAAAGUAAGAGCAAGGCUGCCUGUGUUUCUGUCAGCAAAAGUAUCCAAACCUUGCAAGGGCUUCAUCGGUUUUUGAUGUUUUAUUGUAACCAAAAGCUGUAAAGCAAAACCAUGACUGCAUCACUCGUCUCCAGCCGCGCAUUUCAUCUUUCAAAUGAUCUAAAAAAUGUAGGCAAGUCAAGGCUGCCAAGCUUCCAAUCCAUUUUCAAUGAAAUGAUGGUUGAACUUGGAAUUGAACUGAGCUGCACCACUUUGGAUUCUCUCUAGCGACCACGCACAGUCCAUGAUGAAGACAGCCUGCAUGCAUGAAUGGAUAUCCAACGCGGCUACCUUUUGCAGGCUAAAUGAAAAUCUCAUGCGAGUCAUGUUCAACCUUGAGUACGUACUAGCCUGAAGAGGGAUUUGAUCACCUCAGAAUAAGUUGGCAGCAAAAGAGCUCAUUCCCUGGCCCGCAAAGAUAAAGUUUGGUUGCUUAAGAACCUAUGUUUAUCCCCACGUGUUAUUGAUUAAAUAUAAGUGCAUCGGCAACAGAGCCUUGCAAUGGGAGACAAUGGAGAGGCGUCAAUUUUUAUGUUUCUUAAAGACCCAGUCAUCAUCUCAUGCCUCUAGUGAUGUGUCGGACAGUUGCAGCCAAGACCAUCCUUCAAAUGCGGCAGCUCCAUAUUGAGAAUAGACAGCAGGAUCUAGUUGAGGGGGCCACAUUUCCGUGGAUGCAGCCUGCAAUUAGUACAACUUUUGAGGUGCAUAGGUGUCUACGCUGUUCACAUGAAAGACAUGCGCACCCAACCCAAGGUAAAAUAAGUGGAAAGAUAAUCCACAAACAGUGUGGUCUGCUCAUAUUAUGUGGAGGCAAGAAUUAUCGUUCCAAGAAGAGGCCCAUGAUUCUAUUAAUCCUGUGAAGGCCCCAUGAGUAAGAAAGCUGUUAUAGAUAGCUUAUGCGUUGAGGAGAUGAAAAAAAAAAAUGGGAAAGAGGAGACUGGCUGUUUCCAUUUCAAUGAGACUUGCCAAAACUAGUUAUCAUGGUAUGAAGCUGAGUUCAGUAAGCUGAGUUUAUAAGUUUGAAUCCAAAUGCAGCGGAAUUGGUGCAUCCGCCCUUGGGACGUCAUCUAAAAAAACAUCAGUACUCCAGACGCGUCAACAAGACGAGAGAAACAACAUAUGACAUCGGCUAAACCAUCUGUAGAUGCAAAUUUGAUUAGAAGGAAUGUCGAUCCCAAAGAACUGCAGAUUGCACUUCAACGGCCUGUUCAAUCUAAGAUCAUAUCCCAGCGGAUGCCUCAGACUCCUAUAUCUAAUCCAGUUUCAAGCAAUAACUCCUUGCAAGGAUCACCUGUGCCUAUCUCAGGAUAUCAUAGUGCACCGUCAGCCCUUGGCAUUACAGCUCUAUUGCAUGAUCAUGCUGCACCUAUAGAUCAAGCAGUCUGCUAAUGCAAUAUCUCAGCUUAUAAAAGCUGCUGCAAGUGCAAUAAAUGGAAGUUUUUCUGCAGGCCAGCAGUCUAACAUUUCUAUUGGUGCUGAGUUGAGCAUGUUGGGAUUAAAUUCGAAAGAAUUUGAAUGGUCUACCGAUGUCUUAUCUGACCAGAUGGAAGCUGUUGCUAAGAGCGUACAGCAGUCAAACAUUGUUCCAGGAGCCCUAGAAGAAUCUAAAAUCUCUGUCGUUAAAGAAGACACAAUGUGAAUAGCAACAGUAUGGGAUGAGUCUAAAUUAGUGACGAAGUUGACGGAAACUUUCAUGCUUUUGUCAGAGAGACUUUCUGGGUUUCUCAGUGAGGGCCAAUUGAAGAUUGUCUGCUAAAUUAUUUGACUAAGUAUCUAAACUCAUAGGAGACUCUCAACUAUCUGAACGUUUAAAUGAAGAAAUGGAGAAAGUGUCCCAUUACUUGGAUGCCAAAAAUGAAGCCAAGAUAACUAGUGUUGUGGAAAAGGAGAUGGUUGAAAGUUACAUGUAGAAACAGGUUCAUAUGGAGAACUCAGGUUUGAUUAAUAUGCUUAUGGAAACAAUGUCGUUAUGGUUGAUUUGCAUCAGUUUAUUACCACUAGUUCUGAAACAUUUAAACCCUGUGUUUGGUGGGCCACCCUUCCUUUUUGUUUACUUUUGUUAAUUCACUUGCUUCUGGAUUCAUUAUCAGUGGUGAUGAAGAUUGUUUUACAAAGACCUGGAAAGAUGUAGUUUGUGUUGAAGCAUAGAGCAUCCUGGUCGUCUUAGGUAUGUCCAAUUCUGCAGAAUGUUGUACAGCAUGCAGCAAAAACCCCAUAAGCCCAGCUUCAGGUUCAAUAGCAUCUUUUGAAAUUAGAUGCCCUCCCACAAUCAGCUCGUUCAAUGACCCAGCUCGCAACAGGUGCCAUAGCUCUGAAGAUUCAGAGUCAAUUUCAGAAUGCAUUAAGGAGCAGGAUGAAUGUCUUAAUGUUUUCAGACCCAAUGACUAUGUGACAUGCAUUCAGCUCAAUCCCAUUGAUGACCAUUAUUUCAUAAGCAAAUCGCUACCAAUGUUCAUUACAAGCAUAUCUUUCAGUCGCCAUGUUGUUGCAUAUAUGAUGAGCUCAAAAGUGAGGAAAUAAGGCAAAUUACAUGGCCAAAUUCAGGUCAUAGUGUCAAAAUAAAUGCAAGUAAGUUCAGUUAGGAACCAGAUCAGCCAUCCUGACCCUCAGAGAAGUAAAUUUGACAGUACAAUGGGGGCAUAAAAUAGCGUUUUGCGGACCAGUUGGGGCGGGGAAAUCAUCACUCUUGCAUGCUAUAUUUGGAGAGAUACCAAAAUUUUCAGGAAUUGUUGAUGUAUUUGGUUCCAUUGCCUAUGCUUCUCAAACUUCUUGGAUCCAAAGUAGGACAAUUCGUGACAAUAUUCUCUAUGGAAAACCAAUGGACACAACCAAAUAUGAGAAAACCCUAAAAGCCUGUGCCUUAGAUAAGGAUAUAAACAGUUUUGACCAUGGUGAUGAAAUAGAAAUUGGUCAGAGAGGGCUUAAUAUGAGUGGAGGACAUAAGUAGAGAAUUCAACUUGCGCGAGCUGUCUAUAAUGAUGUCGAUAUCUACUUCCUGGAUGACCUUUUUAGUGCAGUAGAUGCACAUACCGUUGCAAUUCUUUUCAAUAAAUGCGUCAUGGUUGCUCUUGCUCAUAAAACCGUCAUUCUACUGACUCAUCAAGUGGGGUUUCUCUCUGAAGUCGAUAAAAUUCUGGUUAUGGAAGCUGGACAGAUAACUCAAUCAGGAAGCUAUGAGGAGCUCUUGAUAUCCGGGACAGCAUUUGAGCAGCUUGUAAAUGCACAUAAGAAUGCAGUAACAGUAUUGGAAUUUUCAAAUGAUGAACAAGUAGAACCUCAAAAAAAAUUGGGUCAGAAUCUGCUAGAGAAGUCUCAUGGACCCCUCUCCACCAAAGAAAACAGUGAAGGGGGGAUUUCUAUGAAGGGUCUGCCUGGGGUUCAGCUCACUGAAGAAGAAGAGACAGAGAUUGGUGAUGUUAGCAUGUCAAUUAAAUCUGAGUUUAUAGAAGUGAAGAUGGAAGUCUUGUGAACUCUGGGCAGGGAAGUUCAAAUAUUAGUGAACUAAAGAAGGAUAAUUUGGAUGAUAUCUGUGACCGAAGGCCUGAUAAUGAACCAAUCACACAUGGUGAGUCUGCUGGUUUUGCUAAGGAAGAAAAUGUUAAACUUGAGAAGGAGAAGUGAUGAAACUUUUACAAUGAGAAUUUAAUAUGGAAUGCAGAAAACAUGUCAGUGCAGAAAAUUGGGAAUUAUGAAGCAUUCAACGUCUGACAACUGUCGGGGAGAAUCCAGUUGAGCUUGCAAAUCAGAUUGCCUUUUAAAUCAAAGCAUUUGACAGCUAAACACCCUUAAAUUGAAGCAUUUGACAGCUGGACACUUUUACAGUGAAUUGGUUUCUUCUAUCCAAAAUCUCCCAGCUCCGCUCCUUUGGCCACAUUGGUGCACACCUCCUCCUCUCUUUGCUAUAUAUUGGGAAUGCACUGUUUUGAAUUGAUUUUUCAAAUCCUUUUUUUAACUUAAUAAUUCCAGCUUUGAAAAUCAUCUUUAGAUUUCUUCUAGGUGAUAAAAAUCCUCAUUUUCAAUAAACUUUUACUCCAAAUUUCCUUCUGGCAUGCAUUUUUAUUUAUUUAUAAUUUUCACAAUUUUUUGGGUUUUUAACAAGCAUGAAUAAAUUUCAUGGUUCCAAAUGAUGGGACUAAUUGAAUCAAUUCGUACAAAAGCAAUUUGGACCUUGGUGGGGGGUCCAACAUUCUUGAUAUCUUCUCUGAUAUUGAUUCAAAUGAGGAGAUUAUUUGAUAUUUGAUUGAUUUUGAUUCCUCUUGACAAUAUGCUUGAAUUUGUUUUAUAUUUAUUAUUGAGCUAACCUUGUUUCCCAUUUUAGUGCUCAGCUCACUGUCCAGGUACGCUCUCCAUUACCCUAUUUUCCAAAUUUCACGAAUAUCCAUUUUUUUGUGUACUAUGCCUUUGUUUGUUGUCUUGCUUGAUUGCUUUGAUAUACGUUGGAUCGUUUGGCCAUCUUGGAUAAAAUGCAUGUUGUGUACUAUAUUUCUGUACUAAUUUUGAUGUCUUAUGAUGGUGCUUGAGAGGUAGUCCAGGUACGCAUCCUAACUCUCCUUUAUUGUGAUUUGAUUUUGUUUGACACACUAUUUUUGAAGUCACCUUAGUCUACCUAGGUACCCUCAAUUAAUCAAUUAAUUGUCUCAUUUCUCUUAACUUAGUCAUUAGAGACCUUUUUAGGGUUUAGAGGGGUGUUACCUCCUAGAGGUACCUUCCCAAUAGGUAACCUGAUCAUCGGACCUAGACUCAAGUUUUUCAAGACUGGUUUUUCCAAAACUAUAUAGGGGGUCAUUUUUUAGGGUUUUAUUUCUUAUUUUAUUUUCUCUUUAAAAUAAAAUAAAAUAAGUUGUGACUCCAACCUUUUCCAAAAACAAAAUUUUUCACCAAUAAAAGCGAGUCUCGUCGAUCAAGUGGGGAUGCACGUGAAAAAUGCAGGUCCACAACCUCUUUAAGUUCUUUGGACAUUUUUCACUUAAUCUAGACUUUUUAAAUUCAAUUUUUGACAAAUAAAAUAUUGAAAUGAGAGAAAUAAUUUUUUUCUUCUUGCGCUUACUACACAGGUACUCUUCUAGAGCUGCGAGAUGUUAAUUUAAUUUUAAUUUUAAAUAUUUUAUGCAUGUAAUCUUAUCCUGUGAUUAUUUUUCAUAUAAAGUAGACAUAUUAAUGAGUUGUGUGAAUUUUUAUAGGAUUUUAGGAUAUCUCUAAGUUAAUUAAAAAAAUAAUUCUCACAUGCUAUGGAAAAUUACUCUGUUCUGGACCUAUUAUGCUUCGUAUGAAAUCUGGUACUAAAUAGGAUUUAAUUAAUUAAUUUGGACACUUGGAUGAUAAACUAGACAUAUAGUAAAUAUUCUCUGAAAAUUUUCAUGAUAAAAUUCAACUUCUGGAUAUUUUUUUCAAAUUUAUUUUGUAGAGUCUUCUAUUCUAAUCACUUGCUGAUUUUCUUGUGAAGUAACCCGCUUAUGAAUAAAUUUGAUAAUAAUUGUGAACUUUUUGUUGUCAUUGAUUCCUUGGUGAUUUGGUAACAUGUUUAGGGUCUUUAAAUUGAUCUUUGAUGCAUGUUUAGGUUACUAACAAAGGUAGGUACAGCUGCAUGUUGAUCUUCACAUUUCACACUCACUAAUGCACAUAUUUAGCUUGAAUAGGUGUUCUUAUUUAUUUUGAUUCCCUUUUUUGGUCGUGUAUUUGUAAAAAUUGUUUUCAAGAAUUUCAAAAAUGAUCAUUCUCAUUAUUAAUAUCCUCUUUCUUCUAUAGGUUCAAAAUGAGAUUUCAAAAACUUCAAAGUUACCCUUUUUUUGAAUUGGUAUGCAUUUCAAAUUUGUUUUCAAAAUGAAUUUGUGACCUUUCAUGGGAAUGAAAUUUGGACAUGGCUUCUUAUGGAGUUCUUUAAUCAUGAAAAUUUUCAUUCAAAUUAAAUUGGGAAGUCGUAACUCCCUACAUGUUCAUUUUCGAGUUUUGAAAUCUUAGUUUUUCAAGUAAUAGCUUAUUUCAAUGCUUUAUUUUGUACCCUCGAGAUUGAUCUAUGAAUUUAAAUUAGAAGAUGACAUGUUUAAUUUAUGAUUAUAUUUUUUCCUAAUAGUACACUCUGAAUUUAAUUUUAGAUACCUGCAUUACUUAAUUUGGAUUUUCCUGGCAUUAGAUAUAAUUUUGUCUUUAGGUACUUUGUACACAAGCUUUGUUUUGGGCAUUCUGAAUGUUAAAUUGAUUUUAAAUAUAUCAGUAUCAUUUUUCCUUUGAAAUAGACAUUUUCAAUAUUGUGUAUGAAUUUUGGGCAACCCUAGGUAGGCUAAAAAAAAUUCAUUUUUGCAUGCCCUAUGCACUGACCUUGUUUUGAAUCAAUCUGAUUUUUUUUAGUGCUAGUACUAUUUGACAUAUGAUAUGUGAAUUUUUCCAAUUGGGCUAGAAACUAUACUCCUUACAGUUAUUCCUCAAUUUUUUAUUUUUUUAUUUUAUGUAAAAAUUCAACUUCUAGAUUUUUCUAAUGUUUUAUCUUGUGAUGAGUUAUGUUUUGGAUUUUAGCCAAAGUCACUGUGUAUUGAUUAACUUGUGUAAUUUUUUGGCAUUAAUUGUUUGGGAAUAAUUGAUUUGUCCUUUUGGAAAUCAAUUUAUACUUAUUAAAGGCCAUACCUAAUUUUUAUCAUGAUGAAAUGAGCAUGUUUAAUAUUUGUUUUAGAUGUAUUUAGAAGACUCUUAUAUGUUGUUGUGUUGUGCUGAAUGUAUAUCAUAAUUUAGUCAGAAUCUUUUAUGCAUGCCUCAUCACUUAGAAUUUGUUUCAUUUCUUCUAAUUCAUUCUUUGUUCCCCAUGAUGCCUUGUAUAUAUAUGAUGUAAACCUUUCAUUUAUUACCUUGUUAAACUAACAAUUUCUUUUGAGGGAGUGCUUGCUUAUAUACUAAUAACGUAUCUACUUUCAUCCUUUGUUUCUUUCGCAUAUAUUUUAUAUUUUUUGGAUUGAUUCGAUUUCUAUUGUUGGUGUAUAUAUAUGAGCAUGUAUUUGAAUUUAUGUUCGAUUUUGUAUAUAUGCCUAUGCCAUAUGUGUGAUAUAUACUAUUACUUGUUAUUUAACUUCAAUUGUCUUAUGAGAACGCAUGUAGCUAAUUAAGGUACACUUCACUUUUAUCUCUAUAUGUGUAACUAUGUGAUAUUUCAUAGAGAAAUAAACUAGUUCCCCAUCAUUCUCAUGCAAAUGCAAGCAGUUGCUAGCCACCCAAGUGGUGGGAUUUUUUAGACAAACUUUAAAAUUGAUGAGGAUUUCAAUCAUUCAAUCUUUUUUUUUUUCUUUUUAUCUAAUGCAGUGGAUUUUGAAAUCCACACAACAUAAAAGAGAUCCUAUAAAGCAAACAAGCAAAGUUUGAGCCAUAUAUUGAAUUUGUAGGCAUAAUCAACAAUUUCCUUAGCUUCCACAGAUGUUCAAAUUUAGUGAGAAGGUCUUCUUUCUAUUAGACCACUUCUAAUAGACAAACUAUGCACCUCUCUUUUAUCAUCACAUGUAAAUGACCGUAAAGGAUGUGAAGAUCACUCUUAUAAAUCAUCUAACUUUGUUCAUUGGGUAAAAUAUUGAAUUUUGUAGUUUACUUUUUAGGGUUCUGAGUUUUAAUGAUGAGUCCAAGUCAAGAAUAGGAGAAACAAGAGGAUAUAUUUUAGGCUUAGCAUGGAAAUUCUGUACACAGACAUGCUUGUCACCUAAAUGCAUAACAUCUCCAAAUGGUGAUAAAUAUCACUUAAGUUUUGUGAAUUUCAUUCCUUUGUAGAAUAAUGAAAGUAUUGCACACCUACUUUGCAACAAAGAUAAUGCCACCAUGAUUGGCCAAUUCAUAAGUCAUAAUAAAUUGAUAUGCCCCAUGAUGCAACGAUAGAGAAGUGUGAAUUCUAGAAUGAUAAGUCACUAGAGAGAUAGAGGGGAAAAUGCUUACAGCCUAUACUAAUAAAAGAUUUUAAAGAUUAGAAGAUGCUAAUAUGUCCAAUGACUAAUGAGGUAAGAAAAACAAGUGUACAGAGAAGACAAUGACUUAAGUAAAUAGUUGAGCAUAAUGAAAAUGAUGGAACUAAAGAAUAGUUCUUAAGGAAUGAUAAGAUUUAUAACAAAAAUCUGAGACAGGAAUGGCACAGAAAACCAGUAAACUUUCAUAUAACUUGUUUGUACUAAUGAGAGCUUCUACCAUAGCUUUAAGUUUGAUAGGGCAUGUCCAUUAAAGCUGGAGAAUCUGAACUACUAUAUCAUUAAAUAUUGUCGUUUACAUUAACCUCGAAUCAAAACCUCUAUAAAUCUACCAACAAAAGAAAUAUCCCACUUCCAAGUCAAAACAAGAAGUAUUUAUAAAUCUACCAGCAAUUACAAACUUCUUCAUAUAUUGCAUCUAAAGUAGAGUGGUUCAAUUUCAACCCCCUCCAAGAACCCCUCCAACUGAUCUCUCGAAGGCAAUAAAAUCACAAACAACUAAACUAUUUGGAGACCAAGGACUGAUUAACAACAGAAUUCAAAUUUUAACAAUUCCUUUUCCUUUCCAAAUGCAGUUAAUGGCUAAUACAAAUAGGUAAUGUCUAAUAAAAAGGCCCCCUUUAUGGUGAAUUUUUAGAAACUUGGGUUAGUAAAAUUUGUGUCACAGGUUUAUUAUUGGCCGAAGAGGCUUAAUAAUAAAAGGGAAAAUUGUAAAUGAAUUUCCUAUUAUCUAUUUUGUGAACAAAAAGAAAAGAGAAAAAACAAUUGUCAUUGUUCAGAGGUAUUUUUGAAUUUUUUUUAUACUUCUCUCUAUUUUAAAACUUUAUAGAUUUUCCUUACAAAAUAUAUACUGGACUGAUGCAAUUCUCAAACAUUCUCUAGUGAGAAAACUUCCCAAGUGUACUCAAGACUGCUCAAGAAAUAUUUACAAAACAAAUUUCCCAGUAGAUUUAAAUAGAAAUAUUAAAACCAAAAUUUCAAAUGAAGAAAUUUAUUCUGUAAAUAUUAAUUACCAAAAACUCAGUUAGAAAGAGUUCUUAACUCCAUAUUAAUUGAUAAAUCAUUAAAAAAUUUACUAUCAACAUGAAGUAGUGCCUUAUCACUCACAGUAUAAAUUCAUAUCUAUCAUAUAUUUAACUAUUAUAUAAAAAAAUAAUUAAAAUUAACGUAUUUGUAAUUAAUAAUAUUAUAUAUACAGUUAAAUGUGCAAAUCUAACAAAAAAAAAAGGCCUUUCUUUUAGUCGAAUCUCAUCCCAUGCUUGAGCGCUAAGGUUUGACCUAUAGCCUUGUGGGUGAGCUUCACUGAAUUUUUUAUUGGUUUAAGAGGAGCAAUCCUACAUCAAAAUUUUAAGAAAAAAGUAUGGUGCAUUUAAUAGACAAUGCCCCAAGCCAUCAUCACAAGCAAACCAUGGGUUGGGUAUGGACGGCAUAGACUCCAAGGGCCUUAAAAUUUGCAGAAAAUAAAUGCUGACAUGGCAGUGAAAUAUCCACAAUAAAUCGGGCAAAAUAGUGAUGAAAUACCUUUAAUAGAGCAAUGAGAUUUCCAUACCACAUUUUGACACCUUACCCUUGUACCUUGGUCCAACUUGUUGGUAGCCUCCUUCAAUGACUUAGAUUUCAUUAUAAAUAUUCAAUUAUCCAAAUUUGGACUUAGAAUUUUCAUGGAAUGUAUGAAAACUUUCUUAUUCACAUGAAGCCUAUAUGGGCAAAGUUACAAAUGACUCUUAGGCUAGAAAUAAGGAAACAACCUGCUACACAUUAGAAAAUAACACCCCACUACCACUACUUACGUGGAGAGACUAAGGGCUAGCUCCUCAUUAACCAUUUCUUAGAGGCUAGGGCAAAUGAAACAUACCACAAAGGACUCACUUGACAAGUAACUUUGACUCUUUUAAUUUUUGUUCAACAGUCCCUCCCUUAAACUAAUGUUUUGUGUCAUAAUAGUCAGUUUAAUAAAAGUAAGCUUCGAAACACCCUCACAUAAAUUGGAUUAUCCAAUGUGCAAACAACAAGCAACUUCCUUAGCUUCUGAAAUAUGAGUGAUUUGAGGGACUUGGUACACAUAUCAGCAACUUGGUCUUCACUUUUGUAGUGUAGAUGAGAUCAAUCAUUCCAUCGUUAGUGAGGCCCCAUAAAAAGUGAUAUUUCACAUCUAUGUGCUUGAUUCUUCCAUGUAGAACAAGAUUCUUGGAGUUUAAUUGUUGAGCUACUAUCAAAAUAAAUUGGAGUGGGUUCUGGUUGCUUGAAACAAAGCUCUUUAAGAAUUAUCUUCAAUCAAAUAUCUUGACAGACAAAGUUGCAGCAAAAAAUUCACCUUUGGAUGAUAGAGUGACAUAGGACAACUAUAGUGACUGGGAGUCUUUCUUGUCUUAAGCUUGGACUUCAUGGCUUCCAUGUGCAUGCCCUUCGGGACACGACAAAUGCUCGCAUGUCAACUGGUAUUGUCUAAUUAUUAUUGGUUACUUCAUUUUUUACAUCCUUUGUCAUUAGGUCAGACUUACUCUCCUAGAUUUUCUGCAUAAUUCUUUCUAGCUUAAGUAUUUGAUUAUUAUUUAUGAGACCUUAUUUCAAUCCUAGUGGAAAAGUGCAUGGUGCUCUUGAAGAUGAGAAUCGUCAUACUGGUGAUUUAGGAAAUGCCAUUGUGGGUGAGGAUGGUAUGUACCAUGGUUUUAAAAACAAGACUGAACCAGCCGGUCGGUCACGGUUUCGAUCCGGUCCGGUCAUUUAAGUUGAAAAGUGUUCAGAUCAGAAUUAGGCCAAUUAAACCAAUGAUUCGACCGACGAACUAAAUAAACCGGAUGGUUCCCCCCGAACCAUCUGGUUCAAUCUUUUUUUCUUUUUUUUUUUUCCCACUGUCGCCGACUUGUCAUCCCCCGCCUGUAGGACCCCCACCCCACAUUGGAAAAGCCCCCUCUCAUCGUUCCCCACAACUAGAAAAGCACCCCUUGUCGUCCCUCACCAACAGAACCCCCACCCCUCGCGACCCUAUUGGAAAGGCCCCCCCUCCUUGCCGUCUCUCACCGGCAAGAUCCCACCCUUCUUGCAAAGCCACCCUCCCACUCUCCACACUGGAAGAAGAAAUGAGAAUCCAAAGUAGUGGUCGAGUGCGGUGACUUAUAGAGAAGAUCGAUGAUGAGGCGUCCAUCAAAGAGACAACCAUUGACUAAUUUAAUGAUUUUCAAAUAAAAUUUUAAUUUUUAAAUAAUAUAUAAAUUAUUAUUUUAUUUUUAUAAUUAUUUUAAAUUUUAAUAAUUUAUAAAUUAUCUUUUUAUGAUGUCACUGGUUCGACCACCAAUCAGACCAGUGAACCGUGAACCGGUAACUUUUUCGAUUCAAUGACCAAUCCGAUUCUGAAAACAUUGGUAUAUACUAUGUACUUCGUCAUAAUUAACUACUUAUAGAAUACCAUUAGAAGCAUUAUUAUUAUUUGCCUUGACAUUGCCAUUUUUUACGCAAUCAUUUUUCUUAGAUCCUCGUAUAGAUAUGAAUCUAUGUGAUAUAGGAAUGAAGUAUCUAGGUUGUAAAUCUAGAUCAGUUAUGGUAUUUGAACUUUCUUAGCCAUUAAGGUGCUCUCAUUUUCUAGUGUGCUUUUCAGGUAAAAUAAAUUUCAAAAUUGUUGACAAGCAGAUAGAUUUUUUACCUCUAUUUCCUGUUUUUCCUUUUUAUUCUUUUUCUCAUACUUGAAAACUAGCUAGGUUGAAAUUUAGUUCUUGUUAUCUAAAAAAUGUAUGUCUCUGUUUAAAGAUUCCUCUAUAAAACUUCUAUUUAUGAUGCUCUUUUUUCAGGUGUUUCCAUUUUGUGCUACUGCUAUUCUAUGCAAUGUGGAUUACUAAUGGACAAGAAUGAACAAUCCAAUCCUAGCUUAUGACAAAUGUUAAUAUAUUUUGUUGGAACAUUAUUAAGUUCCAUCUUACAGUGUUUGGACAAACAUACGUAUGCUUAUUCCGUCAUUUUGUGCACAGCAAUUAUUUUUACACUACAACAAAUAUAGGGUUUUAUCACAUUAAUUUGUGAUUAAAAAAUAGUAUUUUGUGGUAAAAGGUUUUUUUCAUAAAAAAUUAUUUGUGACAAGUUUGUUGCUAUAAGCCCAUGUGCAAUUAUUUUCAAUCAUAAAAUUUAAUCUUAUAACAACAUAAAUAAUUUUCCCAUAAAAUAAAAUUUGUGGCAACUUAUUGCUUUUCAACAAAAAAAAAAAAACAUUGAUAAUUUUAACAAUUGAUUAUCCAAUUCUCAAAUUGUGGAUGAUUGAAACUAGAUUUCAAUUCUUCAAAUAUCUCAAUUGAUUUGUGUUUAUAAUUGGAAUAAAAUGAACAUUAUAAAACAAUGUCAGAUGUAUUUUCAUUUCAUAAAAUAAAUGAAACAAUUUUUUUUAAAACAAUUAAACAAAUAAAUGUGUAAAAUGCAACACCUAAAAAAAAUAAAAUAAAAUAAAUUUAAAACACAUACCAACCCGUUCCACAAAAAUUAGAACUCACAAACAGUUGUUAAACAUAUAUUAUUAUUAGAUCAUUGACAUGAUCGAUACGCUUCCGAGGAGAGCUGCCUUGUCCAUUAGCAGUAAAGAAAUAUUGAUCCUUUUCAAAUUCUAACAAAGAAUGUAUGUAGGCUGUAUAACAUUUUUAAGGACUAGGCAUAACCAACCAAAUUUUUUUCGCUACUGAUCCUCAAGAUAUUACCUAAAAACAUGCAUAGACACAAAAAUUCCAGUCAUGAGCUGAAUCAAUUAAUCAAGAAAAAAUGGAUGAUCGAAAGAUAAAACGAUGCAGUCCCUUUUCAGACUUGAUCAGUAACCUUCAUGUGGUUGAGCAAGUAACAAUGGUGUUGGCAUGGAUAUUGAAGACUUUGGGCUUUGUAACUUUUAGCAAAAGUUUAAAUAUAGUACGCAAGGUUACGAAGGAGAUAGAAAAAAGACUUGCGUACAUGACAUGGUAUUGAUCUUCAGUAUCAUCUCAAAAUAGAAUGAGAUAGAUUCAAAUAUAGGGCCCGUUCUUUGCGGAGUCAGGAAGCAUUAUAUAAUGAAUGAUAGGGAGUUCCAGAUUUUGACAUUCGUCACUGAGCCAACACCAUUCAUAUGCAGGUUUGUUUUAUUAUUGAAAAGAAACAUGAGAGGCAGAGCAUAGGCACCAGCACAAAAAAGACUUAUGAGCAUAAUACUUGAUGUAGAUGCUAUAAAAAAUGUGAUGGUGGCAGCAAUUAGCUUCCCAGCUUCAGGAUUUUCCGGGAAAAGUUGAGAUGCUAUCAACUUCAUAUGUUCAAAAAUUCAACAAAAUAAUUAUAAAAACAAGUCCUCUCUCACCAAGGAAAAUACUCUGAAAAAUUCCAGUAUCAGCCAAAAAUAAAAUCAAGCUGACGAGAGUUAAAUAGAAACAUGGAUUCAAACAACACAAGUAAUAAUUACCUGAUAUGCAUCUCCAUGCUCAUGGUCAUCAUUUGGCUUUUUCCAUACCUAGAGUGAUUAAAGUGAAUCAAUUUUCAGUUUAAGAUAAACUUAAAGCACCAUAAUAGGUCACAUGCAAAGCCGUAGUCAUUUUCUCUUCAAUUACAAGAAACAAGUCAACAAAAAAAAAAAAAAAAGUUAAUCCCCAAGUCUGAAUUCUCACCCUUCUCUAGAAAAACAGAGGAUAUGAAGACAAUGAGAAUUGAGACUCAAAGUUUUGCUGAUUCAAGUGGUACCAGGAGGUGUGACGGCACCAAUUAAGGCCACCACACUGUCUCCUUCUUUCACUAUUUUCACUGCCUUACCACACUGCCUUACUAAUGUAGAAAGGAAAAAGUUAUGUGUUCAUCCACCGGCAAUUCACUCUAUCAAACAAGACCCAAACAGAUAUGGAGCAGAGGAAUUAAAUUUCAAUAAGCUAAAGUGGGAUAAAGGGCAUUUCAAAUAAAGGAUAAUAGUGCAAUAAGUGACUCUUCAAAAUGAGCAAUAAAUACAAGAAUUUACCAACUGCAUAGUAAACUACAUCGAAUUUCUCUGCCAAUCUUCAAACUUCUCCUUAGUGUAGUCAAUCAUCAAACCAGUUCCCAAGCUCUUCAUUAGCUCUAGUUUUCUUGUACUUGAAGUAGCAGUGCGACUCUUGAGGCACCAAACACUUGUUUUGCAUGGCUCAAGCCAUAAAAAAGGAGGAAAAAUGGAAUUAUUGUUCUAUAUCGUAUUCAUUUGCCUUAUCCUAAUUAUUUAGGGGGCAACAGUAGCACAAAUUUUGUUCUGUUUGCUCUACUGAGAGCCCCUAUCUCAAUUUUUAAUAACUAAUAAAUAGAGGAACCCCAUCUAACUGCAACAGGAGUUUCAUAUUUUAAGUACAAAAGUUUUUUUUCCAUUGUAGGCCAUGAAUGGAUAACAUUUAAAAUGGAAAAUAAAUAAUUAGGAACUGAAAUUCAAAUGCCUAGAUAACAAGGCUUCCAACUCCACCAACACCACCCAAAACAAGAAUCGAUUUACCAACAGUAAAUCCAGUCCUUUCGAGACCAUCAUAGGCUGUCUCAAUUGUAAGAGGAAGUCCAGCAGCUUGAACAAAAUCCAAAUUCUUUGGCUUUAGAGCCAACAGUUUCUCUUCAAUAGUAGUGCAUUUUGCAAAUGAGCUAAACUGUUUAGGCCCAUCCAAUGUUUUCUCAUUUAUGUUUCCAUGUAACUUCAAAUAGAGUAAAUAGAAAGGGAUCAUGUAGAAACCCUCAAGUAAUUACAUAUUUCUUCUUUAACAUGAAUUUCAGAAUUCUAUAUAUUGGUUACCAAUAAUCCAUGCAAGAACACACCUUCUUCAAAGUGAUGAAAACGUUUCCAAUCUCUGAUGGCAAUCUUCCUUUUAAAAACCUUUGAAACAAGCUUAAUUGCAUUGUACUUCAUGGGGGAUGUCAUAUUUGGUGUCAAGACUUUGUCAUGCUAAAAGAAAAUGGACAUGGAGGGUAACAAUUUGGAAGGGAUGAAGAGGUCAAAGAUAAGCAUAAUUUUUUUUUCCUCCGAAAUUUCUUGUUCUCUUGUUUAGGAUUCUUUAAGGGUAGGGCAGUUUGUCUUUUCCAUAUUUCAUUACUUGAGGACAAGGGUGAUGGUUAAGCUUCUCUUUGUUGAGCCCUUUUGUUCUUUUUUUUCUUCUUUUUGGGGGUAGAAUUUUCUCAAUUUCUUUUGUGUUUUCAAAUAUGUUUUAGAAGUAAAUUUUAUGGAUAAUAUUUUAUUUUAAUCAUUCUUUAUUGUAUAAUUAUUUUUUAAAACAAUUCUCAUCAAAUAACAAAAAAAAAAGAGUAAAAAUAAUUAAAAUAUGUUAAAAACAAACAAAGACCUUCUGACCAUGGAUUCCUUGUUUGCUUCACUCCAUGCCUAACAGUUUCCUCUUUCUUAGUGACACCGUAAUCACCUUCAUUCUGCACAAUCACAUACACCUUAUCGCCUCUAUGAAUCCGAAUGACCGGCCCUGGAAAGCUUUCAUUCACAGUCAGCAUGCUCUUUGUGCUGCACAACCUUGUGAAAUUGGACAUCUUUAGCUACAGGAGAUAAAAAAAGAGAGGCAAUAUACAAUGUGACUAACAAAAAAGACCCUGGAUUCUGACAAAAACAGGCAAGUGUCAAGGUAAUACUCACAACAAAGUCAUAAAAAGAGACUUCCAAAGCAUAUUCAAGGGACAUGUAGCUACUUUCAUUAUUAGAACAAUUCAAUUAGUAGUUGUUUCAUUACAAGUAUCUAUAUACACAUGCAAAAAAAAAAAAAAAAGGCCACGUUAUGUGAGAAUCCACAUAUUUUGAGGAACAAAAGCUCACCAAAUGACCAAAUUACUAAAGGAGAAAGCAUCGACAAAAGAAAAAUGGAUACAAGAGAGCUACUCACCAUAACUAUGAAUAAUGAAAUAUUCACUAGAAGUGCAGAAGGGGGUGUUUUAUUUUAUUUUAUUUUAUUUUUCCAUCAUAUGGACAGAUAACAUCAUAUGCAGGAACAGGUCUAAAGAGAGCAUUGGGCAACUCAGCAGAAACCACACUUAAUAAACUCAUUUGGAUCAAGUAUUAAUGAUUAAAAUCAUUUAAAUACAUAUCUUUACAUUAUCCUAGAACAUUUUCUUUUCAUUUAAAUGCAUUGUCAUCAUAAUUUAUAAGAUGAAUGCAUUACUCCCAAAUCAACCCAUCUAAUUCUCAAUUCAUCAUAACCGAGGAACUGUCUCAUUGAAGUCAUGUGUUGCUUAAGCACCAGUUUUAAUAAUUUAUCAUCCCAUAAAGCAACCAAAAGUUUAUGUUUAACUUAAGACCCACCAAAGAGGAAAUAAAAAUUUCCAAAACCUAACAAGUCAAAAUAUGUGCAUAAAUACAUACAUUUUAAGCAAGUGUGAUGAAAUAGAUAACACUAUUCCCCAAGAUUAACAUAAGAACAAUAGAAUAACAGAUGCAAAUAUAUUUUGAUUAAUUCAUAAUACAAAUAAGAGGCCUUAAUACAUACUUCUUAAGCCAUUGGCGUCCGAUUCUUUUAAGUUUUGCAGUGAUAAUAUCCUCGACAAACAACCCAAACAUAACCAAUCUAAACUCCACCUGCCAAGAUACCAUGAUUUUCAAUUAUUAUAUGAGCAUAAACAUUAGAAGAGUUGGACAUUCCAUAAAAAUUGGUCCAGCCUAUCAUCUUUUUCGACAGCAGAAUAUGUAGGCAUGACACAAUCCGAGAUCGAUAAAGUAUGAAAACCAAAUUUUAGAUUUAAGUAUACCGUAUAGGUUGAAGCACUAUCCCCAGGGAAGAAAAAACCACCAUCUAUAGACCUGAUAUCAUUAACAAAGCUACACAGCCCCAAAUUCGCAACGACCUUCAUCAAAACACAUUCUUCUCAAUCCCUUAAAUGCUUUGAAAUCACGAUAACAAAUAAAAAACGCAAAGAUAAUGCCCAAUCUCCCGACCUUGUCUAAGAAGAGACUUUCAAGCUCUCCUUUGAUGGCUUCACUGAGAGGAAGUCCAGAAGAUGAGGCGACAAUCGGAGUGUGUGCUCAAUCAAGCUAAGGAAGAACAUCUAAACCUAGAAAACGUAAAUUUCAAACCGAAAAUCAAUGGCAGAGGCUGAUUAUUAAAGGAAAUUGAACAAAUUAACAUACAAAAAAUAACAAAUUGUCUUCUCUAACUUGUUUUCGCAUCUGUAGGGUUCUUCAGUGAGCUUCUGGUUGAUCUAGGGUUUUAAUCUCCGACCGGUCACCGUUUCCGGCAAUAGGAAUAUUUCAAUUCCCGCCACACCGGUGAGGUUUGCGACUCUUCAAUUAUGAGAGGAGAGAGGGAAACCAAAGUUGGGAAGGGGGGGACGGUGGGAAACAGAAAUUAUUUCAAUAAUGUGAAAAAAAAAAAAAAAAAGGGAGAAUUGUGUUUUGACCGGCUCAAAAAUUAAUAUUUGGUUCAUAUAUCAUGCAUAUUUAAGUUUAAAACCCAAAUAAAGUAUAAAAAUUAAAAUGAAAGAUAUUAUCUUUUAUUAAUUUCUAAAAUACCCUUAAUCCUUAUAUGCCUACAAAUGAGUGUGAAUUUCAAUUUUUUUAUGUUUUUUUUCCCUUUUCUAUUCUUUAUUAAGUAUUACUCAUUUCUAACUUUUUUUUUUCUUUUUCUUCCAAUAUAUAUUUCUAUUUUAUGUUAAAUAAAAAGUAAUAAUAUUUUUUUAUUUUUCAUUUUUAAAGAUAUUGAAUCUUUUUGCUCUUAUUAAAAGCAAUGAAAAAAAUUUUGGGAUUUUUCAUCCAAAUAUUUUUUAUCUUUUUGUAUUUAUCUUUUAGUUUAAUUUUCAUUUUUUAUUUUAAAUUUAUAUUACCUUUUAUUUAUAUUUUUCUCUUAUUUUAAUUAUUUUUUAUAUUUUCUACAUUAACCAUAUUUUAAAAAUUGACUAUCACUUCACUUUAUUUUAUAUACAUAUCCUUUUAGCUUUUUAAUUUUUAAUGUUUUUAUUUUAAAAUUUUAAAAAAGAUAAAUUUAUUGAAAAAAAGUAACUAAGAUAUGAAGUUCUAAUAUUAUAUUAAUAAUUUUUCUUAUCUAGAUAAACUAAUGCAAAGUAUUUUGACUCACAACAAGAAAAUUGUCAAUACAAUUUUUUUAGUUAAACUUUAGAAAUUAAAUUUCAAAUAAAAUAUAUUAUAUAAAAUUUUAUCUAAAAAUUAUUGAAAGUGGUAUUUAAAUUUUUUUUAUUGACUUUCAAACUUAUCUACUUUUUUACUUGAAAGGUAAUAGAACAUGUUUACAAAAAAAAAAAAAAUAGUUUUUCAUUUUUUAAAUAAAUGAGUAUAAAUAUAUUAAAAGAAUUAAAGAUAAUCUUAGUAAAAAAUUUGAUAAAUAUGAUUAUAAUUUUAAAUAUAGAUUCAUUUGGAUAAAAUUUCAUAAAAAAAAAAUAGUGGAAAGAAAGAACAUUGCUAAAACUACAAAAACAAAAUAUGCAAUUACAAAAUUUUGAUGAUGAAAUUUAAAAAUAAAAUUCGAAACAAUUCUUGAGUGAGAGAAUUUGAGUGGGGGAAAAAUCUUUGAGUGGAAAAACAUGGGAAAGUUUUUUAAAAUCACUUGAAAUCUUUAACAAAAAGUAGUCUUGUACACCCUUGUAUAAUUAGUAAAUUUGUCUUGUACAGUUAAUGUAAUACCCUUGUACAAUAACUCAAAUUUCAUAGAUCAUCUCAUGAAUAUCUGACAAUAGAUCGGUUAACCAUGUUUGCAUUGGUUUGGUUUUAAAAAAGAAGAAAAAUUGUUGUAUAAUUUUGUUUUACAAUCAUCAUAAGUGAGGUACCUAUUCAAAUAACCAUAUACAAGUUAGAUAAAGUGUAUGAGAUGAAUGUAUAUUUAAUCAAUGUGUGUAAGGAAUGUCAUUUAUCCUCAGUUAGAGGAAAUAAACAAACAAGUUUUUCAAAAUCACUUAAAAUCCUUCACAAAUAAUAGUCUUGUACACCCUUGUACAGUUAGUGUAAAUACCUUGUACAGUGACUCAAAUUCCAUAUACCGGCUACUCAAUGUGUAACCAUAGGUAGGUUAACCAUGUUUUCAUUGGUUUGUUUCAAAAAAUAGAGGAAGAUGGAAAAACAAAAUUUUCUUUCAAACAUCAUUAGUGGGAUAAGUAUUCGAAUUAUCAUGUGCGAGUUAAAUAAAGUGCAUAAGAUGAGUGUGUAAUAGAGGAAUGUGUACCUUAAGAGUGCAAUCCUUAGAUGACAAGACAAAAAAAAAAAAUAUAUGUCCAAAAUUGAUUAAAAUAUUUCACAAAGAAUAGCCUUGUGAAGUUAAAACAUUUGUCUUAUCCAAUUGAAUAUUUACCUUGUACAGUUAGUAUAACACCCUUGUACAAUUGUGCAAAUUUCAUCCAUAUGCAUACAUUAUGUGCCACAUAUGAUGUGUGAACCAUGUUUCCAAUGGUUUCAUUUAAAAAAUGAUAUAAAAUGUAAAAACAAAAUUUUUCUCUAAACAUCAUUAUUAAGGUAAGUAUUUGAAUUGUUAUAUGCGAGUUAAAUAAAGUACAUGAAAUAAAAGAAUUUGUGGUAAGAGAACGUAUAAUCCUUAGAUGAUAAGAAAAAAAAAAAGUUGUUCAAAAUGUACAGUUUUGUACACCCUUGUACAAUUAGUAUAAUAACCUUGUAUAAUGAUAUAAAUUUUAUAUAUAUGUAUAAAUUAUAUUCACAUGAGUGUGUAAACUAUGUUCCUAAUAGUUUGACAUUUAAAAUAAUUAAAACAAAUAAAAGAUUAUUUUAUUUUAUUUUCAAUGCAAAAUGUAAUUAAAAAUAAGACAAAGAAAUUACUUAAAAACUAUUAUUUAAGCCAAGUUUAUUUAUUUAUUUCCCUUUAUUUUUGGAAAUAAAGAAAAAAGAAUAAAAAAUUUAUUUAACCAUAAGAAAUAUGAAUAUAAGAUCAGCUAGAAAAUACCAAAUUUAUUUAUUUAUUUCUUUUUAUUUUUGGAAUUAAAGAAAAAAAUAAAAAAAUUAUUUAACCAUAAAAAAUAUUGAUAUAAGAUAUGUUAAAAAAUAGAAAUAACCCCAAAUUUAUUUACUUAUUUCAUUUUAUUUAUUUAAAUUAGAAAAUAAUUUAUUUUAAUAGAUUAAAAUGUGCACAAUUAAUUUAUUACUUUGUUAAUUAUGGAUAUAUUUAAAUUUUCUAUUAGACAAAAAAAUAAAUAAAGAAAAUAAAAUUAAAAAGAGUAAUAAAUAUAUAUAAUUUAGUUAUUUAAUUAUUUUUUAUGUAAAAGGUAGUCCCACAAAAAACACAUAAUCGAUCAAUUUCUUUGUUUAAUUGUAAACAUACUAUAUUUUUUUUUUUUUAUUAAAAUAACUAAUGAAAAAAAAUAAAAAUGGAUAAUCAAUGAAUGAAAUUUAAUUAUUUUUAUUAUUUUCACAUAAAAAAUAGUACUAAACAAGGUUUUUAAUUUUUAUUUUUAAAAAUAGUUUUCAUUUUUUAAUUAAAUAUUUUUUCAAAAAGAAAAUAUAAAAAAUGUAAAUCAUAUUACCAUUUUUUUAGAAAGUAUUUUUUAAAAUAGUUUUGAACAUAAUUUUUCUUUAUUUAUAAUUUAAAAUAGAAAAUAAUGCUGAUUUUCAAUCAUUUAUAUAAAAAAAAUUGAAAACAAUGAAAAAUCCAAAUUGUUAAAAUAGAAUUAUUAUGGUUGCAUGAAUAGUGUGCAAUAAAGACUAAAAAAGCUUAUGUGAAAGGUCAUUAGGUAUUUUAGUCCAUCACUAUUUUAUAUCCUUAAAAGGUAAUAUAUAGAAAUUUGAAGGAUGUAUUAGUCUUUUAACACCUUAUAUCAUUUCCAUCAAUUAUAGAAGUUAUAUGGACCAAAUGUUAAUUUUUGGGCCCAGUUGGACUCAAAACACAAUUCUCCCAAAAAAAAAAAUCAAAAUUAACAUAAUGAUUUAAAAAUUAAAAAUUAUUUUAUUUUUAUUGUUCCUAAACAUAAUUUGAUAUCAAAUUUCCUAUCAAGAUUUGGAAAUGUUGACUAUAAUUUUGGAAAAAAAAAAAAUAUUUGCGAUCUGACAUGCUUAAGAGACAUUUUAAAAAAAAAAUUUGUAUAAAAUUAAUAUUGAAUUAAUUAGGCUUAACUUAUAAUAUGGUAUAAUUCAAGACAAAAUUCAUGUCAAAAUAUUACUAAAAAAACUUAUAAUAUGGUAUAAUUCAAGACAAAAUUCAUGUCAAAAUAUUAUUAAAAACUAUUUGCCACCAUUAUACGAUGUGGUUAAAUAUAAUAUUUUGUGAUGAAUAUAAACUUCAUCUUUAAAAAGUGGGGGAUUCUAAAUUAAAUAUUAGAAACUUGUUGUGAGAUUUUUGGAGUAUGGUUGAGAUCCAACACCUAGCCUAACUUAAAAAUCAAACUGAAAUUUUUUCAUUUUCUCCAUUGCAUGGUUGACAUAAGUGUGAGAACCUAAAUAUCCAUUUCAUCAUCGUUUAACAUUUUUAACCAAAUUCAUGUUCAGAAUAGGGGUAAAAUGGGCCUUAAUUUUAUUAGAACUAAAAGCUUCUUCAGAGAAUAGAAGUAGGUGGUGUUGACAUCACAAAUUAUAUGGAAUGUGAGUAAUUGCAAAUGAGGGUUCUAAGAAUUAUGGUUUAAAGUUAUUCUGACUCCCUUUUGGGCUUCUACUAUGAUCUCCAGAAGCCACAUAUGCUAGCUGCUAGAUCAUUAUUAAGUUUUUCGAGCCUUGGUAUCAGGGUUGAUUGAUUCCUUGAUAUAUGCUUACCAAUCACCAAGUACCACUCGGUUAGAAGAGGAUACUUGGCUAGUUUAGUCUGUUUUUAUUGUCUAGAAAAAAACUCCUAAUAUGGCCCAAGUGGGAAUGGCUUGACUUUGUUAGAGUAUGGACAUAUAUGUUCCUAUUUUUCUUAUUUUUAUUCUUAUUCUUAAUUUACCUUUGAACAUUUUUUUUGCUUUCAUAGCAUGCAAUAACAGUUUAUUUUCCAUAUUUUUUUGGGGGGACAUGUUAGGGUGAAUUCACAAUAUUCCAACAAACAUCAGAAUUUUUCUACCAUUUCUUUAUGUAAAAUUAAAUAGGUAAUAGCAACUAGCAGCAAUAAAUAAAUAAACUCAUGCAACGAAAAAUAAAUCAGACACCACCAUUUUUACGUAGAAAACCCCCCAAUGAGCACAUAUAGCCUUGGAUUAUAUAAUCUCUAUUGGAAAAAGAAACAAAGAAAAAUUGGAGAAAUAAUACCCAAAAAAAUGUCGUUACUGUUCACGGGCAGUAACACUAGUUCCCGAGCUUAAAAUCUUAUCUCCACUGUUCAUAUUGUAGCUACUCAAGGUUUGAACCUCUCUUCCAAAUUUCAACUCGAUCAAACCACAGAUGAAACGGGAUUGGCUUGUUGAUGAAAUCUAGGAAGAUGUGUUUUUUUUUUUUCCGAUCUUUUUUUUUUUUAAUGUAACUGACUUGGGCCCCAAGCAUAUGGGGCCCACUCCCUCACAUACGAGGGAACCCAACAAAUCUCCUCUCUCAACUAUGUGAAGGGCUCUACCAAGUCCGCUUGUUUUCGACAGAAUUAUAGCUUCUCUGUAGGUAUUGGUUUUAUCAUCAUAUCUGAUCCAUUUUCAUCAGUAUUGAUUUUCUCAAGGCAAAACAAUUUCAUCUCUAAUGCAUCGCGAAUCCAAUGAUAUCUCACAUCAAUGUGCUUGAAUCUAGAGUGAAAAGUUGGAUUAUUGCUGAGAUGAAUAACACUCUGACUAUCACAGUAGAGUAGAUACCUUUCUUGCUGUAAACCCAAUUCUUGUAGGAACUUCUUCAUCCACAGUAACGCCUUGCUAGCUUCAAUGAUAGCAAUAUACUCAGCCUCUGUGGUCGAUAAAACAACACAUUUCUGCAACCUUGAUUGUCAUGACACUACUCCCCCUAAAAAAGUGAUCAAAUAACCAAAAGUAGAAUUUCUGGAAUCAAUAUCCCCAACCAUAUCUGCAUUUGUGCAUCCUACAAGCACAGGUUUGUCAGUCCCAAAACAUAACAUGUCUUAGAAGUACCCCUUAGAUACUUGAGAAUCCAUUUCACUGCAACCUAGUGUUCUUUGCUAGGAUUAGAAAGGAACUUGUUGACAACUCCAACAACAUGAGCAAUAUUAGGCCUCAUGCACACCAUGUCAUACAUUAAGCUACCCAGGGCUGAUGCAUAGGGCGCCUUUCACAUUUAUUUUUUUUCUUUGUCACUUGAAGGACUUUGUUUGGACCUUAGCUUUAGAUGACUUCCAAGUGGAGAACUCACUGGUUUUGCCUUGCUGAUGUUGAACUUGUCUAAAACCUUCUCAAUAUAGCUUUCUUGAGAUAGCCACAAUUUUCUAUUCGUCCUAUCUCGAGAAAUCUUUAUACCAAGAAUCUAACUUGUAGACCCUAAGUUCUUCAUUUCAAAGGACUUGCUCAACUCCUUUUUCAGUUUAUUAAUUUUACUAGUAUCACGACUAACAAUCAACAUGUCAUCCACAUAUAGCAAGAGAAUAAUAAAUUCUCCAUUAAAGAAUUUCUUCACAAACACACAAUAGUUAGAAACAGAUCUAUCAUACCCAUGCUCAACCAUGAAGGAAUCAAACUUCUUGUACCACUAUCUCGGUGCUUGCUUGAGACCAUAUAAGCUCUUCUUUAGUCGACACAUUAAGUGUUCCUUGCCUCUGAUUGUAAACCCUUCUGGUUGCUACAUAUAUAUUUCCUCCUCUAAGUAACCAUGGAGGAAAACAGUCUUCACAUCAAGCCGUUCAAUCUUUAGAUUCAUACUGGCAGCCAAGCCUAACACAACUCAGAUCGAAGACAUCUUAACCCCGAGUGAGAAAAUCUCUUCAAAGUCAAUGUCUUUCUUUUGACUAAAACCCUUCACAACCAAUCUUGUCUUGUACCUUGGCUGUGAUCUGUUUGGUUCAAGCUUCCUUUUUAGUACUCAUUUAUUCUUCAAUGCUCUCUUACCCUUAGGAAACUCCAUCAAUUCAUAAGUGUUGUUCUUAUGCAAUGAUUUUAUCUCUUCAUGCAUAGCUCUCAACCACUCUUUUUUCUUAUCAUGCAACAGAACCUCUUGAUAACUUUCUGGCUCUCCCCCAUUAGAAAGCAACAAAUACUCAUCAUUAGUAUACCUUCUAGAAGGUUAACGCUCUCUAAUAGAUUUUCUUAACUAUGUUUUAGUAGGCAACUUUAAGUAGCUUGUUUUUGCUGCUAUUCUAAGCCAUCGUUCUCAACUGUAGGAUUUUCUUCUACAUCAUCCUGCUCUGAUAGAUUUGAACUGCUUGUCAGUUUGCCUCUCAACCUUCACAUGAAAACCUUUAAAUAUAUCAAGUACCUGGUCUUUGGAUUUCAAAGCAUAUGUCACACAUUUCUUGAAUGAUCAUCAAUAAAAGUCACAUAAUAAAGUGCACCACCAAGAGUAUUACUUUGCAUAGUACAAACAUCAGUGUGAACUAAAUCAAGAAUAUUUGGUUUUCUACAUGAAGAAAAUCUACGAAAUGCAACCCUACUUUGCUUUCUAGACAGACAAUGUGUACAAGGUAAUAGUGACGUACCUUUAACUGGUAGAAACUUCUUUCUGACAAGAACCUGAAGUCCCUUUUCACUUAUGUGAGCAAGCCGCUUAUGUCAUAGCUCAGUAGAGGCUUCAUUCUCAACAAUGUUCACUUCUCCCUUGACUAAUCUCACUUUUAUUUUAUAGAGAGUAUUGUUUUUCUUCCCCUUAGGUAAAACAAGAGAACCCUUAGUAAGCUUCCACUUACCCUCUCCAAGGUGAGUAUGGUAGCCCUCAUCAUCAAGCUUCCCAACAUAGAUCAAACUAAAGAGCAUUUCAGGAACAUGUCUGACAUCUUUCAGAACCAAUUUGCACCCAAUGUUAGUUUCUAGCUCUACAUCUCCUAUGCCAACAAUUUCACAUUUUGCUUCAUUUCCCAUCCCAUCCUAACCUAACCAAAACUGCCACUAGUGUAGAAAAAGAAGAAAUCUUUACGUGCAGUGAUAUGAAAUGAUGCUACUGUAUCAACCACCCAAGUGGAAUCGUAGCAUGCAAGGUUUACACACGCAUAAUCACAAACAAUGAUCGUAUCAACAUCAUAUGCAACUGCUGUAAUGUCUUUAUUCUCUUUCUAUUCUUCACAUUUUCCUUUAAACUAUUCUCUUCUGAAUUUUAUGCACUCUCUCUUAAUGUGUCAUGGCUUGUCACAGUAAAAACACUUUAUCUCUUUCCAAGACUUUGAUUUUCCUCUUGACUUGUACGGUUAUAAUCACUGGAAGGAUUUUUGCUUUUACUUUUCCCCCACCUUUCUAUAACAAGUGCUUCUAUAUUAGAGGAAAUACCUAACUCUUUUCUUCUUGCCUCUUCAGUAAACAUGUUGUCUUUUACCAUGUUGAUAGUUAUCACACCAUUUAGGGUUGAAUUACUCAAGGAUACCACCAAAGUUUCCCAACUGUCUUGUAAGGAACUCAACAAAAGUAAAGCUUGUACCUCAUCAUCUAGCUUAAGUUUCAUGGUAGACAACUCAUUCAACAAUCCCUGAAAAUUACUGAGAUGCUCUGCAAUACUAUUACCAUCCUUGUACUUUAAAUUGACAAGCCUUCUUAUCAUAAAGGCUUUAUUCUAUGCAGUCUUUCUCUCAUAAAGACUUUUUAAUUUAUGCCAAAGGCUAUAUGCAUCAACUUCCUUGGCUACAUGAUGGAAGACACUCUAAUCAACCCACUGCCUAAUAUGUCUAAUGGUUUUCCCAUUUAAUUUUUUUCCACUCAUCCUCAGUUGUAAUAACUGACUUAUAACCUCUACAUUUAAUGGGCUCAAACAACUCUUUGCAAUAUAGAAUAUCCUCCAUCCUAGUCUUCCAAAUUAAUUGGAAGUUGUGAGUUUAAUCAUUCCACUGCUAGCCUCCUCCAUUUAAUUAACACAAGAGAUCCCACUACUAAUCAACUUGGCUCUGAUACCACUUGUUAAGGUGAAUUCACAAUAUUCCAACAAACACUAGGAUUUUUCUACAAUUUCUUUGUGUAAAAUUAAAUAGGUAAUAGCAACUAGCAACAACAAAUAAAUAAACUCAUACAAUGAAAAAUAAAUCAGACAUCAUAAUUUUUAUGUGGAAAACCCUCCAAUGCGAAGGGAAAAACCACGGGACCUACUCUAGUUCAAACUUCCACUAUCAACAAUAAUAGGUUACAUCUGUUUUCUUUAGAAUAAUCUCUAGAGGCUACCAAAUACAUCAAGAGCACAUAUAGCCUUGGAUUAUAUAAUCUCUCUUGGCAAAAGAAACAAAGAAAAAUUGGAGAAAUAAUACCCAAAAAAAUAUUGUUACUAUUCACGGGCAGUAACACCAGUUCCCAAGCUCAAAAUAUGAUCUCACUGUUCAGAUUGUAGCUACUCAAGUUUCUAACCUCUCCUCCAAAUUUCAACUCGAUCACUACACAGAUGAAGCGAGAUCGGCUUGUUGAUGAAAACUGGGCAAAUGUGUUUUUUUUCUCUCUCCUCUCUUCUCUUCUCUUCUUUCUGUUUUUCUUUUUUUCGAUUUUUUUUUUUAAUGUAAUUGACUUAGCUAGUUUAGUAUGUUUUUAUUGUUUGGAAAAAAACUCCUAAUAUGGCCCAAGUGGGAAUGGCUUGACUUUGUUAGAGUAUGGACAUAUAUGUUCCUAUUUUUAUUAUUUUUAUUAUUUUUAUUCUUAUUUUACCUUUGAGCAUCUUUUUACUUUCAUAGCAUGCAAUAACAGUUUCUUUUCCAUAUUUUUUCUGGGGGACAUGAGCUCAGCAAAAGCACCGAAAUGUGGUGGCAGAGUAGCCUGUGGUAAGCAAAUUUCUUCUCUUUUCUUUUCUUUUUCUUUGUAGUGAGAGAGCGAUAAGGGUGAGGUGGGUUUUGGUUGGUACAUGAAAAUCAAAUCAUGCAUUUGGGUUUCGUUUCAUGCAAUUAAAAAUGAAAUAAGAUAAAUCACUUUGUUUCUUAUGCAAUUUUUGUUUGCAUUUAAAAAUUUUGAGAUACUAUAAUUAUUUCAAGUACGAGUGCUUUCCAAUAUUUAGUUUUUUUAUUCUAUUUUUUUCCUCCCCACCAUAGCAGACCAAGAACUUCUUUUCCAAAUUAUUAUGGAGAUAAAAUGGAAUGAUUGCACUAUUAUUUGUUCUUUAAAUGCACUUGUAAGAUAAAUUUUAUCUAUAAUGUUCUUUGGGAUCAUCAAAAGAUGCAUAUGGGCUAUCUAUUAGACUUCUACAUAUCUUGGGUUUUUAUCUUAUUCAUUUGUCUCUAAAGUUGUGUGUUCGUUUAUCUUUGUGUAGGGGUUAUCGGACUUCAAGGCUAAAAAACUAGCUCUACCGAUACUCAUGGUAAACACGUACAUGUAGUUGAAGAUGUUUGUUUUGUCAUGCAUGAGAGAACCCAAGACGAGACUCAAAAACUGGAAAGAAUAAAGGGAAGAGGUUGUCCUUUAUGGUGGGAUGUAUGAUGUUAUGAUCUUAAAUCUUUUGUGUUUUUUCCCGUUUAUAGCUAAAACUUCCUUUUGUUUUACAUGUCUCAUAGUGUUUUUGGUAGUUCUCUUAGCUUGGAUCUGGUAAGGAAUGAAUAAAAUAAAUUAAAGUAGAGAAAUAUUCAAUAUGCAUUGACAUUGAGAAUGAAAGUUUGGACAGUGUGUAUCAAAUAGGGAACAAAACUAUGAAUAUGAGGGUCCAAUGUGUUCAGAGUAAGCAAGAUAGCAAACCAUAGCUAUGUGGUAGCACCUUGGUUACUAGCCCUUCUAAUCAAUCUCAUCCGAUUUAGACUUAUUUAAGUGGUAUCAUUUGUUGAAAAUGUGUUGUGGGGUAUGUUGUUCUAUAUUAUUCUGAGUUUAAAGAUUUGUGAUUUUGGAUGGGGAUGGCAUUGAGAUUGCUCGAUAAUCCUCUGUUCAACUUUUUUUUUUUUAAUUUUGAUCUUCAUAGAAAUGUGAAAUCAAUAACCAUCUCUCUUUGGAAUGAAUCCCACAUUAUUUUGCAUUGGCAUAGGCAUAGGCAUACAACAUAGGCUAGUGAAUGUGUGUCGGUUUUAGGUAUGAGGUGUGAAACAUGAGCUGAUUGUGGAUGUUUGCAUUGCAUGAACUUUAUGGUUUAGGGAUUCAUAUUCUUUUAUUUAUAAUAACCCAAAUUUGUGAGAUGGGUUUGGGACAUGAGAGUCGAUCCACCCACCCUUUGGUUAAACACUUUUCUCUUUUCUUAUAAGAGGAAAAUAAAGGAUAUAAAUGAAAAAGGCUGCAUCUAGGGAUUGAACAAAAGAGAGCCUGAAGAUGGAGGUAAAGAAAGUAUAGGGCUAAGUGUGAUAGGAUCAUUAACAAAUGCAAUUUGAAUGAAUGAAAAUGUCUUGAGUGGUAUCACAUGUAUGCUUUGGAUGGUUCUUGGGUCCCGCUCUUACCACCAGAAAUCCUUGGAUUACCUAGUGUUGGCUAUCCUUGGAUUAUAAAAUAUCUCAUUUUUAUAAUAUAUUUUUAUUAUAAAAUUGAGUAAAUAAAAUAAAAAAUGAUUAAAAAUAUGAUAAAAUUAAAAAUAUAAAAAUUAAAUAUUUAUUUUUCAUUAUCAAUUUAUCAAUUUUUAAAAAAUAUUUCUCUCUUUUCUUUAUUUGAAUACAUCUUCAUUAUCAAUUUAUCAAUUUUUUAAAAUAUUUCCCUCUUUUGUUUAUUCGAAUGCAUCUCUUUCUAUAUCUAAUUGAUUUCUUAAGAGGAUUAAAUAAAUGUACAAAUGUGAAAUAUAGCUAGUGGUAAAAACUUCGUUCUUAAUACAAGCUCAUUGAUAUUCAAAACAUUAAAAUUAAAAAUAAGAUUAUUUUAUAGUCUCUAGCUUAAAUAUAACAUUUGUAUGUAUACAUCUUCUUUUUAAUAUCUUCAUUUUUUUCUCAUAAUCUAUUAUCUUAAUUUCUUUUCCUCACUUAACUUCUCUCUUUUAUUAUUUUUUAAUUUAAUUUUUUUAGUACUAAUGUUUUUAUUAGUUUUCUUUCAAUGUUAACCAAUUUUAGAAGUUUUACUUUAUGAAAUAGUGAUAAUGAGUUAUAAAAAUUAUUCGAGUUAAAGAUUUAAAUUACAAUCCUACUAAAUUUUAAUUUGUUUGUAAUUUUUAAAAAAUCUAAAUAGAGAAAAAGAUGUUGAAGAAGGAAAACAUAAACAAAAGAUACGAAUUAAUAGAGUGGUGAAUUUUUAUAUUUUAUUUUAUAUUUUCAUAUGGGAAUUUAAUAGUUUGUUUUUGUUAUUAGUUUUAAUCUUAUUUUUAAUAUUUCUUUAAUAAUAACUAAUAAAUUUUUUAUUUAAUUUUAUAAUGGAAAGAGAUAAAAAGAUGUAUUUUCGUAAGAAACAUUAGAUGGUUAAAGUAUGUAUCAAAUUAUUGUGUUAUUCCAAGAUUAGGGAUGUCAAGUUUUCAUUCUUUUUUGUUGAAUGACUUAAGUUUCAUAAUAACGUUGUUUAGAACUUGAGUUUUAAAAUAGCAAAUAUGAAAUAAGGUUCAUGAAUUUUUCACUUAAUGCAUGCAAAUUCUGGGUUACACUUGGGACAACAUAUGGUGUCCUUCUAACAUAAUGGUAGUACUAAAUCAUUCCUUAAUUUGAGAACAUGACUUACAAUGCUAAAGCCUGAUAAUAAUUAUGGUGUCAUCUAAAGCCUAAAUCAUUGGAUGAUCAAAUUGACAGGUUGUUAAUCCUAUUUAUUUAUUUAUUUUUCAAGUAAACUUUUCAUAACCCUUGAAAGGCUUGGAGGUUGCUUUAAAAUGCUAUCACUUUGGUUGCGUAAUUAGAGAUCAUAAUUAAGUAAGUUGCAAGUGAAUUUGAUUUACCUAACAAUUAAUAACCAACCAAACAUAAGUAGAUCAAUUGUUGCACAAUGAGCAUACAAGUGAAAGAGUCAUUUGGAUCAUGUUAUCUAAGGUCGAUUAUCCAAGAUGAGCAUUCCAUCCAAUUAGACUCAUUUCAUAAAUCAAGAGAUCUCUACUUGAAUGAUUGUAUUCAUGAGGCAUUCUUGAAUAUAUUUAACUAAAAUCAUGUCAAAGAUUCCUUUAUCAUAUUGUAGACCCCCUCUUUUGGCUUUUUUUAUUUAUUAUAUAUAUAUAUAUAUAUAUAUAGAUAUAUAUAUAUAUAUAUAUAUAUGUAUGUAUUUAUGUUGAGCCUUCCCACCACUUUUGGAGCUCGCGGAGGAAGGCGUUUGGAGUGGGGGACCGGCUCCUUGAAGCAUGAGCUGCUGAAGACGCAUGGCUGUGGAGGUGACCGUUGCCAUGGUGGUGGUUGGGGGGCUCCUAAGGAUGCUGAGCGAAGAAGCAGUGGAGUGGAUGAUAGCUUGGGAAAAAAGAUUAACAGAGGAGUUUUGACGGAAAAAGAGAGAGAUCUGGGGAAGGAGAGAUUGGUUUUUUUUUUCUGUGGGCUGGUCCAGAGAGAGCUGGCGAGAAAGAGGGAUAUUCCGGCAGCCGUUUGCUUGAGAGGAAGAGUAACCGAGAGAAAACAGAGGAGGGAGUGAGGCAUCUCCAGGUAGGUUUCUUAUAUUUUCCUAUAGUUCUUUUACUAUUCACUUUUCUCUGUUUAUUGUUGAGUAUCAUUUAGCUGUUUGUGCAUGAAUAUCAUAUGGCCAUUUUUUAUUUUUAUUUAUUUAUUUAUUUUUUUGUUUCGUUGUUGAUUUCCGAACAUCCAUUGGACUUGCCAUGAUUGUAUCUCAUUUGAUUUUUUUUUUCUACGUUUGUGUCGGGAGGAAUAAUAUGAAUAUGGUCAUCAGCUUAUUCCUCAUUCCAAUAUAUAUUAAACCCAUCAUUCACCAUUCGUACCCGUUCCUCAUAUUACCCAUAACUCUAUCCGAUAAGCCACUUUCCUUCUCAUCAUUCCCAUAUAUUCUACUACUUAACCCAUCACCGUACUCCAUUUUCGAAUCUCAUCCACAUGGCCAGCCCGCUACCCUGCUCCUACCUAUCUCAUCUCUAAACCCUCACCAUCUUUUCUCUCUCUACACCACAUAUCCUUCAUACCCAUAUUCUCACCACCAUACCUCAACCCCUUAACACCCACUUCCCACACCAUGCACGACCACCCCUAGAUUCCUCCAAAACCUCCAUUAAAAUCCCGAAGUCACCUACCCAUAUGCAUGCAUGGCCAUCCUCCACGGGCGCUCUUUCAUCUCGUAAUUCUCCAAUCCUUCGCUUCUUCUUCCUUCCACGGCUUCGAGAUGGCAGGCGGUGGAGUUUUUAUGACGUACAACAAAGGCGCUAUCACUGAGACCAAGAAAUCACAUUUCUCUGUCAAGGUGAAUCUGGACCGAAUGCUGCGCGGCGACCAUUAUCGUAGACGUUGCCGCCGCCAAGCUAGCGCGCCUCGAGGAGGAGGCCGGGGCCCGUGCCGUCAUGGCUCUAGGGCGGGUCUCUGCCAGCAUCUGCGCCCAAGGCGACGCCGCUCGAAUGAGCAACCCGAGCCUCAUCAAAGAGGUCGGACAGGCGGUGGCUGUUCCGAUGAUGACCAAGGCUUGUAAUGGCCAUUUCAUGGAAGCUGGUUUGAAGUGAUACAAUACCUCCAGGCAAGAAAAGUGAGAGAGAGCCUAGGAUGCAGCCCAAUGAAAUGCUAGUUGGGCUUCCUACCAUGCACCCCUAAGGUGCCUAAGGCCCAUGAGCAUCCCCUUAAGUUUUUCUCCCACCUUAGGCCUAUUCCCAAAGGCCACAUUUGUGUGGCCAUUAUAUUUGGUGCAUCCAAAAGCCCUCAGACUUUAAAAAUUCAAUUUAUGAAAAAUCCCUCAUAUAAAUAAUCCAACUCUACCGAUUUUCGCCUUUAAAUAAUUCUACAAAAAAUCUCAAUUUUCCAAAUUUGGUUUCUAAUCUCCGGAAUUUGUAUGGCCUUGUUUAUUUGAUCUUCAAUAUUUUAUUAUUCAUUUAUUUAUUUGUUUAUUUUUAAAAUUCAAUCUCUAAAUAACUCUUCAAAAUUCCAAUUCCUAAAUUUAAAUUUCAAUUUCCAUAAUUUUAAUUCUCACAUUAAUUUAUUUAAUCAUUAGUAUUUUAUUUAUUUAUUUUAAAACUCCAUUUUAAAUCAAUUCCUUAAAACUUUCGAUUUCCGAAUUAAAUUUCUUUUUCCGAAAAUUCCAAUAUUCACAUUAAUUGAUUUAACCAUUAGUACUUUAUUUAUUUAUUUUAAACUCCAUUUUAAAUCAAUUCUUUAAAACUUCCGAUUUUCGAAUUAAAUUUCUAUUUCCGAAAAUUUCAAUAUUCUCAUUAAUUUAUUUAAUCAUUAGUAUUUUAUUUAUUUAUUUUAAAACUCCAUUUUAAAUCAAUUCUUUAAAACUUCCGAUUUCCAAAUCAAAUUUAUAUUUCCGAAAAUUCCAAUAUUCACAUUAAUUUAUUUAAUCAUUAGUAUUUUAUUUAUUUAUUUUAAAACUCUAUUUUAAACCAAUUCUUUAAAACUUCUGAUUUUCGAAUUAAAUUUCUAAUCCCGAAAAUUCUCAUAUUCACAUUAAUUUAUUUAAUCAUUAGUAUUUUAUUUAUUUAUUUUAAAACUCCAUUUUAAAUUAAUUCUUUAAAACUUCUGAUUUUCGAAUUAAAUUUCUAAUCUCGAAAAUUCCCAUAUUCACAUUAAUUUAUUUUAUCAUUAUUAUUUUAUUUAUUUUAAAAUUCUAUUUUAAACAAUUCUUCAAAAUUUCCAACUUCCGAAUUAAAUUCCUAAUCCUGAAAAUUUCAAUAUUCAAAUUAAUUUAUUUAAUCAUUAUUAUUUUAUUUAUUUGUUUUCAAAUUCUAUUUUAAACAAUUCUUUAAAAUUUCCGACUUCCGAAUUUAAUUUUCAAUUUAAAAAAUUUCAAUAUUUACGUACAUUUUUUUUCCCAAAACCCCAAUUUCUGUACUUAAUUUCCGAACUCCAAAAUUCUAAUUUCCUUCAAAUUUAACCCCCAAAAUUCCAAUCCUUAAAUUUAAUUCCCAAUACUCUAAUUUUCAAAUAAAUUUCAAAAAUCAAGUUUCCUCUCGAACCGUUUUAUUUCCAAUCUGGUUCUCAAAUAAACCUUCUGUUCUUCUUGGUUUUACAUAAGCAUUAAUGUGAUUCUCGCAAUUCCAAAAUAAUGGAAUUUGUGAGACUAAUUCGUGUAAGAUAGAUUAGGCUUUAGUGGGGGACCCACAUUAUUAAAUGUUUCCUUUGGGAGUCCAUUUGGUUGUAUUGUGUUAUAUGAUGAUUUUGUAUUCAAUUUAGUGGCACUUGAGCUAUGUUUUGUAUUCAUUAAUUAUGCACUAACCCCAUUGUUUGAUAGCGCAUUGUGGCUCGUUGCCCAGGUACGCAUCCACUCCUCUUCUAGUCAUUCUCUAUGCAUGUUCCGAUUCCCAUAUGUGCAUGAUCGAUUUGAGUAUCCAUUGAUUUUCUUAUUGAUUGCCACAUCAGCUUCAUUUUAUUAGUAGAGACCCGACUUUAGGGACUUAGAGGGGUACUAUAGUCCUUACCGUACCUUCCCAAUAAGCAACCUGACUCCCAAACCCGAUCCGGUUUUUCACAGAACACCUUUUUCAAAAUAAGGAGUUACACUUAAGGUUUUUUUUUCUUAUUUUGUUUUUCCCUUCAAAAAUAAAACAAAAAUAAGUGCGACUCCAAGUCAGUUUUUAAUUAAUAAAAAUCAUUUUCAAAUGAAAAUUGAGCUCGCCAUCGAGUAGAAACGCAUGAGCAGAAAUAUGGGGUCCACACAUAUGUAUUUCAUAAUUUAUGAAAUCUCAACACACGCAAUACAAGAAGUUGAAUGCUCAUAAAUUAAAACUUUCAUCAUUGUGCAAGACCACAUACUUAACAAACACAUUUUGUUAGCGAUAUAACAAUGAACAUAACAAAAUGCAUAUGAAAAUCUAGCAUGUGUUUGAAAAAAUAAACUAUCUCAAAUAAAGGAAAUGAUUGAAGGAAACAUCAUUGACAAUUUCUCAAACAUCAUUAACAAUUUCUUUUUCAAAGACCGUAUCUGCAUUUCAUCUCAAAUAGAGCAAAUCAUAAAGUAAAUCCGGUGUACCUAAAAAAAUGAAAAUAAUAAGAACAAAUAAGAAUGAUACCAUUUCAAUAUAAAUAAAGGAAAAUAUAAACCAAAUCUAGUAAACCUAAAAAAAUGAAAAUGAUAAGAACAAAAGAAAAUGAUACCAUUUCAAUAUAAAUAAGGUAAAACUUAGCAAUAAUGUUUGUAGAAUAUAUCACAAAGAAGAAAAAAAAAACACCAUAUUCUUGCUUCUAGAUAAAAGGAUGAUUUCUACCUCCAUCCUAUUAAUAUUUAAUGUUUUUUAAAAUUAAAAUUUCUUUAAUCUUGUUUUUCAAUUCCUUUAUAUUUUAUUCAUUAUUAAUUUUUUAUAUUAUUUGAAAAUAAAAUUUUAAUUAAUGAAAUUUAUUAUUACAUGUUAAUAGUAAGCAUACAAAAUAUUAUUCUUUUUUUAGUAUUCAUCUUGAAAGUUAUGCUUAUCAUAAAUUUAUAUUAUAUCAUUUGCAUGUUAUACUAAUUUAAAUUACCAAAGGUUUUUUCAUUGUAAAAAGGUGUAUUAUUUAGUUAAAUCAGAUUAAAAGAAAGGAAGUUAAUUAUUAUGAAUGUAAAGAGAUAGAAUAUUCACAAUUUUUUUAAUCUAUUACAUAUAAAUUCUAUAAUUUUUUUUUUCAAAUAAGGAUGAUUUGAUUGUAUUUUGGAAGAAUGAUAAUUAAUCUCUUAUAUGAAAUAUAUUUAAAAUCAAAUUAAUUUUAAAAUUUAAUAAUUUUUUAUUAAACAUCAAUACAAUCUUCAUACUUUUUUAUUUUAUUUUUAUAGAAUAUUUUUGUCAAUAAUUCCAAAAAAUAGUAUAAGGAGAAAUAAAAAGUAUGAGAGAGAAAAAUAAAAAGUAUGGGAAAAAACUAACAUUUUUCACGAAAGAGCACUACAUUUUCCCCAGGUCUUCCAUUCUACAAUAAGUGAUAUAUAACUCUUUGAGGUAUUGAAUAUUCAUGAGUGUCACAAGAAAGGAAAAAUGUUUCAUGCUAUGAUUCCCAUCUUUGAUCCAUCUUAGUCUAGGUAGGUUCUCCAUCUUCAAGGUUUCUAACUUUGGGAGGAUCUCGACAUUUCCAUCAAUUUCUUGAAGAAUAAUCACAAGUUCUAGGAGUUCACAAUAUUGCACAUCUAUCUCUUUUAAAUUCUAGAAGUUGUGUAUCAAAUGAGGUGGGACAAGAUUGAGUAGACAUGACAGUUGUACACCCUUAAGAUAUGUAGAUCGGAGAAGGAUUCAAAUGGAAGUUAAUGAUGCUAUAUAUCCUUCAACUUGGGCAGAUUUUUGAGUGUCAACUCCUCUAACUUAGGGAAUGAAACCUAUAACAUGAUACAUGAAAUCAUCAAUUAGAAAGUUAUAAUAAAUAUAAAUAUAUUCCUUAAAUAUAAUUCAUCAACUUGGGAUUAUUCACAUGUAUACUUUAAUUAUGUUUUAAAAAAUGAAACAAAAAUGAUUCUCAUGCCACAAAUGAUUUUUAUUCAUAUCAAUAAUUUAUUAUUUUAAAUCAUAUACACUCUUUUAUUUUCUCCCAUUAAUAAAUUCUUGUGAAUGCCUUCUUUAAAUUUCCUUUUUCUUUUAAAAGAUUUUGAUGAUUUCACUCUUAAAUUUAUUUUAUAUUUAUUCCUAUAAACCUAACUUUUUUCUUAUUUAAAGUAAAAUAUUACUUAUAGUUUUUCCUUAUUUUUAUACUCAUUUCUAUUGAUAUUUAAUGUGUUUAAAAUUAAAAUUUCCUUUAACCUUAUUUAUUUUUCAACUCCUUCAUAUUCUAUAUAUUAUUCAUUAUUUUUAUAUUAUUUAAAAUGAAAUGUUUAAAUAAUUUUAACAUGGUGCAAAAAAAAUAAAAUUAAAACCAAUGAAAUUGGCUAAUAAGCUUUAACAUACCUUAUGACUGAAAAAUGAGUCUUCCGACCUUGCAUUUGUACUCAAAGAUGUGGAAGAUGUUGUUUCUAACUCACAACUAAAGUUGAUGAGUUGUGGUAGAUCCUGGAGUUUCAAGGAUCGCAAUUUUGGGAAUAGUUGCAAGUUGGUCCCAACAUGUCCAUCUUUUAUUUCUAACUCCUUUUCAUAUGCGAUUAUUUGUUGCAUGGCAUUGCAAUCUUCUAUUGUCAUUUCUUCAAGUUGGGAAAGGCCUCUAGCCAUGGAAAGCAGAAGGAGAAAUUUCAAUUUAGGACAUGAAUCCACAUUUAGAGUUUUAAGUUACCAAAAGACCCUAUCGGAAUUGGGCCAUGCCAUACUUCCUCCAAGUUAUUCAAACUGUCAAGAACCAACGACUCCAAUAGAGGAAAGACACCAUGUUGCAAAAACCAUUGAUUCUUUGAAUCAAUGAUAUAUUGAAUCUCGGGACUACUACUAACUUGGAGAUGCUUCAAUUCAAGAAAACUCUCCCCAUCUAAUGGGUAAAGAACAUAUUUAGUACCAUUUAAUUUCCCAAACUCUAUUUCUUCACUUCUCUCCAACAACUUGCUAAUUCCAUCCCCCAAAUGUAAGCUUCUAUUGACAUUCUCAAGCUUCAAUGCACUUUUGGUUCCAUAAUCUCUUCUAAACUCCCACAAAUCACCUACAAAUAUUGCAUAUCUUGUCAACUUCUUCAAUAGAAUGUCUUUUGGUAGCAACUUGGCAUCUGAUAUAUAUAUAUAUAUCUAAAGUUGUCAAAUGAGACAAAUGAUUUAGCUCGGAUAAGCAAGCAUUGCAUUCACCUUCAACCACCCAUUGAGUAAAGAUAGAUUUCAUGUACAAACAUUCUAAUCGAGACAAACUUGAUAAGAUAUUUCAUGGAAUUACUUCAAGCUUCUCACAAUCGUUCAAAUCUAACAGUCUUAGAUUGGUCAAUUGCAUCAUUUCUUUAGGCAAUCGUUGGAUUGUAGAAGCCACCAAGCUAAGAACUUCUAGUUUCGUUAGCUUUCCGAUUAGAGCAAUGUUUCCCAACUCGCACCCAUCUAGACGCAAUGUUCGAAGAUUUGCAAGGGAAUCAAGUGAUGAAGGUAGUGUUGUAAAAUGCAUAUCGGACAAAUCCAAAACUUUGAGUUUUUUCAUCCCUUCGAAAAAUGUGUUCAGGAUAUUCAAGGGAGGAUUGUUGUUCUGCAAUAGAAAAAAUUGAAGUUCCGGCCAUACUAACCCUUGAGGAAGGUCAUGCACAACUUUGCAAUGCAAAGAGAUGAAAGUGCACCUUUUGGAUUCACCAGUCUCUGACCAUUUUUCCAAUCCAACAUCCUUUCUAACUACAAAUGGAUGAGGAUCCUUCGAUGCAAUUGCUCUGGCAACUUCACGAACAAAUUUGUGCGCCCAUGUCUUUGCAUAAUAGGUCUCCAUCUCUCGAAGCCAACACUAUUUUGCAUUGCAUCCAAAUAUCAUCUUUAGAAAGAAUUCCGACUUGCUCCAAAUCAACUUCGGUCUGAAUAUCAUCUACGAUAAUAAGGAUCUGCCCUUUUUCCAUCAGUAUUUGCUUCAGUUCAUCCGCUUGAAUGAAUUCAUCCGCUUCACUGAAUUCGGUUUCCAGAAACCUUAAAAAUAUUCCACCUUUGAUGAAAAAAUAUGAAGAUAUGGCUCAACUUUAGCUUCGUUGAAGGUUUUUGGAAGAUUGCGAUCGGGUUUAGGUGGUUAGCUUGUGAAGAGAGACACUAGGGUUAGGCCAAAAUGAGACGAAAUGAGAGGAAGUGACAGAGAGUUAUGAAAAUGCAGAGCAAACGAGCCAUGAAAAUGCAAAUCGGGUUAGGGCAAAAUGAGAGGAAGUGACAGAGAGUUUCCCCAAAUUUCAAAGUUUAUCGGGUCGGGUGUUCUGUGGGUUUUGGAAAUUUGAUAACUUUUAAGUUUUUGAAUUUCGCGUUUAUUAAAGGCACAACUCCCGGGUGAUGGUUGCUGACAGGGAUGCAUGGAAGGGUAAUUUCGGAAAUGCAAUUAUAAACAGUAUAUAGUGCAUGAAAAGGAAAAUUUUUCUUGAAAUAGUGGACAUAUCUUGGGUUAUGAAAACUUGGGUUUUGAAAACAAUAUUAUUGGGAAAUGGGCCUCCCGAAACACAACUUUCCCUAUUUUCAAUGUGCAUUUUAAAAAUAUAUAUAUAUAUUUUAAAAAAUAUUAUAAUUUUAAUAAAAAAUCCUCAUUUCUUCUCUAUUUUUUGUUUCCUUCCUCUUCCUCCAAUUUCCUCCACAUUUUUUGCUUUUUUUUUUUUGUUAAUAUCAAUGCAAGUAAAAAAAAUUCAAAAAAAAAAAGUUUUAAUUCACUAAUAUAAAAAUAUAUAUAAAAAAAACUUCAAAAAUUUUAAAUUAGUAUUAUCUUCAUAUAUUUAAAAAUAAUUAAAAAUACAUAUAAUUUUUAAUCAAUCAUCUAAUUAUUCCCUAAAAUGUCUUUUUUAUUUAUUAUGUCACCAACAUCAAUUGACAACUAAACUCCUUCACAUUAAUAUUUUCCUUUAUUUUAUUAUUAUUAUUAUUAUUUGAGAUUUUUUUUCACUACUCCUAAUGUUUACACUAUUCAAACUACCUCACUUUUGUUAUGAGAUAUUUCUUCGUGAAGAAAAAUACUCAAAUAAUAAUAAGCUAACAAUAAUAAUUGUCAACUAAUAUUGAUGACUUGGUAAAAGGGGUAUUUAAAAAAAUAAUUAGAUGACUUAUUAAAAUGUAUAUAUAUUUCAAAUUAUUUUUAAUUCCUCAGUAGCUCAGUGGUAGAACAAUCGACUGUUAACUGACCGGUCGUAGGUUUGAAUCCUACUUUCUAUUGUUAAAGUGGAGAACUGAACCAAGAAUUAUUUUUAUGAUUAUAAUAUUGAUUUAAAAAAUUUAAGUCAUUUUUUUUCAUAUAUUUUUAUAUUAGUGAGUUAAAACCCACUAUCCUAAAAAAUUCUCUGGUUAUAAAAUACAAAACUAUAAUCUGUUGUGAAAUUUAAACCCAUACUCGAUAUCUCCCAAACAGUAGAAUUGUUCGAGUGAUAAUUUAACAUCUUGUGGACCUUGCAUUUCGGCUCAUGCGCUUCCACUCGAUGGCGAGCUCGAUUUUUAUUUUAAAAUUGAUUUUUAUUUAUUAGAAAAUGACUUGGAGUUGCCACUUAUUUUUGUUUUAUUUUUAAAAAGAUAAAUAAAAUAAGAAAGAAAACCCUAAGUGUGACUCCAUAUUUUGGAAAAUGUGGUCUGUGAAAAACAGGAUCGGGCUUGAGGGUUAGGUUACUUAUUGGGAAGGUACGGUAAGGACCAUAGCACUCCUCUAAAUCCCUAAAGUCGGGUCUCUACUAAUAAAAUGAAACUAAUGUGGCAAUCAAUAAGAAAUUCAAUGGAUACUCAAAUCGGUCAUGCACAUAUGAGAAUCAAAACAUGCAUAGAAAAUGACUAGAAUAUGAGUGAAUGCAUACCUGGGCCGCGAGCCACAAUGCUCUAUCAAGAAAUGGAAUUAGUGCACAAUUAAUGAAUACUGAAUACAAGUCGCAUGUCACUAAACAGAAUACAAAAUCAUCAAUGGCACACAUGGUACUUCAUUCAAAUUCAUUUUUUAUUUUAAGGACAAUUUAUUUGAUGUUGGGCCCCACCAAAGCCCAAUUCAUUUUCACAUGAAUCAAUUCCUUAAGUUUCAUCACUUGAAAAUACGGAAUUUGAUUUUUGCUUAUUUUAAAACAUUUUAAAAAACAGAGGAGGUAUGAAAAUUGCUUGCCAUAAGGAAAUAUGGCAACAAAAUUUUAUUGAAAAUGAGAUUUUUGGGACCUAAAAAAACUGAGGAUGAAAAAUUGAAAAGUUGGGAUUAUUUAAACACUAAAACCCGAAAAUUUAUUUGAAGAAAAGGAUUUGGAAAAUUUUUUAGUUUUUCAACAAAUAAAAAAAGAUAAAUUGGAGUGGUGGCACGUGGUCCAGAAAUGAGCCAUGCAUAAGGUGGCCAUGCAAUGGGAUGGGGUGUUUGAAUAGUCACUUGAUCAAACAAUGGCAUUGUGAAGCUCUGCUAGCCAUUGGGAUCCCAGUCAAAUAAUGAUCUUGAUCUUGAUACCAGGGACGUCCUAUCUGAAGAGAAUAUGUCUAUCAACUGAGUCUCCAUGAUUCUCAAUAGAUUGACCAAAUGAGAUCAAGUAUUCACCUUUAGACUUCAUUGAGUUGGCAUGUUGAAUAUAGAGCUCCCCACUCAUAAUGUCCCCCCGCUUCUUUUCACUUCACUUUCCACAACAAAACUCAGAACACUGUAGUAGACCAUCUGAACAGCGAGUCCUCUAAGAAGCUUGGAUCCCAGUGACUCUGCUCUUUUAUGAACCAUCGAAGUCAACUUGCUGAGGUCUAAAUUCAGCUGGUCAAGGAACCUCAGGCACCAAAUCAUAGCCGCGAAGGCCAAGGGUUUCAAGUGGAGAUAAAUAUGGUCUUUUAGAGUCCUUUCACCACGACCUUCCUGGAUUUCCAAUGUCAUAGGUCUUGAAACAACUCCUCUUGAUGCAAGAUCCUUCGCUAUAAGGACAUAUCAUUCCAUAAACCAUUCACCUUUACUAUUCCUCAGGAUACCAACCUCACCACGGGAUCCCUCAGUAAUAAGGCAUCCAGUGCCAUAUAUUCUGGUUGAGCGAAACUACACAAAUUCGAGAUCCUGGAGAGGGAGCCCAGCACGUGCAACCAUGACAUCACCAUCUCCAAUGCAUGCAUGGACUGAGGUUGUAGAGAAAUAUGCUCUGCCAUGACCCCUGUGGCUAGAAUUGUUGACACAACUUGGAACCUAUGUAAUAUCCCAUCCUUCAUAUUUAAUGCAAUUACACCUUGGCAUGCACUCUCGUUAACCAUUGAAAGAUCCAAUGUGAAGUUCUGCUUUUGGCAUCUCCUCACAUAUGUACUGCAUAACAUCCUAGUCACCUAACUAGUCAAUUCCUUUGAACUUGAGGAUCUUGUCCUCUAAAAGAAGACCUUCCAUGCCCAUGACUUCGCUUUAGAGACCCUACAGCUUCAAUAGGAGAUCGACCUAAAGAUGUUGAUCCCAUGUCGUCACCUCCAUCAUAUUCCAUAGAGUUUUCAAAAACCCUAACAAUACUCAUCUAUAAUGGAGGACAACCAUGCAGCGUCAGCAAACAACAAAGGCCAUUGCACCUAAAACCAGAUCCUUGGAACAAGAGGAUUUGACGAGCAUCAUGAUCCAUACUCGUGUCAAUAUAACAGAUUUGGAGUUCUUCACCCACUCCAACUUCACGGUGAGCUUUCAAUCUUACAUUCAUAUUAUCUACCCAUGCGAUACGCACAUUCGGAUCCAUGAGAGAUGGGAUUGGUUCAGUGCAUUAAUAUACCAUUGCUCGGUCAGAAAUGCCAUGCAUUCAUUUAUGUUAGUAUUCUUUCAAGCAAACCCUUGAACUCGGAUUGGACCCAUGUUAAGCAAUGGAUGGGAUUUUGUGGGAAAGAAUGCACCAUGACGUGGGGCUUGUCUCUCAGGUGGGUUUUUGGAAGAUGGAAAUACAUGGGAGAUAUGGGGGACGGCUAUAAGUGCAUACAUGAUGGGAAUGAAUGUGAGAGGUGGUGAAAUGAAGAUAGCUAUGUAUAUGGAAUGGGUAUAAAUGGGUUAGUAGGUACGAAGCAAAUGGGUUGAAUGAAGGGUAGGACGGAUGAAGUGGUGAGCAUGGAAUGGGUUUGAUGUGGCCAUGCAUGGCCAUGGAACAUGCAAAGGUGGGAAGAAAUGGAUUUAGCGGCAUUAAAAAAAAAUGGGUACAUGGUGCGGUGUAGAGAGAGAAAGGUAGUGGUGGGUAUGUGAGGGUGAUGAUAUGCAUGAGGGGAUAUGGGAUGAGAUGGGAUGAAGAAUGAAACAUGAGUAAUGGGUUUGGAAGGCACCUGGUGUAGAGAGAGAAGACAUGGUACGUAUGAUGUUGAAUGAGCUAGUGGGACGGAAUGAGUUUGGUGAUAGUGGGUAUGAAAAUGUAGAGAGAGAAAGGGUGGUAAGAAAACGGGUAUAUGCAUGAGAGCUAUGAGAAGAGUGAAGUAUGGCUAGGUACAGGAAUUCAGGCAUGUGGAAAUGAAGUUAGAUGGGUAGGGAAUGAAUGAUGGAUAAUGGGUAUGGGCGUGAAAGAUUUAAUGUGUGUGAAGGUUAGGUGAUGAGAUAGUGUGGCAAUGGGAGCGUGGGUGCGAUGAGGACCCUUGAGGGUGAUGAAAAAUGGUGCAUGGAGUUGGAUAUCCUGGGGUGGAAAUGCAUGGCAAAACGAGCAAGGGAGUGUCGUGAGGGGAAUAUACAUGAACUGCACGCAUGUGAGAGUCAGCACAACACCAUCCUUGGAUGGUAAAAGCCUCCAGACCAAGUUUGCAACAUUAACCGUACCAUUGACCCCACCUGGUGGAUAAUUGAGUGGAGCUUCACCAUUGGAUGCUACCAACUGUUUCAAACCUUUCCUAGUUGGAGAAAACUUCUGUCAUUGGAAUUCUUUCCUUCUGUUUAGAACCACCUUACUGAACCUGACAUCAGGAAUUCCAUCUUUAAAUUCUACCUCUCCCAAGGCAUCCUCCAAAUCCAUAGUAACACGCUGAAUAUUAGUUCCAGCUCUUAUAACGUCCAUUUCGAUCAACGCAUGAACAAAAGAACGGCCAAUCCCCGUUUACAAUAUGUACUAUGGAUGCAAGCAUGUCAAAUUGAUGUUUCUUUUCCAUCCAACAAAGCAAACCGAAAUCCAAAAACCCAAUUUGCCCAAAAAGUGUGUAACACAAAUUCCCAGGAUGUGGAUCAGCAUGCAAUAUGCAUGUAUCAAGGAGUUUAACUAGGGAUGCCUCCACUCAUUUGUUCACCAAACCAAGAAGUCGUCGUUUGGCAUCAAUUUGCUGCCUCUCUGAAUAUCCAGAGACAUGAGCAACUGAGUUUCCAACAAAUGCAGAAAUUAAAUCACUUGGAUUCUCACCUACCAUCCACUCCAUAGUUAGCACUCUCUUUCGACUUAGACGAUUUCCAAAGAAUAGAACCAAACUCAUAAUCCCAACCUUGUAAAGUAGGGCCUAAAUGGUGCAAUUCCAGCUAGCAUCUUUGACAACCAAUGACAAACAAGCAGGCUACCAGAACCAUGAAGUAAGCAGCAAACGCAACCAGACACUAUCCCCAAGAAAUAAUGAAACUAGGAAAUAAUUUGAGAACCGGAUACAGGGAGCUAAGAGAUUCCAGAAAAAAAAAACACAGAGCAUGCAUAAUCACAAUCUAAUUAACAUCCCUGCUUUAGUCUCCUUUGAUUACAUGUCAUUUCUUCCACAAAGCUUCCAUUCACUACCAUCAAACUGCCAUCCAAUACCACAAUGGUCCCAUCAACACUGUUGACUAUUCAGAGGCCAUUAAAUGAACCAAAAAACUGGAGAUUUCCAACAGCAAGAGCACCCUGAGGUUGAAUGGACUCAGAAUGACCCACUAAAAACUCUUAUAUAGCUUCUUCAGGCGGAGAUGANNNNNNNNNNNNNNNNNNNNNNNNNNNNNNNNNNNNNNNNNNNNNNNNNNNNNNNNNNNNNNNNNNNNNNNNNNNNNNNNNNNNNNNNNNNNNNNNNNNNUAAAAUCCCCAAUGCUCACAUUCUGACAUUAGAAUAAAUUAAAAAAAAAACUUUUAAUCCCAGAAAUUAUAAUAUAAUGAUAUGAAAGCAAAAUGAUCCAACUGAUAGAAACCAUACCUGUGUUAUUUCCCCCUCAGCAACACGCCUCCCAGAAAGAUGAACCUCUGUUCCCCAGGCCAAAACCUCUCCUCCAAAAAAAAAACUCUUCUUCCGGCAGCUUGUUCCCCAAGCUAAAACCUCCUUCCUCAAAAUAUCUUCCCAAACGGCAACGAAGAUACCACCCCAAAACUUGACCCCCUAAGCCAGAGGAUCCCCCACAGAAAAUAUCUCCCUCAAAAGUCAAAACAUAACCGAAGACGUUCCUCCCUUCAACUGCCUGCAGCAAAAAAAAACACCCUCUCUCUAAAUAUUCCUCCACGUGUCGACCUCUCAUUGGUCCUCAAAAAGCAUCAUCUGAUUCCCUAACAGCCAUCCCUGAAGCGACACGUGGCUUCUUGAGAGCCCUCCACCUGGUAAGAAAAAAAAAACCUGCAGAAAAGUGAUAAGAAAAAAAAUGAGCCCCUAAAAUGGGGGUCUACUCAUCUAUUCUCAUGCUUCAAUUCUAUGAACAAAAUGAAGUCUUUGCCCUAAAGAAAAAAAAUCUUAUACGCCCGAAUUUAAUAAAUAAAAUUGUAGACCCCCAUUUAGGGGCUCAUUUUUUCUCACUUUUUCUGCAGGUUUUUUUUCUUUGCAGCCACGUGCUGCCCUGAGAUUGGUUGUUGAAGAAUCAGAGUAGUGCUUUGGAGACCCAAUGGAAAGGCAACACGUGGCAAGAUGGAAUCUGCAAAAGCUGUAGGCCGUUGCAAGAGGAACGUCUUCUAGCCAGCUGCAGGAGAUUUUUGAGAGGGGGCUUUUCAUUGCCGGGUGGAGGAAAUAUUUUGGAGGUUUUUUUUUUCUUCUUCUUUUAGCUUGGAGAGCAAGCUAGAGUAGGGUGGGAUUCCAUUGCCGGUUGAGGGGGAUAUUUUGAGGGUCGUUGGAGAGAUAUUUUGAGGGAAAUGGAUCUCUCUGUGAGAGCAAGCUAGAGGGGGGGAGAAAGGAGUUCUUAACUUGAGAGUCAAGCAAGCUAGAGGGGGGAGAGAGGUCUUCAUUGCCAUUUUUGGGGGAUGAGAUUACUGGAUACUAGUUUUACAGAGGUAUUUUGGGAUAUUCUUUGAGCUUGCCGAUGAGAGCAGGAGGAUAUAUCAUUUUUUUUGGGUAGUUGAGUAAGAAAACGAGUAGGAAGGUGAGCAUCUCAGGAGCAAAACUUGGAAUCAGGCCCGUCUUGACUGGGAAAAGACUUCCUCAGGUAUGAUUGCUACAGACUUAUGGGUUCGUAUUUGGGUUGUUUGUCACUCUUCUACCUCUCUUAUUGACAUUUAAAUACUCAUUGAUUUGUUUGGGGUGGAUAAUGAAGGCCACAUGUUGUUUGUUAAGAUAAAAUCCUGCAUUCAUGUUUGCCCCUGCUGGUUUUGGUAUGUUAUGCUUCUAUUAUGAAAAUGCCCAUAGUUGUGUUUGAGAUAGAUUUUCUCACCUAAUAAGAGGGUUCACGGAUGACUCAUGAAGUGAAACCUCUAAGAAUCACCUUUACUUGUUUUCCUUUAUGUUAUAUUUUCAAUCCAUUCUUCUUUGUUGUGGUCAAUAUUUUGUUUAUGGGCCUCGUUCAAUGCAUUGGCUGUGAGAAGGUAAAUCCAGGUUUGGCUGUGUACUCCGUCAGAGAUCUAAUAUGGUGAAAAGGGACUAUGACUGGGUGGUGAAGUUCUAUUGUGAGGAUCAAAGGAGGCUCGGUUGGCUCAAUGACACCUCUCUGGGUUUAUAGGUAUCUUAUUUGUGUAUAGAAGAUAAGGUUCUGAUGAUAAAAUGUCUGGCUGGCCUGCAUUUCACUGGUCAACUGUCCAUUCCGGUCCUCCUCUGCAUGAUAUCGACAAGGAUGGUGUAAGGGAAAUAGCUUUGGCUACCUACAAUGGUGAAGUGCUUUUCUUCGGGGUCUCAGGUUAUAUGGUGAUUAAUAAGCUAGAGGUGCUUCGAAUGAGAGUUCAGAAAGAUUGGUACAUGGGUUUUAGAUCCAGAUCCAGUGGAUCGUUCUCAUCCAGAAGUUAAGAAUGACCAACUUGUUCAGGGAGCUGCUGAUAUGAAAUUAUUUUCCUAAAUGAAUGGAAGUACAUCUGGGUCAAGCACUUCUGUUCUCACAUCAGCAGAAAGUCACCUCGGCAUAGCGAAUGCAUCCAAUCUAAGAAAGGAAAACCAAUGGAAAUGAAACAGAGACAAACAUUAAGCUGCCAACAAGUACGCAUAAUUCUUCUUAGGAUAUUAGGUCUGUCAGGACCAAUAAUGCUGGGAAUGGGACAAACGCAGGAAGAAGGCUUCUUUGAAGGUAAUGAUUCAAAAUGGUAACAAGAGGGCCAUUCCCAAUCCAAAGACAAUAGUAGUGGGAAAGCUCAAGCUGUGAAUGUGCAAAUGAUGAGGUUUUGGAAGCGGAAAUUGAUUCGUCUUUUGAGCUAUUCUGUGAAGAUGAUGAGUUGGUUGAUGAGUAUAUUUAUGACUAUGAUGAUUAUGUUGAUGAAUCCAUGUGAGGAGAUGAGGGGUGGACUGAAGGGAAACAUGAGAAAAUGGUGGAUUAUGUGAGCAUUGGGUCGCAUAUCCUAUGUACCUCAGUCAUGGCAGACAUUGAUAAUGAUUGGGUAUCAGAAAUGGCUGUUGUUGUGUCCUAUUCCUUUGAUCAUGAGUACUAUGACAACCAAGAGCAUUCGAUGGAAACUCCGAGUGAUUAUUUGGGAGAAGCUAAUGCAAGGCCACCUAGCAGCGUCUCCUUUGACAAUUAUCUGAAUUUGCAAAGUGCCAGUCAAACCUGUCAGCUGCCAUUUCUUAUCCAUGUGACACGCAUGCGUUCUCUAGCUUUCCACCACAAGUCCUCAUCCUAUAAAUCAUCACUAUCCUUCAUACCCAUGCCCAUGUUCACCUUCAUUGGAAAUAGACCACCCUGUUCAUUCCACCAAUCCGUUACCUGUUUCCACCCAUACAUGGCUGUCCAAAACUCCUCAAAUUCAUCCACCCGCGCACAUGAGAACCAUGCAAACCUGGUCAUCUCUCUUAUACUCAUUUCUCAUUAAUCCCCACCAACCAGUCCACUAAUUUCAUGUCCAUAUACUCUACCAUUAAACUCAUUUCUUCUAUCACCUUAUCACCUUCCCAUUCAACCUUAAUGUUUCAACAAACUCAUCAUCUUUUCCAUAUCUAUCUUCAAUACUACCCAUACCCAUUCCAUCUCAUCAUCUUUCUCCCCUUCAUGCCAUCCAUUCCCUAUUCUCAUCUCAUAUUCCCCCUAUGCAUAUUAUCAAUCUCACAUACCCACUACUACUUUCUUUCUCUACACCACAAUCAUACCCACAAAUGUUCAUCACCACCCUCAUCCUCUCUCUAGAUUAUUACCCAUAUUCAGUAAACCUAUCCUCUCCCAAUAUAUUUGGUGUUCAUCUUCCCAUACUCUCCUCAAUAUAUUCUCUUUCUCAUUUCCUUCUCAAACACGUUGCAUGGCCAUGCACGACUCCACGUAACUGAGUUUUUUUUCCAGAGUUCAGUAAUAUGAAGUUCUCUUAAUGUCGUGGCGCCUUUCCAUGCUCACCAUCACGCCUGUCACCAUGCAUCAGCUAUCACACCUCCUGCAUGACAUACCCUUUUCCAUUGCACCGCGUACCCACCAUACCCACUAUCCACAGUUAGUCUCGCAUUCACCGGUCUCUACGUCCACAAAUUGAAGGAUUUGGCUAUUUGGUGGCUGGUUUUUAAGCGACUAUGCAUUUGGAUUGGGGUAUAUUCAGAUUUGGGCAUAACUUGGUAUCUGAUAUUGGGUCUAAUGGGAAAAACAUCGCUCCCUCCUGGGUUUCGGUUCUAUCAAAUGGAUAGACAGAUAUGGUAUAUAUCUUUGUCCUCAGUGCACCUAAGAAAUUGCGUGCUGGAAAGAAGAUGGAAGGGAUGUUUCUGCAUUCAAGGUCUUUUUGCUAGAGGAGUUACAAUGACCACAUGGAGAUUUUAUGGUUCUGAUGGGUAAGGAUACCAUGAUGAAGUGCUCCAUUAGGCUUCAUACACAGAAGACUUGAGAGAUUUUGGGACCUGGAAGUCCAUGGGAUAUAUAGUCAUGGCGCAAGUAGUCAUGUUCUAUGCAACUUCAGUGAUCUCCAGGUAGCAAGCGUUGACUGUCGCCAUCAUCACCUAAGAGAUCUGUGUUGACCCUCACUUUCCGGUUCAUCAGUGCCUUUAAUAUCUGAAGGUCAGUCAUUCAAAGUCGUGAGGUUGUAUGUCAAUUUCAGGAAGGAUAGAUUGAAGAUGAAAGUCUUUUUAUAGACAAAGAAGUCAGACUCUGUUGUGAAGAAAUUUUAUGAGGACACGUGCGCAAAGUUCCUGAAUCUUGGGGAAUUUUUGGACUUCAAGUUGUGCAUAAACGGUACUCUCACUCGGUAUUAUUUUGAGACCAGAGGCAUUAACUCAGAAAUGGUAUUGGAAAUUUUCUUGGUUAAAGGCUAAGUCAAGGACAAGUGACAGCUAUCCGGUAUUACGUGACAUCUGGGAUGAGACCUUUCUCUUAUGGACUUGUGGCUCUGUCUAAUCGAGAUGAUGGCUCAAUUUUUAUUCUCAAGAUGCCUAAUCUUACAAGAAUAAGGCCUCAUUGAGAAGCUUGCAGCUGUUUUUUUUUUUUUUUUUUUUUUCUGGUUACCUCAUUUUGCACUGAUUAUCACAUACCCUGCUUAGGGACUCGUACCCUGGACCCACUCUUCAAGCUCCUUGUUUACACGAUGUGUCACGUGCAUGGCUACCUUUGGGCCACGUGCUCUCUUGUCAUAUCUCCUUAUUCUUUGAUUUUUGAAAAUAAUUGCUCCAAAUCCCAUUUUGUUUUUUUUUAGGUUCUAGUUUUUAAAUAAUCCCAAUUUUCCAUCCUUCAUCCUUAGUAUUUUUCUUUAGGUUCCAAAGUCCUAUUUUCAAAAUUUUUGCUGCCACUUUUAUUUCUCGCAAGCAAUUUUCACAUUUUCUUUGAUUUUUGAAAUGUUUUGAAAUAAGCAUGAAUUUAAUUUUGUAAAUCCAAUUAAUGGAACUUAUGAAAUUAAUUCAUGCAAAAAUAAAUGGGCUUUGAUGGGAGCCCCAUAUCGGAAUUUUAAAAAUGAAAUUUGAAUGAAUUGAAGUGAGACACUUGAUGAUUUAUUACUCGAUUUGGUGGCGUGUGUGCUAUAUUUUAUAUCUAUUUGUUGCGCGCUAACCUGAUUACUUUUGAUAGCACAUUGUGGCUUGUGACCCAAGUACACAUCCAUUCCCAUUUUGGUCACUAUCUAUGAAUGUUCCGAUUCCCAUGUGUGCAUGAUAGAUUAGGGUAUCCAUUGAUUUUCUUAUUAAUUACCACAUCGGCUUCAUUUUAUUAGUAGAGACCCAACUUUAGGGACUUAGAGGGGUGUUACAGUCUUUAUUGUACCUUCCCGAUAAGUAACCUGACCCCCGAGCCCAGUCCGAUUUUUCACAAGCCGCAUUUUUCAAAAUAAGGAGUCGCACAUAGGGUUUUCUUUCUUAUUUUGUUUACCCUUUAAAAAUAAAACAAAAAUAAGUGGCGACUCCAAGUCAUUUUCUAAUAAAUAAAAAUCAUUUUUUUUUCAAAAUAACAAAUUGAGUUCACCAUCGAGUGGGAAACGCAUGAACCGAAAUGUGGGAUCCACAAAAAUAUAUGCAAUUUAGUAAAUAAAGUUGAUAUUUGAUUAAAAUAAAAAUAAUAAAAUUUAUAAUUUUCCUAAUUAAACUAAUAUCUUUUUUUUUUCACCGGUCUUCAUGUGUACUUUCUCAUACUCUUAACCAAAUAAUAAAUAUUAAAACUUGUAGUAUUUUUUUAACUUCUUUUUCAUCCUCACUUUGUGAAAUUAUUUCUCAAUCAAGGUUUAAAAUAUCUUAUAUAUUAUAUCCUCAAUACAUUCAAUAUUUGUGGAUCCUAAAAUUUAGGAAGAUAUAUUUAUCAAUUGAUUUUUUUUCGCAUUUCAAUCAAUAUUUUACUAAUAUUUUUGGAUAUUAUAUCAUAUUUCACCGAUUUUUUUAUUAAAUAAAUUAAUUCUAAUUAUUUUAUUUUUACAUUUGAUUUAAUUUAUUACCAAAAAUAUAAAAAUGUAAUUUUCGUAAUAGAUCUUUUUUAUAUAAUCUAUAUAUUUAUUAAAUAUAAAAAAUAUAAAUGUUAAAAGAAUUAUAUAUAUAUAUAUAUAUAUAUAUAUAUAUAUCCCAAUUGCUAUUUGCAACAUCAUUUUUACUAAUGCAACAUUUUACAUUCCUAAACUACCCUCCCUUAUUCCUUCCCCCCUCUCUCAUCUCUCCUCUCCAAUCUCACGUCCCAAUUGCACCCAUUUUUUAUUUUUUUUAUUUCCCAACCCUCACCCCACAUUUUAGCAUUAUUUUUCUUUUAUUUUUAUCUUCCAUUUAAUCUCUACCCACCCAACCCCCCACCCCUCAUGAACUUUGUUUUUUUUUCUUUUCAUUUCUUUUAUUUUUUCACACUCAUUGUUUUUCAUAUUCUUCUUUUAUUUUAAAACAAAAUAAUUUCUUUAAAUAAUAAAUUAUAAAAUGAUUUUUUCACCAAAAGUAUAUUGUGUAAAAUGAUUUUAUUAUAUUCAAUGUUUUAAUGUGAAAUUCAUAACUCAAUUUUUUUAAAUAAAAAUUAUUAUUAAAAUUUUAAAAUAAACAAUAUUUAAUUGGAAUGGUUUUUUAAAAAAUAUGUUUUUUUUUAUUAUAUUCAAUAUAAUUAUUAUAAGCAAAAAUUUAUGUCAUGAAAAAUUUUCUAACUAUUAUAAACGAAAAGUAAUUUAGUAACUAUUAUAAACAAUAAAAAAAAAUCGAUUUUUAUAAUUAUUAUAAGCAAAAAAUUUAGCCCAACCACUGCCGCCAAUGGUUGCCAACUUCCAUCCCUGCUCCAAACCCUAAUCGCCCUCGCCGCUGCCGCCUCCUAGGACGCCAGAGCCCCAUCCAGGUCGCCGGGUUUUUUUUUUUUUUUGAUAAAUGUAUAUAUUUCUUUAUAAAAAAAAACGAAAGUUAUAAAUUUUACCUGAAAAUUGUCAUCAGGUGAUUGAAUUUCGUUAUUCAUCGUAUUUCGUAUAUGAUUCGUAGUUUUAAUCAACUAGAAUUUUGGUUUAAUAUAUUUAGAGGAGGUUAGACAGAGUUCUUUAUUAAAAAUGGUAUAUGUGGAAAAAAUAUGACAAAAAAGUAUUACAUUUAGCAAAAGGGAUGUUGUGAAUAACAACCCCCUUAUUUAUUUGAUAUCAUUGACUACAUUUAAAUUAAAAUGAAUGAUAAUUUUAAUAUAAAUAUAUUUUAAAAUUAGACAUGUUAUCAUAUCAAUGUUUUUAAAUAACUUUAAAAUGUCUAUUUUUACUUAAUAUUCACCAAUAUAUCUCCAAUUAUAAUAUAUUCAAUAUAUCUAUAAAAUCGAAGUACAAAUGUGAUUACCAAUAUUUUCAUUAUUGAAUGCACUUGACAAAUUUAUCAAAAUAAAAGAAUUAAUUGGAUAAAAGGAUGAAAUAAUCUCAUAUUUGUGAAUUUAACCCCUCUCAUAUUGUUUUGAAGAGUAACUUAUUUUUUUAUAUAUAUAUAAAUACGCUUGAUUAUUUCAAGUAUUUACAUGUAUAUUUUAAAAUAAUUUAUAUAUAUAUAUAUAUAUAUAUAUAUAUAUAUAUAUAUAUAUAUAUAUAUAUAAUUAAGGAUAUUUUUGUCAAAAUGAGCCAAAAAUCAAUAAAGAAUUGGAUUUCCAAAAAUCAAUAAAGAAUGAGGCCAAAAAUAUCUGAUAUAUUAUAUCCUUGAUAUAUUCAAUAUUCAAUAUUCAUGGAUCCCAAAAUUUAGGAAGAUAUAUUUAUCAAGUGAUUUUUUUUUCGCCUUUCAAUCAAUAUUUUACUAAUAUUUUUGGAUAUUAUAUCAUAUUUCACCAAAUUUUUUAUUAUUUAAUUUAUUACUAAAAAUAUAAAAAUAUAAUUUUCUUAAUAGGUCUUUUUUAUAUAAUCUAUAUAUUUAUUAAAUAUAAAAAAUAUAAAUGUUAAAAUAAUUAUAUAUAAAUUAUUAAUUUGAUAUCAUUGAAUGCAUUUAAAUUAAAAUGGAUGAUAAUUUUAAUAUUAAUAUAUUUUAAAAUUAGACAUGUUAUCAUUGUAAAAUAAUAUAUAAUGCAAUUUGUUAGCCUAAGGGUUCUCCUAAUCAGGUUUUGAUGAUAACAAACCAUGGUUAAGUUAUUAAUUUGUUUGAAUUAUAAAGAAUUUAAGGUAUUAAUUCAAAAAUUCAUCAAAGGACUUAAUGGAUGCAAGAUCGAGACUUUUGGAAGACCUUUAAUUAUAGGAAACAUAUGUAAGAUGAAUGCAUGAGUGCACUUAUGAUUUACAUAUCAUUUCAUGCAUAUUUUAAAAACUCGAUUUAUGCUUUAAAGUUAUAUUUCCAUCAAAAUCCGAGAUCUAUCAAAUGAACCUUAAGCAAAACGUUUCAAAAUUGGCAUAUUAAUUUACCUAAAGACCUUGUCUAAGUGUUAUAAGAGAAAAUAAUAAAAAAAAAUGGUGAACCGAUCGAGGCACUGGCCAAACCGACUCAACCGAUUAGGGUACCGAUUGACCCGUUCCCUCUUCCUGGUCGAGGUUCAGUCGAGGAGUGCAAAAAACAUUUUCUCUCUUCCAAUAGCCUUUCCUUCCCGGUCGAGGUCCGAUCAAGAGUAAUGACCACCUACCAAGCAUUAAAUGCUCCAAUGACUAGUAAACUAGUCAACCCCUAACUAGACCGAUUGAGGCUCAUUUUUGGUUUUCUUGGCUCCUGAGGUUAGAAACUUAUAAAUAAAGAGUUCCACUUCAUUUAUGAGUAAGAGACACUUACAUUUAUUUGUCCACCCACUUGUUCUUGCCUUAAAAACUCUCAUUCCUUUAUUGGUGCAUUAAAUCUUCAUUUGCAUACUCUUUAGUGCACCUUUGUGAUUCAUCCUACCAUUGAGUUAUAUUUGAGCUAUUGUUGAGCUAAGUUGAGAUAUUCAUAUAUGUUAAUUGAGUGUUAAAGCUUUAAAGUGAGUUGAAACUUGAAGAGAUUGUGUAAGAGUACAUUAGGAUUGGAAUCCAAGCAUAAAGGUGAUUAGAAGCUUGGUUGAAGCUUCAAGUACAUAUGUGAUUAUCAAUAUUUUCAUCAUUAAAUGCAAUUGACAAAUUUAUCAAAAUAAAAGAUUUAAUUGGGUAAAAUGACGAAAUAAUCUCAUAUUUAUGAAUUUAAUUGCUCUCAUAUUGUUUUGAAGAGUAACUUAUUUUUUAUAUCAAUGCUCUUAAUUAUUUCAAGUAUUUACAUGUAUGUUUUAAAAGAAAAAAUUAUUUUUAUAUGUAUAAAAAAAAUUAAGGAUAUUUUUGUUAAAAUAAGGCCAACAAACAAUAAAGAAUUAGAUUUCUAAAAUUGGGUUUUCAAUAACUUUUUAAUUAAAUAACCCAAAAUAAAAUCAUAAAAUUUAUGAUUUUUAUUAAUUAAAUUAAUGCAUUAUUUUCCUUUUUCCAUUUUUAUGAAAGCAUUUAUUUUUUAGAUUCUUACAAAAAAAAAAUUAUAAAUGAUUUUAUCCAUUAUCCACCAAACAAUACCUUGUUUUGCCUUUCCUUAGUUUCUAUUUUUGAAAUUAUUCCAUUUAUGUUUUAAGAAAAUUAAAAAAAUUUAAAAACAAAAUACUAAAUUCCCUAUAUAAUUAAUUAAUUUCUUAAUUUUCUUUUAUUUUUUCCAUCUUGAUCAAAUAUUUUUUAGGGAGAAUUAUGUUUUGGGGGUAGAUGGACCUUCAAAUUAACAAAAGGUUCACGUAACUCUUCAAAUUGAGCCCAAGACCCAAUAAAAGUAUGAAAAUUGAGUUGAAGGAUAUCAUCCUUCAGUAUUUUCAAAAAUGUCAUUUGUUGAUUUUGAGAAAAAAAUUAAUAUUUUUGAAAAAUACUUUUAUUUAAUUUAAUAUUUUUUAUUUAAUUUAAUAUUUUUAAAAGAUACUUUUAUGUAAUUUAAUAUUUUUUAAAAAUAAAUUUAUUUUAUUUAAUAUUUUUUUUAAAUACUUUAAUUUAAUUUAAUAUUUUUGAAAAAAAAAAUUAAUUUAAUAUUUUUGAAAACUACUUUUAUUUAAUUUAGUUUUUUUGAAAAAAAAAUAAUUAAAAAAAAUUAUUUAACUUAAUUUUAUAAAAUAUUUUAUAUGUGUUCUUAAAGGGUAUAUUUGUCCGUUACUAUUUCAUAUCCUUCAACUCAAUUUGAUGAGUUAUAUGGACCUUUUGUUAAUUUGGGGGGCAAUCUACCCCCAAAAGAUAAUUCUCCCUAUUUUUUAGUCCAAAUUUUAAGAAAAAAAAAUUAUAACCAAUAAAAGGAUAAAACAAUAAAUCAAGGAUAUUCCAAGUUUCCUUUUUGCCUCCCUUUGGCCGGAAAUUAUUAAAUUCAAUUCAUUGCUUGUCUAUUUAUCCAUUUAAAAAAUAUUUCAAUUUUUUUUCUUUUAUAUGUUUUAUCUUUAAAAGUAGCAAACCUUCUACAUGUAUUUUUAAUUUUAUGAAGAAAAAAAAAAUUAUAUCCACCGUGUAAAUAUAUUAUUUCUAUUAAAAAUUAAUUAUUUUUAUUUUUAUUUAAAAAAAAAAAAUCAGAUUUUUUAUCUAAAUAGAAAAUAGGACAAUUAAGCAAAAGAUAGUGGUAGGUGAUAGGUGUGAUUCGAGAAAAGGUCAUUUAUCCAAACAGAAAAUAGGAAAAUUAAGCGCAAGAUAGUGGUAGGUGAGAAUAGAGACUAAAAUGAGCCGAUUCUUACCCUUACUCUUCACUUCUAUAAAUUGCUUCUUCGAUCCGAUUCAUGUAAAUUUUUUUUUGCUAGGUUUCAAUUUUUUGUAGCUGAUCUGUGAGUUUUGGGUUUGAUUUUGUGUUGAUCUGGUGUUUUGUCGAGGAUCGGUUUAUUUAUUUUAUUUAUUUAUUUAUUUUUUAUACACGAUGCUUUUAGAUUUUUGUGUUGUGUUCAUUUCUUAUGUGUAUAUAUUGUGAUUUUUAGUAUAGUUGACCAUAGAUGUUCGGAUUCUGUAGCUAGAUUGUGUUUCAUUUUUGUUAUGUGAAUUUGUGAAUAAAUGAUUUUUAGCAGAUCUCUUCAGUUCUGUUUGGAAAACUUUGAAUUUUUUUUCUUUUUUUCCCUCAUAAGGGAGGUUUUUUCUUUUCAAAAUUAUUUCUGCGUUUUGGUGAAUUUGAUGGGUAAUCUUAUUUGUUCCUAUGCCUUUUAGUGGUGGAAGUUAUACAUAUAUGUCAUUACUUCCUUCUAAUAUUGAAUUGCUUUGUGUAUUACAUGUUAUAGCGUGGCUAAAGGGUGUUUUUAUUUUUUAUAAUUUAGUUUAAUUUUUUAUAAUUUCGCUUCUUUUGUUGAAAUUUUGUGUGAGCUUCUCUUUCUUGGUAAAAUGCACUGAACCCUUUUUCUACAAAAAGGGGGAAAAAAAAAAGGAGAAGACCGAGGACAAAGAAAAGAAAGAAAACGAAGAAAAAGAAUAUUGUUGUCUGUGCAAGGUAUAGAACACCUCUGUUGUCUUUUAGGAACAUGACCGUGUCUUCAUUUAUGGAGAUUUUUGGGCCUCUGAGAAGAGUAAAAAAAAAUUAAAGUACUUGUCGCUUGCUUAUUUUAAUUAGGGAUUUUCUGGGAGAUUCUGUAGAAGCAGUGGUUUUUUUUUUUUUAACUUUUUUUUUUUCUGAAUGCAUUGUGCUAAAAUGGAGUUAAAAUUAUGUAGUAAUGCACUAAUUUGUAUCCCAUCUCUAAUGGGUAGAGUAGGAGGAUUAUAUUUUAAUUUGUGUAUGGACUAUACCUUUCCCUUGGUGGUAGCAAAUCAUUAUUUAUUCUAAAAUUAUUGGUAGGUGUUUUGCUUUCCAUUUAUUUUCUUUUGCUUUUAUCAUUGGAUUGAUUAUUGAUUUCAAUCCAAGCAUUUUAUAUGUAAAUGAAACCUCUUUAUCAGUUGCUAUAAUUUUAAAAAUAUUGUGGUUUCUCAUACAAUAGGGCGCUUUAAGUUUGUAUUUCUUACUAUUUUGUCUCUUAGAUCACAUAGAAAAUGGUGAAGGCUGUUGC
rnacentral:lncRNA from 1 species